rnacentral:lncRNA from 1 species
UUUUGCAACCACAACAUCAAAACCCUGUUUCGUUUGUGCAGGCCAGUUGCUAGUACCUGUUGUAGCAUAUACAGAAUCAGGUUUCAUGACAAUAGUAGGCACAGCAACAGUUUCAGUCCGCCCGCAUAAAAGAAAAAAAAAACAGCAGUUUCAGUUUCUUCGGCUUACACCCUGAUGGUCAAUUCUGUCAUCAGGUUACAGAAACCAACUCAAAGAAUGUAAACACAAAAACACAAGUGCUCUGCAGUCUCCGUGCAGCUACGCUAUUAACUGUUCUCACCUGAAAACACGCCUCACUUGUCUUAACCAAACAUUUGGAGAAAGAGAAAAACCAAAGAAACAAAUUCGCCGAUGCAACUUUAUGUUUAGUGGUGUAGAUAGCCGCGUCCCUUCCGCAGUUGGCGAUUUGAUUUGAUGUAGCCGAGCAGCAGGAUGAAGAUCCAUCUACAACCUAGCUAGUCUCCCUUCCGCCUGCUCACAUCAACAUUUAAACUGGAUGAGAUACUAGUAUAAGUAUACAGUCGAUCAGCUCACUACUCUCUUUCCGAGCAAGUAAAUUAACAAAUCACCAAGGGAAAUAGCAAAACAAUUGACUAAGAACAGAACUGAUCUCACCUCCAAAGCUAGCUAUCUAUUAUGCAGUUUCACCCUGUUCCUUGUUUCGACAUCCUGAACUGUAUGCAACUCCUAGUGCUGCUGCUACUAGUGCUAGGAUUUCCUCCUCUGCAGCCAAGCGGGUGAAGUGAAAUUAGCAUGUUCAUCUCAAAUAGAGUAGCAGGGAAUUGCAAAAGGAGAAAUUAAGAGAGACAAAACUAGAGUGCAAACAAACACAUUAACAGCCGUGCUGAUUUACCUUCAAUCAAGUGCUCCUGGACCCUGCGCAAGCGGGAGCUACAUGCACCAGGUUGCCCUUUUUUCAAGUGCUUGGCCAGUACGUCCCUCACCCUCACGGCGUCCUCGUGCGCUACCUGCGGCACCUCCUCCUCCUCCUCCUCCAGCUCCGCAAUUUCCUCCUCCUCNNNNNNNNNNNNNNNNNNNNNNNNNNNNNNNNNNNNNNNNNNNNNNNNNNNNNNNNNNNNNNNNNNNNNNNNNNNNNNNNNNNNNNNNNNNNNNNNNNNNNNNNNNNNNNNNNNNNNNNNNNNNNNNNNNNNNNNNNNNNNNNNNNNNNNNNNNNNNNNNNNNNNNNNNNNNNNNNNNNNNNNNNNNNNNNNNNNNNNNNNNNNNNNNNNNNNNNNNNNNNNNNNNNNNNNNNNNNNNNNNNNNNNNNNNNNNNNNNNNNNNNNNNNNNNNNNNNNNNNNNNNNNNNNNNNNNNNNNNNNNNNNNNNNNNNNNNNNNNNNNNNNNNNNNNNNNNNNNNNNNNNNNNNNNNNNNNNNNNNNNNNNNNGUUGCAAAAGGUGGACAUGAACAAACCCCUCUGUCCAGGAUCCUCCAAUUGUCUUUCAACCUCGCGAGCGCAGCAGUCAUGAUGGUUGAUGCUGUAGCGUGUCUCUUGUUGAACUCGGCUUGAUAAGGAGGCAAAUCUGCUAACCGGCACACCUCCUCCUCCUCCUCCUCCUCCUCCUGCAUGUCUAUCACUAUAUUAUGCAAUAUGCAGCACACAUAGAUUGUUUUUAAAGGUGGACAUGAACCAACCCCUCUGUCCAGGAUCUUCCGAGUGUCUUUCCACCUCCCCAGCGCAGAGAGGGUGAUGUCUAAUGCUGUGGAGUGUCUUCUGUUGAACUCGGCUUGAUAAGGAGGGAAAUCUGCAGAAAGGAGGUCCUUGUCUUCCAGGCGGUAAGGUGUGAGAAGCCAGGGGAGGAGAGGGUAUCCUGCAUCACCAAUUAUGUAUUCCCCAACUUCCAAGCCAUCUGAUAAAUUCAGCUUACUGCCAUUCAGCAUACCCUGCUGGCAGGACUUGAAGAGCCAAGAGUCGUGCAAAACGCUCAAUUGGUUCAUGCUACCUGACGGCCCUAACCAAAUGUUUGUGAACCUCAUAUCUGGAUCAACCACGGCUUGCAUUAGCAUGCUGUCAUUCUCCUCAUGGUCACCGCUUUGUGAUCCAAAUGUGAUGUGAGCUGUUUGUACAAUGCCACAACAGUUUGGCAAGUCGUGUAUCUUGUCGAGCUUGCACUUCAUCUUCUCCAUUUGAGCAGAGCCAGGCCAGCUGAUGUGGUGAAAUGCUCGCUUCCACAUAGCCUCAACAAACACCUUAGUUACCAGCAAGACAGUUGACUCGUUCACACCAAGAGUGGAUCCUACGGUAACCGGAGAGUCACCAGAGUUUAGCAUUCUGAGAGCGACAGCUACUCUGUCUUGCAAAGACAACAAUCUCCCAUCAACAAAGGUGUGAUCCCUUGCCAUCAUAUCUUCAAAAAAUGAGAUCCUCACCAAGCUGCAAACAUAACUGAAGGUGCUUCUUCUCAUUUUGUACAUAGACUCAAACCCUUGUGCAUCCACCAUAGAAGAUGAUAAGGUUUCUGCAUGGAAAUAAAAACACAAAACCGGUUUACACAAUCUCUAAUUAGCAAGGCAACAGCAAACAUAUAUCACUGUCACUGGCGGACCCAGGAUUUGGGCGUGACCAGGGCUGAACCAUAGUAACAAAAAAACUACGACGAAUUAUAACCAUAAUUUCAGCGGUUGAUAAAAAAAAUUGUCUAAAGAUAGGAAUCAAUUAGACUGCCGCCUGAGGCUUUGAGAAUGAGAGAAGAACUGGUAUGUGCCUAGGAGUCUAGGACCUAGCAAGUGGCAAAUACUUGGAGAAGUGGUUACAUGAUACUCUAGAUAAAUCCUUGUGCAUCCACCAUAGAAGAUGAUAAGGUUUCUACAUGGAAAGAAAAAUACAUAAGUGGUUACAUGAUACUCUAGAUAAGUUAAUCUCGAGAAAAUCUGGAACAACAAGAAGACAAAUACUUGGCAACAUGCACUAGGAAGGUACAGAAUAUAUUCGGUCAUCAUGCAAUAUACUCCCUCCGUUCCUAAAUAUUUGUCUUUCUAGACAUUUCAAAUGGACUACCACAUCCGGAUGUAUGUAGACAUAUUUUAGAGUGUAGAUUCAUUCAUUUUGCUCCGUACGUAGUCACUUGUUGAAAUAUCUAGAAAGACAAAUAUUUAGGAACGGAGGAAGUAUAUGGAUGACAAGCAGGAGAUAAAGUCAAAUUAAGUUACAAACUGGCAGAAUCAGAGUGCUGAAACAAAUUAAGACAAAGCUUGAUGUUUGAUUUUCUGUACCGUCAAAUAUGGCAGAGCUGCUAAUAUUUGAAUCCAGCUUGUAGUUGUCUCCUCUCGUGUACAAAACGUACCAUUUUCUUUGGUUGUCUCCAUCACGUGCAUAUGCCUUGACAUGCUCCACUUGGCUGAACUUGUCCCACUCAGUGCCCGAUUGUCCCGAGGCUACCGCAGAGAGCAACCAUAGCCUGCAGAAUAACUGCAAAUGCCUUGCCUUUAUGUCUUGCAUGUAUUCUGGGAGUUUUUCCAUGGUGUAAUCCUUCAGGACCAGCCUCUCGAGUGAAGCGAUAUGCUCCAGCACCUUCAACUUUGGGCAGUUCUCAAUGGUAAGCUUCUGCAGAUUGGGGAGAUCGGUGAUCCUCUCCAGGUCAGGGCAAUCAUUCAUUAUAAGCUCAAUAACAGAAGGAAAGCUCUCAAUGUAGCUGAGCUGCUUGACAUGCGUGAUUUGGACAAUAAAGCUUAGCUGUUCUACACUAUAUCCGGAUAUAGUUGACGACAUUUGUGAACUUGAUACGGGCUUAAACCCAGUUCAACUGUAUGCAUGCAUAGUCAUAUCCAGUAUGUCAUCCAGUUUAAAUCUUGAUGUGUGCAGGUGCGAGUGCGACUAGCUAGUUGGCCCUGAUGACAGUUUUUCAUCCGGCUGUUCAGCUUGCUAACUAACGUCUUAUAUUAGUGUACAGAGGUAGUACUUUGUGAUUGAGGAAACCCAGCCGGCUGCGUGAAUGAUAGUAAGCUUUUGGGCAUUGGAGCCAAAGGCCUAAAAUCUGUGUUCUGUUGUCAUCAAUCAGGCAAAGGUGAGUGUUGUCUAUUAUCUAGCGAUGGCAGUAGUAAGCUUUUAUGAUUGAGGAAACAAUCGAUAUACCGUGUAGCUGCUUGGAGACUAAUGGCUAUUUUGUUAUUUAUAUUUGUGUGUUGAAGAAUAUGUAAGCAUGCACUGAGUGGGUGCUGUAUGGACACGAGUUUUAGCAUGAUUGAUUCAUUAUGUUCUCAGGAUAUAUUUGUCAUGGUAAUCAAUGUGCUGGCUCAGCCUACUCAUUUGUACUUACGCAAGACGAGAGCAGAGCAGAGUGUUUUGUGAGAGUUGAAAAUUAACUGUUCAAAUGCCUUUAUAUAUUCCCUCAUGUUGAUUUCAACUUCGACUAAUGCAGAGGAUUUUGGCAUUCCCUUUUUCUGCUACUAAUCAUGUGUUCAGUUUCAUAUUCAGUAGUUGGCAUUUUCUUCUGGUACUAGCAAGAUUGAUCUUUUUCUUUUUGAGAAAACGCAAAGACUUUGCGGUUUCUCUCAUUGAAAAGGUAGGGAAAAAGUUACAUGCCUCCUAGGAGAUGGUUUAAAGAUAGCAUUACAAAGGUUUUAAUGGACGUCCCAGGUGGCCCAGAGGGCGGCUUCUGCUCUAAUUUUCUGUUUCUCUGUCAAGAGGGGGACAGAGGGUCGAUCUCCAUCGAAGAUGCAUCUGUUGCGCGCUUCCAGAUCAUCCAUCCUGUCAACAGCGCUACGGUGGUGAGUCCCUUUUGGAGUGGUUUGGGGGUCGUCUCCUUGGCAUCGAGCCACCAUUCAUCGAGGGUUGUCGUGGUCAGGUGGUCUGCAAGUCAUCUUUAACCAGGAGAGUGUGUCAACCGCCUGCCUAGAAAAAGUGCAAGAGACAAGCAGGUGGUGAAUUGUCUCAAGCUCUUGAAGGAAAUAUGCCCUAUAGGCAAUAAUAAAGUUAUUAUUUAUUUCCUUAUUUCAUGAUAAAUGUUUAUUAUUCAUGCUAGAAUUGUAUUAACCAGAAACAUAAUACAUGUGUGAAUACAUAGACAAACAUAGUGUCACUAGUAUGCUUCUACUUGACUAGCUCGUUAAUCAAAGAUGGUUAAGUUUCCUAACCAUAGACAUGAGUUGUCAUUUGAUUAACGGGAUCACAUCAUUAGGAGAAUGAUGUGAUUGACUUGACCCAUUCCGUUAGCUUAGCACUUGAUCUUUUAGUAUGUUGCUAUUGCUUUCUUCAUGACUUAUACAUGUUCCUAUGACUAUGAAAUUAUGCAACUCCCGUUUACCGGAGGACCACUUUGUGUGCUACCAAACGUCACAACUUAACUGGGUGAUUAUAAAGGAGCUCUACAGGUGUCUCCAAAGGUACAUGUUGAGUUGGCGUAUUUCGAGAUUAGGAUUUGUCACUCCGAUUGUCGGAGAGGUAUCUCUGGGCCCUCUCGAUAAUGCACAUCACUAUAAGCCUUGCAAGCAAUGUAGCUAAUGAGUUAGUUGCGGGAUGAUGCAUUACAUAACGAGUAAAGAGACUUGCCGGUAACGAGAUUGAACUAGGUAUUGAGAUACCGACGAUCGAAUCUCGGGUAAGUAACAUACCGAUGACAAAGGGAACAACGUAUGUUGUUAUGCGGUUUGACCGAUAAAGAUCUUUGUAGAAUAUGUGGGAGCCAAUAUGAGCAUCCAGGUUCCACUAUUGGUUAUUGACCGGAGACGUGUCUCGGUCAUGUCUACAUAGUUCUCGAACCCGUAGGGUCCGCACGCUUAACGUUCGAUGACGAUUUAUAUUACGAGUUUAUGUGUUUUGAUGUACCGAAGGUAGUUCGGAGUCCCGGAUGAGAUCAGGGACAUGACGAGGAGUAUCGAAGUGGUCGAGACGUAAAGAUCGAUAUAUUGGACGACUAUAUUCGGACAUCGGAAAGGUUCCGAGUGAUUCGGGUAUUUUCGGAGUACCGGGGAGUUACAGGAAUUCACCGGGAGAAGUAUUGGGCCUUAUUGGGCCAUAUGGGAAUAGAGGAGAGAGGCCAAAAGGAAGGAGGCGCCCCCCCCCUAUGGUCCGAAUUGGACAAGGGGUGCAGCCCCUUUUCCUUCUCCCUCUCCCCCUCUUUCCUUCUCUCCUACUCCGGAAAGAAAAGGGGAAUCCUACUAGGACUUGGGAGUCCUAGUAGGACUCCCCAUACUUGGCACGCCCCCUCUAGGGCCGGCCUCUCCUCCCUCCUUUAUAUACGGGGGCAAGGGGGCACCUCUAGGCACAAUAAUUGAUCUCUUGAUCUCUUAGCCGUGUGCGGUGGCCCCCUCCACCAGAUUCCACCUCGAUAAUAUCAUAGCGGUGCUUAGGCGAAGCGCUGCGUCGGGUAGCAUCAUCAACACCGUCAACACGCCGUCGUACUGACGGAACUCUCCCACAAAGCUCUGCUAGAUCGGAGUUCGUGGGACGUCAUCGAGCUCAGCGUGUGCUGAACUCGGAGGUGCCGUACGCUCGGUACUUGAUCGGUCGGAUCGUGAAGACGUAUGACUACAUCAACCGUGGUGUGCUAACGCUUCCACUUUCGGUCUACGAGGGUACGUGGACAACACUCUCCCCUCUUGUUGCUAUGCAUCACCAUGAUCUUGCGUGUGCGUAGGAAUUUUUUUGAAAUUACUACGUUCCCCAAUAGUGGCAUCCGAGCCUGGUUUUAUGCGUAGAUGUUAUAUGCAUGAGUAGAACACAAGUGAGUUGUGGGCGAUACAAGUCAUACUGCUUACCAGCAUGUCAUACUUUCGUUCGGCGCUAUUGUUGGAUGAAGCGGCCCGGACCGACAUUACGCGUACGCUUACGCGAGACUGGUUCUACCGACGUUCUUUGCACAUAGGUGGCUGGCGGGUGUCAGUUUCUUCAACUUUAGUUGAACCGAGUGUGGCUACGCCCGGUUCUUGAGAAGGUUAAAACAACACUAACUUGACGAACUAUCGUUGUGGUUUUAAUGCGUAGGUAAGAACGGUUCUUGCUCAGCCCGUAGCAGCCACGUAAAACUUGCAACAACAAAGUAGAGGACGUCUAACUUGCUUUUGCAGGGCAUGUUGUGAUGUGAUAUGGUCAAGACAUGAUGCUAAAUUUUAUUGUAUGAGAUGAUCAUGUUUUGUAACAAAGUUAUCGGCAACUGGCAGGAGCCAUAUGGUUGUCGCUUUAUUGUAUGCAAUGCAAUCGCCCUGUAAUUGCUUUACUUUAUCACUAAGCGGUAGCGAUAGUCAUAGAAGCAAUAGGUGGUGAAAUGACAGCGAUGCUACGAUGAAGAUCAAGGUGUCGCGCCGGUGACGAUGGUGAUCAUGACGGUGCUUCAGAGAUGGUGAUCACAAGCACAAGAUGAUGAUGGCCAUAUCAUAUCAUUUAUAUUGAUUGCAUGUGAUGUUUAUCCUCACUGGUAGAAAAAGAGGCUUCCGUCCAGCCCCAUUAGUCGCGAAACUGUAGGAACCGCGACUAAUGAAGUCUUUAGUCGCGGUUCGGCAGAUGAACCGCGACCAAAUGCCUGGGCCCAGGGCGCUCGCGGGCUUUAGUCGCGGUUGGCCAGGCCAACCGCGACUAAAGGUGCCCAAAGGCCUUUAGUCGCGGUUGGCCAGGCCAACCGUGACUAAAGCUCCUCCCUUUUAGUCCCGGUUUGUGGCACGACCCGGAACUAAUGGGGUUGAGACCUUUAGUCCUGGUUCGUGCCACGAACCGGUACUAAAGGUCCCAUUUUCAAACUCUACCCCCNNNNNNNNNNAUUUGCAAAUGUGAAUUUUGACUUUAUUUGCAAAAUCUCUCUGAAAUUUGUAAAAAUGGGCAUAACUUUUGCAUACUAACUCGGAUGAAAAAGUUUUUUAUAUGAAAAAUCAUCUACUCGAAAAGUUACAUCCAAAUUUAACCGGGGGAACCCCGUUAAACAUUUUCAAAAUCCUCAAAAACCUAAUAGAAAAAAAGUUACGGGGCUUGUAAGAUCUAGAGUGGAAAAAAUUGAAAAAUAUUCAAACAGUGGGCAAACUAUGGUCAAACAAUGGUCAAACUAAUUAUUCUAGAAUAUUAGUGUUACUAAAUAAUUAUUUUAAUUAUUUCAAUUUUGGUCAAAUCUGGUCAAACUGUGGUCAACUGUGGUCAAACUGUGGUCAAACAAUGGUCAAACUAAUUAUUCAAGAAAUAUUAGUGUUACUAAAUAAUUAUUGUUUUUUAAAACAAUAGUUUCAAACUCAAACAGUGAAAUGUGUCACUUCAUGCUCAAGCAAAAUUCCUGAAAGUUAAUAGGAUUGACAUCUUAUUAUUGUCAGGAAAACAACAAGUGCAGACUUGGAGCGUGGGAGAAUAGAACCCGGAAGUUAAGCGUGCUUGGGCUGGAAUAGUGAGAGGGAUGGGUGACCGGUUGGGAAGUUAGAUGAUUUGGAAUGAUGAGGGGUGAUAAAAGAAUAAAUUGAGAAGUGAUGAGGGAAUGAUGAGGGGUGAUAAAAGAAUAAAUUGAGAAGUGAUGAGGGGUGGUGAUUAGAGACUAGAGGUUAAAAUAAUUCAGAAAUUUGAAAAAAAAAUUCAAUUUUUUUUUUCAAAAACCUGUGGCGGCCUUUAGUCGCGGUUAGCCACAAGAACCGCGACUAAAGGUCCUCCGCCCCGACGGCCACCUGGCGCCCACGUGGACGGGCCUUUAGUCGCGGUUCUUAAGCAACCGCGACUAAAGGUGGGGGCCUUUAGUCGCGCCCGUGCGGUCGCGGUUGCGCAACCGCGACUAAUGGCAGUUGCGAACCGCGACCAAAGGCCCUUUUUCCACCAGUGCCUUUAUGCAUCUUAUUUUUUUUUUGAUUGACGGUAGCAUUAUAAGAUGAUCUCUCACUAAAUUUCAAGGUAUAAGUGUUCUCCCUGAGUAUGCACCAUUGCGAAAGUUCUUUGUGCUGAGACACCACGUGAUGAUCGGGUGUGAUAGGCUCUAUGUUAAAAUACAACGGGUGCAAAAUAGUUGCACACGUGGAAUACUCAGGUUAAACUUGACGAGCCUUGCAUAUACAGAUAUGGCCUCGGAAUGCUAGAGACCGAAAUGUCGAGCGUGAAUCAUAUAGUAGAUAUGAUCAACAUAGUGAUGUUCGCCAUUGAAAACUACUCCAUCUCACGUGAUGAUCGGACAUGGUUUAGUUGAUUUGGAUCACGUGAUCUCUUAGAUGAUUAGAGGGAUGUUCUUAAGUAAUAUGAUUAAUUGAACUUUAAUUUAUCAUGAACUUAGUCCUAAUAGUAUUUUGCAAAUUAUGUUGUAGAUCAAUAGCGGUGUGCUCCUCAGGGAACAUUUUCCAAGUUUAUGUAAUUUGAAGUGGUUGGACCUCUGCUACAACAACUUCAACAGUGUGCUGCUCAAGGAACAUUUUGAGAGUUUACAUAAUUUGAAGUUGGCAGACCUCGGUUGCAACAACGUCAACAAUGUAUUCGUGAAAAGGCAUUCUACAAGUUUGGGAAAUUUAAAGCAUUUGGACCUCGGCUAUAAUAAAUUAAACAAGUGCUCACAGACGAGGAUUUUGCAGGACUAUUGAAUUUAGAGUAUCUAGACUUGUCAUACAACUCUCUAAAACUAGCUAUCAACCAAAAAUGGGUUCCUCCAUUUAGGUUGAAGGUUGCAGGUUUUCGUUCAUGCCAUCUUGGACCUCAUUUUCCAGAGUGGCUUAAAUGGCAGACUGGCAUUGAUGUUCUUGUUCUUGGAAAUUCAAACCUGGAUGAUGUUAUUCCUGAUUGGUUCUGGGUGACAUUUUCCCAAGCUUCAUUCUUGCAUGCAGCAGGAAACAAGUUGCAUGGCUCAUUCCCAGAAAAUUUACAACACAUGGCAGCUGACCGCAUAUACCUUGGUUCCAACAAGCUUACAGGUCGAACUUGUCUUCAACCUCUUUCUGAGGCUCAAUGCCGUCAAACCUCAAAGCAUUACUUCUGGAAGAGUUUUUUGCUUGCAAAUAAUCAGGUUAGAGGCAUGAUCCCAUCAUCUUUAUGCCAAUUGAGAAGUCUAAAUCAGUUGGACCUGUAAGGAAACAAGUUAACCGGCGAUGUUAUGCAAUGCUUCAAGGACUCGGGUGCAAACUCUGCAAAUCAGUUUGGUUCCAAUAUGUACAGUGCAGCGUUGAACAACAACAAUUUCUCAGGUGAAUUCCCAAAAUUUCUUCAAAGUGCAUCACAAUUAAAAUUCCUCGACCUUUCAUACAAUAGGUUCUAUGGAGGAUUACCAAACUGGCUAUCUGAGAAAAUGGCACAACUGCAAAUCUUGAGGUUGAGGUCAAAUAUGUUCAAUGGCCAUAUUCUGGAAAAUCUCACUUCCAUUGUCAGUCUUCAUUAUUUGGACAUAUCAGGCAACUGUAUGUCAGGAAGCAAUGAUGACAGUAAUAGCAGAGGAUACAGAGGAUUACAACUUCGAAGAGAGCAUACCAGUAAUCACGAAAGACCAAAAGCGUGAAUAUAACUUCCAAAUCUACAAGCUCUUGGUGAAUCUUGAUUUGUCUAGUAACCGUUUAACAGGACAAAUCCCAGAGGAGAUAAGUUUACUGAUUGCCCUCACCAAUUUGAAUAUAUCAAGUAAUCAGUUGACAGGAACAAUCCCAAAUCAGAUCGGUGAUUUAAAGCAUUUGGAAUCGCUGGACUUAUCAUACAACAUAUUUUCUGGUGCAAUCCCAUCAGGUUUGUCGGCACUAAAAUCUUUGAGCCACUUGAACUUGUCGUACAACAAUCUAUCAGGUGCAAUACCAUCUGGACCACACUACAAACUCUUGAUAGUCAAAUGUAUAUACGUCGGCAACCCUGGUCUUUGUGAUCCUCCUCUCUCCAGGAAUUGUUCGGCAAAUGAUGCAAAACAAAGCAGCCUUGAAGAUAUAAAUCAUAUGUCGUCUGUUUAUCUUGUCACGAGCAUAGGCUUCAUGGUGGGUCUUUGGACAGUGUUCUGCACCAUGCUAAUGAAGAGAGUAUGGAGGGAUGCCUACAUUCAGUUCAUUGAUGAGCUAUAUGACAAGGUUUAUGUGCAAGUGGCUGUGAGGUGGGAUCGGCUGAUGAAAAACACUCAAGACGAUGCACCAUGAACAAGAAGUGCCCAAUAACACUGCAAGCGAUUUGUUCGAUACUCGCAUCUAAAUAAGUUUUCAGUUUUCUAUAUUCUUGCAUUUUAUCUGUAUUUGAAGCUUUAAGUCGGUCUUUGCUGGACGUCAAUGAUGAAAUGGUAUUCAUAUGUUUGUAAUCUAUGGAAUGAAGUGUACGGGUUUUGUUGUAAUAUUUAAUCCUAAGUCAGGCAUUGUUCAUGAUAUAAGGAGAAUGAUAUACAGCCACCACUCUGCCUCUUUCUUACUUUUUCAGUUGGUUUUGUUGGCAGACAUCCUUCUUGCUGGGCUUGUAGUUGCAUUUGCUCUGAGGUUAGUUUGCCAAAGGAUGCUGUUAUUACUUCGAUCGUAUCUAAUAUACAUAUCCACGCUAUCUAUAAUAUGAUCUUUGCUCCUUGUCUGACAAAAAGGAAAAAGGAAAAAGGAAAAAGAAAAUACAUAGUAACUCCUUGUCCAAGAACCGUUACUUUCUGAGAAAUUUUCAUGGAGCAGCACAGCAGCCAAGUUUCAAGCUGGUUGUUGCCCAUUUGUUUGGUUGUUGCCCAUUUCGAUCUGGUCUAACGCUGCAAAUGGUUGGAGGUCUAACGCUGCAACAAGCAGACCUUGGUUCGAUUCCUGCCAUCAUCCAUUUUCUCCUGUAUUGCAUUUUAUAUUAAUUGUUAGCUGAUGGGCCGGCCCAUUACUGUGGAUAUCUCUCCUAUCUGCGACUUAAAAAACGGAUGCGGGUGACGUAUUUUGAACAGAGAUCUCCUCCGUUGAUGUGUUUAGGGGUUGUAAAGCAGAAGUGCUUCCUUGAAUAUCCUUUGUUUAGGACUAGUAUAAGAAUUCAAAAGUUCAUGCUAUUUCUAACGCGCCACUCAUGUCAGGAAUACAUCAAGCUUCACUCGCAAAAAAAAAGGAAUAUAUCAAGCUUACCACAACAGGAAAAGAGAAAACAAACAAUGUCUUCUAGAUGAAAAAAAAGCAGGAAAAGAACGGUGAAAAUUUAGCAGUUCAAUGCUAUGAUAUAGUACUAUCUACAACAGACUAACCUGGACAGUAACAUCAUUGAUUUGGCAUAGCCGAAGGAGUCCAGAGAUCAGUGGCGGAGCCAGCCUGUGCAAGGAGCCGGGGCAGAGUCUAUGCAUGGUGGGAUUGCCUAGUAUUUGCCUUAGCAAUUAGCGGUACUAAUCAUGGUCACAUAGUAUUGUUUAAUGGAGACCGGCCGGAGCAGCCCGGGCAGCUGCCCCGGGUCGCCGGGAGCUAGCUCCGCCACUGCCAGAGAUAGUACGGAGUCACGUUUUCCGAUUAACAUGCACGCACACAAACCUUACCACGACAAUUCUACGCCAAGUCCUUUGUUCCUGCAUCAUACGCCCAACCUGCAUCAAUCCACGUCAGUGAGGAGAGCGCCGUCAUGAUCCGCCGCCGCGGCAGUUCCCCGGCAGCAGCGCUAGAAGAUGACGACAUGCUCGGAGAGAUCCUUCUCCGUCUCCCGCCCCAGCCAUCCUCCCUCGCGCGCGCCUCCGCCGUCUGCAAGCGCUGGAGAGGCAUCGUCACCGACCACGGAUUCCUCGGCCGUUUCCGCGCACACCACCUGGAGCCGCCUCUCCUCGGCGUCUUUCAUCAUGCCGAUAAGCUCACGUUCACUCCCAUCCUGCCCGCACCGGACCGCAUCACUCCUCCAUGUUGGAAUAAGCCACGGCGUCUAGUGCAGUCGGGCUCGUCGGGCGCGUCCGGUGUGCGUGGGACGUGUGGGACGCACUGGUGCGGUCGGACUCGUCGGGCGCGUUGGGUGCGCGCGGGACGUGCGGGACGCAGCAGCGGUGUGGCGUAUGUGUGUGCAUGUGUAGUGCCGUGUCAUGUGGCAGUAUUGCACGUACGGAAGCGGAUGUACUACGGUGGUUAGUUGCAUGCAUAUGUGAGUUUGUUAGCUGCAUGCGUUGAUGGCCUAGUCUUUGGGACGUAGGAGAGAAUCUAGGAACAGAUUAGAUGCAUGCAAGUAGUUGGCUAGUAUUGUGCGUCUGUUAGUGGGGCUAGUGGCCGAGCGUGGUGACUGGACUAUGCGUGUGCGGGUACUACUUAAGCAUUGUAAUCAGCUUGGUUCUGUUAAUGAGAAGAGGAGGAAAAUGUAGCCCAUGUGUUCUCAUCGGGAGAACGAGGCAAAGCCAAUUUUCUCCACGGUGAGCUGUGUAUACGUGUGUGUUCCUUUCAUGGUGUGUGUUUAUGAGAUAAGAGAGAAACCACAAGAGAGUUGGGAGGUAGAAGAAGAAGCGCCGCCGCGUAGGAGGAGGCAGCGCCAACACUCCAAACCUCGACAACGAGGGCCGACUGCUCGGGUGCCGCCACGGACUCGUCCUUAUCUUACGAUGGGUGCGCGCAGAGGUCCUCGUGUGUGACCCUAUAACCGGCAACCAGCGAUGUGUGCCCUUCCCACCCAAAUUCAAGAUGGGCUACAUCAACGGGGCGGUGAUCUGCGCUGCCCACGACCAUGGCCACGUGCACGGUGGCUGCCACUCUACCCCCUUUAAGGUGGUCUUGCUGAAUAUGCGCUCUUAGGAUAGCCCACCUCUUGCAUCUGUAUAUUCAUCCGAGACCGAAACUUGGGGCGAUCUCAUCUCAGCGAAGGUUCCAUGUCCAAGUUGUUCCGGUGCUUAUAUUAGCACCCUUGUUGGUAAUGUUCUUUAUUGGUCGUUUCAGUUUGCGAAGGAGGGUAUACUUGGGUUUGAUUUGGAAAAAGAGAGCUUUGAUGUGCUCGAGGGGCCUCCCGGUAUGAAUCUUUCUCACAGUCAUCAAAUCAUGCAAGCCGAAGAUGGCACGGUUGGUCUCGCCAUGUUAUUUCCUCGUUACCAUAACAUUCAAAUGUGGCAGAGGAAGGUCAACUGCCAUGGUGUUGCCACUUGGGUGCUGUCGAGGACCAUUGACAUCCAUAACAUUCUUGAGCUCCCUCCUCAGGGUGAAGGAGAGAAGACAUCAUUGGAAUUUAUGAAGGGACAUGUUGAGGAUACCGAUGUGAUAUUUUUAUAUGUGAAAGGCAGUGUCUAUAUGGUCCAGCUUAAGUCGAUGCAGUCUAUGAAGCUUUAUGAAACCCAUAAUAACAUUACUUACUGUCAUUCAUUGAGGAGUUUCUACGCGCCAGGUGAUUAUUCAUCCCUAGUCCUCAUAUUGUUGGAGUAACCCAAUUCUGUUAUGUAUUAUUAUUCGUCGAUGCUCGAAUACCUUUGCUAGAUAGGUGAUUAUAGCGUUACUAUUCAGUAUAUUAUAUGUUCUCAUUCAAUAUAGCUAGAUAGACAAGCACAAGUCAUCACCCCUUCUUUUACACGAAAGUCAUCACCACUUGAUUCUUACUAGAUUGAAAAUCUUACAACCUUUUUGUGUGUGUGUGUGUGUGUUAUCAUUCAAUGUGGUUAUCUCCAUUCUUGGGAGGUAACAAAUCAAAUAUCAAAUGAGUAAUAGUGAAAAUCAGAUGUGAAAUGCUUAACUCAUUACUAGUUUUAAUUAUACUAUUCAGAAAUCAUUUAAACCAUCGGUGAUUGUGCUACAUUACUUGGAAAGAAACAAAGCUGAUUGAUGAACAUAUUAACAAAGUACUGAUACUGCUUAUGGGCAGAUAAACAUAUUAAAAAUUAUUGCUUUGGUUUUUCAUUCAUCCGAUGACAGGCAUGAUUUGGCAAUUAACUUAGGUGUCCUACACUAUGAUAUACUUGAUGACAAUUGUUAAACUGAUACCCUACACUAUACUUGACGACAAUUGUAAACCUGAUUUGUUUAAACCUUUAUCUGUGCAGGUGCGAGGGAGACUCAGCCAUGUUGAUAGAUUCCAUCAAAAAAUAAUAUGCAUGAGUGCAGUGCAGGCCCUUGAUGGCAAUGGAACCAACCAAAGGCUUAAAUCUGUGUUGUCAUACAUUAGGCAGAGACGACUGAUGUGUAUCUUAUAUUGUUAGCAGUAGUAAACUUUUUCGAUCGAGAGAACAACUAAUAAUGUAGCUGCAUGGGGACUAAAUACUAUUUGUGGUUUAUAUUUGCAUGUGGUAACAUAACCUGAAGAAAUAUUUCUAAUCAUAUUGUCAGCAGGUGACUAUUGUGUAUACGAACGUUCAAGCUCCCAACAGUACUUUAUAUCCCAACAAUAGCACUUUAUGGACCCGAAUAUCUAGCGAACAUCAGAUUUUUAGACAUGGAAAAUUGAAUGAUUUUCAUGGCAAAUUAUGUUCGGCAAGCAUGGCAUGUUUAGUUGUUGAGCAUGGAAAAUUUGUCUCAGUUCAUUUUUUUCUCAAGAAAUUGCCUUGCUUGCAAACCAAAUUUGUCAUCCUCACGUCAAUACAAAUUGCCAUGAAAAUCAUUCAAUUUGCCAUGUCUAAAAGAUCUGACAUCAGAUUUUUAGCAUUUCCAUACUUUACUGAUCUACAGGUUCUCCGAGCCUGGAGGUAGAUUCGGUCAAGUGCUCCUACACUUUUUUUUAUUUUUUCAAGUCGAGUUGCUCUAUUCAGUUAGUAGUAUGUUUUAUAAAUUUCUUCAUUCUGAUUUCAUCUUCAGGUCAGGUUGCUCUAUUCCGUCCAAAGUCUCCUGCAACCAUCUUCAAGUUCAGCUGCAACCAUUUAGAUUAAGUAAUAUCAUUGACUUUACCCAAAAAGGCUUCCGCCCCGCUUUAUAUAUAAAGCACGAUCCACAGCUACUCGGUACAAACGCACGCCACCAUAACACACGCAGACACCAAAGGCAGGAUACAAAGAUGCUGAAUGCAGCAACACCUCCCCUAGCACUACGAUAGCCACCGGGGUCCGAUGAGAUGAAGCCACAUACGACGAACCGUGAGCUCCAAGGCAGCGCUUUUAGGAAGGAAACGACACCGGAGCACCGCCACUGCCCGACCCGAGGGUCAGAGUUUCCCCUAGAGCAACAUGACGGGCAAUGAGAGCCACGGCGACGCCUUAGGAAGGGAGCGAGUUUCGCCGUCGCCGGUCCAUCCAAAGAAAGAGCGGGUUUUCACCCCGGCCAACAUUCAAUGCCACCGAACGCCACACCCCGGUAACCACACCGCCCCCACGGCCAUAGUCACCGAGCAGCAUCGAGCCACGGGCUCUGCCCAUGAGCACCACGCAACCACCACUAGGGCCGCCGCCCCGGCAUCAAAGGCCUAAACACCACCUCACCCGAGUCCCGCCGCUACACCAACCAAAGAGACUGAGCGCCCCCAGCAUCUGGCUUCCGUCGACUCGUCCUGCGGCACCGUGCGCGAGACAAGCUCGGUCCUGCAGCCAUGCGCGAGACGGGCUCGGUCCUGCUGCCGGGCGCGAGACGAGCUCGGUCCUGCAGCCCCGGGCGCGAGACGAGCGAUGGAACAAAGCUUGGGGCGGGCCAACCCUUCGACGAAGAUUGAGCCCAGGCAUCGAGAAGAGGGGUCGAAGGCCUGCACAUGCCGCUCACCGACAGGCCAACGCCGAAGAAGUCCAGCCGCCGCUGUGAGACAAUGCCGACCACCGCCAUGAGCGACCACCACGCCGUGGCAGCCCACAUCCAUGCCGAGCACAGCCCACGACACCUACCAUCGCUGGAUCGGCCGGGAGCCAGCACGCCCGCCACCACCAGGGAGCGCCACCGAAGCCAGCCACCACCUGCAGCGAGCCGGAGCCACGCCACCACAGGGGCCCAGGCCACCCGAGCCGUUGCUGCGUCAGAUCUUUAACCGGUACUGCUUUCUCGUGGUUUUCUGCAUUACCACCCGGUUCUAUUACUACAUGGUUUCAAUUGGAGCAAAAGUUUCAUGAUCACUUCUACAGUGGUGACAAUGAGCUUAAACUAUCCCAUCUUACAUCGGUUAAGCAAAAGCAAUAUGAAUCGGUGUCCGAUUAUGUCAAAAGAUUUAGGGAUACAAAAAGCCGGUGCUAUAGUUUGGUGAUAACCGAGAGAGAUAUGGCUGAUCUUGUGCUUAGUGGUUUGAGAACUCACAUUAGAGAAAGGCUAGAAGGAUACGAGUUUUUAAAUAUCAACCAAGUCUUGCAAGGGGCUUUGGCUCAAGAAAGCCGAAGCAAAGAUCUUAAAGAGGUGCGUAGAUAUAAAACUGAUCGUCCCAAGGUGAAUAUGGUUGAGUAUGAUAGUGACCACUCGGACGAUGAGGGUGAUAUUUAUGCUGCUGAAUUUGUUUGGCCAUCUAAGGCCAAACCGUUUACUUGCAAUGAUUUGAAGCCGAUUCAUAAGAAUCAUGAUGAAGAGAUGAAAUUUACUUUCAACAUUGCUAAGUGUGAUAAAAUAUUUGGUGCUUUGUUGCAAGCCAAGAUUGUUAGAAUAUCUCAUACUUUACCACUGAAACGGCGUGCUUAUUGCAAGUAUUAUAAUUCUUUUUCUCAUGCUACUAAUGAUUCUAAUGUUUUUCGACGACAGAUACAAUCAGCCAUUAAUGACGGACGAUUGAACUUUUCUGAGAUGCAAGUUGAUAAGCAGCCUUUCCCAAUGAACACCAUGGAUUUGGAGGGGAAGAAGAUGUUAAUUCGGCCCAACAUAGCUGAAUCAGCUAAUAAAAAUAAUAUUGUCAUUGGUGAGCCCAGGAAAAAUAAGGAGAGAGACAAGAUCUUGGGGAGACAAGUUGUGCUUGACAAGCAACCCGGUGGCAAGGAGGUAAUCAAGAUCACCAUCAAGAAUCCUACACUCGGGGGGCAACCACAAGUGCAAGAGAACACUCAUGUAAAAUUUGUUAAGCCCAAGAGUCCAGAGGUUGGCAAGUGGAAGACGAAUGAAGCUAAAGUGCAGCGCAAGAGAAUCAAGCCAACUUUUGAUAUGUUGUUGUUCAAGUAUGCCAAUCAAGCGACCGGUUCUAGCUCUGACCGGGCAUCAAAUUUGAAGCGCUCAAGGUCACCUCCUAGGGAAGAGUUUCAGCAUCACACGAGGCCAUAUGGGUCAUGGGCACCAGGACCAUGGAUGGCACCGCCCCCCUAUGCGCCAUACUACAUGGGAGGCUUCAAUGGAGGAUGGGGGCAGCCCCCAAUGGCCCCUCAUGCUUUUCAUCCGGGUUGGGCUGAACCAAGGAGGCCCGUUCAUGAGAGGCUUUCUUAUCCCACACGAGGCCGUUUGAACAACGGUGUCAAUCGGCCAAUGCAAGAUAAUCAUGGAAGGGUUGGCAAGCAAGUGUGGCGUGCUAAAUCACCAAGUGCUGAAAUUUCAGAGCCUGGCAAGCAAAAGGAGAAGAAUACUAGUGCUGAAACUAUUAUGAUAAGCACUAAAGAAUUAACAAUCAAAGAGUCGAUUAUUGGUGAUAAUCCGGCUGAUUCUAAUAAAGAUGUGGCUGUUGUCUGCUACCUCUUGAGCACUGCGUUGGAUUUCCCCGAAGAGAAGAGGAUGAUGCAGCAAAGUAGCGUAAGUAUUUCCCUCAGUUUUUGAGAACCAAGGUAUCAAUCCAGUAGGAGACCAUGCACAAGUCCCUCGUACCUACACAAAAUGAUAGCUCCUCGCAACUGACGCGAUUAGGGGUUUUCAAUCCCUUCACGGUCACUUACGAGAGUGAGAUCUGAUAGAGAUGAUUAAUAAUAUUUUUGGUAUUUUUGGUAUAUAGAUGCAAAGUGAAAAGUAAAAGGCAAAGUAAAAACAAAGCAAGUAAUAAAGUAAUGAAGAUUGAUAUGAUGAGAAUAGACCGGGGGGCCAUAGGUUUCACUAGUGGCUUCUCUCAAGAGCAUAGAUAUUCUACGGUGGGUGAUCAAAUUACUGUUGAGUAAUUGACAGAAUUGAGCAUAGUUAUGAGUAUAUCUAGGUAAUGAUCAUGUAUAUAGGCAUCACGUCCGAGACAAGUAGAACGAAACGAUUCUGCAUCUACUACUAUUACUCCACUCAUCGACCGCUAUCCAGCAUGCAUCUAGAGUAUUAAGUUAAAAACAGAGUAACGACUUAAGCAAGAUGACAUGAUGUAGAGGGAUAAAUUCAUGCAAUAUGAUAAAAAAAGACCGUCUUGUUAUCCUCGAUGGCAACAAUACAAUACAUGCCUUGCUGCCCCUUCUGUCACUGGGAAAGGACACCGCAAGAUUGAACCCAAAGCUAAGCACUUCUCCCAUUGCAAGAACUACCAAUCUAGUUGGCCAAACCAAAAGGAUAAUUCGAAGAGACUUGCAAAGAUAACUCAAUCAUACAUAAAAGAAUUCAGAGAAGAUUCAAAUAUUGUUCAUAGAUAAGCUGGAUCAUAAACCCACAAUUCAUCGGUCUCAACAAACACACCGCAAAAAGAAGAUUACAUCGAAUAGAUCUCCACAUGAGAGGGGGAGAACAUUGUAUUGAGAUCCAAAAAGAGAGAAGAAGCCAUCUAGCUACUAGCUAUGGACCCGAAGGUCUGAAGUAAACUACUCACACUUCAUCGUAGGUGCUAUGGUGUUGAUGUAGAAGCCCUCCGUGGUGGAUGCCCCCUCCGGCGGAGCUCCGGAACAGGCCCCAAGAUGGGAUCUCGUGGAUACAGAAGGUUGCGGCGGUGGAAUUAGGUUUUUGGCUCCUGUUCUGAUCGUUUGGGGAUACAUAGGUAUAUAUAGGAGGAAGGAGUACGUCGGUGGAGCAACAGGGGGGCCACGAGGCAGGGGGGCGCGCCCUAAGGGGGGGCGCCCCCGCCCUCGUGACCGCCUCUUUUGUUCCUUGGAGCAGGGUCCAAGUCUCCUGGAUCACGUUCGGUGAGAAAAUCACGUUCCCGAAGGUUUCAUUCCGUUUGGACUCCGUUUGAUAUUCCGUUUCUUCGAAACACUGAAAUAGGCAAAAAAAACAGCAAUUCUGGGCUGGGCCUCCGGUUAAUAGGUUAGUCCCAAAAAUAAUAUAAAAGUGGAAAAUAAAGCCCAAUAUAGUCCAAAACAAUAGAUAAAGUAGCAUGGAGCAAUCAAAAGUUAUAGAUACGUUGGAGACGUAUCAGGCAUCCCCAAGCUUAAUUCCUGCUCGUCCUCGAGUAGAUAAAUGAUAAAAAGAGAAUUUUUGAUGCGGAGUGAUACUUUGGCAUAAUUUCAAUGUAAAUCUUCUUAAUUGUGGUAUGAAUAUUCAGAUCUGAAAGAUUCAAGACAAAAGUUCAUAUUGAUAUAAAAAAUAAUAAUAAUACUUCAAGCAUACUAACUAAGCAAUUAUGUCUUCUCAAAAUAACAUGGCCAAAGAAAGUUAUCCCUACAAAAUCAUAUGGUCUGGCUAUGCUCCAUCUUCCCCACACAAAAUAUUUAAAUCAUGCACAACCCCGAUGACAAGCCAAGCAAUUGUUUCAAACUUUAACAUUCUCAAAACUUUUUCAAUCUUCACGCAAUAUGUGAGCGUGAGCCAUGGAUAUAGCACUAUAUGUGGAAUAGAAUGGUGGUUGUGGAGAAGACAAAAAGAGAGAAGAUAGUCUCACAUCAACUAGGUGUAUCAACGGGCUAUGGAGAUGCCCAUUAAUAGAUAUCAAUGUGAGUGAGUAGGGAUUGCCAUGCAACGGAUGCACUAGAGCUAUAAGUAUAUGAAAGCUCUACAAAAGAAACUAAGUGGGUGUGCAUCCAACUCGCUUGCUCACGAAGACCUAGGGCAUUUUGAGGAAGAGCAUCAUUGGAAUAUACAAGCCAAGUUCUAUAAUGAAAAAUUCCCACUAGUAUAUGAAAGUGACAAAAUGAGAGACUCUCUAUCAUGAAGCACAAGUGUGGUAAAAGGAUAGUAACAUUGUCCCUUCUCUCUUUUUCUCUCAUUUUUUUAUUUGGGCCUUUUAUCUUCUCUUUUUUAUGGCCUCUUUUUUUUCGUCCGGAGUCUCAUCCCGACUUGUGGGGGAAUCAUGGUCUCCAUCAUCCUUUCCUCACUUGGGACAAUGCUCUAAAAAAGGAUGAUCAUCACACUUUUAUUUUUCUUACAACUCAACAAUUACAACUCGAUUCUUAGAACAAGGUAUGACUCUAUAUGAAUGCCUCCGGCGGUGUACCGGGAUAUGCAAUGAAUCAAGAGUGACAUGUAUGAAAGAAUUAUGAACGGUGGCUUUGCCACAAAUACGAUGUCAACUACAUGAUCAUGCUAGCAAUAUGACAAUGAUGGAGCGUGUCAUAAUAAACGGAACGGUGGAAAGUUGCAUGGCAAUAUAUCUCGGAAUGGCUAUGGAAAUGCCAUGAUAGGUAGGUAUGGUGGCUGUUUUGAGGAAGAUAUAUGGUGGGUGUAUGAUACCGGCGAAAAGUGUGCAGUAUUAGAGAGGCUAGCAAUGGUGGAAGGAUGGGAAAAAGUGCGUAUAAUCCAUGGACUCAACAUUAGUCAUAAAGAACUCAUAUACUUGUUGCAAAAAUCUAGAAGUUAUCAAAGCAAAGUAUUACGCGCAUGCUCCUAUGGGGAUAGAUUGGUAGGAAAAGACUAUCGCUCGUCCCCGACCGCCACUCAUUAGGAAGACAAUCAAUAAAUAAAUCAUUCUCCGAGUUCAUCACAUAACGGUUCACCAUACGUGCAUGCUACGAGAAUCACAAACUUCAACACAAGUAUUCUUUAAAUUCACAACUACUCAACUAGCAUGACUCUAAUAUCACCAUAUUCAUAUCUCAAAACAAUUAUGAAGCAUCAAACUUAUCUUAGUAUUCAACGCACUCAAAACAAAGUUUCACAUAUCUUGAAUACCAAGUAUAUUAAUAUUAAGCAAAUUACCAUGCUACUACCGACUCUCAAAAUAAUCUAAGUGGAGCAUGAGAGAUCAAUAGUUUCUUUAAAACAAAUCCACCACCGUGCUCUAAAAGAUCUAAGUGAAGCACUAGAGCAAAAAUUAUCACGCUCAAAAGAUAUAAGUGAAGCACUAUGAGCAAAACUAUCAAGCUCAAAAGAUAUAAGUGAAGCACAUAGAUAUAAGUGAAGCUCAAAAUAUAUAAGUGAAGCACAUAGACUCUCAAAAGGUGUGUACAGCAAGGAUGAUUGUGGUAAAAUAACAAGCAAAGAUGCAAAUAAUACAAGACGCUCCAAGAAAAACACAUAUCAUGUGGUGAAUAAAAAUAUAGCUCCAAGUAAAUUACCGAUGGAAGUAGACGAAAGAGGGGAUGCCUUCCGGGGCAUCCCCAAGCUUUGACUUUUUGGUGUCCUUGGAUUAUCUUGGGGGUUCCAUGGGCAUCCCCAAGCUUAGGCUCUUGCCACUCCUUGUUCCAUAAUCCAUCAAAAGAAUUCACCCAAACUUGAAAACUUCACAACACAAAACUCAAUAGAAAUCUCGUUAGCUCCGUUAGAGAAAGAAAACAAAGAACUACUUAAGGUACUGUAAUGAACUCAUUCUUUAUUUAUAUUGGUGUUAAACCUACUGUAUUCCAACUUCUCUAUGGAUUAUAAACUAUUUUACUAGCCAUAGAUUCAUCAAAAUAAGCAAACAACACAUGUAAAACAGAAUCUGUCAAAAACAGAACAGUCUGUAGCAAUCUGUAACUAAGGCAAACUUCUGGAACUCUAAAACUCAUACCAAAAUAGGAAGUCCUGGACAAUUUGUUUAUUGAACAUCAGCAAAAAUAAUCAACGCAAAAGCACGUUUCUGUGAUUUAACAAAAUUAUAUUCUUGCGUGCAAAGUUUCUGUUUUUCAGCAGAAUCAAAUCAACUAUCAUCGUAGGUUAUCAUAUAGGUUCUACUUGGCACAAACACUAAUUAAAAGAUAAAACCACAUCCAAACAGAAGCUAGAUAGAUUAUUUAUUCUAAACAGAAACAAAAAACAAAAAACAAAAAUAAAAUUGGGUUGCCUCCCAACAAGCGCUAUCGUUUAACGCCCCUAGCUAGGCAUAAAAGCAAGGAUAGAUCUAGGUAUUGCCAUCUUUGGUAGGCAAUCCAUAAGUGGCUCUCAUGAUAGAUUCAUAUGGUAAUUUUACUUUCUUUCUAGGGAAGUGUUCCAUGCCCUUCUUCCAGGGAAAUUGGAAUCUAAUAUUCCCUUCCUUCAUAUCAAUAAUUGCACCAAUAAUUCUAAGGAAAGGUCUACCAAGAAUAAUAGGACAUGAAGGAUUGAAAUCUAUAUCAAGAACGAUAAAAUCUACGGGCACAUAAUUCCUAUUUGCAACAAUAAGAACAUCAUUAAUUCUUCCCAUAGGCUUUUUAAUAAUGGAAUCCGCAAGAUGCAAGUUUAGAGAGCAAUCAUCAAAGUCAUGGAAAUCUAGCAAAUCACACAAAGUUUUGGGAAUAGUAGAGGCACUAGCACCCAAAUCACAGAAAGCAUGAAACUCAUAAUCUUUAAUUUUAAUUUUAAUAGUAGGUUCCCACUCAUCAUAGAGUUUUCUAGGGAUAGAAACUUUCAACUCAAGUUUUUCUUCAUAAGAUUGCAUCAAGGCAUUAACAAUGUGUUCGGUAAAGGCCUUAUUUUGACUAUAAGCAUGAGGAGAAUCUAGCACGGAUUGCAACAAGGAAAGACAACCAAUUAAAGAGCAACUUUCAUAAUUAAAUUCCUUGAGAUCCAAAAUAGUGGGUUUAGCAACAUCUAGGUUUUUAUUUCUUUCAAUCCCACUUUCAUCAAUUUCAUCAUCAAGAUCUAGAAACUCCGAAUUCUUAGAACGCCUUCUAGGUAAAGGAAGAUCAUAUUCAGUUUCAUCAAGAUUCAUAUUGCAAAACAAAGAUUUAAUGGGGGACACAUCGAUAACUUUUAGAUCUUCAUCUUGAUUUUCAUAGGAAUUGGAAGAACAUGCUUUAAUAAAGGCAUCUUUGGAAGCACGCAUCCUAGCGGUUUUUUCUUUGCACUCAUCAAUGGAAAUUCUCAUGGCUUUGAGAGACUCACUGAUAUCAUGCUUAGGAGGAAUAGAUCUAAGCUUUAAAGAAUCAAUUUCAAGAGAAAUUCUAUCAACGUUCCUAGCCAAAUCAUCAACUUUAAGCAAUUUCUCUUCAAACAAAGCAUUAAAAUUCUUUUGUGAAUUCAUAAACUCUUUAACACUACUCUCAAAUUCAGAGGGAAUCUUAUUAAAAUUUCCAUAAGAGUUGUUGUAGGAAUUUCCAUAAUUAUUAGAAGGAUUACUAGGAUAAGGCCUAUGAUUAAAAUUCCCUCUAUACGCGUUAUUUCCAAAACUAUUCCUACCAACAAAAUUCACAUCCAUAGAUUCAUUAUUAUUCUCAAUCAAAGUAGACAAAUGCAUAUCAUUGGGAUCAAGAGAAGUAUUUUUAGUAGCAAACAUCUUCAUAAGUUCAUCCAUCUUUUCACUCAAAACAUUGAUUUCUUCUAUAGCAUGCACUUUUUUACUAGAAGAUCUUUCGGUGUGCCAUUGAGAAUAAUUAGCCAUAAUAUUAUCAAGCAAUUUGGUAGCAUCUCCUAACGUAAUUUCCAUAAACGUGCCUCCCGCGGCCGAAUCCAAAAGAUUUCUAGAAGCAAAGUUCAAUCCGGCAUAAAAUUUUUGUAUGAUCAUCCAUAAAUUCAAACCAUGAGUAGGGCAAUUGUGAAGCAUCAAUUUCAUUCUUUCCCAAGAUUGGGCAACAUGCUCAUGAUCAAGUUGUUUAAAAUUCAUAAUAUCAUUCCUAAGAGUGAUGAUCUUAGCGGGAGGAAAAUGCUUAGAGAUAAAAGCAUCUUUGCACUUGUCCCAAGAAUCAAUACUAUUUUUAGGCAAAGACGAAAACCAAACUUUAGCACGAUCUCUAAGUGAAAACGGAAAUAACUUUAAUUUGACAAUAUUGUUAUCCGUAUCUUUCUUCUUUUGCAUAUCACAUAAAUCAAAAAAAUUGUUUAGAUGAGUAGCGGCAUCUUCACUAGGAAGAUCGGCGAAUUGAUCUUUCAUAACAAGAUUCAACAAAGCGGUAUUUAUUUCACAAGACUCAUCAUUAUUAAGAGAAGCAAUCGUAGUACUAAGGUAAUCAUUAUUAUUGGUAUUCGAGAAGUCACACAAUUUGGUAUUAUCUUGCACCAUGGUCCUUACGUCAGUGGAGGCUACUAAUGAUGAACAAGGCUUCACAGAUUGCGAUGAUCCUAGUGCGGAUGAAAAUGAAGAUGGUAAGUUUGUUGCUCAUUCUUUUCUGAUUCAAUAUAUGCUUAUUGACCAUCGUAUAAAAUAUAUAAUUCAUGGUUCUAUAUAUUCAGUUGAAAAUGCAGAAACAGAAGACUGAAAGAAGAGGAAGUUGAAAUAUAUUUGGACCCACGCGGUGGAGAUCAUCCUAACAAGGGUUUAUGGUUCAACAGUAAUUUUAAAAAACAUUUAUGCUGCUGAGGGACACAUUUGUUGAGGUGUAGCUCAAUGCCUGAGCUUGACGAAUUCGUAUAAACGUAGGUUCAUCAGGGCGGACUGGAGCAGAAGUAACAUAUGGCAAGAAAAUUACUGUAACAAACAAGACGAAAAAACAUAACCUUGGAGAUUCAGCUCAAUUCAACUGUUUUUUUCUUUUUUUUGCGGAAACUGGGUUUAUUUAUAAUGACAUAGUGGCAUUAUAGUGGCGAAAAAGGGUUUCCCCCCACUUUGUAUUACAAAGCAAACAUCCGAUACAACCAACGAUAGGUGCUGGGGCGGAAGCAGCACAACCUCUCCCAAAAGAAAAGAAAGAGGAAAAGAAACAAAAGCCGAUAACAGCGGAUCGACAAAGACGACGGAUCCUCGCGACCGCUGCUUCCACCGGAGAUCGUCCCCCAAGCUCCGAGACUCCGAAGCGUCGGUACCAAUCAACACCUCCAAGAAGGGACGCGAUGAUGACGACGCUGCUGCCAAGGGUUUCCCCCGGUACACGGCGAGGAAAGAGGAAGGGUAGCCCCGACGCCCUCCAGGAAGGUCCAGUGGCACCCUCAGGCCCACCGCGUCGGUGUCGGCCAAGCCAACAGGGAUUUCUCCCGAUCCCAUCCUCCACCUCAGGCACUCCGGUGCUCGCCACCAAACUGACCACCACCCAGUGCACACGGACACGAAGCAUCCCACGCUGUCUCACCACGAAGCCGUGAAGAUGGCCUGCACAACGAAGAUGGGGAGCCAGGACUAGGGCAGCAGCACCGUCAGCAUACUGGAGGGCCCCACCUCCAUCGUCCACGACGGUAGCCGACCGGAUGCCAAAGUGGGAGCUUGCCGGGACCGUGGUCCCACAGGCCCAGUCGGGCCCUCAGAGGCCCGGACAACUCCCGCCUCCGCGCCGCAGCAUGCAUGCCGUCGGCGUCGCUGCCCCCCGUCCGAGCUACUCCACCACCUCACCACACAGACGACGACGAAGCCACGCCGGGGGCCGGCCCGCUAGGACCCAGAUGGGGCCCGCGGGCCCCGAUCUGGGCCGGCGGCGCGCCAUCGGCCAACCAGCGCCACCACGCCGUCUCGCCGCCAAGGGGCCGCGCCACCACCGAGCGAGCCGCCGGCCACCGCGCCAGGAGUCCGGGCCGUCAUCAGGCCGAGGGGCACCGCCGCCGCCUCCNNNNNNNNNNNNNNNNNNNNNNNNNNNNNNNNNNNNNNNNNNNNNNNNNNNNNNNNNNNNNNNNNNNNNNNNNNNNNNNNNNNNNNNNNNNNNNNNNNNNNNNNNNNNNNNNNNNNNNNNNNNNNNNNNNNNNNNNNNNNNNNNNNNNNNNNNNNNNNNNNNNNNNNNNNNNNNNNNNNNNNNNNNNNNNNNNNNNNNNNNNNNNNNNNNNNNNNNNNNNNNNNNNNNNNNNNNNNNNNNNNNNNNNNNNNNNNNNNNNNNNNNNNNNNNNNNNNNNNNNNNNNNNNNNGAAGGCGCGACGAGGGCAGCCGAAGGAGAAGGAGGCUCGCGCCGCCCCAGCCACCUCCUGGGGAGGCGGCGCGGAGCGGAUCCGGGGGAAGGGGGGAGGGGGGAGGGGAAGGGGCGGGGCGGCCUGCGACCGGCGGCGGCGGCGGGGGCUAGGACGGCCGGCGGCGGCGGGGGAGGGAGGGAGGAACCCUAGGUCGGGGGCGCUAGGUCGAUGGCCUAGCGGAUCUGGCAUUAUAGUGGCAGCGAGAAGCAAUCAAUCAAGGCAUGUUUUGUGAUAGACCAUACUCUAACGACACUGAAAUCAGAAAGGAAAAAUAUAUCUAUCAUUCAUACAUAAAAACGAAAGGGAAAGAAGGGAGAGGAUCUAUUAACACUUAGAGCAUCUCCAGCGGUUGGCCCCCAGGGGCGGCUAAAAUCGCCGCAUGGGGGCAAGCCGUCGCAAAAAACCGGCCUGGGGGCGAGUUGCCCCCCAGUCGCCGGCCCCAGGGCCGCCCCCAAGCGCGUCUUAUUUUUUCAAAAAAAAAAACGUUCGGCGAAGUUAGGUAAAACACGGCUAAAUUUCGGCAAACUUUGGCAUAUAUUACAUGUUCACGACGCGUUUACAUAGCAAAUAUAACUAAAAAAAGAAAUCACUAAACACGGAAUAGUCGUCGUCCUCGCCGCCGCCGUCGUCGCCGGCCUUCUCCUCCUUGACGCGGUCGUCCCUGCUGCACCCCUGCCCGACGUCGCCAUGGCGGACAGGUGCCGGCGGCGGCGGCGCGUCGUCGUCGCUAUCGUCGAGGACGACGACUCCUCCUUCUUCGCGGCCCCGGCGGUGCUGCUCAAAGCGCCGCAGUGCGGCGACCUGGCGCUCCCUCUCCAUCCUGAGGAAGUCCUUGCGCGCCCAUUUCAGGGCCGCAUUGUCAUCGAGCUCCACCUUGCCGGGCUCUGUCUUCACGGCGGGGAGCCCCGGCUCCGUUUUCACCGGCGCGAGCCCGGGCUCCGUCUUCGGCUUGACGAAGCGCGGAGGAGCCGACGAGCGGGCGCGCCGGCUGCCUUCGUUGAUGACGAUGCCGGCGCUGUGAGUGCGCCGGCCGAGCGGCGUCUCCGCCGGGGGCUCAGCCUUGACGCCGAGCAGCGUCAGAGAGCCGGAGGAGUGGGAAGAAGAUCGCAACGAGGAGGAAGAAGACAAUGAAGAGACGAACCUCCUGGGCAGCCAUUGCCCGGCGCGUCAGUGCGGGGCCGGGGCCGGGGCCACCGGCGGAGGGUAUGCCAGUGGCGGCUAGUUGCCGUCCUCAAGGUGCGCCAGCACGCCGUCGAGCGUGCGGCCGGGGACGCCGCACCACACGCGGCGGCCCUCGCUGUUCUUCAUGCCGCCCACCACCGGCGCCCCGUUGGUGGACGCCAGCCUCUGCUCCAGACGGCGCUCGAAGUACGCCGCCCAUACCGAGUUUUUGUCGGCGGCGUACUGGGGGAGGGCGCACUGCUCAUUGGUGAGGGAGGCGCGCGCGAUCUCGACCUCGUCGGCGAAGUAGGCGGUCCGCGCCACGGCGUCGGGCAACGGCAGAACGGGCACUUCCCCGCCACCCCGACGGCCUGGCGCGCAUGUUUGGCGGCGCCGGGAUGUUGGCCUCGAACAGGAGCCACGGCUACUGUUCGCGGAGCGAGCGGCGGCCGAAGCCGUUGGCCGCCGCCUCGUCGCGGGGGAAGCGUUCGGCCAUUGGGAGCGGGAGAGGGAGGGCCCGGCGGCGCACGGGAGAGGAAGAGGGAGGGCUCGGCGGCGGCGGUGCACGGCAGAGGAAGAGAGCUCGACGGCUAGGGCUGGUGUGGCCUGAGGCGAGGGAGGGCGCCAACUUAUAUAGCCGCGCCCGUGUGUACGUGUGGCGGGAGGGGAGGCGAGGCCGUGCCGCCCCAUGACGCGCCGCCCGUGAGGAAUCAACGGCAAUGCAAACCGGCGGCGGCAGCGCGGCACCCUUGGCAUUGAUUCCCGCGGGAACCGAGGCGAUGAGGGCGACGAAGCGCCCGUCUCGCUGACUCGGCGGACCCGCGGCUGCUUCGCGCCAAAACCACUCGCCCCGGCGCCCCCGGGCGCCCCCAGCGCGCUGGGUUCGGCCUGGGUCCGCCGGCACUGAUUUCGGCCCAGGCCAGUGAAAAACGGUCUCCUAGGAGCGCGACUGGGCCCUUUUUUCAACGCCGGCACGAAAAAAUCGUCUGGAAAGGCCGUUCUGGGAGCGCGGCUGGAGAUGCUCUUAAAUGUUACGAUGAACUCCUAUCCUAUCAUUGAAUUGGCGUACGUGGCUGGCCAAAGGAGUCCAGAGAUUGCACUUGCACGCACAUGUGAGGACGACCGCCUCCAACCCCAGAUCGAUCGACGCCUCCCUCCCAGAAAAGAUCCACCCCAUUGAGGAGGGCACUGCGAUGAUCCGCCACCGCGGCAGUUCCCUGGUUGUGGCGGCACUGGAAGAUGAGGACAUUUUUGGAGAGAUCUUCCUCCGUCUCCCGCCCCAGCCGUCCUCCCUUCUGCGUGCCUCGCCGUCUGCAAGUGCUGGUGAGGCCUUGUCACUGACCUCAGAUUCCUCCGCCCCUCCUCGGCGUCUUCUUUAAUCACAAUGAUAAGCUCAAGUAUACUCCCAUCCUGCCCGCUCCUGACCGCAUCCUUCCUGCACACCUCUACACGGGGGACCACAGCCUUGUCCCCAUCUUACACCGGCCGCGCUCUGAGGUUCUCGUGUGCGACCCCAUCACCGGUGGGCAGCACCGUGUGCCAAUUCCACCUGAGUUCAAGAUGGGCUACGUCAACGGGGCGGUGCUCUGCGCUGCACGCGACAUGGGCCACGUGCACGGCGCUUGCCACUCCACCCCCUUCAAGGUGGUCUUGCUGAUUAUGCGCGCUAAGGAUAGUCAACCUCUCGCCUCUGUUUAUUCCUCCGAGACCAAUACAUGGGGCGGUCUAAUGUCAACAGGGUUCCAGGUCCGGAUCGUUCUGAAGCUUAUAUUAGCACGCUUGUUGGUAAUGUCCUUUACUGGUCGUUUAUGUACGUGAAGGAGGGGUAUACUUGGGUUUGAUCCAAAAUCAGGAUAGAACCAAAGGCUUCAGGUUCAGUGCAGUUACAAUAUGAUUGCCUUUUGUGACAUCCAUCUUGCUUACCAUAUGUUUUUGCGGCUUCCACUGUGCUGUAUAUACAUGGGAAGUGAAAAAAAAUAUUAAUGCCUUAAACCCGGGUGUAUGGGAAGGGUGGUUUCUCUGUAGUUGCUGCUUAUUAGCUUGACAUAAUUCAAAACCACUUUUCAUAAAAGAAAUGUCUCUUCUUUUUCUAGAAUAAUAACAGGGAGUGCUCCCCGGCUCCAUUCAUAGAAAGAAUCCUGAACAAGACCAGGUCCGAUUACAAGGUUCAGAAAAACCGAAGGAUUACAAAGCAACCUCCAUUGUGAUUCAAAAGAUACUACUGCACAAGUUCAGGCACGAUGGUGCAUGGAGAUUAAUUAGCUCUCCACAAGUACUCCCUCCGUUCCGAUUUACUCGUCGUGGUUUUAGUUCAAAUUUGAAUUAAAAUCACGACGAGUAAAUCAGAACGGAGGGAGUACAUCACACCAUACAAAAGAUAUCAGCAGCUGAGAAUGAGCAACCUCCAAAAGUUGAGAAUGUAAAAACCGUAUCCACAGAAGUAGAAAUCUAUUCUACCGAGUAUAAAUGGGUCAAUUGAAUAAUUUAUAGAUAGGUAACCUCCGUAUUCUACACCAAAGGACAAAGCAACCUCCGUUGCGAUCCAAAAGAAACUCCACAGGUUCCAGGUACGACUGUAGAUGGAGAUUGAGCUCUCCAGAAAGUACAUCACACUAUACAGAAGAUAGAAGCUAGUACAACAACAACAACCAAAUGGAACACUAUGAGAUGAGGAUAGCAAAACAACACUUAUAGUAAUAUGGGGCGCUCAACGUUCAUGGCACGUUAAUGGGUCGGAUGCCCAUUCCAUGUAGCCGCGCUCCUAUGGUUUUGUUUUAGCAAAAUUUCUUUGAUUUUAUAUUUCGUACAAAACAUGAUUUUUCAGAGAUAAAAUUUAAAAAAUAAUAAUAGUUCAGAAAACAUUUUUUACACUACAUGAACAUUUCUAAAAAUAUGUGAAUGGUUUAAAAAUAUGAAUUUUAAAAUAAAAUGUGAAUAUUAACAUAAAUAUGCAUGCACACUUUUGUAAAAAUAUGUUCAGCGUGUAGUUCAAGAUGAUUAUCAUGUACUAAGAAAAAGCCCACCGUGUCUAAAACAAUGUUCAGCGUGUAUUUCAAGAUGAUUAUCAUGUACUAAGAAAAUGCCCACCGUGUCUAAUGUUUUAAUGAAUCUUGGUAGGCUUAAAAGCAUGUUCAUUGUGUACCAAAAAAGUCCAACGAGUAUAAAAAAAAUGUUCACCAUGUAUUAGAAAAUAUUCACCAGGAUUAAAUAAGUGUUCACCCUGUUGUAAAAAUUGCUCAGCAUGUAUUGUCCAUCAUCUAUUAAAUAUGUCCACCGUGUUUUAAAAAGUAUUCACCAUAUAUUAAAACAUGUUUUUUGUUCAAAAAUUAAACAUGUUCACCGGGCUGAAAAAAUAUUUACCAUGUAUUAAAGUAAUGUUCAGCGUGUAUUAAAUAAACAUUCACCAGCUUAAAACUCGUUCAAUGUGUAUUUACAAAUUAUUCACCAGGCUUUAAAACAUGUCCAUUGUGUUCUUUUUUCACAAAUACUCAUAUAAAACACAAAGACAAAUGUGUUUUUACUAAUGAAAAAGGUAAUAAAGGGGGGAAGGAGCAAAAUAAAGAAGUAAGAAAACAAACAAUGGAAACGGGGAAAGGGAAAAAAAGAAAAGGAAAAUAGGAUUAAAUGAGUCUCCAGAAUUGGUGCGAAAGAAAUAUAAUUCGGCAUUACAAGUACUGAUGUGCCAGCAAACUCAAUGCAAAACUACGCCAAACAACCAUGCCACCAUCAAAAUUAUACCAAUCCUCAGCUAAAUCACCAUAAUAAGAAUUUACACUAAUCCUCAGAUAGUGGCUAUCCCCUUUGAAUCUAAAAAUUAUAUAAACCACAUGUCCAAGUCAACCAACCCCUCAUACAUAUUGUCUCACAAAUUACUCCAAUUUUGCAAUAGCUCACGAAGAAGCGAGACCAUCAUAAAUAUCCACCAAUAUAAGCUAUUAAUUGUCUAUACUACAAUCCGAAAUCAUCAUAAAUAUUCCCCGAGAUCCGAUCUGACAUGGCCUUGAUCUCUUCGUAGACAGCCAGUUUAAGUGUCUGGUUGUUUGUUGUGAUGCCCAGAUCUUUACACGAUGUGACGAGGUCAGAUCCAAGGUGAGGCUUUCGCUAACGUCCUGGAUCAGGUUUAAUUCCAGAGCUGGGAAAGGCGUAGCAAUUUUGUCCUCGAGCAGGUCUGACACCCAUUUUGUAAAGACAAGCUCGCCAUGGAAUCCACGUCGCAUUCCAAGUUUCGGAAUCUGAUUAUCUGUCCUAGGCGAAAUUCAUGACCUACUACAACAGAAACCAAAAGGAACACUAUGAGAUGAAGAUAACAAAACAAAACUUGUAAUAAUAACAGUACACAUAUUUAUAUACACAUCUUGGCAAGGAUGGUGGAGUCGUCGAAGGCGAUGAUCGCAGAAAUUGACGAUAAAAGUGAAAUGACUGGGCAACGACAAGCUUUAAAAUUAGUGGAGACGAGGUGCUGUUCGAAAUAAAUGAAGAGAGAAAACUUUAAAAUUAACAAAGUGAACUUUUGAAUACAUAACAUACUGAUAUUUUUCAUAUCGUUUUUAUGGGUUUUUUCUUCUAGAUAUGGGUUUUCUAUUAUUUUUUACAUUCUUUAUUUUUCAUAUUUUUCUGCUACAUAUUUUUUAAUAUAAGAUGAACAUUUUUAAAUACACAUUGAAGAUUUAUUUGCUAUAUGGUAAACUUCUUAUACAUAGUGAGCUUUUAUUAAUUUAUGGCAAGAUUUUCAUAUAAGAUUAACCGUUACUAAAUGUACGGUGAACAUUUCUUAAUAUACGAUUUAUUUUUAUAAAUAUAAAAGAAAAUAUUUUAAAGCCAUACAAAACAAUUUUUCAAUCUAUUUUCUACUUUUUAAUCUCCCUCCAUUCAUAAAUAUAAGAUGUUUUCUAACUUUUUCUGAAUCGGAUCUAUAUAGACAUGUUUUAGUUUGUUUGUUCAGUCAUUUCAGUCCGUAUGAAACCCAUAUUAGAAUAUUUAUGAACGGAGGGAGUAGAUUUUCAAUUAUUUAGCUAUUUAAAAAAUCCUACAGUUUUUUAGGGAAUCCCACAGUUGGUUUUGUGGGAAAAAAAACCAACAUAAAAACUUACUUGACCUUAACGCCCUGCUCAUUAUCGUCACAUGCUGACAGCCCAUGCGCACAGGUCUCCAUAAAUUAAUGAGUGCACUUAUAUGAUGGCCAAUGCGUUAUAUGGGGCGUUCAACGAUCAGGGCACGUUAAUGGGUCGGAUGCCAAUUCCAUGUAGCGUCCUGUUUUCUUUGUGGAGCACUCCCAUUGUUUUGUUUUAACAAAUGUUUCUUUGGUUUACACAGUUUGGCUUAGUUUUAAGUCGUUUUUACAUUUCAGACAAAACAUGAUUUUUUAGGCACAAUAAUUGAAAAAUAAUAAUAGUUCAGCAAACAUUUUUUAAAGUCUACAUGAACAUUUCUAGAAAAUGUGCAAACAUUCACACAAAAAUGCAUGCACGCUUUUGUAACAAUAUAUUCAACGUCUAUUUCAAAAUAUGUUUAUCAUGUACUAAGAAAAUGUCCACCAUGUUUAAAAAAUGUUCACCAUGUUAUAAUGAAGAUUGGUAUGCUUACAAAUAUGUUCAGGAUGUACUAAAAAAGUCUGACGCGUUUAAAAAAAUGUUUAACAUGUCUUAGAAAAUAUUGACCAGGAUUAAAUAAAUGUUCAUCGUGCCAAAGAAAAUGCUUGGCGUGUAUUGUCCAUCAUCUACAAAAAAUGUCCAGCGUGUUUUAUAAAGUAUUCACCAUAUAUUAAAACAUGUUCAAAUCUUUUUUUCCUUUUAAUUAACACGGGAGUUGUUAUAAAGUGCUUAAUUCAUUUGGACUAAUAUAUAAGAAAAAGGUGUAGGUGGUGGAAAUUCAAAACACGUUUUAUAUAGGAUGCAACUAAACAACUGUGUGGACACACAAAAGGAAAACAAUCAUUUUGAAAGCUUGAAUAAAAAUUGUCUACAUGAACAUCAUAUGAUCUUGUCUCCGUCGAAAGCACUACAUGAACCCCUCAUGAACUAUUUAAUAAUGAACAAAAAAUCCAAAUAUUUAGGCGUGAGAAUACCAUGUACAUAAUUUAAAAGCCAUAAAAAAACGUUACCUUUGGUUAGGGUAUCUUGCAAAUAAACAGGGGUAAUAAAUUCCUUAUAGCUAAUCAGGUGAACAUAGCAAAUUGAUUACCUCUAGAUUGACUUUCAUGUGCUCUAGCCAAAAAAUAAAUCAAAUCUGUAGGAUAUCAAAUGCUAUGUGUGGUGACAGUGGUCGCUCAUGUUCAUCCCGGCUGCCGGAAUCCUGUGCUUUUAGUGGACGUUGUACUCCUCGUCUGCGAUGCUUCCGGCUAUGGGCGACGAUGAUUCAGCCUUGGUGGUGCCCUCUAUCAGCUAGUGGUGGCGGCCCAAGGCGAAGGGAUCCAAGGCGGCCCAAGGCGAAGGGAUCCAAGAGGAUCGCGAGCAACCCUCCACGUGCAGUUUCGGCAUAUCGGAGCACAAGGAGUGGGAGGCGGCGGAUCCCACCAUGGAAGGCUGGUGAGUGGGAGGGGUAGAGGUGGAUGUUGGAGGGAGGGAAGGGAAAGCGCUGGGGUGUGGGUGCUGCUAUGGAUCGUGGGACGGGAGGACGUGUCGGUGAUGAGGGAAGCGAAGGGCGGAGCAGCGGGAGGUCGGGCGGGUCAAUAAAAUCCGGUGCAGCAGUGGCACAACAAACCCUCGCGCGUGCAACAGUGACCAAUGGGUCUUAUAUUUCUUUACGGAGGGAGUACUAUAUAGCUAUUUGCCUUUCACGUAGUUUGGAGCUGUCUCCAUUAACUUUCUGGAGAGAAAAAUGCAAUAGAUCCUGCUUUUGGUUUGCCUUAGCAAUUUCCUAGUUGUGCUCUAAGACUGAGCAUAGCAGUGUAUCCAACAAAGAUCAUUGUAUUUUGUCCUUUUGCAGCUAUCCAGUCAGUCUUCGAAUAAGCGACUAGUUAAUUAAAAUUUAGUUAGGAAAAGUUUUACUGCACAAGUUAACUAGACAUUGGUAAAGAUUGUGUUAAAAUUUAAGAUGUGAUGUUUUUGCCCCGGCCGUUACACCAGAAACCUCUGACUGACAUGUUUAACCUUUUGCACCGAUGCAAACCAACCUGUGGUUCUGUGGUUGGAUGGUUAGAGGGACAGUGAUAUCCCUAGCCCAUCAGGGUUCAAGUCCCGGAGGUGCUCAUAGGAGUAGGUUGUGCAUGUGUGCAUUCAUAGAGGUGAGUGUAUGUGCGUAUGUACGAGCGCUUGCGUCUAUACUGUGUUAAAAAAAAUAACCUUUUGCACCAGUGGUUGGUUUUGUUUAGAGAGAAACACCGGUGGAUUUCUUUGCAUAUGCUACCACGGGGGCCUAAUUUUCGUGUUUUGACCUUUUUCGAAAAGUUUUGACAGAUUUAGCCUCGCUACGAAUGAAUUUCGAAAUUUGAUCCUUAUUCCCACCGCCAGGGUCCUCGACAGUAGGCUAUAACAGGCUACCGCCAGAGGCCUUGGCGGUAGCUCACUCAUGCACGUCGGCCCGAGUAAACGGCAACCAUCUCCUGCCGUCCAGCCUAUCGCCAGAGUCCUCGACGGUAGCCUAUGCAACCCUACCGCCAGGGACCAUGGCGGUAGGAGCCAAACAGUUAUAAAUCCGCGGGGGCCGUGGCGCACGGCCCACCCACGAACCCAGCCCCCAUCUUCUCCCCUGCGCCCGCGCGCCGCCGCCCAGCAUAGAGAGCAACUCCUCUCUCCCCCUCCACUCCCACCCCUCCCUCCGAUCUUCUUCGUUUCUCCAUCGUUCUUGCGGCUCGAAAUGGCUCCGAAACGAGAAAAGUGCGGCCGAUAGCAGAAGAGGACGCCGUCAGUAUCUGCCUAGUUAGUCGAUUUAAUGGCCUCAGAGGAGGAACAAGAACCAGUAGUAGUUGCACCCGGCUCAGGAGAUGGAAGCAAGGAACGAGAAGCUCACCAACGACAGACAACCAAUCAAGGGAGCUGAGUCACCUUCUCUGUAAUCAAAUUUUGCCGAUCGACUGUACUAGCGCCCGUAAAACGUACUGUACGUAACAUCCCGUGGCUGUAGGCUGUAGCAUUGUCUCCCACUCCUCCAGCCUCCGCUCUCCUGGAGUAGUAGGUAGAGUCCCAGAUCGUCGUCGUGUUCCUUCCUGAAGGUGCUGCUUGGUAUGUGGAGGUUCGAGGUGCCUGGAGUGAGGUGGUACAUCUCCGGUGGGCGCAACGGUUUUGGGUUAUCAUCGUUUUCGUCGAUCCGACGCUGUGGACAUUAUUUUCUCACUUCUUUCUCUUUUGUUUCUUUUGGACAUGCUUGUGCUGUUUGCCCCAGCAUUAGACUCUUUGUUGUAUCGGGCGGUUGCUAUAUCAAUAUAGCGGGGCAAAAGCCUUUUUCGUAACAUCCCGUGGCUGUAGGCUGUAGCAUUGUCUCCCACUCCUUGUUGGUGGCCACACGAAUUCAGGUGUUUGCUGCCAGAAACUCCAUAAGUGUCGAUUCAGGAAUCAAGAGCCCGAUACGAGCAGAGCAGGAGACAGCUAGCUUUGGGAUGUACUAGGCUCCGGGUUUCUCCCCAAGGCAUCAGUUCAUCGCGCCGGGGUCUGCUCUGUCGACACAUGACACCAUAUGUUGUUUCACUAUAAUGUGGCAAAUAUUUGGUUGAGUCAUCUGCCAAGUGAUAUUGCUUGCUGUAUAUAUGUGAGACAUUAUUUCAAUGUGAUUUGCCACUACCAGAUGCUUUGCCAAGUUUGGUACUCGGUGAAAUAUCAUCGCCGAGUGUGAAACUCUGCUAUAGUGCCAGUGGCGCCAUCUGGUUUCUUGGAUAUAUCAUUUUCGAGUGCCCGCCGGAAGCAACUCGACACAGACUGUAACCUGGGCAAUUGCUGGGCAUCUCUUUGCCGAGUAUGCAUCUCGGCAAACUGUCGUUGUCUUUGCCGAGUUUUUGCAGAUGUACUUGGCGAAUGGCUCAUGCCACGCGUCGACCGUCCAUACGACAAGCUUUACCGAGUGUAAAACUCGGCAAACACAUCCACGUUUGCCGAGUAUUUCCUCACGGGGUCUCGGUGAAGACGACAUCUCGGCACACUGUCAUGGCCAUGUGGCGGCCGCAGAGCAUAUGUGUUCGCCGAGUUCUUGCUUUAGGGACUCGGCAAAGUUUUCUGCCACGUGACACGCUCUGUCUCCGUCCGGCCCAUCAAGUCUUUUUUUUUUGGCAAAUCACCCUGUUCUGGUUCUCGGCAAACUCAGCUUUGUCGGCAGGAUUCAGGCCAAGUACCUUGGGCCGAGAACAAUACUCAGCAAAGGCGUCGCCGAGUGUGAAACGGCUUUCGCAAAGUAUUUACGACACUCGGUAAAGUGGUAAAUUCCAGCAGUGCUAUAUAACCUUCGUCCCAAUUUACUUGUCGCUCAAACGAACAUAUUUGGGAUGAAAUCAGAAGAUUACUCGUCAUCCAAUAUUCCAAUUGCAUUUAGUUAUUUUAUUACUACUUUAUCUCCAUCUUUUUUGAAAUUUUAUUUCCAUUGAUAAGCCAGGGGAUGAAAGAACCGGGUCCAGUCCAUCAAGAGACCCAAAUGCGUACGUGGAAAGAAAAGUAGAAGACCCACUCCGAUUCACCCUCGUCCGUCCCAGUGCGUACGUGGGUGCGGUGCGUCUUCUUGAUAAUCCGCCUCCAACGCCACAUCGAUCGACGCCUCCGUCCCCACAUCCACGCCCACGCACGCCCUGUAGCGAGCAAUGAUCCUUCCCCGGCGGCGGCGCUGGAAAAUGACGACAUGCUCGGGGAGAUCCUGCUUCGUCUCCCUCCUACACCGUCCUCCCUUCCGCGUGCAUCCGCCGUCUGCAAGCGUUGGCGAGGCCUUGUCACCAACCACGGGUUCCUCCGUCGCUUCUACGCACACCACCAGAAGCCGCCCCUCCUCGACAUUAAGCCGGGGCAGCGGCUUAACGGGAUCACCCGCCAGGAGAUCCAGACUCGCACCAAAUCAAUACCGUUCAAGCCAUUGCCUAAGAGGGCUUUGAUCUUCUUGAUGGUAGGGGCAAGUGAUAGACGUUCAACAGCGGUUAGCUUAUCUGGCAGCGGGUGAUUUGAUUCAACGCGCAGAGCGCGGAAGCCGGACAGAGGGUUCUCGUCAGCCGGAGAAGUGUCCUGGCAAUAAAACCACGUCUGGUUCCAAUCCUUUGGGUGGCUGGGCAGUUCGGCAUAAGGAAAGAGGCAGUCUCUCCGCCGCUGAAUUGAGAUGCCGCCGAGUUCUAAACUGGACCCGUUGGCACGUUCAUUCUGCCGGUUUAAAUAAAAUAGCUCUCUGAACAAAAGUAGAUUGGGCUCUUCUCCCAGGUACACUUCGCAGAAAACUUGGAAGUUGCAGAUAUUUAACACGGAAUUGGGUCCAAUGUCUUGAGGUCUAAGGUCAAAGAAAUGCAAAACAUCCCUAAAGAAUUUUGAACCGGGUGGAGCAAAUCCCCGGUUCAUGUGAUCAGUAGACACGAUCAACUACCCCUCCUUGGGUUGAGGCCUCUGACGGGUUAGGAGCACGAUAAGACAUGAUCUCCUUCUUGGGCAGAUGGCCGGAUUUCACAAAGUCAGACAAAGUGCUUUCUGUAACGACGGACUUAACCCAGUUACAGGUCGAGGUUUGGAAGCCUUGGGUGCCAUUAGGAAAAUUGAAACCUAUGACAAAGAAAAAUUUCCGGCUCAACUUAUAACCCAGAGGAGGACAUUGUGAAAUUAUUCGAAACGGCGGCUUAAGAAGGGGCCUAAUGACAUAUAGGUAACUACGCAAUGAUAUUUAAGCCGCUACAGGUAUCAGGGGCAGUUAAGUUUUCUUAAAAGUCGCCGGAAGCAAGCAAGACUGACAAUCGGUGUUGUCAUAAACCGGCUACAUAGAUUACCACGGUUAAACAAAUUCAACAGAGGCAGUUUUUUGGUUAAGUGUGGAUUUCAGCUAUUAUUUUGAAUCAAACAAUUGCUCUGAAAAGAAAAAUUUCUAGAUCUAAAACCAGUACAGAGAAGUUCAUACACUCGAAGGAGGCCUUUAAACAAGGAAAAUGAGAUCUGGUUCUAUUCGAGAUGAAUGCGGAACAGCUACCGCAGUAGUUCUAGCUAUCUAAAGAUCAAAAAGGAGCACGGGAAAGGAAAAAUAUCAAGGGUUUGCAAUGGACGGCGAUGAACACCGACGAACUUAGGAGGCCGCAGUACAAAUCUAAACGCAAGAAAGGAAAAGGGCUUACGAAUGCAGAGCUGCUGCAGGGUUCCGUCGCUUUCUCUGGAUAAGUCAGGUUGAUGCAGCGGCCUGAGUUGGAGAAGACGAGGAGCUCGACGGUGGCGGAGCUCGAGUAACAGGGAGGCAGGGAGAAGAGGAAAACGGCUGAGGGAGAAAAUGAAGAGGACCUAGGUCGGGCCUAUUUAUAGGGAAGGGCCGACUGGGACGGUGCGAGUAACGAGGAGAUUGAAUAUUAUUAUCCAGCGACCCCGACGCCUCGAGUUUCGGGACAAUCAGUAAAGGCAAAGAUCCGUUGAAGAUAUAGCAGAAUAAAAUAAGGAUUUAAUUGGAGAUGACGUCACGACGGGUUAAGGUGGAUCCAGAAGAUGACGUCAUGGCGGGUUAAACCCUUUUGCACAGACAGAAGACCGAAGGCUUAUUUCUUAAGGUAUUUUAAGAUUGACAUGAACCGGUUCAAAUCAAUCUGGGCCUAAUGUUGGGGAUAUAACUAUUUGUGUAAGCGGCCCAGGAGGGGCCGGGUUACGCAAAGAAGACUCAUCAGAAAGAAGCCCAAGACCAAGCAUGAAGAUGGCGGUUCAAUAAAGGGUCUAAGGCCCACAGACGGCUUAAGGCCUGUAGUGGUAAACCGCCAUGAUGACAUGACUUGUAACAUAAGGUAGAAUUAACUAGUCACCGAACCGGAGACUGUCUAUGAGCCGGCCGGGACUCUGUAGGCCGCAGGGCGUGCACCCAUGUAUAUAAGGGGGCGACCCGCUUGCGGCUUAGGGUAAGAAAACAACUCAUCGAGAGCCGGGCAUAGCGUAUCUCGCUCCCUGGACAUCGAAACAUCAAGCAAUACCAAUCCAACUAGACGUAGGCCUUACCUUCACCGUAAGGGGCCGAACUAGUAUAAACCUCUCGUGUCCCUUAUCCUGAUUAACCCCUUCAAGCUUCCUAGUUGCGAUGGCUCCACAACUAAGUCCUUUCACUAGGACAUCUGACGUGACAAUUCCACGACACCACCUAUUGAAGAAAUACAUGGUCUUAAUAUACCGCCUGUUGAAGAACCACAUUGUCUUGAUAACCCGUCACAGGUAGUAAAGGUAAGUUCUCUCUAUAGAUAUGAUAAAGUUGAAAUCCCCUCUACUAAAUUCAUAGCCCAUGCUUAGAUGAAUUUGAUGACUUUAUGGCUAGACAAGAAAGUUUUAAUGCUUAUGUUGGUAGAGAAUUAAAGAGUAGUGCUUUCGAGAUAGGACGCGUGAGCGAUUAUAUGGCUAGAGUUAAAGGGGAACUUAAACUCGUUAGCAAAUAUGCUUCUAUGGUUGCUACUCAAGCAGAGCAAGUACUUAAAGCUCAAAAUGAUUUGCUUGCUGAAUUAAAUAAUAAAAAUGACUUACUUUACUGCAGAUACUAAGUUAUCCAGGUGUGGUUGAAUUGACAACUCAACUGCUAAUACUUGAGAAUAUUCUUUGGCUCCCCUUGUGUUGAAUCAAUAAAUUUGGGUUGAAUACUCUACCCUAGAAAGUUGUUGCGAUCCCCUACAUUUGUGGGUUAUCAGCCGCCGACAACCAUGCGGCGUGGGCGGCGUACUUCGAGCGCCGUCAGGAGCAACGGCUGGCAUCCACCAACGGGGCGCCGGUUGUGGGCGGCACGUAGAACAGCGACGGGCGCCGCCUAUGGUGGGGCAUCCCCGGCCGUACGCUCGAGGGCGUGCUGACACACCUUGAGGGCGGCAACGACCCGCCGCUGGCAUACCCUUCCCCGGCCGCCCCGGCCCACCGCCGACGCGCGGGGCAAUGGAUGCCCAAGAGGUUCGUCACUUCCUCGUCUUCCUCCUCCCACUCCUCGUCGCGAUCCUCCUCCCACUCCUCCGGCUCUCCGGCGCUGCUCGGCGUCAAGGCCGAACCCGCGGCGGAGACGCCGCUCGGCUGGCGCACAUCGUCAUCAAUGAGGGUGGCCGGCGCGCCUCCUUGUCGGCUGCUCCGCGCUUCGUCAAGCCAAAGAUGGAGCCGGGGCUCGCGCCGGUGAAAAGAGAGCUGGGGCUCCCCGCCGUGAAGACGGAGCCCGGCGACGUGGAGCUCGAUAACGACGCGACCCUGAAAUGGGCGCUCAAGGACUUCGUGAGGAUGGAGCGGGAGCGCCAGAUCGCCGCCCUGCGGCACUUCGAGCAGCGCCGCCGAGGCCGCGACGAAGGAGGAGUCGUCGUCCUAGACGACGUGCCGCCGCCGCCACUAGUCCGCCGUGGUGACGCCGGGCUGGGGUGUAGCAGGGACGACCGCGUCAAGGAGGAGAAGGCCGCCGCUGACGGAGGCAGCGAGGAUGGCGGCGGCGACAGCGACUAAUCCGCUUUAAGUGAUUUCUCUUUUAGUUAUAUUUGCUAUGUAACGCGUCGCAAACAAUAUAUGCCAAAGUUUGCCGAAAUUUAGUCGUGUUUAGCCGAACUUCGCCGAACUUUUUUUUGUUUUAAAAACAAUCAUACGCGCAUGGGGCGCCCCUGGGGCCGGCGACUGGGGCCCAACUCGCCCCCAGGCAGUUGUUUUGCGCCGGCUCACCCCCAGGCUGCGAUUUUAGGCGCCCCCUCGAGGGCCAACGGCUGGAGAUGCUCUAACGCCCCAACUAGACCCCGACCAUUCAAUGUUGCCACCUCUGCAAGCCCGAGUUCACCGGAUGUGGGGAGUUUGUCAAGGAAGGCCAUCCGAUCCGAGGUUUCUACGGGGAGAAGGACAUGGCGGAGGAUGGAUGGAUGAUUCCGAUUCCUACCAGCCAGCAUAAUCGCGGCAUAGAUGCUGAAGGCAGAACCAACAAAAUUGAUCACUUAUCAAAAGUUCAGACAGGAAUGACCAGUCUCCAAAACAUUAACCAAGUCUGCUCCUUUGGUUCAGUGUCAGCCUUAGGGGUUGAGGCAGAGUAAACAUUAGUGCUGAGGUGUGAUAUUCCUAGCUCCAAGUCUGUGGGGUCGACCUUGUCCGCUGGUACAUCGGGAGUGCCCUAAAUUGCUUGACAUGAAAAAUUAAAAAUAAAAGUUGCUUGCUUCAUGCAUCAGGGCCUCUAUUACAUGGGGCUGGGCUGGUGAGGCACAUGGGCCGUAAGCAGUAGCUAAGUUUUCUUUUCUCUUCUCUUAGAAAAAAAAACAAAAGGGAAAAAAAUUACACGAACUCUCAUGGAGCCUGAGAGCAGAUCCGGUGCCCCGCCGUCGCCGCCGCCGCCGCCGCCGCCGCGAGAUUGGUCUCCGGUCUGCCGGGAUCCCGCGCCACCGCACUCUCAUGGAGCCUGAUGGGACAGGAGCAGCGCCGGUGACCUGGCAGAGGAGGAGGAGGAGGAGGGGGUUGUCGGCGGAAGUGCGGCGGAGCCAGAGGAGGCGCCGGUCGGCCGGUCUAGCCUAGCCUCCCAGCCCACGCCCCCAAUUCUUCACGGUGAUUCGCGAUUUCCCCUUCCACAUGUGGUUUAGGGUUAAAUUCUUCACCUUUCUUUAUUGCCUCAUACAGUAGUAUGUUAAUUUCGAUGGCAUCGAUGGACACACACCAUCAUUUUCAUUUUGGGGUCUGGAAUUUUCAUGUCCUCAUUUCGAUCGAUCCAUGAUACCAACGCACCCACCAUUCAUAAAUCUAAUCUAGAGUAGUAAUAAAUUAGACCUAGCUAGAUAGCAGAUCUAAAAAAACGCACAUUGCAUUUGUCACUAACUAGCUGCCUACCUAAUUAAUUACCGACUGUGUUAGGCUCGUCUUCAAUCGUCAUCUUGGUCUAAUGAUACAUUCAACAAUAGCUUAAGCAUCGCUCGCAGAACGGGAAAAAACAAAAUGUUGCUUAAGCAGAUUAGUAGUAAAAAUCCGGAUGGUCCAUCAAGGCCAGAGCAUGGUGGCGUGUUAGACUACGUUGAACCACAUCUACAGUAAGUACAUACUUACCUCACCAACCAAAUACGCUCCUGCUCUCUCCGGGCACUUGGCCUCCUUCCGAUGCUACACUUUUUCACCUUUUUGUGCCUGCCCAGCCCCACUGUAGUAAUAAACUAGACCUAGCUAGCAGAUCUCAAGGAAACCACAUAACUUAUAUCGUUGUUUCAUUUUUUACUCUGAUUAUUAUAAGGAAGAUAACAUUCAGAUAGACGCACGUACAUGUCAUAACCCUAAAUCCCUGAGCAUUCAUGGUCUCUACUGAUAUGUCUUCCUUUGCACCUUUACACACCCAUACAUGCAUAUGCAUGCUUGUCUUUUAUGGGUCUUGAUGCCUAGGGAGCAGUUUUUCAACGCAGAUAGAGGGAGCCAUCGCCGUUCCUUUUGUUUUCUCCUCACGUCCCUGCUGUCUCAAAGUUAAAGAGGUAUGGCCAUUUCUAAAUUGAUGAUUAGCUAGGCUUAAACACCACUGGCCUCUGAAUUUUUAGGUGCACCUAGAACCACCUCGUUGCUACUGAUAUCUUACAUCUCGAGCACAUUUAUUCUGGCUUAGUUGAGUUCUACCACCAACCCUGCACCCUGGUUAUUACCAUCAGUUGAAGUUAACUUAACGCGCCACUUUUUAUUCAAUUAGUUUGAUGCGACGCCUGAUAAUAUUACAGCUCAAGUCUUGGAUGUAAUCACGUAUGUAAUCUGUUUAGUUUUGCCUGACCUGGCCUGACCAUAUGUUCCUUAAUGUUGAUUUCGCACUGAUUCGUUAGUUCAUUUUCCAGCGAUUCUAGCACCUAGAUUGCAUAAUGUUGAUACUUGAUUUCUCCUGCAUGGUGGAUAAUUGGGCAUGGGCCUUGUAGUUUAAUUUGUGUUUUCGAUCAGAGGGAGUUGGAAAAUAAUGUGAUUCAGCGGCACUGGAAUGAUAUAGUAGUUCUGGUUGGAAACUGAAUAUCGGUCGUGUCAUUUGUAGAAACAUUACCCACUUGCAAUGCCUCCACUAGUAUGCAUGUGAUUUGAACAACUAAGUUUGCUGCAGUGCUAUAUAAAUGUAAAAUUGAAAAAUCGUGAUACGUAGUGCAUGGUCGUAUAUGUGAUCUGAUAAUACUUUUGAACUGUACCAGUAAGUAAUAAGGUUUCAUCCAAGUUAAACUGUACGGGGCAUAUACUGGAUGGAUAGCUAAAUGGACAGCUCCUGGUUUUGUGUAGCGGAAAUUUUGAAGAAAAUUGGGUACCCUUUUUGAUUCUGAACAUUCAGAUAAAGCUCCACAUGCUUCAUAACCCUGAAAAUUUAUGCAAGAUAAGCAUGUUUCAUGUACGACAGUCUUUUGUUGGCCCAGCUCUUCACUGUUACCUUAUAAGUUUACUUUAGAAGUCCAUGGUAAGGUUAAGUUUGUUCUGAUGAUUGUCUAUUAAAUAAUUUUCCAGGUUGAGCUUGAAGGCUGCAAGAUGCCACUAUUGGAAUAAGCGACUCUUAACUUUUUCGAUAAAGGGCGACUUUAUUAUCUCAAAAUGUAGCAUCAAGAGGAUACAAAGCAUUAUGAGUAACACCCGGCCUCUGCAUAACUAAGAUGCACACAGCCAAAUCCAGAAGUCUGACAAAAUUCAUGAAAUAAAAAUCGACACACCGGCAACAGGAGAGUCUUUUAGACCGACACUAUGCCUAUGUCGAAGAAGGUGGUGGCUCGAUCCGUAGGUUAUGCUGCCACCCAUGUUGGGAAAAAACCUCCGUAGCCACCUGCUCCAAUCGCGUACACACCGCCAUGAACAGCGGUUGGUACUCCGGCCGUUGUAGUAUAGACCACGUACGUAGCGAGUGCGUACACCGGAAAAUAACCUGUAGAGGAGAAGCAUUUUUGUCAUUAAAAACCAAAUCAUUUCUACAUAGCCAAAGCGGCCAAAUUAAGGCAUACGCUCCCACCCUUAUUAGCGUUUUGAACCUAUUUGUAAUACCGUCCAACCAAUGACCAAAAAUAUUGGCAACACUUGUGGGCGGAUACAAAUUUGACGCUAUUUGGAUGACUGACCACGUAGAACGUGCAAACUUGCAUUGGAAAAAGAGGUGUUUGAUUGUCUCGUCAUGAGUACAAAAGGAACACUUCUUACUCCCUCGCCAGUUGCGCCGUGCGAGGUUGUCUUUGCUUAACACAACUCCCCUACGGAGAUACCACAUGAAGAUUUUCACUUUUAGUGGAAUUUUAGACUUCCAAAUUUUCUUAUUAUUACUCGUUGGUACCUCAGAAUGCGUGAGUGCACGGUACAUAGAGUCCACUGUGAAAGACCCUGAUGUAGUAAGGUUCCAGCGAAACACAUCCCGACCUUGUGUCAGGUUAAUCGAAUCCAGCUGGGAUAAAAGAUUAUGCCAUGACACAAGCCGGGGGCCAAUCAAAUCCCGCCUGAACGAAAUAUUCGGCGGGGAAGAACCGAGCACGUGCGCAAUAGUAUUAUUCUUACCGCGAGCUAUGUUAUAUAAGGCUGGAUAUUGUUCUCUGAGACUGGCAUUGCCUAGCGAGAUGUCUUCCCAGAAACGAAUCUCCGACCCGUCCUUUAUCGCGAAAGACCCAAAGCAAAAGAGAUGUUUCUUUGCCGCCAUUAGGCCAGCCCAAAAGUGCGAGUCGCCAGGUUUCCAAUAUGCCUGGGAUACCGCCUUUUGGCCUAGAUACUUGUUGCGCAACAUGGUUUGCCAAACACCAUCCUCGGUAAGAAGUUUAAAUAACCAUUUACUGAGAAGGGCCUAAUUCUCCAUUUGGCCAGCCUGUAUUUUUUCUUUUCACCAUCUCCUUGCCAAAAGAAUCUGGAUCUAAAGUAGUCCAGUAUUUGGAGGACCCCUUUUGGGAGUUGGAAGAAAGAAAGCAUAUAGAGAACCAUAUUUGUGAGGACGGAGUUGAUCAAAACCAGCCGACCACCAACUGAGAGUAGUUUUCCUUUCCAACUGCUCAACCGUUUCUCUAGACGCUCCUCUACAUGCUUCCGCUCCGCAAUGGUGAGACGCCGAUAAUGUACCGGUAUUCCCAGAUAUUUAAUCGGGAAUUGGCCAAGUGCGCAACCAAACAGGUCAUCAUAAUCGGCUGCCGCCUCAACGGCUUCUCCAAAGCAGAACAAUUCACUUUUAUGAAAGUUAAUUUUGAGGCCCGACAUUUGCUCAAACGCUGAAAGCAAUAGCUUCAGAUUUCGAGCUUUGUCUAGGUCAUGUUCCAUAAAAAGAGUCGUGUCAUCAGCAUAUUGCAAAAUAGAGAGGCCACCAUCCACAAGGUGUGGCACUACUCCCGCAAUCUGUCCAUCCUGCUUGGCGCGCUCAAUCAGAAUAGCCAACAUGUCAGCAACAAUGUUAAAUAACAUUGGGGACAUGGGGUCACCCUGUCGUAGUCCUUUUUUUGUCUGAAAGUAAUGACCUACAUCAUCAUUGACUUUGAUGGCCACACUACCUCCAGUUAUAAAAUUUUGGAUCCACUUGCACCAUUUAUCGGAGAAACCUUUCAUCCUUAGGGCCUGUUGGAGAAAAGAACACUUGACCUUGUCAUAGGCUUUUUCAAAGUCAAUUUUGAAUACCACUCCACUCAUGUUUUUUCGGCGCAUCUCGUGGACGGUCUCAUGAAGGAUAACUACACCUUCCUUCCUUGCAUGAAGGCCGUUUGAGAUGGCCGGACAACAUGGUCAGCUAUUGAGUUUAACCUAUUCGUAGCUACUUUGGUGAAAAUCUUGAAGCUGACAUUAAGGAGGCAUAUGGGUCUGAACUGUUGGAUCCGUUCGGCCUCCUUAAUUUUCGGCAACAAAACAAUCUCACCAAAAUUUAGCCUAAAUAGGUCAAGUUGAUUGGCAUGAAGACACUUAAACAACUCCAGAAGGUCAGCCUUAAUGAUAUCCCAGAAAUUCUGAUAAAAUUCUGCGGGAAAACCAUCAGGGCCUGGAGCUUUGUUGUGUUCCAUUUGGAACACCGCCGCUCUCACCUCCUCUUCCGAGAAAGGUGCCGUGAGGAUAUUGUUCUCUUCCACUGUGACUUGUGAAAUAUCAUCUAUUCGGGCCUCGUCAAGGGUGACAUUCCCUUCAUCUGGCGCCCCAAAAAGAGAUUUGUAGUAGCUGGUGAUAUACCUUUUGAGCUCCUCCUGACCUUCGAUCCGCCCCUCAUCCUGUUGGAGACUAUGAAUACAUUUCUUCCUAUGUCGACCAUUGGCGACCAAUUGGAAGUAUUUUGUAUUACUAUCUCCCAUUAGGAUGAAGUUAGCUUUGGACCUCUGGUAGUAUUUGAUCUCCUCUUCGCGCAAUAGACGGGCAACCUUCUCAUUAGAUUGAUUUUUCAAUUCAAUCUCUUGUUGAGAUAAGGUACGUGUCUCUGCAAUUUUGUCGAGGUCAUCAAUGAUGGUACAGAGAAGUGACUCUUAACUAGACAUUCGUAAGGUUUUUGCUGAAAGAUAUGUUGUUUCCCACUAUCUGCAACAAAAGUGAGGGCGGCUUGUUCCUCUACCCAUGUUGCUAAAUGGCUCAUGGUGCUUGUGCAAAGAAACCCUGUACUAUUUAGACGCCUGUACCUGGUCGUAUUUUGUGGGUUUAGUUCUUCAUUGUUAUAGUGUAAAAUCACUUCCUAAGUCCAAGAGGUCAAGUCUGUUCUGACUCUUGAAGCUGCUAGUUUAGCUCAAAGAAAUGCUGCUCUCUGCGGAAAAGAAGUCAUCGGCCAAUCCUUUGUUGGCUUUGUACAUGUCAUGUUCAACUCUUUUUUUGUUUUUUGCGGGGGAUGUCAUGUUGAAGGUAAUUAAUAGGCCGGAACGGUUUGGUUGCAUCUGUGCACUUUCCCAAGUAUAAAAUGAUUCAAUUUUGGCUUCUCUACUAUUUUUUGGAUGCAUCAUUUUGUUUGCGUUAUCUGGUUCUUGAUCACGUUCGCACCUUCAGCAGGACGAAAUAAGCUCAAAUACGUAUAUGCCAGGAGCUCAACACCGCAGCAGAACACGCUUCAAAGAAGUUAGUAGCAGGAGCCCUUGCAUCCAUACAUUGGGGAGGCGGCGAGGCGGUCAUCCACGGCAAGUCGUCCCGACUCAUGAAGAAUUUAGCGUGGAUGCAAGGCAGUAAUCAGCUCUAGUAUUUAUCCUCGUGUUGUACAGCAUAUAGAGGUACAAGGAAGAGGAGAGAGAGAGUUACAGGCGUGCAUGAGCACACACACUGUAACAAUGUACUGCCUGCAAAAAAAAAACUGUAACGAUGUACAGUCGGGAUCCUAUCUAUCAGGGGCCACGCACUCAGUCAUACACUCAUACUGCAUGCAUAGGGACGUGCGUUUAGCAUCCAGGAGAAGCGGUCUUCAGCAUAACAAUCUUCAGUCUAACACCGACGACCACGAUUACAACGUCCUUUUCUUCUUCCCCAUGGAAAAGCCAACAAAGGAUUCGCGAGAGGCUGGUUCUGAAGGAUUACACCAUGGAAAAACUCCCAGAAUACAUGCGAGACAGAAAGCCAAGGCAUUUGCUGUUAUGCUGCAGGCUAUGGUUGCUCUCUGCGGUAGCAGCGGGACAAUCUGGCACUGAAUGGGACAAGUUCAGCCGAGUGGAGCAUGUCAAGGCAUAUGCACGUGAUGGAUACAAGCAAAGAAAAUGGUAUGUUUUGUACACGAGAGGAGAUACCUGCAAGUUGGAUUCAAAUAUUAGCAGCUCUACCAUAUUUGAAGGUACAGAAAAUCAAACAUACAAGUUUUGUCUUAAUAAUUUGUUUGAGCACUCUAAUUCUGCAAGUUUAUAAGUUCGUUUGAUUUUAUCUCUUGCUUUUCAUCCAUAUAUGCUGCAUGAUGACCGUAUAUGUUCUGUACCUUCCUAGUAGAUCUUGCUCAGUAUUUGUCUUCUUACUUGUUCUUCUCGGUUUUCUCGAGCUUAACAUAUCUAGAGUAUCAUGUAACCAGUUUUGUGUUUUUCGUGUCAUGCAGAAACCUUAUCAUCUUCAAUGGUGGAUGUACAAGGAUUUGACUCUUUGUACAAAAUGAGAAGAAGUACCUUCGGUUAUGUCUGCAGCUUGGUGAGGAUCCCUUUAUUUGAAGAUAUGAUGGCAAGGGAGCCCACCUUUGUCGAUGGGAGAGUGUUGUCUUUACAAGACAGAGUAGCUGUCGCUCUGAGGGUACUGAACUCUGGUGACUCUCCGGUUACCGUAGGACCUGCUCUUGGUGUGAGUGAGUCAACUGUGUCAAUGGUAACUCAGGUGUUUGUUAAGGCUAUGUGGGAUCGAGCAAUGCACCACUGCAGCUGGCCUGGCUCCACUAAAAUGGAGAAGAUCAAGCACAAGUUUGACAAGAUGCACGGCCUGCCAACCUGUUGUGGUGUUGUACAUACAGAUCACAUCACGUUUGUAUCACAAAACCCUGACCAUGAGGAGAAUGACGUUGUGCUAGUGCAAGCCGUUGUUGAUCCAGAUAUGAGGGUCACAAAAUUUUGGUUGGAUGGUGAUCUCUUGGAGGGCAUUGAGAAAUAUGCUUUGCUAAAUGGGGGUAUGGUGAAGUUAUCAAAUGGCUCGGAGAUCGGGGAAUACAUCAUUAGUGAUGCAGGAUACCCUCUUCGUCCAUGGCUCCUCACCCCUUACCAGUUAGAAAAUGGUCUUCCACUCUCAGAGUCCAAAGUCGAGCUUAACAGGAGACUCUCUGCAGCUACAGCCAUCGUGCCGAGGACGUUGGCAAGGUUAAAAGACACGUGGAAGUGCCUGCAGGGAAAAGGGUGGCAUCCAGAUGAUGAACUUGAGAUGCAAUGGACAGUCGGCGCGUGCUGCAUGUUGCAUAACAUAGUGAUAGACUUGGAAGAGGACGAGGGUGCAAGCAUGCCGAGCGGCCACGAGGGGAUUUACAUCGAGAAAGCGUGGAAUGUAGUAGAGGAGGAUGCUGUGAGGGUGAGGGAUGCACUGUCCCAGAACUUGAUUGGAUCUGAAGGUAAAAUAACACAACUCUUAGUGUGUUAAAUCGAGACAACUCUUAGUGUGCUAUUUAUAUUUGGUUUAUUUCUUUCCUCGUAUUGAUUCCAUGUUCAUUUGAUCUGUUUGGACGUUAGUCCACACAAUGGCUGCAGAGGAGGAACAAGCAGAAGUAGCAGCAGUUGCAUCUGCUUCAGGAGAUGGAUACAAGGAACAAGAAGCACGCCAACCACAAAAGGCAGACUAUCGAGGAAAGGAGAAAGUGCAUGAUAGUUAGCUAGAGAGGUGAGACCAUUCUUAUUUCUCGACGUGGGGACAAGUCGCAGUUCUCUUCUUAGUUCCUACUCUGCAUGUACUGUAUUGGCUAAAUAUUGCUUCCACUAUUCAUUCAACUGAUAGCAUGAUUUGGGCAGUUAAUUAGCAUCUCUACACCACUAAUAGUAUGUCUGUACUUAAUGACAAUGGAAAACCUUGAUACAAGGCUUAAAGGGAGACUGGCCGGCCUCGCUGGUAGAUAGAUCUUCAUCCUGCUCCUCAGCUUGGUUACAUCGUCAGACUGGUGAAGAGCAUGCCCUGGCGAUGGAGCCCAAGGCUAAAAUUGCUUUGUCACCAUUCUUUCAUUUUUAAAGGAAAAGCUUGUGAUUUUUGUAUGUCGCUGAUGUUGUCAUACCGUUAACUCACUCGGAAGGAAGCUGAUUAACUGGUGCCUAUUAGCAAUACACAAUUGCAUGAAUUGGACAAUGAAGUUAUUAGCAGAUAACUCUAUACUAGUACUGUGUACCUUGAUACACUUAAUAAACCAAGCUCAAGUCUCAUCUGUUGUAUAAAGGUGGAAGCGAGACUAGCCGGCCUUAGCUUGGACAUCCUCAUCCUGCUGCUGCCCCAUUGAAUUGCAUGUGUGAAAUUAAAUGCAGUGCAGGCCCCGGCAGUAGGUUGUCGUGUAUCAGGUGAAAAGACAAGUGUUGUGUAAUUUAUAUUAUAUACAAAAAGAAAGCUUCUGCGCCUAAUGCUUCUGUGUCGUCGACCACUUUGAGAUUUGGUUCAAUUGAGCCCGCUUCUGCGCCUCCGAGAUUAUGGAGCGAGCGGGUGGAGUCUCUUGAGGCUUUUGAGCACUCUUUACCUGAGUUGGACUUUGAGGACCCGGGAGUGGAGGGUUUUGGUGUGGCUGCGAGGCUGGAGAUCGUGGUCUCGCCUCCCUCGGUUUGUGGUGAGGUGGCUGAGCUGCAGGAGGACGGUCCGAUCUUGUCUGGGGGUUUGGGGCAGGUGGCCUCGGCGUCCCUUCUCCUCUUGUUCCGGUUGGGGCUACCGGGAGAGAGGAGGGGCCUUCGGAAGGGGGGCCGGGGCAAGUGGCCUCGGCACCCUCUUCGCCUUGUGCUGGGACGGCACUGCAGGCAGCAGGACAGGUGUCUGGAGAGGGCUUGGGGCAGGUGGCCUCGAGGCCCUCUUCACCUUCAGCGCCCAGGGGGAGCACCCCGCUCGCGCCACCGAUGUGCACUCCUGGCAUGCGGUCUGGAGUGGAUGGGGGGCGGAGGCAGGUGGCCCUUGCCUCCCCAUCAGCUGACUCGGCGACCUCACCCGGUCAUGGGGACCGGGUGAAUGUUCGGGGAGUGACAGGCGGUCGCCCCCCGGAUAAAUUCUCGCGGGAGGAGGUUAUUUAGUUCGGUGGUAUUCCGGACCAGGCGUCUGAGGGCCGACGCCUGAGUUGUCGGCUUCAGGGCCAUCCGGAGGUGGACGACAUGCAGCAGCGCUGUGCCGUGAGGGCGGCAAAGCUUCAUGACGUUCAGGUCACUACUGGUAUGUCCGUGAAUACUUCCAAUACUAUUUUGCAUUUUUCGAAUGAUCAGAUUGUUGAUAAGGCAAACCAAUUAGGAAUUUCACUUGGCAGUAAUGAGGGUGAAGUAUCUAAUUCUGUUAAUGAUUUGCUUGAUCUAGAAGCCGAGAGGGCUUUAGAAAUGAUUCGUAACUUAGCCGCUGUCAAACCCAUGAACGAUUCUGAGAUUGAUGCUUUGGGAGUUCGGAUGCUCGAUAAAUUUUGUGAUGAUCUCGCACCGCCCCUCCAGGAGCCGGAGGAGGAGGACGAGAAUGUCGGCAUGGAGGUAGUUAGAUCCCCAGGUACGGGGAGUUUGGACUGGGUGGGCCCGAGGACCAGCCCUAAGCGCAAGUGGAAGCGCUAGAUAUACCCGAUGUCCGCGGUCCGUAGGAGUGCUAGGAUUCGCACGAUCAAAAAAUUCCAUGAUGAGAUAUGAGAGGAAUCUUUUGGAAUAGCAGAGGUUUUAAGGACUUGGCUAAAAGGAGGUUCCUUGCAGAAGCGUCCAUUGAGCAUAGAUUGGACUUUAUUGCCUUGUCGGAAACGGGCAGAGCAAAUUUCUCACCUCAAUUUCUCAAUACUUUAUCGGGGGGUAUUGAGUUUGACUGGCAUUGUCUUCCACCGAGAGGAAGGUCGGGUGGAAUCUUACUUGGUGUUAGAUGUGACUCUCUCGAAGUUCGCAGUGUGGUCAUGGGAGAUUUUGCUGUUCAGUUCAGGGUGCGGUCCAAAGAUGAUGGUUUCGACUGGGCUUUGGUGGCGGUGUAUGGUGCCGCGCAUGCAGAAUUCAAACCGGAUUUUUUGGCCGAUCUUGUUAGAGUCUGCGGGUCUGAGCAACUUCCAAUUCUGGUUGGGGGAGACUUUAAUAUUAUUAGAAGACGCGAUGAAAAGAAUAAUGAUAAUUUCGACGGGAGAGGGUCAUUCAUGUUUAACACUAUUAUUGAAAGCUUAGAUUUGAGAGAGAUUGAGCUUUCAGGUAGGAAGUUCACUUGGGCUAACCCGUUGCCAAAUCCAACUUUCGAGAAGUUGGAUCGGGUUCUGGCUAGUGUCGCUUGGGAACAGAAGUUUCCCCUUGUAACUGUUCAGGCUCUCUCUCGCGGGAUUUCUGAUCGCACGCCUCUGUUGCUCGACUCUGGUGGGGCUACAUACUCGGGCAACAAGAAUUUGUUCUCUUUUGAGCUUGCAUUGUUUGAAAGAGAAGGCUUCCUGGAUCUUGUAGCUAGAGAAUGGGCUAAGGAUGCAGGCGGUAGGAAUGCGCUUGAGCGCUGGCAGAAUAAGAUUAGGCAUCUCAGAAGUUUCCUACGUGGGUGGGCUAAGCAUCUAAGUGGAGUGUAUAAGGUGGAGAAGGAACGGCUCCUUUCCCUUAUUCAGACCUUAGAUAUAAAAGCAGAAACUACGGUUUUGUUAGCCACCGAGCUUCAUAUCAAGCAUGAGGCUGAGAUGAGGUUGAAAGAGUUACUUCGUGAAGAAGAAUUAAAGUGGGCACUGCGUGCCAAGGUGCGAAAAGUGGUCCAGGGGGACGCGAACACUCAAUUCUUCCACAUGAUAGCCAAUGGCAAACAUCGGAAGAAGAGAAUCUUCCAGCUAGAACAAGAUGAGGGUACAAUUAUCGGUCAGGAUAACCUAAAGCUCUAUAUUACUGAGUACUACAAACGAUUGUUUGGACCACCAGAGGAGAACUGUGUGUCCCUGGAUGAGUCUAGGGUUCAAGAUGUCCCUCAACUUACUGCUGUGGAGAACGAUGUCUUAACUGCCCCUUUCUCGGAAAAGGAGGUUUUCAAGGCAAUUUUCAAGAUGAAAUGUAACAAGGCACCGGGGCCGGAUGGUUUCCCGGCUGAGUUUUAUAAGAAGUGCUGGAAUAUUAUUAAAGGGGACCUGAUGCCGAUGUUCCAUGAUUUGUUCUCGGGACAUUUGCAGCUUUUCCAACUUAAUUUUGGAACAAUAACCCUGUUGCCUAAGAAAACAGAGGCCGUGAGAAUCGAGCAAUUUCGGCCUAUCUGUCUUCUGAAUGUCAGUUUCAAAAAUUUUACCAAGGUUGGGACGAUCAGGCUCACACAGAUUGCGCACGCCGUGGUGCAGCCUUCUCAGACAGCUUUCAUGCCGGACAGGAACAUCCUGGAAGGGGUUGUGGUCCUUCAUGAAACGCUUCAUGAAAUUCAUACGAAAAAACUCGAUGGUGUUAUUUUCAAAGUGGAUUUCGAGAAGGCUUAUGAUAAAGUCAAAUAGCCGUUUCUUCAACACGCUUUACGAAUGAAGGGCUUUGAUGAAACUUGGCGACGUCAGGUGGAAGCAUUCACGCAAAAAGGAAGUGUUGGCAUUAAAGUUAAUGACGACAUAGGUCAUUACUUCCAAACUCACAAGGGCUUGAGACAGGGCGACCCUAUGUCGCCUAUUCUGUUCAAUAUUGUGCUUGAUAUGUUAGCGAUCCUGGUUGGGAGGGCCAAGGAGGCUGGUCAGAUGGAGGGAUUGGUGCCUCAUCUGGUUGAUGGUGGUUUGUCCAUCCUGCAAUACGCUGAUGAUACAAUCAUUUUCAUGGAACACGAUAUGGCAAAAGCGAGGAACAUGAAGUUAGUGUUAUGCCUUUUUGAACAAUUGUCGGGGCUGAAGAUUAAUUUCCAUAAAAGCGAGUUUUUCUGCUUUGGUAGAGCCAAAGACGAACAAGAAGCGUAUACACAAUUGUUUGGUUGUGAAGUUGGGGCCUUACCUUUCACGUAUCUUGGUAUUCCCAUUCACCAUGGUAAGCUAACAAAUGGUGAGUGGAAGUGCAUCGAGGAUCGGUUUGAGAAGAAACUGAGUUGCUGGAAAGGAAAACUCAUGUCUUAUGGAGGCAGGUUGAUUCUUAUCAACUUGGUGCUCAUGAGUUUACCUAUGUUUCUCUUAUCCUUCUUUGAGGUCCCAGUCGGGGUUAGGAAAAGGCUGGACUUCUAUUGAUCUCGAUUCUUUUGGCAGAGUGAUGAGCUUAAGAGGAAGUACAGACUGGCCAAAUGGGAUAUUAUUUGUCGACCAAAGGGCCAAGGGGGCCUUGGUAUUGAAAAUCUUGAAGUCAAGAACAAAUGCCUUCUCAGUAAGUGGCUGUUUAAGUUGUCUUCUGAGACAGAGGCAACUUGGGCGCAGAUUUUACGUAGUAAAUAUCUGCAGUCAAAAACCUUAUCCCAGGUUACUCUGAGACCUACGGAUUCGCCGUUCUGGAAAGGGCUCAUGAGGAUCAAAGCCGCUUUCUUUAACAGAACGAGAUGUAUUGUCGGUAAUGGUGAUAAUACGCGAUUCUGGGAGGAUUCGUGGCUUGGUGACGCGCCUUUGGCUACCCAAUAUCCGUCCCUAUAUCGUAUUGUUCAGCGUCGUGAGGCUCUUGUUGCCACGGUUAUGCAGUCUAUUCCUCUCAACAUUCAGUUCAGGAAGGUGCUUGUAGGGGAUCGAUGGGAAGCAUGGCUUCACUUGGUCCGUAGACUGAUGGAGGUUCAGCUAACUCCUCAGCCCGACCAGUUAUGUUGGAAGCUGACUAGAUCUGGGGUGUUCACGGUUAAAUCGAUGUACAUCGAUAUCAUUAACUCUACUGUGAUCCCUAGUUCCAAAGAGAUUUGGAAAGUUAAGGUACCUUUGAAGAUUAAAGUGUUUAUGUGGUUUGUGCAUAAACAAGUAAUUCUAACAAAGGACAAUCUAGUUAAGCGCAACUGGACAGGUUCUACUAGGUGUAGUUUCUGUGAUCGGGAUGAGACUAUCAAACAUUUAUUUUUUGACUGUCCGUUGGCACGAGGGUUGUGGCGCUCCGUGCAAAUUGCCUUUAACAUUACUCCUCCGACUUGGGUCAACACAUUAUUUGGGGCAUGGCUUGUUGGGAUAGAGUCCGAAACAGCCAGACACAUUCGUGUAGGAGUAUGCGCGCUGUUAUGGGCAAUUUGGAAUUGCAGAAAUGAUUUGGUUUUUAAUAGAACAACAAAUAUUCAUUUUUUGCAGUUGUUAUUCCGGGCUACAACACUGAUCCGUACGUGGUCCUUACUCACUCCGACGGAGGCCAGGGAGCGUUUGGUUACUGGAUCUUUCCGGUGGGAGACGGUAGUGCGGGAUAUCUUCAACCGGUUUGGAUGGCGAUCAUGUAAUAGGAUAGGCAUUUAGUUUACCUAUCUUUCUUUAUGCCAGCCGGUUGUGGCUUUUGGGGUUUCUGUUUUGCAGUUGACACUCUAGGUGAGCUAGCUGUUGCUUUUGUUUGAAUGCUUUAAGACCUUGUUGAGACCUAUUUACUUUUUAAUAAAAGUGGCCGUAUGCAUCGAUCUGAUGCAGAGGCCGGGGAGUCCCCCCUUUUCGAAAAAAAAAAUACAAAAAGAAAGAUUUUAUGAGAUUGAGAUAACAACUAGUAAUGUAGCUACAUGGAGAACAACAAGAAAGACUGUGAUUUGUUUUGUUUCAGUUUCUUGCUGUAACCUGAAGGAAAAAGUUGUGAACAUAAUGGCAGUGAGUUUUGGGCAGGAGCCGUUUGUAGCAGUUGUAAGGAUGUGUUGGCUACGCCUACUCUGCUUGGAGAAGAGCAGAGUGGGUAGUUGAUCAACCAAAUUCGGCAUUAUGUCUGGUAAAUUGAGAAACAGGUAGCAGUAUGUCUUGCAAAUUCAGAAACUGGAUUUGUAGCAGAAAGGGCACUAAAAAUCUAAAGGGGGAGGAGGAGGAGGAAAUUGCAGGGCUGGAGGAGGAGGUGCGACGGUUAGUGGACAAGGACGCCGUCAUGCACUUGAUUGAAUCUAGAGGUAAAUCAGCACAGCUGUUAAUGUGUUUGUUCGCACUCUAGCUUUGCCUGUCUUUCUCCUUUUGCAGUUCCUGUUUGAGAUCAACAUGCUAAUUUCACCCGCUUGGCUGCAGAGGAGGAAAAAGAAGCAGCAUCAAUAGUAGUUGCAUCCAGUUCAGGAGUUUUUGCUUGCAAAUAAUCAGGUGAGAGGUAUGAUCCCAUCAUCUUUAUGCCAAUUGAGAAGUCUAAAACGGUUUGACCAGUCAGGAAACAAGUUAACCGGAGAUGUUAUGCAAUGCUUCAAGGACCCGGGGGCAAACUCUGCAUAUCAGUUCGGUUCCAAUAUGUAUAGUGUAGUGUUGAACAACAACAAUUUCUUAGGUGACUUCCCCAAAUUUCUUCAAAGUGCAUCACAAUUAAAAUUCCUCGACCUUUCAUACAAUAGGUUCUCUAGAGGAUUGCCAAAGUGGCUACCCAAGAAAAUGCCACAACUGCAAAUCUUGAGGUUGAGGUCAAAUAUGUUCAGUUGCCAUAUUCCGGAAAAUUUCACUUCCAUUGUCAGCCUUCAUUAUUUGGACAUAUCAGGGAAAUGUAUAUCAGGAAGCAUAACAUGGUCAAUAUCAAACUUGAAAGCAAUGAUGACAAUAAUAGCAAAGGAGACAUAGGAUUAUAACAUCGAAGAGAGCAUACCAGUAAUCACGAAAGACCAAAAGCGUGAAUAUAACUUCCAAAUCUAUAAGCUAUUGGUGAAUCUUGAUUUGUCCACUAACAGUUUAACAUGACAAAUCCUAGAGGAGAUAAGUUUACUGAUUUCCCUCACCAAUUUGAAUGUAUCAAGCAAUCAAUUGACAGGAACAAUCCCACAUCAGGUCGGUGAUUUAAAGCAUUUGGAGUCCCUGGACCUAUCAUAGAACAUAUUUUGUGGUGAAAUCCCAUCAGGUUUGUCGGCACUAACUUUUGAGCCACUUGAACUUGUCAUAGAACAAUCUAUCAGGUGCAAUACCAUCUGGACCACAGAAACUCUUGACAAUCAGAUGUAUAUAUACGUCGGCAACCCUGGUCUUUGUGGUCCUCCUCUUUCCAAGAAUUGUUUGGCAAAUGAUGCAAAAUAAAGCAGCCUUGAAGAUAUAAAUCAUAUGUCAUCUGUUUAUCUUGUCACAAGGAUAGGCUUCGUGGUGGGUCUUUGGACAGUGUUUUGCACCAUGCUAAUGAAGAGAGCAUGGAGGGGUGCCUACUUUCAGUUCAUUGAUGAGCUAUAUGACAAGGUUUAUGUGCAAGUGGCUGUGAGGUGGGCUCGCCUGAUGAAGAACACUCAAGACGAUGCACCAUGAACAAGAAGUGCCAUAUUCCACUGCAAGCAAAUUCUUUGGUACAUGAAUCUACAUAAGUUUUCAGUUUUCUAUAUUUCUGUUUGUAUCUGUAUUUGAAGCACUAAGUGGAUCUUUGCUGGACAUCAGUGCUAUAAUGGUAUUUAUAUGUUUGUACUCUAUUGAAUGAAGUGUACGGGUUUUGUUGGAAUAUUCAAUCCUAAGGGGCAGGUGGGAGACCGUAAUACCCAUAUCGCUUUGGUGGCAGCUUCCCUUCCCCCUCCCGCGACGCUCCCGCGAGCGCCGGGGGGGAAACCCUAGCCGCCGGCCCAGGGCCUCCUUCCCCUCCUCCUUUCCUCGCCGCCGCCACGACGAGCUGACGGGCAAAGCCCGGCCAGCAUUGGCGGCGGUGGGGCGUUCUCCUUCCCCUGCUCGGUUCCUGGUGGCGCGGGCCGCCGGAGUCGGGCGGCGGCGCGGUGGCAGCAGCUGGCGGCGGAGGCGCGGACUGCUAGCGGCCGUGCGAAGGGGUUGUGGGCGUUGGGGGCGGCGCACGGCUCCUCCUCUCGGUCGGGGUGGUUCAGAUCUGGCGCGCGGGCUCGCGGCUCUGCUUCCGGCGGCGGCUGGGCUGGGCCCUGGCGCGCGUGGAGGCAGGCUCUGGGCUUUCUCUGCCUGGCCCCCCUGGUGGUGGCGCCCUUGCGGUCCUCCGGUCAGGUCCGGCCAGCCCUGGUCUGGUCUUGACGCCGGCAGGGGCGCGGGCUGCGGCGGCAAGGGCCUGUCGGCGGCUCGCAGGUGCUGUUGCGCUCGUCGGCGGCGGCGGCAUGGUGGUGGUGGUGGUGGUGCGUGUCGGCCGGACUUUGCCUUUUUUCCGGUCGGCGACGCGGGUUUGGGCCCCUAGCCCGGCGUGGCUGCGGUCCCGGCGAUGGGCGGCAGCGAGGAGGUGGCUUCGCCGUGCCGGCUCCAUGGCAGCUCGGCGGGUUGACUGCGGCGGCGGCUGUCUUUUCGGCGUCGGCUUGUCUGUAGGCGGCCCGUUUUGACCUUCGACCCUCUUGUCGUCUGGUUGCUACCUUCGUCGAAGGUUCGGCCAUCCCUCGACUACGGUCCAUCGCUCGUCUCGCGCUCGGCAGCAGGACUGAGUUCGUCUCGCGCCCGGCAGCAGGACUGACCUUGUCUCGCGCCCGGCAGCAGGACCGUCCUCGUCUCGCGCCCGGCAGCAGGAUCAUGCUCGUCUCGCGCCCGGCACUAGGACCGUGCUCAUCUCGCGCCUGGCAGCAGGACGUGUCGAUGGAGGCCAAUUUUGGCCGGCCUCUGGGUUUCGGCGUUGGGGGCAGCCCAGGGGUGCGAAAGGCGGUUCCUUUCCGCUCGUAUCUUCGGUUGGGGUAGCGGUGGGUCACGGAUGAGGUGGUGUCGAGGUCUUGGAUGCUGGGGCGGCGGCCCUGGUGGUGGUGGUUGCGCGGUGCUCUUGGACAAAGCCCGUGCCUUGGUGCUGCCCGGUCAUCAUGGUCGUGUGGGCGGCGUGGCUGCCGGGGUGUGGCGUUCGGUGGCGGUGAUUGUGGGCCGAGGUGAAAACCUGCUCUAUCUUCGGACGGACCGGCGGCGGCGAAGAUCGUUCCCUUCUUGAAGGCGUCGUCGCGGCUCUCAUUGCCCGUCAUGCGGCUCCGGGGGAAACUCUGAUCCUUGGAUCGGGCGGUGGCGGCGCUCCGGCGUCGUAUCCUUCCUGAAGGCGCCACCUUGAAGCGCAUGGUUCGUCAUAUGUAGCUUCAUUUCUUCGGGGCGGUAGUGCUGGGAGUGGUGUUGCUGCGCUCAGCGCCUAUGUAUCAUAUCUUGGGUGUGUGCGUGUGUUGCGGUGGCGUGGCGUGUGGUUGUACUAGAUGCUUGUGAUUUGAUGCUUUAUAUAUAAAGCGGGGCGAAAGCCUUUUUCGGUAUUCAAUCCUAAGUCGGACAUUGUUCGUGAUGUAAGGAGAAUGAUAUACAGCCCCCACUCUGCCUCUUUCUUAUUUGUUCAGUUGGGUUUAUUGACAGACAUCCUUUUUGCCGGGCUUGUACUUGCAUUUGCUUUGAGGUUAGUUUGCCAAAGGGUUCGGUUAUUAUUUUUGUCGUAUCUAAUAUUGGUCAUCCUAUUAUUUCUAACAUGUAUUUACUGGUACUAAUAAAUAUACAUAUCCAUGCUUUCUACAAUAUAAUCCUCGCACCUUCUCCAAAAAGAAAAGGAAAAGGAAAAAAGAAAAUACAUAGUAACGCCUUAUCCAUGAACCGGAGAACGGUUUGCUAACCGGCUGUUUUCUGACAAAUUUUCGUGGAGCACUACUAAAAGGAUCACAUCAAUCUCUGUACAUGCAGAAGAGAAUAUGUGGACCCUAUCAUUAGAAAAAAGAGUCCGCAUCAGGUUGGUUUGUGUCCUGGCUGUGUACGGAGCCGACUACUAGUCUAGGUAGGCUUCUAGCAAGAGUCCGUAUAGGUGUAGGCUGUUUGGGUUAUUGCUCCUGCGUGUUUAUAUGUACACGACCAGGGCCGGAAUAUUUGUAACAACGUGGAGAAAAGGAGAAAAAGAAAUAAAGAGAGGAGAGACACGACACAUGCCUUUGGCUAAAAGUUUUUGAGCGUGCGUGUUCGUCUACUUUGAUAUCAUGCAUAUCAUGCGUGUGUACUGCAACAGAGGGUCUCACGGUUUGAAACUGUAAUCAUGGAAGAAGGGAAGGCAGGGAGCGAACCUCAUAUAUACAUAGUGAUGGUGAUGUCGCAUCCACCAAAGAACUCGCCAUUGAUGCAGAGCUGCAGGAAGUUGGGCCAGCUGGAGUACUCCUUGCGCCCCUGACGGAGCACCUUGUUGUCGAGCACAUCGAGCGUCUCAAGCAACCACAGAACCUGCACCACCGUGUGGGAGAAGCUGCACUGCAUGAAGCCGACCAGACACGCUGAGCGCUGCCUUGGAAACACAUCAAUGCAGACCACCUGGAAACUCUGGCCGGGGUAAACAAGAAAGCACAUCUUGCUGUUCGUACCCUGUGAGACACCUGCAGAGGAGGACACUGCGAAUCAGAAUAUAAGGUUCGUGUAAUCAGAGGUCAGGCGAGGUGAUGCAUCUGAAUGACAGCCCAAUGGAGGGCGACUCCGCUGACGCUCCCGCGGGCGAUCCCGGCGUCUCUCCUCUCCCCACCUCCUCCCUGUCGGUCCCUCCGACCGCGACCCUGCCGCCGCCCCCCGCGCCGGCCGCCCCCGCGCCGGCUGCCCCGGUAGCCUCCUUCUGCUGGGCGGACUGCGCCGACGAUGCGCCUUUCCCCCCUCCCCUUCUCCUCCGGUCCCUUCUACCCCUCUCUCUUCCCGCCGGCAUGCUCUGCCCCGCCGGCCGGCUAGCUCAGCCCCCCACGUGAGGGGUUCUGCGGCCGGUAGGCGGGUGCCGGCGCCGGCCUCCUCGGCGCCCCGGAGCCCGGCUCGGGUGCCACGCCUCCAAGGUUUGGCCUUGGCUGGUAGGUCCCUUCGCCGCCGCCGCGUGCAGGCAUGGGGCGGGGCCGGGCGCGCCGAUUGGGGCCCCGCCCGCUCCUCCUGGCGCCGGCCGGUGGUGGGAGACCGGCCGCCGGCUACCUGCCCCCCUGCUAUCCCUCUCUCUCCCUCCCCUCCUCCCGGCCCCGUCGCCUCGGCCGAAGCCGUUCUGGCCAUUCAUUGCCCACUUCGGUUCCUCAGGGCUCCUCGUGCGGACGGCCCGGGCCGCCCGGUCCCCGGCCGCUGGCCUCGCCGGUGCGGCGCCGGCGCCGGCGCCGUCGUCCUCGCCCGGUAGGGUUUCCCCCUCCCACCCCACUNNNNNNNNNNNNNNNNNNNNNNNNNNNNNNNNNNNNNNNNNNNNNNNNNNNNNNNNNNNNNNNNNNNNNNNNNNNNNNNNNNNNNNNNNNNNNNNNNNNNNNNNNNNNNNNNNNNNNNNNNNNNNNNNNNNNNNNNNNNNNNNNNNNNNNNNNNNNNNNNNNNNNNNNNNNNNNNNNNNNNNNNNNNNNNNNNNNNNNNNNNNNNNNNNNNNNNNNNNNNNNNNNNNNNNNNNNNNNNNNNNNNNNNNNNNNNNNNNNNNNNNNNNNNNNNNNNNNNNNNNNNNNNNNNNNNNNNNNNNNNNNNNNNNNNNNNNNNNNNNNNNNNNNNNNNNNNNNNNNNNNNNNNNNNNNNNNNNNNNNNNNNNNNNNNNNNNNNNNNNNNNNNNNNNNNNNNNNNNNNNNNNNNNNNNNNNNNNNNNNNNNNNNNNNNNNNNNNNNNNNNNNNNNNNNNNNNNNNNNNNNNNNNNNNNNNNNNNNNNNNNNNNNNNNNNNNNNNNNNNNNNNNNNNNNNNNNNNNNNNNNNNNNNNNNNNNNNNNNNNNNNNNNNNNNNNNNNNNNNNNNNNNNNNNNNNNNNNNNNNNNNNNNNNNNNNNNNNNNNNNNNNNNNNNNNNNNNNNNNNNNNNNNNNNNNNNNNNNNNNNNNNNNNNNNNNNNNNNNNNNNNNNNNNNNNNNNNNNNNNNNNNNNNNNNNNNNNNNNNNNNNNNNNNNNNNNNNNNNNNNNNNNNNNNNNNNNNNNNNNNNNNNNNNNNNNNNNNNNNNNNNNNNNNNNNNNNNNNNNNNNNNNNNNNNNNNNNNNNNNNNNNNNNNNNNNNNNNNNNNNNNNNNNNNNNNNNNNNNNNNNNNNNNNNNNNNNNNNNNNNNNNNNNNNNNNNNNNNNNNNNNNNNNNNNNNNNNNNNNNNNNNNNNNNNNNNNNNNNNNNNNNNNNNNNNNNNNNNNNNNNNNNNNNNNNNNNNNNNNNNNNNNNNNNNNNNNNNNNNNNNNNNNNNNNNNNNNNNNNNNNNNNNNNNNNNNNNNNNNNNNNNNNNNNNNNNNNNNNNNNNNNNNNNNNNNNNNNNNNNNNNNNNNNNNNNNNNNNNNNNNNNNNNNNNNNNNNNNNNNNNNNNNNNNNNNNNNNNNNNNNNNNNNNNNNNNNNNNNNNNNNNNNNNNNNNNNNNNNNNNNNNNNNNNNNNNNNNNNNNNNNNNNNNNNNNNNNNNNNNNNNNNNNNNNNNNNNNNNNNNNNAGCUCCGGGACAGCCGCCGCUCCCCCUCCUGCCGGGAUGACCGGGCUCGGUCCCGCUCGCCUCGGGCGUCGUCGAGUGACUGGCGUCGCUGGCGCUCCCCCUCGCCAUCCCGUCGGAGGGACCGGUCCCCAUCUCCCCCCCGGCCGGUUCGUGUCGGCUCUCCUCGCCCGCGGGACGGUAUCCUCCCCACCCCGGACACCCGCCGCUACGUCCCCCCGCACGCAGCUUCCGCGGGGACUACGGUCCCGGCUCCGGCCAUUGGUGGUGGCCCCUCCCGCGGCCGUCCUGGCCCCGCCAAGAAGAAGAAACAUCGUGGGAGUGGAGGACAAGACAGACAUGUCAGAAGAUUAUAAUAUGUUUGCUGAAAUUCCGCCCUUCAAAGUGAACACCGACCCAAGCAUUAAGUUAAAUGAUGAGGAUGCUCCAUGGAUACGGCACAAUCGUAAGCAAGCAGGGACACAAGGGAAGAAAUGAUGUGUAAUAAUUAAUUGUACCAAACUUUGUUGAAUGGAUCAUGUGAAUUAUAUUACCCGUGAUGUGUUUGGUGUCCAUUUUCGAAUGAUACAUGAAAUUUGGAGUGCUGUAGUCCAUGACGCUCUGCAGAGUCCGGCCGUACCACCAUAGCCGACGACCGGCCUCUGGUAUAUUAUUUUGAAUUGAAUUAGUUUUAUUUUUCUUAAUUUUUUGAUAUAUUAUUUGUAUUUUUAGAAUUUUGAAUUGAAUUAGUUUUAUUUUUCUGAAUUUUUUGAUAUAUUAUUUGUAUUUUUAGAAUUUUGAAUUGAAUUAGUUUUAUUUUUCUGAAUUUUUUGAUAUAUUAUUUGUAUUUUUAACAUUUUGAAUUGAAUUAGUUUUAUUUUUCUUAAUUUUUUGAUAUAUUAUUUGUAUUUUUAGAAUUUUGAAUUGAAUUAGUUUUUNNNNNNNNNNNNNNNNNNNNNNNNNNNNNNNNNNNNNNNNNNNNNNNNNNNNNNNNNNNNNNNNNNNNNNNNNNNNNNNNNNNNNNNNNNNNNNNNNNNNNNNNNNNNNNNNNNNNNNNNNNNNNNNNNNNNNNNNNNNNNNNNNNNNNNNNNNNNNNNNNNNNNNNNNNNNNNNNNNNNNNNNNNNNNNNNNNNNNNNNNNNNNNNNNNNNNNNNNNNNNNNNNNNNNNNNNNNNNNNNNNNNNNNNNNNNNNNNNNNNNNNNNNNNNNNNNNNNNNNNNNNNNNNNNNNNNNNNNNNNNNNNNNNNNNNNNNNNNNNNNNNNNNNNNNNNNNNNNNNNNNNNNNNNNNNNNNNNNNNNNNNNNNNNNNNNNNNNNNNNNNNNNNNNNNNNNNNNNNNNNNNNNNNNNNNNNNNNNNNNNNNNNNNNNNNNNNNNNNNNNNNNNNNNNNNNNNNNNNNNNNNNNNNNNNNNNNNNNNNNNNNNNNNNNNNNNNNNNNNNNNNNNNNNNNNNNNNNNNNNNNNNNNNNNNNNNNNNNNNNNNNNNNNNNNNNNNNNNNNNNNNNNNNNNNNNNNNNNNNNNNNNNNNNNNNNNNNNNNNNNNNNNNNNNNNNNNNNNNNNNNNNNNNNNNNNNNNNNNNNNNNNNNNNNNNNNNNNNNNNNNNNNNNNNNNNNNNNNNNNNNNNNNNNNNNNNNNNNNNNNNNNNNNNNNNNNNNNNNNNNNNNNNNNNNNNNNNNNNNNNNNNNNNNNNNNNNNNNNNNNNNNNNNNNNNNNNNNNNNNNNNNNNNNNNNNNNNNNNNNNNNNNNNNNNNNNNNNNNNNNNNNNNNNNNNNNNNNNNNNNNNNNNNNNNNNNNNNNNNNNNNNNNNNNNNNNNNNNNNNNNNNNNNNNNNNNNNNNNNNNNNNNNNNNNNNNNNNNNNNNNNNNNNNNNNNNNNNNNNNNNNNNNNNNNNNNNNNNNNNNNNNNNNNNNNNNNNNNNNNNNNNNNNNNNNNNNNNNNNNNNNNNNNNNNNNNNNNNNNNNNNNNNNNNNNNNNNNNNNNNNNNNNNNNNNNNNNNNNNNNNNNNNNNNNNNNNNNNNNNNNNNNNNNNNNNNNNNNNNNNNNNNNNNNNNNNNNNNNNNNNNNNNNNNNNNNNNNNNNNNNNNNNNNNNNNNNNNNNNNNNNNNNNNNNNNNNNNNNNNNNNNNNNNNNNNNNNNNNNNNNNNNNNNNNNNNNNNNNNNNNNNNNNNNNNNNNNNNNNNNNNNNNNNNNNNNNNNNNNNNNNNNNNNNNNNNNNNNNNNNNNNNNNNNNNNNNNNNNNNNNNNNNNNNNNNNNNNNNNNNNNNNNNNNNNNNNNNNNNNNNNNNNNNNNNNNNNNNNNNNNNNNNNNNNNNNNNNNNNNNNNNNNNNNNNNNNNNNNNNNNNNNNNNNNNNNNNNNNNNNNNNNNNNNNNNNNNNNNNNNNNNNNNNNNNNNNNNNNNNNNNNNNNNNNNNNNNNNNNNNNNNNNNNNNNNNNNNNNNNNNNNNNNNNNNNNNNNNNNNNNNNNNNNNNNNNNNNNNNNNNNNNNNNNNNNNNNNNNNNNNNNNNNNNNNNNNNNNNNNNNNNNNNNNNNNNNNNNNNNNNNNNNNNNNNNNNNNNNNNNNNNNNNNNNNNNNNNNNNNNNNNNNNNNNNNNNNNNNNNNNNNNNNNNNNNNNNNNNNNNNNNNNNNNNNNNNNNNNNNNNNNNNNNNNNNNNNNNNNNNNNNNNNNNNNNNNNNNNNNNNNNNNNNNNNNNNNNNNNNNNNNNNNNNNNNNNNNNNNNNNNNNNNNNNNNNNNNNNNNNNNNNNNNNNNNNNNNNNNNNNNNNNNNNNNNNNNNNNNNNNNNNNNNNNNNNNNNNNNNNNNNNNNNNNNNNNNNNNNNNNNNNNNNNNNNNNNNNNNNNNNNNNNNNNNNNNNNNNNNNNNNNNNNNNNNNNNNNNNNNNNNNNNNNNNNNNNNNNNNNNNNNNNNNNNNNNNNNNNNNNNNNNNNNNNNNNNNNNNNNNNNNNNNNNNNNNNNNNNNNNNNNNNNNNNNNNNNNNNNNNNNNNNNNNNNNNNNNNNNNNNNNNNNNNNNNNNNNNNNNNNNNNNNNNNNNNNNNNNNNNNNNNNNNNNNNNNNNNNNNNNNNNNNNNNNNNNNNNNNNNNNNNNNNNNNNNNNNNNNNNNNNNNNNNNNNNNNNNNNNNNNNNNNNNNNNNNNNNNNNNNNNNNNNNNNNNNNNNNNNNNNNNNNNNNNNNNNNNNNNNNNNNNNNNNNNNNNNNNNNNNNNNNNNNNNNNNNNNNNNNNNNNNNNNNNNNNNNNNNNNNNNNNNNNNNNNNNNNNNNNNNNNNNNNNNNNNNNNNNNNNNNNNNNNNNNNNNNNNNNNNNNNNNNNNNNNNNNNNNNNNNNNNNNNNNNNNNNNNNNNNNNNNNNNNNNNNNNNNNNNNNNNNNNNNNNNNNNNNNNNNNNNNNNNNNNNNNNNNNNNNNNNNNNNNNNNNNNNNNNNNNNNNNNNNNNNNNNNNNNNNNNNNNNNNNNNNNNNNNNNNNNNNNNNNNNNNNNNNNNNNNNNNNNNNNNNNNNNNNNNNNNNNNNNNNNNNNNNNNNNNNNNNNNNNNNNNNNNNNNNNNNNNNNNNNNNNNNNNNNNNNNNNNNNNNNNNNNNNNNNNNNNNNNNNNNNNNNNNNNNNNNNNNNNNNNNNNNNNNNNNNNNNNNNNNNNNNNNNNNNNNNNNNNNNNNNNNNNNNNNNNNNNNNNNNNNNNNNNNNNNNNNNNNNNNNNNNNNNNNNNNNNNNNNNNNNNNNNNNNNNNNNNNNNNNNNNNNNNNNNNNNNNNNNNNNNNNNNNNNNNNNNNNNNNNNNNNNNNNNNNNNNNNNNNNNNNNNNNNNNNNNNNNNNNNNNNNNNNNNNNNNNNNNNNNNNNNNNNNNNNNNNNNNNNNNNNNNNNNNNNNNNNNNNNNNNNNNNNNNNNNNNNNNNNNNNNNNNNNNNNNNNNNNNNNNNNNNNNNNNNNNNNNNNNNNNNNNNNNNNNNNNNNNNNNNNNNNNNNNNNNNNNNNNNNNNNNNNNNNNNNNNNNNNNNNNNNNNNNNNNNNNNNNNNNNNNNNNNNNNNNNNNNNNNNNNNNNNNNNNNNNNNNNNNNNNNNNNNNNNNNNNNNNGGCUUCCACGGAGGCCCCACCGGCUGGUGCAGAUGCACCGACGAUCGAAAUUACUGCACCGGAGCCUCUGGUGGUCGAAAUUACUGCACCGGAGCCUCUGGUGGUCGAAAUUACUUCACCGGAGCCUCCUCGCUACCCCGUGGACGAUAUAAAGGAGAUGAAAGAAUGUCAUCUGUAUUAUCCUAUCGGGAACAUGUCCAUGAAGGUAGCCAUCGGCAGUGCUUUACCAUGUUUACCUGGAGCACUCCACCACAACAACCCCAUUCAAGAUGGCUAUGCUCGUGUCACGGUGGAGGACAUAGUCCAAGGGUUUGAGGACCUGGAGAUUGACAUUGCUACACCUGAAGGGGAGAAAAGACUUGGAGAUGUCAAGCGCCAUUUCAUUCUAUGGCAAAAGAAGUUUAUCAAGUUUCCAGGCGAGGCGCCAAGGACAACAAGUCGACCCCCCUACGGUGGUGGUGGUGGCGGUGGCGGUGGUGGUGGUGGUGGUGGUGGUGGCGGUUCACCUACACCUCCGUCACGUCAGCCGACGCCGCCCCCCAGUCCACAACGUCCGGCGGGUGAUCAGCCGCCGCCCCCCAGUCCUCGUCCGGCGGGUGAUCAGACGCCGCCCCCCAAUCCACCUCCGGCAAAGAAGCAGAAGCAGUCCUGGAUUAUUAACCCGGACCCUUAUGUACCUAAGACCACAAAGGUACCGGAGCCAUCACUGAAGCCUCUCCCCACAAGGCCUUGGGAACGUAGUGCCGAGGAAGUCGACGCGGCCGCGGCUGCUGAUUUGGAGAAAUGGAAGGCGGACUGCAAGAAGAAAAGAGAGCCCGAGCCAGUAUUUUCUGAUGAGCAAAAGAAGUGGGCUAAGUCAUUUUUGAGCACACCGUCCCAAGCCGCGAAGAAUCUGCCUAACGACUAUGCACGUGAACUUCGCAGGCAGGCACUCAUGUUCAAGGAGAACAAAGAGCGGGAGAAGGCCGAAAGUAAAAAAAAGCGGGAAACAAGUUGCCCAGCUCGGGGAACAAAGUAAACAAUCGAUUGCCCCGCUUAUAGUGGAAGCCUUCUGUCCGGAUGCCCCCGAGAUCAUACAAGCUGCGGCAGCACAGGGAUUGACUGUAACGAGUGCCAGAGAACAAGCGGCCAACUUAGGUAUUACUCUUCGUGAACUGUUAGGCCUUGAUGAGGCGCCAGUGAAGGAGGUAGUAAUUACAUAUGUCAAGAAUGGGCCUCUCGUCGAGCCUGCGCAGGAAAAGGAUCUACCUCCACAAAUGAAAGGUCUGCUGAAAUGAUACAAGGGUUACAUAAAAAAUAAAAACGCCAAAGAAUAUAUUUAUGCGGAAGUUAGACAUGAGCAUCACUUCAAACAUUACUAUGUACAAAUUGAACUGAGUGAAUUGUUCCAGCUUUUCAAUCUGCGCGAGCUCGAUAAAUCUAUCAUCAGUUGCUACGUUCUGUAAGUGAUUUAUUAAUUUCUACCCCAUCUCGUUCAUAUUGCCUGCACUAUAUAUAUGUCCUAACUAUAUUGUUGUGUCCGCUAUUAUACAUGCAGAAUGAAGAUUAAGGAAUGCAGAGUAAGGAACAUCCAUGAUGUUGGGUUCAUUGACCCACACAUCGUUAAUGGACAUGUGUUGGAGCGUUACCCCACCGACGUGGAGGCAGACCUGUGGCAGUUUCUUACAAAGCAGGAACUCAAAAGUGAUAUUCUAUUUCCUUACCAUUUUGAGUGAGUGUUUCUGUCUUGAGCACAUUCUCUUUUGUUUACUCCAUGCAUGGUAUGUGGCCGGCUAAUCGAUGAGUUAUGCAUGACGUACUGUGCAUGUAUCGUGUCCGCAGGUUCCACUGGAUUCUGCUAGUAAUUAAAGUUAACACCUCAGAAUGUCUCGUCCAUGACUCUGUGAAUAUGGAUCCAAAGCUUUGGGGCGGCAUGAGAAGAAUGCUGCAGAAGUAAUUAUUUUCAUUCAUUUGCGCUCUAUAUCGAUCGGCCUAUUUCGUUCAUUUCCUAAUAUCAAGUAACUAAUUAAUAACUCUCUUGUUCAUUUAAUUUUCUUUGCGUCGUAGGGUUUGGAGACGGUUCGUAGAUACAAAGGUCGGUGAAUUCAAAAAAGAGCUAGAAUUCAAAAUGUUAAAGGCUAAGAAUGCUGGGGAUAUUCAGCCACCGGAGACCAAUCUAUGUGGAUACUAUGUCUGUGAGAUGAUCCGGAGAUACACCUCUGAGCGGGUUCCGAGUGAUACCAAUGCUCAGAGGAAUAACCUCCGGUGGAUGCUUAGUCCAGAAGCUCGCUUCCGACCACUUCAAGAGGAACUAGCUGGAUGGUUCAGCAGGGAAGUCCUCCAUCCUAAAGGAGAACACUAUUACGAGGACGUAGAACUUUAUAUGCAUUAAAUCAUGUAUGGAAACUUGUUCAAAAUUGUAUAUGGUCAUCCGAUGAUAUUGAAUAUAUAUUGUAUAUUCCUCUUGAAUUCUUUUUGGUUGUAAUUUCAAAUUUAUUUGAAAUUGUACAUUCAUAUGCAUGUAUGUAGUACCGUAGAAUAUAUGAAACUCCUUCAAAAUUAAAAUAAAGCACAAAAGAAAUAAAACAAUACAAAUUAAACAGAAAACAGGUUUAGGGGGGGGGGGCUAAAACCCUAAACCUGUGGCGGCCUUUAGUCGCGGUUGGCCAGAAGAACCGCGACUAAAGGUCCUCCGCCCCGACGGCCGCCUGACGCCCACGUGGACGGACCGUUAGUCGCGGUUCUUAAGCAGCCGCGACUAAAGGUGGGGGUCUUUAGUCGCGCUUAUUUGGUCGCGGUUGCGCAACCGCGACUAAUGGCAGUUGCGAACCGCGACCAAAGGCCUUUUUUCCACCAGUGUAAAUUUGCCUGUGUGGCAAUGAGUUAUUUAGCUAGUUACCCUAACAUCACAUAUCCAAUACAAUAUGAGUCUAUAUAACCUAAUAAAUGAAGUUUUGCAUGACACCACACUUAUGUUACUACACUACUCAAUAUGAGUCUAUAUAGCCUCAGUAUAUAUGUUACUAGUGUAGGUUACACUCUAUGGCUAGUCUAAUGGCAUCACUUUUAACAUCACUGUUAUUUCAUUUAUUGUACCCUCUUUUCUAUAACAACCACUUGGACAUAAUUUUGUCCAAAACUUACCGGGUCACGCCUCAUCCUCCCAAAAUGCACAUGUAAGAUUUAUUUUUCUAUGUUCUUUCAAAAGAAAAAUAGAGGUUACCUAAUAUUUACAUAUUCAAACAAGACUUGCAAGCUAGACAAGUUAAGUCCUUGAUAACAAGGGAGCAGUUGCACUAACAACAAAUUGAUUUGACCUGUAGUUGCCUAGCUAGACAACAAUCACCAAUCGACCGACUUAGUUAAUACUCGCCAUUUCGUUGAAUCUGCACCGGGCGAGACCGCGGUGCAUGUGAUUAGACACUGGUAGGCCGGCCGGCUUAACAACUCAAAAUACGCUCGCCAACUACUCAUCCAACUUGUAACAGUGAAUUAAAAUUAAGCUAGCAUGCAUCAUCAGAGUAGACUUUGUUGAGUUAAGACAAUUGAGAGUUGAGUUGCUAGUUAUCAUCCAACUCGAUCAGAUUGUGAUGGCGAAUAGUAAAAUUAAGCCAGCAUGCAUCAUCAAAGUAGACUUUGUUUUGUGUGCGUACCUCCCGCAGUCUCGGUCUAUAUAUAAAAGUAGCCAUAAGAAGUCUUGACAUCGAUCGAAGUCCUAAUUAAGGAACUAAUGUAUUUGAUUAGUGAAUCGAUGGAGCCUCUGUUUGUGUUGACCCUCAUGAUUUAUUUUCCCAGUUAGCCAUAUUCGUGAAAUGGGUUAUAUUCCUUCAAUCAUUCAAUUCGCUUCUACAUACUUAAUCGUGUCACAACUAUAUGCAAUGUCUUCUAGUUGUUCCAUGACCAAGUGAGUACGUCAAAGCUUAAUAACUCAAACCAACACUACUUCCACACAAACCCAGAUCAAGCAAAUGUGAUAAAUUCAUACAGUUUCUUACCAAGCCGCAUUUGGAUUUGUUUUUGCUGAGAGCUCCCUGAAUAUACUUUCACCAACAAAAUUUGCAUGCGCCUAGCUCACAAGAGCUUCUCCAGCGCCAAUUGUUUUUGCUAUUUUUUGAAUUUAUUGUUCAUAGGCGGGAGCAUGUGAGCCCGGGCUCCGAAACGCCACACAUCUAAGCUUUAUUUUCCUACAUUCUUCCAAGAAAAAUAAGUAUGCUCUUCGAUAUUAAAAAAACAUGCAAAAUUAUCAUUUAUUUUUUCUAAUGAGAUUAGCUCCUCACUUAAAUGUUUUAUGUUACUAGCAAUAAGUAAACAUUAAGGACAAUAAUAUUACAGAGCCUCCAAUGUCUUAGGUCGGACCAUGGCGUAGAUCCUUCUGUUUUUUAUUUUUAUCCAUUGAACUGGGUUGGACCUAGCUGCACCAAUGUAUUACAGUCUUUUUUUGAUAAAUGGGAUAUAUUAAUAUCGUGAUGGUACAAGAUACACUCAGCCUCUGUACCAACAAGAUAUCCAAAGACAUCAGGAAUGCACACAGCAAAGAAAUAAUUUAAAAAAAGAAGAAGAAAGAAAACAAAGACCCGACGCGAUGUUGAAGCAGUCGCAACCUUAGCACUCUAACCACCACCGAAGACAACACCUAUACUACAAAUGAGAUUCUCCAGAAGCAAUGCCUCCAAGAAGGAAACAAAGCACAAGUAUUGUCAUUGCCUGAUCGAAGAUCUUGGGUUUUCACCCUAGAGAAAGUCCGAGUUCCAGAACAAUGCCUUCAACAAGGCCAUUACCAGGUACAACCAAUAAAGCCCUGACCUUGGAUUUACACACUACAAAUCAUGGCUCGGUACUCGAGGAGCACCACCAAGAAUGCAGUUCACCUGUGUUGCCACCCCGACUUGCCAUGGCUACUACUGCAUGCCAAACACCCGACACACAGCGAGAACCUGUGCUGCAUUGUCUUCAACACAACCAGUACCCUCUCUGCCAAUACCAACCUCCGAUCACAACCACCAUGGUUUCUCCACCUCUGUCGAUUCUGCUCUAGAUAUCCAGCAGCACCAUGCGCCAAACUGCAGAAAUCUGCAAGAGGAUGACCGGAACUCGAUGGCGGCCAACUCGAGGAGGCCGACAUGAAGCCGUUCGACGAUUUGGUGCUCGAAGAACAGCAAGGCCAUACCUCCUUUAUUAUUCAGAGCAGACCAGCAGCCCCCCACGCCACCAUCCGCCGGCCAGCGGGCCUGACCACCCCCGACGAAGGAGGAGUCCACCACUACAAUGCCCGGGACCGCUGCCCCGGAGGCCCGGACAGUACUCGUGUCGUGAGACUAGCCCAGGAGUUCCUCCACAUGCAGUUGUCGGAGAUGCAACGAUGUAGCAAGCACAAGAAUGGUCAAGACUCGUCUAAGCUAUACCAAAUCGGGGCCCUGCCCAACACCACCAGUCGCUACCGUCAUCCAUCCGCUGGUCACCGCCAUCCCACGGCACCAUCGAAGCCUAGGCCGGUGCGGGCGCCACGGCCGCUGCAAGAUUUGUGCUGCCGCACCUUGCCCGCCGCCAUGACACCCGUGACACCCCCGCCACCACCGCCGCGCCGCAAGGACCUUGCCCGGCGACGAUGCGGCGGUGGCAGGAGGAGGGGCGAGGAGGGGGUGGGCUAGACGGGAGGGGGCGGCGGCACUCUAGUGCGGCCCUGCACGGCCGCAUGGGAGCGGUGUUAUCAAGAGGAGGGGUGACGAGGGGGUUCGCUCAGGCAUUACAAUCUGGAUCGAUAAAAGAUAGUGUGGAUCAUUGCCUAUUUAGCUUGAAUAAAUAAGAGAAUCGUCUGGAGCCCAAAAACAUCGUGUAGAUCCUGUAGAUCAUUGCACUGAAAAAAGAUCGUGUAGAUCUAGAAGACGUUUGAGUUUUAUCUAUCUACAGUAGGUAACCACAUGACACGUGUGAUAAGCAAUCCAAAGAAUUAAAAAAAAAUCUACAAUCUACUUCCUCCGUUCAGGAAUAAGUGUACUUAUAUCUUUUGUUUUAAGUCAAAUUAAGUUGGUCAAAAUACGGAGGGAUUUCACGAAUAAAUCUACAGUCUAGGUAACAACGAAUAAGGUAUAAUCCCGAACGGAGGGAGUAGGUAGCUAAGUCAAAUACGUUCACACGGACGAGAAAUCAUAAUCGGUGUGCGAUAACAGUGAAGCACGUACGGCCAUCAUUGAUUAGCAGAAUAUAAUUGGAGUUCAACCGCAUGUGUGCAGCUAGCAAUCCAUUUCAUAAUUAAUUAUUCCUACUGCACCACCACCGCGUGCGUGCAGCUAGCAAUCUACUCCCUCAGUCCCAUAAUGUAAGACGUUUUUUAACACUACUGUAGUGUCAAAACACGUCUUAUAUUAUGGGCCAGAGGGAGUAUUUCUUAAUUAAUUAUCCGUCCUGCAUGCCAAUGAAUAUUCCACCGUUUCCAUGUUAGCUCACUACACUGGCUAUACUAGCCAUGGCUGUUCACACUAGCAAGACAAAUCAACAUCUCACGCUGUCAGCAUUAUCUUGAAUUAUUGCAUGUAAAAUCACCGGACUAGAAGUAUCCCUUGCUCGUGUGAACUUAGUAGUACUCCCUCCAAAUUUAAAUAUAAGUCUUUUUAGAGAUUUUAUUAUGGACUAUAUGUCUAUAUACGAAACAAAAUGAGUGAAUCUACACUUCAAAAUAUGUCUUAUAUACAUCGGUAUGUAGUCUGUAGUGUAAUCUCUAGAAGGACUUAUAUUUAGAAACGGAGAGAGUACUAGGUAAGCCUAUAUGUCUGCAUGGGUAGGCAAUUUUGAACUUGUAUAAAUAGUACGUAAGUUGUUUGAUGCCAUUUGAUAUGUGAAUAUUCAUUCGUAUUAGAAAAAUAGGUGAAAUAAAUUUGGCUGUGUGCAUUUUCUGUUCCAGUGGCUGGGUAAAUUCUUCACUUCCCAUUGUCUAACACGAUACAAAACAAACAUAAUGCGAAAGGAAAUAUACUAAUGGUUUGCCUUGGUAGAUAAAAAGAUUACACUCCUUCAGUUCAUUUUGAUUAGAAGUUAUAUGUGUGCAUAUGUAAGUGUCGUCUACGAGGGGGUGCAACACCACAUGUCACAGUUCAACAGCCAGGAGGUGGAGCUCCGUAACCGCUACCGUGGAGAGACGGGGCUGGAGGUGGGUUGGGAGAGCUCCGAGAAGAAUGUCACAACAGACAUAUUGGGUUUAGGGGAGUGUCAAAAGGGAAGGGAACCUCACCGCAAGGGUGUCUCCCAUGGAGCCGGACCAAUGGUCCAACCAGAAGGCGGUGGUCUCGCCAUUUCCGGCCUCUACCAUAGUGCAGCUUCUGAUGGAGGGAAGAACAGCCAGGAGGCCCUUCCACACGGGCGUGUCCAACCGAUCAACCUCGCCAAGCUCCCGAGCAGUGGCACCGCACCAGCGGGCAAGGAUCUUGGCUUCCUAUACUACUCUUUACACAGGAUCAAGUCUUCGCAAGGUGAAUAAGUGAAGGACAUAUUCAUGAAAACUCUAGUGGUUUAGAAGAAUUGGGAAUAAAUUAUUGCAGUGAGUUGGCUAGACCAAUGUUUUAAAUAACGAGCUAUGCCAAAUAGUGGGGCUGUAGCAGGCUAUAGCUGGUUAUUAGCUUACUAUUGUACAUGAGUACCAUUUAGCGGCACUAUAUAUGCUCAAAAAGCUAUAACGACUAUUUAUAACUAUGGGCUAGACUCAAAUCAACUUUGAGCUAUUUGAUUCAUUGGCAUAGAGUUCCAAUUCAAAGUAGGAGAUUGGCUCCUAGCAUGGUUCCGCAUACAUCUGGAGCACCACAUGAAGUUUUUGCGUGAUCUGGUCGUGUGAACAUUGCCGACCUACCGAUGAUGCUGCUUCACAUAAUGGAUCAAGACUUUGUUGCAGGUUGUUGCUAGAUGCCUACAGGAACGUGUCUAUGUUUGAUGUUUCACGAUCAUGAGCAGAAAAUGUUGAGUAGAGCUGAUGUUGAACGGCUACCAAACCAAUUAACAAGAAAUAUCAACGGGCAACAGCAAACUGCUAAUGGAGAAAAUGUUGAGUAGAGCCGGAUAUUUCCCACAUAAAUUUUUAUGUCAAUUCGUGCACCUGUAGUUGUGCUUAUCCACUAUUACUAUCUAUUAGUUGAACCUCUCAUCAUUGUUCAGCACUAGAGAGAGAUUGAUUGCUGCAUUGUUGCUACUCUUUGUUCCCACACUUUGAUCAACUUCUAGAUAAUAAUUUAUGGGGUCCUAUGAUGCAGUUGGACAUUACAUCCCUAAAUUUCAGGAGAGAUCACGUUGUUUUCAUUAUUCCAUCCCUAAAUUUUGGGGCAACAGAUAGGAGCCCAAGGGUCACAUGGCACCACACCAGAGAGAUGUCGUCCUCUACACUGAUGUCAUCCAUACCCAGGCCACACUCCUCCCUACACGUGACAUCAUCGGUAAUGUUGUUUUGUUGGGGUAACGCUUGUCCCCCAUCAUAUGGCACAACAAAGUCGCGGUUGGUCCCUCUGCGCUAUCAUUUUUGUGGAAUAUAAUCACCGACGAAGUUAUUAAUCGACAAGGAAGGCAAAUAGCAGCAUGCGGUGGUGGGUGACAAGUCUAGAUCAAGUCCGCAUCGAAUAUGGAAUGACCUGUAUGCUUGGGCACAAGUACGGCUACUACUAGAUGCCUGCUGGUGCAAUUGAUCUGGUGAUGCGACUGUCACGGUUGGGUGUUGUGAAACAAGAGAACACUCGGGGCUCACUUGUUUGUAGGAUUUUAUAUUUUUUCUAUCAAAAAAAGUAGAACUUUUGAAGAAUUUUACUUGUAACAACAUUUUCUUAUAGAUGUCUUUCGUAAAAGGAAAAAUGCACUUCUCCUUGUCAAAUUCCUAUGGAAUGGAUUGUGCCAUAGGAAUUUAGAAGGACUCUUAGUUUCCUACCAAGAGUUAGACCUCUUGUUUUUUUCCUGUUAUGUUCACAUCUCUCAUCUGAUUCAUGUGCAUUUUCAAAAGUUCUGUCCAGACAGUCAAUCCUAUGGUUUCGGGUUUUUCCUGUUCCGCGGGACUUCAGAAACUGGGGCAUUGAGUUCUUGUGUUUUUCCAGUUGAGGAUCCUUAUGUGAGUAGGUGAAAGAAAGGCUAGCCGGCCUAGCUUGUGGAUAGAUCUCCAUCCUGGUGCUUGGUUAAAUCCAAUCAGCUUGCAUAUGGCAUAUGGUGAAAGAAGGGCAGGAAGGAAGGAAGAAAAUCCAGAGUCUGUUUUGAUCAGGAGACAAGAGAGACGAGUUGGCAGCUACGCCACCAACCACCAUGUCCUCCUUCUUCACAAAAUCAACCACAUGGAUUCGGAGAUUACCAAGUACUCCCUCCGUCCAAAAAUAAUUAUCUAAACUUUAGUACAACUUUAUACUAAAGUUAGUAUAUUUAGUAUAAAGUUAACACACUUAUUUUGAGACAGAGCGAGUCCAUUUAUUUUUUCAACAUGGAUUAGCAAGUACAUGAAUAAACAGUCUCUUCUCUGACAGGAUAUCUUUUUCUUAGCCCAAGGAUAGCACUCAGUAAAUUCAGAUUAUUUAGCACGUCAUGUUAUACAGCGCUUAAUGCGAUACCUACGGUAGCCUCGCCUAGAUGGAGUGCUGAAUGGGCCAGCGCAUUCAGCACGAUUUUGGAAGCUUGUUCUCUAGUUUUGCUGGUUUGAGGAAGGUUCGUGGUUUUUUUUUCUCUUUUCCGUUUAUUUCAACCAUUUUCUGUUUUCCUUUCGGUUUUCUAUUUACUGUUCAAUUCUUUUUCUGUCUUUUCCUUAUUUUUUAAAAUUCAUGAUUUUUAAUCAUCUCGGUUUAGUGUAUAGACAUUCCCUUGAUACACGGUAAACAUUUUUCAAACAUAAAUUGAAAAAAAAUUACGCUGAUUUUUUUAAUACACAUUAGGUAUUUUUUUCAGAUAUAUGUUGAACAUAUUUUAGUACAUGCUAAAUAUAUUUCAGAUGCAUGUUGAGAACUUUUGGAAGUGACGUUGAAUUUUUCUAAAACAUAUUGAACAUUUUUUUCAGAAAUUCCUUUAACUAUUUUUCACAUUUCAUGAACAUUUAUUACGAAUCAGGUGAACAACUUUUUAAAUUUACGUGGACUUUUGCAUAAAUAUAUUAUGAAUACAGUUUAAAUGUGUGAACAUUUUCUAAACGUCUCAAGCAUUUUUUGAAAGAUACGAAUAUUUUUAACAUUGUGUGAACAAAUAUGUACACUGUAUGAAUAUUUUUAAAUGUGCGGUGAAAGUUUAUAAAAAUUGGAGUAAAGUAUUUUUAUAAAGUUAGAAGCAUAUGAAACAUUUUUCGAAAUUAUUUCACUUAUAUUUGUGAGAACAUUUCGGAAAAAAGGAAAACAGUAUAGCUGGUUUGCUGUAACCUGAAUGUAGCUGCAUGACAGGGGUUUGGGCACCAUUCGAUUGUGGUCGUACUGUACUUAGCCUGCAGAUUGACGUGAAGGAGGAGAAUUGCUAGACUGCAGAUUGUCCGAGCCUGGAGCACUAGUACUCCCUCCGUCCGAAAAUACUUGUCAUCAAAAUGGAUAAAAAGAGAUGUAUCUAAAACUAAAAUACAUCUAGAUACACCCCCUUUUAUAAAUUUGUUCGAGCCUGGAGCACUAGACCCUAAACCCCUAGAAAUUUGUUCGACUCCGGACGAAGGGAGUAUUCCUUUAUAAAUUUCUCCCGUGUAUCUUUGGUCCGGUAUUUAAUCUGACUGGACAUGGGUAACCCAGAGAAGCAACUGGGUUUGGCAUGCCCUUCUUCCGAUACUAAUCCUUCAUACUAUCAAAGUCUAUUCUGUCAUUCUAAAAAGGAAAAGUUUGUUCUUCUGUAUCCAUUUUUGUGACAAGUAAUUCGGGAUAGAGGGAGUAUAUGCCACUGAUGUCACUGAGAAUCAUAGUGUUAUCUUGUUCAGAAAGCAGUUAAUCCCACACAACUGUUAGCAAUGAGGUAGGCAAAAAUGCUACGUGUUUAAGUUGGCAUCUUGAUUCUCUGUAACUCUUGCGGUUGUACAUACGUGACUAGAUCAUAAAGGCGCGCUUUGCCGCGCCCGUCCCUUAAUGGAAAUAUAGAUGCAGGCUUUAAAAUUGUUGACAAAUAUGCCUUCACAAGCUUUCCCUGGUUCAACCUUAGUAAGCUAAAAUGGUUUGAACCAUAUUUUAAAAUAAUAAUUAGUGUCGGCUAAUGAAUACUGCAAGGGGAGGAGAGUCAUACUAAUAAAACCCAAAAGUAAUCAUGACCAUGCUUCUAUAGAUCGAACAGAGGAUGUCAAAAUGUUGUGGAGGGGCAUAGCUCACGUCGUGUAACUGUCCCUUAAUUUCCAUGCUUAUGUCCUUUUAGUCACUCAGGAAAUACCCACAACUGCAAGUUCUUGAUUAAUCUCCAAUGUCUAGAAUGAGAUAUUAAUCAAACAAGAGCACAUCUGGCAAAUGAAAAUUGGCAAUAGAAGGGAAUAUUUUCAACUACUACAAUAUCACACAUGGAAUAAUCAGGAAGUGGGAGAAUACCUUCAGACAUUGCCUACGAUACAGGCAUUACAUAAUUCGCCUGGAGAUGAGCAAUGCAGCGUGAGCCUAAUCAUUAUGCACCAAUAGUGGCUGACACGAUAAGCAACGUGGAAGCCCGCAAGCAAUCAACAUCUGCAUCUUACCACACUCAACUGUCAACACACAUAAUUUCUUAUCACCUCAGAUACUUGCUAGGUUAUAGAAUUGAACACAGCAAAUCUCUCUCUCUCUACUCAACAUCACAUGCUUAACAGCAUCAUGAUGAAAGGCAAAUGGUAUUCCAGCCCCCUAACUUCCGUAUCAAUUUAUAGUAGAAUUCAUUGAUUUAUUUCCCAAUUCUCCAUCCCAACAGGAAAAAUAAACAUGAACCAAGAAAACCAAUAUAAGCAUGGAACUCACAAAAGAAAAAAUGAAUAACAUUUAACAGGGCAAGAUUUCUUCUCAACGGACAGCAAAACGAGGGCUCAAACCAAUCAGUAUGUGAUUCCAUAGCAAUCCAAGCAAAGUGUAUGGAGAGAUGUGUUUACCUAUGAAGCUGAGAUUAGUGACGACGCAUGUCAGCUUCAGUUAUGGAAUGGGAACUGAUGCGUUGUACAGCUGCAACGCGUGGAGGCGGAUGCAGGAGAAGUACAGCCGGCGAUGGACGACGAUGACGGGGGCGGGCGCCGUGCUGCCAUGGAAGAGCGCUGCAAGACAUGAAACUAAAAGAGAGUAAAGAAGGGGCUUCGGAGGAAGAGUACAGGAGCAUGAACAGCACCGACGCCGACUCAGUCGUGCAGCAGAAGCUUCCCGACGGCGACGGCGCAUCGCGGAGGAUGAAACGGCGGCGCCUCGCGUAGGAAGGAGCUGUUCGUUCGGGGGAAUAGCGCUAGAACUUUUUUUUAGCAUAAUCUGUAUCCUUUAUUAAGCGUGCACAGUCAUCGGAAUACAGAUAAUAUCGGACAAAGAUGUAAGCCACACAUGGCGCCCGGGAGGGAGGGAUGCUGCAGCCUUAGCUGAAGCAUGAGCCUCUCCAUUAUGUUUUCUACUCUCAUGUAUAAACUCUACUUCCCUAAAAACUCUCCUCUGGUGCUUGAUAUCUUGCAGAAUUGGGAAGAACUUGCAUGGAUUGUCAUCCUUGAUCCUUGUUACCACUUCACAGCAAUCGGUGGCCACACAUAUGGACUGGAGUUGUAAAUCUGCAGCGAGUGCUAGCGCUUCGCUGCAUGCUUGUGCUUCGAGGAUCACCGGGUCCACAAUGCCUUCGACAAUGAUCGCUGAAGCCCCCAGAUAGGUCCCGUUUUUAUCUCGGCAAACUGCUGCCGAAGCGCCCUUGUCGCCAAUCUUGGAGAAGCCGCCAUCAGCAUUAAUUUUGGUGUCAUGCAGUUCUGGCGCUAACCAUGCAGACUGCCUCGGCUGCACUGAGUCCUUUAUUACAUGCGGGUCCCUGGGCAUUGCAAGCAUGCCCCUGGAUAUUGCAUGCAAGUCCUUCGAUUGCGCAUGCAGGUCCUUUGUGCGCGCCCCCCUUUCAGGUAGUUGAUCAAGCUCCGCCAUGAACUUGGUGAUGAAAACAUGGGUACUGAGGGGGCUCUGGAACUGCUCGUCAUGGAUAGCACGGCGCCUUGCCCACCAGAUUGCCCACAUCGUGACAAGCACCCGCGCCAAAUCCACCGUGGGGAGGGUAUCCACUAACCAAAACAUCCAUAGUUUAGCAUCAUCCGUUCGGUUAGAGAUGAUUGUUUCCGUUAUUUCCUCAUCCGCGAGAGCCCAUACACAUCGGGCCAUAUGACAGUCGAAAAGAGCGUGACACCACGUAUCCACCGCCGCGUGACAGAUCGAGCAUGCAGCGGAGUCGGCCAUACUUCUGUGAUGUCGAACAGCCCCCGUGGGUAUAGAGGUUUUGGCAAGUCUCCACGCAAAGACACGAACUUUGGAGUGAACCGCAGCGCCCCAAAGUCUAGCCCAUGAGCGGCCAUCAGCUGUGAUAUUGGAGUGGCCAUCAUUAUGCUCCAGCCAAUCUGUACGUUGUUGCUUUGUCGCUGCUAGCAGUUUGUACGCUGAACUCACAGUGAAAAUCCCUCUUCUGUCGUAGUGCCAUGACCAGAAAUCUGCCUGAACCUUGCUGCUAAGGGGAAUGUUGAGGAUUGACUCCACGUCCAUUGGGAACAGGUGUUCAUCAAGCAAAGCACGGUCCCAGGUGUGGGUGAUCUGGUUUAUGAGUUCAGAUACCUGUUGAGGAGGGUUCUGAGAUUUUGGGCAAACUGGCCGGAGUUUGAAGUCACGGGGUAUCCAGUUCUCGUGACAAAUGUUGGUACUGUCCCCCGUUCCGAUGUGUUUCAGGAGGCCGAGUUUUAGUGCAUCCCGCCCCUCAACAAUCGAACGCCAAACUUGUGAUGGGUUCCUCCCUACUUCUGCGUCCAGAAUUGAAGAAGAAGGAUAAUACACCGCUCGCAGAAUCCUAGCACUGAGGGAGUCCGGCUGGGUCAAAAGCCUUCAAGCCUGUCUGGCAAGUACAGCCAAGUUGAAGAGCUCAAUGUCUCGAAAGCCCAUGCCACCCAUGUUCUUCGGUUGUGACAUAACUUCCCAUGAAACCCAGGCAGUCCUUCUCUCUCCUUUCUUAGAUCCCCACCAGAAUUUUCGCAACAAACCAUUAAUAUGCUGACAAAGGCCUCGAGGCAGUUUGAAGCAGGCCAUGGAGUAAGUGGGAAUCGCCUGAGCAACUGAUUUGAUCAAGACUUCCUUGCCACCAACAGAUAAGGCCUUCUCCAUCCAACCUUGCACCUGCUUCCAUAUGCGAUCCUUGAGAUAUUUGAACGCCCCUUCCUUUGCUCUUCCCACAUCAGCUGGAAGGCCAAGGUAUUUGUCUGACAAUUUUUCAUUCUGCACCUGAAGAGUUUGCUUCACCUGUUGCUUCAGAGACUCUGCACAGCCCUUGCUAAAAAAGAUUGAUGACUUGUCCUUGUUAAUGCGCUGGCCAGAAGCUUCACAGUAACGUUGCAACAAAGAAUCCACCCGCAUUGCCAUCUCAGGUGUGGCAUCAAAAAACAAGAGGCUAUCAUCCGCAAAUAAUAAAUGAUUUACCUCCGGAGCACCCUCCGCAACUUUGAUUCCCCGUAUACUCUCAUUCGGAGCAACCGACUUGAGCAAGCAUGAGAGGCCCUCGGCGGCCAGCAAAAACAGAUAUGGAGAUAUCGGGUCACCUUGCCUGAGUCCUCGUGAUGGGCUGAAAUCAUCUUGCUUUGCACCAUUAAAAACAACAGAGAAAGAAACUGAGGUGACACAUCUCAUGACAAUCUCUGUGAACCGUGCACUAAUGCCAAGUUUUAGCAUCACCUUUUCAAGAUAGUUCCACUCAAUUCUAUCAUAUGCUUUCAUCAUAUCAAGCUUCAAAGCACAAAAUCUGUUACCCUUUACCUUCCGCGUUUUCAUGUAGUGGAGACAUUCAUAGGCAGAGAUGAAAUUAUCCGUGAUAAGCCGUCCCGGUACAAAUGCUGAUGUUCCUCAGAGAUGAUUUCGGGGAGAAUGAGCUUGAGCCGAUUAGCCAAAACCUUAGAUGCAAUCUUGAAGAUCACAUUGCAGAGACUUAUCGGUCUAAACUGUCCUAAAUUUUUUGGACUUGCAAUUUUUGGGAUUAAAACAAUGAACGUUUUGUUUAUCUCCUCCGGGGAAUCCUCACCCUUUAGAACACGUAGCACCAUAUCAGUUACCUCAUCACCGCACAACUCCCAGUGCCUCUGAAAGAAGUGUGCCGGAAAGCCGUCAGGCCCUGGAGCCUUGGUAGGGAACAUCUGGAAUAAAGCCGCUUUCACUUUGGUGUUUGUGUAUCGAGCGUUGAGCAUGUCAUUCAUGGCACCAUCCACCCUGGUCGGUAUAUGGGAGAGCACUUCCUCAAUCCCAAUAGUAUUUUCAGAGGCACAAAGAUUAUCAUAAAAGCUCGUUGCCAUGUUUGCCAUCUCUUGCUCAUCUGUACAAAUCGUGCCAUCCGCACGUUGCAAUUCGCUGAUACGGUUGCGUGUCUUCCGAGCACUAGCUUUGCGGUGAAAAAAUUUGGUGUUAUUGUCUCCCUCCGCCAGCCACUGAAUGCGGGCCCGUUGACGCCACAUGAUUUCCUCGCGCAAACACAGCUCCGCCAUACGGGCUGCGACUCGCUCUUCUUCCUGUAAUGGUCCUGUGCGGUUUGGCAAUGCACGCAGUUCCGCAAGUUUCGUGCGCAGUGAACGCAGCUCUGUUCUUACAGCCCCGAAAGUGGUUCGGCCCCACUGGCGCAGUCUACCAGCUACAUGGGAAAGUUUCUCGGACAGAGCUGCUACAGAAUGGGCCUUGCCGUUAGAGUUCCACGCCUCAGCUACCACCUCACCAAACCUCGGAUCACGCUCCCACAUGCAUUCAUACUGAAAUUGCUUCUGUCUUGUUCUCACACUUGUGUCCACAAGCUCCGUCUCCAAAAGGAUAGGGCAAUGAUCAUAUUUAGCCGCUGUUAGAUGUUCCACUGAAGCAAAAGGAAAGAGGGCAGACCAAUCAGCCGUGCCUAGAGCUCUAUCCAGGCGAACUCUGCAGAAAUGACCUCCGGACACUUUUUUCUCCUAAGUCCAAUCCAAACCUCGGUAUCCCAGGUCGGCAAGUCCACAAAUAUCCACCGCCUCUCUGAAUGCGUCAAUUUGCGCACUGUCCCGCUCAUUAGGCCCAAAUUGUUCCUCGGGCCGUAAGAUCUCAUUGAAAUCCCCGAUACACAUCCAUGGAAGAGUGCUCUCUCCUCUCAAUCUUGUCAUCGUGUUCCAAGUUUUGUAGCGAAGAGAUCGCGUUGCUUCUCCAUAAAAGCAAGAAAGGCUCCACUGUUCCAUUCCUGUUUCAAGCACCCAUGCAUCAACAUGAUACUCCGAAAAGUUCUUUAUUUCAACAUUCACCGAAUUUUUCCAGAAGAUACAAAUACCACCACUACGACCACUACUGCCAACAACAAAACUGAAAUCAAAACCUAACGAGAAAUGAAGACCCUCGACUCGAUUCUUUUGCAACUGAGUUUCAACUAAGCAAAGAAUAGACGGUGAACUUAGCUCCACCAGACUGCAGAGCUCUCGAACUGUCGCUGGAUCACCUAUCCCACGACAGUUCCAGCUGAGGAUUUUCAUUGGGCUUGGCGGUGCUCCGAGGAGGAGCCCACCAACAACGCCAUCUUAUCAGUUCCUUGCUUCAAUGGUGACCCUGCUUUCUUUGCUUUCUUGGCAUCCCGUGGUGAGACAUACGCAGGGGGUGGUGGUGGGACGACCAAAGUGGUGUCAGCAAUCUCUGUUGCCUUUCUCCGCAUCACUCCCUCCGCAGUAGCCGAGCUGUCCGACAAAAUCAGGUUCAAGUUUCUCCGAACAGUUGCAGCGGCGGGCGUCUCCUGCCUCUCAGCCCCCAGCUUGAGAGGGCUAGUAACAUCAUCAUCUUCCUCAGUCACAUCAAAGCCGGCGUCCUGAGACGAACGCUUGCGUGGUGGAGAGCGCUGGCGGGUAAAACCCCGGCCUGCCCUCCCUCUUCCUCGUCUGCCUGAACGGCCCCCACUAGGGGCCCAUCCACCUUGCUGCUCCGGUGCAACCUCCCUGUGUUGGGCCAGCAUCCAGCCGCCCCACUGCUUAUCUUUCUCCUCCCAAACACCAUCGUCGCACUCCUCAUGGUUAUGACCCAUGAAACCACAGACCUUGCAGAAAUAGGGGAUCUUCUCGUAUUUCACCAGGAGGCGAAGUCUUCCCUCGCCUACAACAUUCAAAGGCGUGAUCCGUGUAAGAGGUUUGCUGACUAGAACCCUUGCCCGAACCCUGACAUAAUCUCCCUCGUAAUACAAACGAGGUGCAAGCUGGACUUCUUUCACCCUUCCAAUGCGCCGGGCUAGCUGAUCAACCACCUCCGCUUUGCGAUAGAGUUCUGGGAUGUUGUGGAUCUGAGCCCACACGUAUAAUCCAUCAAAAUCGAAAAAUGUUGGUUCCUUCUUCCCGUCGUAAUCCUCGAUCAGCAUCCCCAUCCCCCUGAAAAGCCAUGGCCCUCCAUGCACAACCUUCUUCCAAUCCCCCAGACAGAACAUCUGGAAGAUGAACAGAUUUUCUCCCGCCUCUCUAUACUUCGGCACGUGCGCCAGUGACCAGAUGGAUUUCAUGCACUCAAACAUCGCUGAUGAACUAAAGAUGCGGGUGGUAUUCACUUUCGCAAUCGCCAGCCACUUAGCAUCUGCUUCGAAUUUCUUUACCUCCUCCUCUCCUACGAUCACAUCAUCCAGUUCAUCGUCCUGGAGAUCCAGAUGCUGCAGCAGAUCCUCAAUGUUCUUCCCUGCCCCGUUCGACGACGACGACUCCGCUCGGUCCGCCAUCUAGGGUUCUUCUCCGUCCGAUGAAAAGCGCUAGGAAACCGAACCGGGCUCCUCCCUGCCGAUCGGGGGAUGAUCCAGGCGAGGGGAUCAGCCGGCGGUAGGUAAAACGAUGAGAAACUCUAGGCGGCGAUAGGAUCGCCGCCAGAGCCUGAAACCCUAAACGAGAGGGUAGGUAGUCGAUAUAUAGCGCUGGAACUUGGACGACCUGGCCUAUUUGGCGUGCUAAUGAAAGACCUGGGCCUUGGACGGCCCGUUUAAGGAGAGAAACAGGAGCUCGUUCUACGGAGCAGCAGCCCGCGAGACGGUUCGUCGAACGUGUGUGGACGACGUGGGAUGACCGAGUUGAUCCGCAUCGUAAGUUUGAGUGAUCCAACGGCUGAGAGACGCGAUUCGCUGUGGAGGCUCCUAGCUCGCCUCAUUAUACUGUUUCUCAAUGGUUGGAUCAUAUGGAUAUGUACUGAAUGUAUAUGUUCAGUCUACACUGACACCGAUGGAACUGGAUUCAGAAGAGAAAAGAGUGCUCGUCCCUCAUGCCCGAGCUGUGUAAUGGUGCCACAGACGACCACGCUGACCUCGGCCUCGUCAGUGUGACUCUCAAGCAAACUUGCCGGCAUGAAAUUUUCCGCUUCCUCCGCUGACGGUCUUGUAUCGAGUUCUCAUCGAAACACUUGUUCAUCCAUUCAUUCGUUCAGAAUAAAAACAGACAGUGCCAUGAUCUCGCAAGAAAUAAGAGAGCAGAGUUGAAGUUGCAGCUACACUUACACCCAUGUUGUUGUUCUUCGCAAAAGCAAUCAGGGAUUCAGUUGAGAAGGAAGAACAAUGUUGAUUUUUUUUAAAUUUUAUUUUAUUGUGCGAUGAAAGAAGAAAUGUUGAUUAACCUAACGAUUCGGCAAGUGCCUGAGGGUAAAACCGGACCAAGUGCUCCUAGAGUUCACAUUGUUUAGUCAGGUUGCUCUGCUCGAUUUUCUUAGUGCAGAUGAGCAACUGGCUUUCUAUGGCACACAUGUUUAGUUUCGCAAAAUCAAAGUUUAUUAUGUUAUUCUUGUAAACAGAAGUUCUUGCUAACCUGAUGCCACUGAGAGAGAAUCAUACUAUCAACUUAUUCAGAAAGCAGUCGAGCAUCAGUGCUGGACUGUACCUGAACAUCUGCUCAAGAUCCCGAGAAGAUAAAUUUCUUUUCAUAGAUUCAGUCGUUCCGACUGACAAUCUCCACCAUAUAUUCAGAAGUAGCCAUCUAAAGUAGACAUCGAUUAUAUUAUGUAUAAACGGAUCGAAUGAAUAAUGUAUAGUACUGGUAGGAACUAGGGUUCUACCGGGUCUAGGGCGGAGUUGUAGGGGAAGGAGGGAGCUGGAUGUGGACGAACACGCGGCCGCCGGUAGAGUCUUGAAAAAAAAAAGUUAUUGAGAAAGAAGUUAAAUCUCAUGGCCAGUCCUGUUGAGCGCUCUGGAGCCAGUAGCUUCAUCUCAAAAGCAAUGAUUGUUUCAGUCAGUCUUGACUCAAUGACUCUGCAGCUGCACUCAAUGACUCAAUGACUCUGCAGCUGCUCUGCACCUACUCUAGAGCCGUGGCGCACUUCACAAAUGGAAGAACACUGAAAAGACCCAUUCAAUCGGGUCGUGUAUGUUCAGGUUUAUUUGGCAGCUGUUUGAGCAGCAUUCGGUUGUAGUAUAUACAGUAGAUGUUAGUUAGUGUUAAGCACGCUCUGGAUGCAUGUUGUCGUCGUACUGUGCUUCUCACAGUUUGACUGACGGACGUGCAUUGACAUGGAGGAAAGUUGCCAAACCCAGGUAGGUAGAUCCAACAGGACUCGAUCGAGAGCUUGCCUUUUCAGAUCUCAUGGCCAGUCCAGUCGAGCCAGCAGCAGCAUCAGUGUUCCUGAACUUGCUCCCAAAAGCAAUGAUUGUUUCAGCCAGAACCAGAAGCAAGAGAUGCUCUGCCCCUACUCCAUAGAACUGCCAAGCACUUGCUGGCUUGCAGAUUGUCCGAGCCGCCCUGGAUUAGAGCUGGAGGUAUAAAUUUGAUCAAAUGCUCCUACAUUUGAAUCUGUUCUAGUCAUCAGGUUGAACUGUCCAUGUUGCUUCCAACUUUCGAGUAAUGCAGAGGAGCAACUCGGUUUGGCAUAUCCCCUUUUCUUCCACAAAUACAAAGGAGGAGGAGGAUGAGGAGGGUGCAGUUUAGGCAGGCAAUGAGUAGGAGAAUUUUCAAGCACUUGUUGGCCUGCGGGUAUCAAUUUGUUCUACACAGGUUGCUCUGUUCAGGUUCUUUCAGUAGGGGUAGGGCCCUGAUGUCACUGAGGAUCAAUACUGUAACUCAUUCAGAAAGAAAUCAAUUAAGUUGAUACACCUAGCUGUUAGCAAUAUCAUAAGCAAAAUACUACUACUACUUGUUUGCAGCUAGUGUUUCAUCAGUCAGCUCGUCAGCGUCAUUGCCUCUCUCUGCCGUUGGCCGUCACAAUGCUUUACUGCUCACAGCCACUUCUUUGAAGCUCAGCUCAAAGUAUAAACGGGCCGGUCGAAUGAAUCAUGUACAGACAAACUUAUUCCACACCAAAGGACGACAAAGCUGCACAAGUUCAGAAUGAUACUGCUCAACUUGUACCGAGUAUGUGGAGAUUAAUUACAAGUACAUCAUACCACAAAAAAGAUAGAAGCUACAGCCAGUGCCAACCAAAGCGUAACACUCCGAGGAUAACAACACACCACACGUCUUGGCAAAGGAGCCGCUGAGGGCCGAUGAUUGCAGAAAUUGGCGAUGCAAGUGAACAGGGUCGAUCGGCCUACGACACAUGGGAGAGCCGAACUGCAUGAUGAGAGCUCGAGAGAUUCGCUCCACCUCAGUGACAGGCAGUGGACACGAGGUGUGAUCGCUGGAACCCUGCUGUUCGAAAUAAACAAACAAGGAAAGUUUUAAAAUUAAUGAAGGGAACUUUUAAACACAUAAAACAAUUGAAAGCUCAAAAGUUUACGAAAUAGAAAGUACAAAACGUUAUCUCUUUGAAAGAGAACAGGCGAGUACUUUACCUUUUUGUUUCUAUAUGGAUGCAAAUCUGGAUGAAAAUCAAUUAAAACCUUUGAAGCGGAUAUGCUCAAUCUUUGGCCAGCUAUCACCAUCAGGUGAUUGGCAGCUCUCCCUCAAGAGUUCAGAACCACACAUUUCUAUUCUGUUGAGGGAAGAUGGCAAAUCGGGUAAAAAUGAUAUAUUGUGGCAUUUAAUAAUCUUGAGUGUCCGCAGACAUGAAAAGCACUUCAGAUUUCCUGGCAAGGAACUGAUUUCACAAUCAAAAAAUAACAGGCACUUGAUAGAUGAGCAAUCUGCAGAUUCUUCAAAUGUAAAGGACUCAUUGCAUCCUUCAAGACCGAGAAAUUUUGGAACUAUAAAACCUUCAUCUGAGAGCAUGUGGUUGAGCAUUACAGAACUGCUAACAUGAAGAUUAUUCUUGACUCGCAACUGUGAGAUGAACUUCAUAUUGAGGUUCGGGACAUGUACAAAUUGUGCACUGGAUAGUUGCAGUGAAGACAAGCCUUCAAGAAAGCACAUGUCCUGUAAAUUUCGCAGUGACAAUCUUUGGAGGGAGGUUAAAUGACCAAUCGACAAUGAUGCAGAGCUUCUGCACCACCUCAUGGAAAGAUCUUUCAGAUGCGGCAAGUCACUACUGAAGAAAUCAGCUGCAACCACACAGUGGCGUAUGUCGAGCUUCUCAAGGGAAAAUGGCAUAAAAUCUGAUCCACAUGCCAGGUCUAAAGAAGGGCAGCUGUAUAAUGAAAUUUCAGAAAGACCGGUGGCAGCUCGCAACCCCCCUAAUAAUCUAAGGCACCAGCAUGAGUCGAUGCACAAGUUCUGAAGCUUCGUCAUAAUCUCUUUUAAUGACAAACUUCUUAGUGAAGUGAGACCAUCAAGGCAAACCGCUAAUGCCCCAUCUGUAAUGAUGCAUGAAGAAAGAUCAAGCCGAGAAAGCCCUGAUGGUGGAACCAGAGGCAUGCCGCUGUUCCUUGUACAAAUUAGUCUUAUCCUCUCCUCAUGGCAACAUAUCCAUGCCUUGAUGGUAACCUCUUUUAGCAUUGCUUCAUCCCCAUCUCUUUGUAGAGCACUUUCAAUGGUUUGGAGAUGAGAACUAUCAGCAUCCAUCAAUGUCAUCAACCACUUGAGAGAUGAGUGAUCUGACAAUAAUACUUUCCUGAUUUUGGAUCCCGUAUCCACCUCCCACAUGGAAGAAAGCCGUGACUCCAAGUUGUGUAUCAUCAUGGUGUUCUCCCUUUGGUCAUGUUGUUCUAGCUCAUCGUUAGAAAUAAACAUAACCAACAUGCAUUUCUCAAUCUUCAACUCUUCAAGCCUGGUUGGAAGAGAAGGCAGUGUCUUCAGGUUUCGGACAUUCUCGAGGCGAUGUAAGGAGCAAUUCCCGAGGAGAGCAGCAUUGGAUGGUAGUAUUUCUAAGGCACUGCAAUCAACAAGGGUAAGUGCCUCGAAAUUCUGGAAAUAAGAAUCCUCAAGUAACCAGCUUGGGUAUUCUGUACAUCUGUAACCUUCGAUAGUAUAAGGCCCAUAAUUUGAGGUGGUUGUAUCAGACCUUCUAGAGUUUCCAAAUGUGAACUAUCAUGUGAAGCCAUGUCAUCAUUGUAACUCCAUUCAAGGUGCAAUCUCUGAAGAUGACUUUUCUGAUGUAGCUUUGCUUCAAAGGCUUGAUCCUUCCCCGUGACAUUCUCAAGAUUUUUGACACAUAAACUUCCACCAAGGUUGUUCAUAUAUUUCAAUUGUCGCACCUCAUAGCCCAUCUGCUUUCGCACGCAAAAUUGUUCGAGGUGUUGGAGCGAAGUUAAGUUGCCUAUGUAUGGGAUUUGAGCACACCCUUCAAGAUAUCUCAACUACUUAAACUGAAUAGUUUUUCAGGCAAAAGUUUAAUGUUGACACACUGAAGUGAUUGCAAGUGGUAGAGAGCACACAAUGAUUCAGGCAAUUCGGAGAUUGAUGUUCUUUUGAGGUUCAAGUACUGAAGGUGCUUCAGUUCACCAACAGACUCAGGUAGCUUGCUGCUGUUAUGGAAGCUCAAAUAGAGUACACGCAACUUCUUUAAAUUCUGCAGCACCUGCUGGAAAAUAUCUCUUGCAUCAUCUAAAAGUGGUUCAAUGCAAACAAAGCUACGUAAAUUCUGUAGCCCGCAAAUAGAGUGUUGAUGUUGCUUCAGAGUCGUAACAUAGACAGAUAGAUGUCGAACAGUGUGUGGUAUUUUUGCCACCUUAUCAUCUUCUAACCUGAAGCAGACUUUUUCAGACAGUAAUUCUGCCAAAUCAUGAACCAGAUCAUGCAUAACAUAGUGUGCAGAUAUGUCAGCUGUGGAUUCGUAAGCUGGUUGAAAGAAUGAAACUGAGAGCAGCUCAUUAAAGCAAUCCCUCCCAAUAUCUUCCAUUCUCUUGUUCACAUUGCAGGAUUCAAUUAGUCCCUCUGCUACCCACAUAUGAACCAACUCCUUAAUGCGAUACCAGUAGCCUUUUGGAUAUAAACUACAAUAUAGAAAACACCUUUGCAGACUCAGAUCUAGCUUCUCAUAACUCCACAAGAGUGCUCUACUGGGAUCGCUUAAGUUGUCCAUCUUUAGAGCAUCUUCCCAUGCAGCCUUAUCCUUUUUCCUGGUCAGCCGUGAACCCACAGUUUUUGCUGCUAGAGGAGAUCUUCCAAGUCUUUUAGCAAGCUUUUCUGCAAUAGUUUCUAGCUGCUCACGCACCUUCUGGUCUCCAACUGCUGCACCAGAAAAGGCAUGGUCCUUGAAGAGUUCUAAGAUAUCGGUGUCUUCCAGAUUUUCAAAUGAAUAGUUUCAUUACAGCAAAGAGGAGCUGGCAGUAUAUCUGACCGAGAAGUUACCAAAACUUUGCUUCCCAUUCGUUGAGAUACUAGAGGAGACAAUAGUUUCUCCCACUCCAUCUCAUUGGUGUUUUCUUCAAACCAGACAUCAUCCAACACAAGAAGGUAUCUGUUUGGAUUUUGCAGUAUGUCUGUUAAUUUGCACUGUAGAGUAUCAAGAUUAUCAAUGCGUGGGCACUCUCCCUUUGUUGUUGAUUCAAUUGUCAACCGCGUGUGGCGGUCAACAUCAAGUCUGCGUGAGAUGCAUACCCACAUCCUGACCUCAAAAUGUUCUUUUACCCUCUUGUCAUUGUAAAUGUGUUGCGCCAAGGUUGAUUUUCCCAUGCCUCCAAGUCCAACAAUGGCUAGACCAGAAUACCUACUUGUAUCAGACUCAAGAGCAAUUGGCUUGGUAAGAAGAUCUAUGAUAUCAUCCCGAUCCUUGUCACGACCAAUCACUUUCUGAGGUACCAUUGAUGUGACAACUGGAACAACAGGUGUUGGUACUGCAGAGGCCUCACUAUUACCGGCAGGCAAGCAAAGCAAUUCACGGAAGUCCUUGGCUUUCGCCAGGAUGGCCUUCAGUUCUUUCAACUGGUGAAGCAGCCGUUUGUUCUUUGGGCGCAGAUUGGACAGCCUGCUCGACGCAGUACGCACAUGCUUCAUAAUAGUAUUACUGGAAGAUGCAUGCUCCGGCAAACAUUCCUUCCCCUUCUCUGCUUCUCGCUUGAGGAUGUUGUACUCAUGCUCAUCUAGCAGGUCCUCAGCUUUACAGAAGGCGUCUUUCAGCUGCUGGACCCAGUUGUUCAACAUUGGCCUGUGAGGGCUCCUGUUAGCUGCUUCAACCAGUAGAGCGAACUGCGGCAUGAUGUUGGUCUCCAGUUCAUGGAGCUCACUCACCAUGUCCACACCAAGACACCUUGCAGGGUCAGCUAGGAGCUUCUUUAAGAUUGGAGAUACCACCAACUGUAAACCAGUCCGCACGCCAGCCACAGCCAGCGCCACCUCUGCCAUGGAAAGCACACCGUGGGUAUAGGGGAUGAUGUAUCUCUUUUUUUUUGUUUCUUGGAAGUCGAAAGACACGGUGGGAAAAUUGGGAUUUUUUUGAGGAAUGAAAAUAGGGAAUAUAACAGAGCAAAGAUGGGAAAUAGGUAAGAUUACUCCGAAGGCAGGUUUUUUUGCGUGUAUUCACAGAAUCAUCUAUUUGGUUGGUGGAGGAGAUGGAAAAAUGAUGUGAAGAAGUGUGUCUGGAGGGGAAAACGAGACGGAAUGGACGAGACACAAAAAGGAAUGGAUGAACAUGGAGAAGUACAGAAUAGCUAACGGGGCCCUGAGCUCUAAUGAUAGCAAUAGUUGAAAAAUCUGCAGGAGUAGAAAACAGGGAAAUAAAUCAGAGAGCUGAAUCAUACAACAUACUGCAAACAGCGCCGCUGCAUACUGAUUCUUCUUCUUGCCUUUGUGCAACUGGAUGUAUUUGAAGAAGAAGACUAACAGGGACAAGAAACAAAACAGAGGGCAGCAAACUUACGCAGAUGAAGAGGCGAAGGACGAUGAAGGCAGGGAGCGAUUGUUGCAGCAGGUGUGGUGAUGAAGGGGAAUGGGAGGUUGCGGGAGAGGCGAAUUGGAGGCAGCACUAGACCAUAAGAGAAAGGCUCUCCAAUGGGGGUCAACAAAACAUGAAUGUAUCUGAUCCAGCCACUAGCAUUUUUUAACUUGAGCUGAGCCCAACUUGCUGAAAAGCUAUCAGGUACCCACUGUCUGUAGCGCACUCACUAAUCAAACGAUGAUUAAAAUACAUGAAGCGGACGCGUAAGCUGUAAUUAAUAAGAACAAGUGCCCAUCCGCUCAUGUUUCUUAACAAUGAAAUGGUAGGUCAUCUUACCUGCUUCUCUUUAUUUAUUUCUUUCUCUCUUUUCCAUUACCAUCACUGGACCUUUUGUGUGAUUUCCAGGAAGCAUCGCUCCAGUUGUGAAAGGUAUGACAAAUAAUAAAUUUAAUUAUGAUCUCAUAUGCCUUCAAUAUACAGGAUAUAUAUGGCAAUUGACAAUAGCAAAUGGGUAAUAUGAUGUGCAUUAAAGGAAAAAACAAUGAAGACCGAUUAUGACAUUGCGAAACAGAGAGGAAGUGGGUGAUAAGACAGAUUAUGACAACUGUAGCAGUUUGCGCAUCAGAAUAGGUCUACCUUACCUGCUUCUCCUUCUUUAUUUUUCCAUCACCAUCACUGGCCUUUCAUGGUUUCCAAGAACAAGAACAAACUGGAGCAGCUAGGCUUCAUCCUUGCCAGCACAUAGAGAUAGAGGUUAACUAACUGCUAUGAGGCAUGCAUAUUCAGCAGUAAACAUAGUUUAACUAACAUGUUUUAACAUCCUCGGAAAGAAAAAAGAACAACGAUUGCAUCUGAAUUGGAUGAUUUUUCCCCUCUUGGUGACUGACCCCAAUUGAAUUGAGUUGUCAAGACAAAUUGCAUCAAUGGUUAUACUACAUGGAAGCAAUUGGCUGAACAUAGAUAGGUUAACUGUAGCACGCUGAAGCCAGCAAACUCUGCUCCAGCUAGUUGUGUAUUUUAACUUGAGCUGAGCUCAACUUGCUAAAAACCCCAAGUAACAGGUACCCACUGUCUGCAGCGCACCCACUAAUGAGUAAUGACUAAUGAAAUGAUUAUAAGUACAACAAGUGCCCCAAGCUGCCGGCCUAAGCUAUAUUUUAAUAAGAAGUAAGUGCUCAUUUGUUCAUCUUUUGACGAUUGUUACUUGAUCAAAGAGUGGUUGUUGGCAUGAGGGAGUAAAUCCAGGUAACCAUUGUUUUAGCAGGGAUGGAUGUCACUCGGCAGUUAAUUAGAAGCAGUGGUUCUGCUGCAAACACGAGGCAAGUCACAAAACAGCAAGUCUGGGAUUGAGUUGAGUUGUUAACCUGAAGGCUCACCAAUACCAGCUUGAAUCUUGUCAGUUUGCAUAUCGUGUAGUGUAGGACCUGGUGCUAGCACACACUAGUAGAAAAAUGGCCUAAUGUGAAGCAUAUUAGUCCCGGUUUGUAACAAAACCGGCACUAAUGUGAUGGCGGAGAUCAUUAGUGGCGGUUCGUGGCUAACGUUUAGUACCGGUUCGAGCAACAAACCAGUACUAAAGAGGUUGUGGCGGACUGUGGUCAGGCUGCAGCCCCACCAGUAUCUUUAGUACCAGUUCAAUGCCACAAACCGGUAUUAUAGGUCUCUAGUUGAUUCAUUCUGGAGCGGUUUUUUAGUCCCAUCUCGCUCCGCUAACAGAGUUUUUACCACUUUAAAUAUGUUACUUCUCAAACUAUUACAAGCAAGAAAGUCAGUAAAGUUUGUUUUAAAGAGUACGUAUGAACAAAAAUGUCGCCUUACUUGCUUCUUCUCUCUUUGUUUUCCAUCACCAUCACUGGGCCGUUGUGAUUUCGAAGCGCCUUCCUAGGCUCGAGUUGUGAAAGCUACGACAAACAAUAAAAUACCAUCUCUUAUGCCUUUGAUUUACAUACAGGGAAUCAACGGCAACAUACAAUAGCAAAUGCGUAACAAAUGCGGGGCUGGAGGUAGGUGGCCUGCUGGUGGGGGCGCUCCAGCCACCCUCGUUCUACGCGCGGCGGGGCGGCUGCGGUGCUCCCGUCUCGGGAGGUGGCGCGCGACCGGUCUCUUGCCGGAUCCGGUCGGAUCUGGCUUUGGGGGCCGGCCAGUGGCGCCUGGCUCCGGUGGUGCGUGCCCCGCGGCUCCGGCGCUUGGAGCUCGCCGGGCGACGCGGGUAGGUCUCGGUGGUGGCCUACCGGUGUCGUGGCGGCUUCACGGUGGCUCGAUGGAUCUGCCCGCGGCAACGGCCAGCUUCUCCGGCGUCGGUUUCUCUACGUUCGGCCGUCUCGACCUUCACCCCAUCUCCUCGUCGCCCGCGCGCUACUCCCAUCAAAGGGCUGGUCCUCUCCCACCUGCGGUCCACCGCUCGUCUCGCGCCCGAUGCCGCAGGACCGAGCUUGUCUCGCGCACGAUGCAGCAGCACCGAGCUCGUCUCGCGCACGGUGCAGCUGGACUGACCUCGUCCCCCUCUCGUUGCUGCAGGACCGAGCUCAUCUCGCGCUUGGGGCAGCAGGAUGGGUCGGUGGAUGCCAGUUCUGGCCGACCUAUUGGGUCUCGACGCUGGGGGUUGCCCAGGGGCGCGAAAAGUGGGACCUUUCCGCUCGUCUCUUUCGUUGGGGUGCGGCGGGUCUCGAGUGAGGUGGUGUCGAGGUCUUGGAUGCUGGGCGGCGGCCCUGGUGGUGGUUGCGCAGUGCUCUUGGGCAGAGCCCGUGCCCUGGUGCUGCCCAGUCACCAUGGUCGUGUGGGCGGCGUGGUUGCCAGGGUGUGGCGUUCGGUGGCGGUGAAUGUUGGCCGGGGUAAAAACCUGCUCUAUCUUCGGACGGACCAGCGGUGACGAAGAUCGUUCCCUUCUUGAAGGCGUCGUCGCAGCUCUCAUUGCCCGUCAUGCGGCUUCGGGGGAAACUCUGAUCCUUGGAUCGGGCGUGGCAGCGCUACGGCGUCGUUUCCUUCCUGAAGGCGCCGCCUUGGAGCGCAUGGUUCGUCAUAUGUAGCUUCAUCUCUUCGGGACGGUAGUGCUAGGAGUGGUGUUGCUGCGCUCAGCGCCUAUGUAUCAUGUCCUGGAUGUGUGCGUGUGUUGCGGUGGCGUGGUGUGUGGUUGUGCCGGAUGCUUGUGGUUUGGUGCUUUAUAUAUAAAGCGGGGCCAAAGCCUUUUUCGGUAAUGCAUAACAAUCAUAACGAUAUGCAUCAAAGGAACAACAAUAAAGGCAGAUUAUGAGAAAUUGUACUAGUAGUUUGUUACCUGCUUCUGUUUCUUUUCGGUCACCGUCAGUGGCCAGUUUCCAAUAGCAAAAAGGAACAAGGAUUGCAUCUGAAUCAGUGGCCCAAAUUGAGUUGUCUAAGACAAAGUGCGUGCAUCAAUGGUUACAGCAACCUACCUCUGCAUCUUAGGAGUAUCAGCUAAGGGGAAUGAGUGGCAACCUCCCUCCAGGGGCAGGAUGGAGCUCUACCCGCUGAUUCUGAUUAAGAUUAAGAUUCAGAUUCAGAUUACUCCUAUGGGCAUCAAUUGGAUCAAGAACCUCUGCAUCUGCUUAUGAGAAANNNNNNNNNNNNNNNNNNNNNNNNNNNNNNNNNNNNNNNNNNNNNNNNNNNNNNNNNNNNNNNNNNNNNNNNNNNNNNNNNNNNNNNNNNNNNNNNNNNNNNNNNNNNNNNNNNNNNNNNNNNNNNNNNNNNNNNNNNNNNNNNNNNNNNNNNNNNNNNNNNNNNNNNNNNNNNNNNNNNNNNNNNNNNNNNNNNNNNNNNNNNNNNNNNNNNNNNNNNNNNNNNNNNNNNNNNNNNNNNNNNNNNNNNNNNNNNNNNNNNNNNNNNNNNNNNNNNNNNNNNNNNNNNNNNNNNNNNNNNNNNNNNNNNNNNNNNNNNNNNNNNNNNNNNNGGGGGGGCGCAUUGGACCCCUUUGUCCUUCAAAUAAUAAACCUGAACCUAGAUGCCUUGCUCUCUGCUGCCACAAGCAUGCCUUGGCAGCGAUCGAGGCACGCUUCUACGGAUUCACCUGGGGCAAAAUAAAGCACCGCUACUCCAUCUUUGGCACUGGUAGUAACAUUCGCUAGGUGAUGGAACAAUAAACACUAUCGACGGUUAAGAGCGGAUCGAGGAAAGGACAAGGUGCUUCAUAGCUAGCUAGGGAGAUCAUAUACUAGAUCAUUUUGGUAAUUAUUUUUCCUUUGCUAGUUCUCUUGUUAGUUCCUUCUUCUGCUAUGGUGUUAAUUAAGUUAUGUCACUGAAUACCAUUAUAUCCUUGGGUGAUACACGACUGAGUUACACAACUAUGUUACUUGUCUAGCUGCUCCUGCACGAAAGUUUAUAGCAUCCAUUGGGGAGGCGAAUACCAAAAAUUAAAUUAGUUCUUUCAACAACUAGGCAUAUCUCAUCAUGUCUCCUGCCCGCACGCCCAUCAACAGAAUGGGUCAGCAGAACGAAAACACCGUCAUAUCGUUGAAGUUGGUCUUGCUCUCCUUGCCAAUGCAUCCAUGCCAUUAAAGUUCUGGGAUGAAGCUUUCCUAGCAGCCACCUAUCUCAUCAAUACUCCUCCUAGUAGCGUCAUCAAUUUCGACACACCCUUUGAGCGCCUCUUUCAUACUAAUCCUAACUAUGCAUCCCUUCGGGUGUUUGUUUGUGCUUGUUGGCCAAACCUCCGCCCAUACAACACUCAAAAACUAUCUUUCCGAUCCAAAAAGUGUGUUUUCAUAGGCUAUUGUCCUCGGCACAAAGGGGUUAAGUGUCCUGACGUGUCCACUGGCUGUGUUUAUAUUUCUCGAGAUGUUGUCUUCGAUGAGACUCUUUUCCCCUUUGCAUCACUCCAUCCAAAUGCAGGAGCUCUCCUUCGAAAAGAAAUUUUGCUUCUUCCCGACUCUCUCAAAAAUCCAUCUUAAUUUUGAUCAUGGGGGCGAUAAUAAUUGUGAUGCUCAAAAUAUGGCAUGUGCUACUAACCAAACUUCUUCAAAUGAUGGUGUGCAGGACACAGGAGAUGUACAAAAAAAUUGGGUGAAAAUCUCGCUCAAAACAGGUUAAAUUUGGAGACAAAUGAUCCCUUAUUUUAUGAUGUACAAGGAGACAAAAGCACGGGACGCGGAGCGGAUUCUGGCGCGCGAUCCCGUGCUGAUCAGGGCGCACGAUCCGAGGCUGAUCCGGCUGCAGCGAAAACUUCCAGCACGCCAGGGUCGGCCCAGCCCUCCAGCAUGCAGCCGCGGGCCAAUCCGUCUCCUGCAUGCAGUCCGGCGCGUGAGCCCACAAAAACGAAGCACCCCGCUGACUCCUCGCCAUGAGCGCCUUCACCCGUGGGGUAUCGCUUGCCCGCGCUCAGCAUAUUAGGAGGAUCUGGCGGGUCGGCCUCGCCCGCUGAGCCCGCGGGAUCUUCUGCGGCAAGUGGGCAAUCAACCAACGGUGGUGCAGCGCCCGGAUCUUCUACGGCUGGACCAGCUCAAGCAGCGCCCCGAUCUUCUGCGGCUGAACCUCCUGUGUGCGGCCGUACACGAUCCCAAUUUGGGAUACACAAGCCUCUACAACCAAAAGAUGGUAAAGUACUGUAUGAAAAAAAAUUCAGAGUUAAAUAUGGAUCUUUUUGUUCCGCAGGUGAGCCGCAAAGUGUACAAGAAGCAUUGAAGAGUAUGAACUGGAAAAAGGCAAUGGAUGACGAAUACUCGGCGUUAAUGAACAACAAAACAUGGCAUCUAGUUCCAGCUAGUCAUGGUAAAAAAUGUAAUUGAUUGUAAAUGGGUGUAUCGAAUUAAAAAGAAAGCAGAUGGUAGCAUAGAUAGAUAUAAGGCUAGAUUAGUUGCAAAAGGUUUUAAACAAAGCUAUGGGUUAGAUUAUGAGGACACUUUUAGUCCAGUCGUUAAAGCAGCUACUGUCAAACUUGUUUUGUCUAUUCCUGUGUCCAGGAGAUGGAGCCUAAGACAGCUAGAUGUGCAGAACGCGUUCCUUCAUGGUGUUAUGGAAGAAGAGGUCUACAUGAGGCAACCACCUGGCUAUGAAGACAAAAGUUCACCCUUUCAUGUGUGCAAGCUGGACAAGGCCUUGUAUGGACUGAAGCAAGCACCAAGAGCAUGGUACUCUCGGUUAAGCUCAAGAUUACAAGAAUUGGGUUUUACCCUUUCAAAGGCUGACACCUCACUAUUUAUUUUUAGUAAAUCUGGAGUAACAAUAUUUUUGCUCAUAUAUGUUGAUGGCAUUAUUGUUACUAGCUCCUCUCAGGAAGCAGUGUCAGCACUACUACAUGAUUUGGGUUCCAGCUUUGCACUCAAGGGCUUGGGAGAUUUACACUUCUUCCUUGGGAUAGAGGUCAAGAAAACUGGGGAUGGCAUCGUGUUAACAUAGAAGAAGUAUGCCUCAGAAAUCUUGACCAGAGUUGGCAUGAAAGACUGUAAACCUGCACCCACACCUUUGUCAAGCACUGAGAAACUUUCAGCUUUUGAUAGUGAGCUUCUAGAACCGGAAGAUAGUACAAGGUAUAGAAGUGUUGUUGGGGCAUUACAAUAUUUGACUCUUACAAGACCAGAUAUUUCUUUCUCAGUCAAUAAAGUAUGUCACUAUUUACAUGCUCCAACUACAGUUCAUUGGUCAGCAGUAAACAGAAUUCUUAGAUAUGUCAAACACACCGUCAACACAGGGCUUGCAUUUAGUAAGUCUUCAUCUACUUUGUUAAGUGCAUUCUCAGAUGCAGACUAGGCUGGAUGUAUUGAUGAUAGAAGAUCAACAGGUGGCUUUGCAGUAUUUUAUGGUGCAAAUCUAAUUUCCUGGAGUUCAAGGAAACAAGCUACAUUGUCUCGCUCAAGCAUUGAGGCUGAGUAUAAAUCGCUGGCAAAUGCAACGGCGGAAGUCAUUUGGGUGCAGUCACUAUUGAGAGAAUUGGGGAUACCCACGAGACAUACUCCAUGUCUAUGGUGUGAUAAUCUUGGGGCAACCUAUUUGUCAGCUAAUCCUGUCUUUCAUGCACGUACCAAGCACAUUGAAAUUGACUAUCAUUUUGUCAGAGAAAGGGUGGCAAGAAAACUACUUGAUGUUCGUUUCGUGUCUUCAAAGGACCAGGUGGCGGAUGGAUUCACUAAGGCUCUACCAGUUUGAAAUCUAGAAGACUUCAGACGCAAUCUCACCUUAACCAAGGUGUGAUUGAGGUGGGCUGUUAAGAUAAGUUAGAAUCUUCUAGAUGGUUUGUACGGUUGGUAGAGAUAGGAUGAAUACCGAAUCUGUUGAAAUUGUUUCGUACGUCUCAAGUAUGCAACGAACCCUUUCUUGUAGGCCACGGAUGGGGCUUUUCCAUCCCUAUAUUAACACGUAACCGCGGCCUGCUACGGCAGGUAGAAACGCUUCCAAACUUACAGCUAGGAUUAAUACGUGGAGUAAGCUUUUGUGAUUAUAUCUGCACGUUGUAACCUGAAGGAAGAAUACACAUAUGUAACAUAAUAGCAAUGAGGGACAGAGGGAGUCCUGUAUGGCCGGGUGGAUUCAUGCAGUCGAUUGUUAGGAUAUGUCGAUGUGUUGAUAUUUAUAUUUUGCAUUUUGAGUGCUGUUAAUUUCCCCUGAAGGUAAACUGACCCGCUGUACGUUGCCUAUAUACUUGCUCACCCUCUGUAGGUUGACUAUAUACUACUGACCCGCUUUUAAUUUCUACUGAUGGUAAACUGGGACAAGUGCUUGUAUGUUUAAACUUAUUCAGGCCAGGUUGAUCUAUCCAGCUAGCAGCAGGUUUUGUAAAUUUCCUCAUGCCGAUUCCCUGCAUCCUGCUCUGUAUGCCAAAAUGUUAAUUAAUUGUUCGUUUUCCAUUCUCUUUAGUUGGUUCUUUCGAUAUGCGUAUGACGUCAGUGAGAAUCAUACUGUUGCAAUUAGGCUGGUAGAUAUAGUGACUGAAAUGUCCAGACAUUAGUACCUAUUCGCAAUACCUCCACCUAGCAUGCGUGAUUUGGACAAUUUGGCCACUUCAGACUUAACCUGACCGCUGAUGGAUUCGAGGACGGCGAGUUGCGCCAACCCCUUCUACAAUCGAGGUAUGCCCUCCCUCCCUUCCCCAUCUUUAAAUAUCACCCAGAUGUAGCCUAAAGAAAGGUGAGAAAAUACAUGAGAUUUUGGUUUUCUACAGGAAUAAUGCAAGAUCUGAUCCUAAAUUUGUGGGCUGUUGUGGAACCGUGAGCAUCUGCUGUUCAUAAGGUGAGAGAUCAUGUCAGUGUUUUUUUUUCCCAAGAUGUUGGCCUAAGUCUCCGUUGACGCCUAGGCAGUAGAUAAGUGGAUUAACUUUUGGUGUGUUAUCCCUUAAUUGUUACUACUUGAGAGGAUGAGGAAAAUGUAUGCAUGUGCAUACCCUAAUUUUUCCGUGCCUUAAAUUAAAAAGAUACAAGCUACUAUCGUUGAUUUUAGCUAUAUGUGCCCUCCGGUGUCUCUGUCAAUCUUUUUAAUAGAUAUUGAUGUAUACACAAGACACUAAUGAUAUUGCUCCUUCGUUAAAGCUGUACUAAAGUCAUUGUCUUCCUUCAUGAUUCCAGUGAACAGAUCAUAAGCAUCAUGCUAGGUGGUAAAUAAAAUAACUCAAGCAAUUUCGAAGAUUUGUGUUAAUUUGUGCGGUCUAUCUCUGAACUUUUUUCUAAUUUAUGUUUUCUUACUGAAGAUUAUUACUUCCCACACACGCAACAAUGUGAAGGUAUAUGCAAGUGUAAGUUUCUAGGGUAAGUCAUAUACAUUUGUACUGCUAAUCAUGAUGGCUCGCUUCCUUUCUUUGCUGAAAUUUAACAAAAUUUUCUCUAUACUUCCCUCUGUAAGUUUUCUGUCUAGAUUUCAGAUAAAGAGCAUGUACUAUAUAUGGAUGCAUAAAUAGAUUAUUUUACAGUUUUAUCUUUCAUAUGGUCGAUGGCAGAUAAUGGAAACUAAGAACAGUAUUCCAAAAACUAUGAACUGUUUUGGUGAUAUAAUUAUCAACAUUAUGGUCUCUUAAGAAUAUAAAUUAACUUUGUUGAACAUUACAUUGUUAUUGCUCAUUCUAUUUNNNNNNNNNNNNNNNNNNNNNNNNNNNNNNNNNNNNNNNNNNNNNNNNNNNNNNNNNNNNNNNNNNNNNNNNNNNNNNNNNNNNNNNNNNNNNNNNNNNNNNNNNNNNNNNNNNNNNNNNNNNNNNNNNNNNNNNNNNNNNNNNNNNNNNNNNNNNNNNNNNNNNNNNNNNNNNNNNNNNNNNNNNNNNNNNNNNNNNNNNNNNNNNNNNNNNNNNNNNNNNNNNNNNNNNNNNNNNNNNNNNNNNNNNNNNNNNNNNNNNNNNNNNNNNNNNNNNNNNNNNNNNNNNNNNNNUCCCCGCCCCGCCGCCACCCGAGGCGCUCGCCGGCACGGCUGCCGGUGAAGGUGGCGGCGAGGCUCUGCUGCUCUGCGCUGUAGGGGGCGUUGGAUCUUAGGGUGGCGGCCCUGAUUGGCGAGGGCGGCGUCGAUCUCGUCCGGCGGAUGGCGCCGCCGGUGCUGGCCGUCCCCACUGGCCGUGUGGGCAGCGGUGGGGCGGUGGAGGCUCGUCGCGGCUGCGGGAGGCGUUGCUGGCCUCGGCUGGCUGCUUCCCGGUCUCCUUUCCUCUGCUGUGGUCCUCCCUCGGCCGAUCUGGGCGCUGCUCCUCCGGUCCGCCAGAUCUGGCACAUGAGGGUGGGUGGUGGCCAUCCUAGAACGGGGGAAACCCCUGGUCGACCUCCCGUUGACCCCGACGACGGCGGCGCUCCGGUGUCGAUCUCCCUCCUGAGGGCGUGUCGGGCUUCUUCGUCACCUCCUUCCUCCUCUCCCACGAUCCCGGGCGAAAGCCUUGGCCUUGCUGGCCGAACGGCGGUGGCGCUGUGGCGUCUCGGUCCUCCUUGGAGGCGUUGUUUAAGGGAGGGCGAGGUUGUGGUCUCGCGGCAAGGUGCUUGGUGGCGGCGGCGUUGCUCUGCUCUCCGGGAUGGCGGCUAUGGUGGUGACGAGGUGGCCCCCUGCAAUCCUUCAGCGGCUCUUCAUCUUGUUCGGCUCUGGGCAACCGGCCGGUGGACGACGUCUGUGUGUUGUGGCACAGUUCAGACGUAGGGGCGAUUGGAUCUCCCCUCCGGCAAGGCUCGGGGCGGCCAGAUCUAGAGCCAUGCUUUUCUCCACGCAGCCCGGGUCCUCUCGGCCUCCACUUGUGUGUCUACUGAUUGCAGCUGCUCCCCUGUUCUAGCUUGCGUAGAGUUCUCCGGCAGCUUGAUCCUGUUCUGGUGCAGCUGCUCCGCCUUUUUUCUUUCAGUUUUUCUUCAAGCGUUCGCCUUUGUAUCAGCACUGUUGUAUCCUAGCCGGUUGAUGGCUUCAUUAAUUUGAAGUCGGGCCUUGCGCCUUUUCUCUAAAAAAAAAAGAGGCCCUGGUGUCACAAGUUAACCCUAAUUUCAAAAACAUAUUGGUGUACACCCGAGAUCCCCAAAACGAUCAAUUAAGAUCUGCAAAAAGUAGUAUCAUUGAUUUGAUUUUCCAUGAUACAUUGAGUUUGUGCAAAAUUCUAAAUUUUUAUCAACCAUGUUACUGAACCAAUGAGGAAGGCAAUGCUAUCAUCCACUCGAUGCAGCCCCUGUUCUUCCAUCCUCUCUUCAGGAUCACAUUUGCACAGAUCCUAUGUUCGUGUAUUGCUGAAGAUAUCCUAUGAAGUUACUUUGUAAUAAAUCAGUUGGCUUAUGGGUAAAUGACCAUAUAAUCCUCUAUUCAGAAUUGUUCGUCUGUUGCUCAGAAUGUACCAAUAACCAUAGGAAAAAACUAACACCCACACGUGUCGCAUUUUGCACAUCGCCCACACGCCUCCAUCAUCACUCAUUUUGCCACGUAUCAACAGAUGAUAUCAGCAUGAAUCUUUUUGGUUUUCGUCUUAAAAAAUGUUUUAUCUUCUAAUUAAAUAAUCGAAUUAAAAAUCCAUUUUCACCAUUAAAUCCGUCUCGACGAGAUCUUCAAGACUAGACCAUGUGUUGAUAUGUUUCAACUAAAAACAAAUUUGCCCAAAAGUUGCCAUAAUGUUUACACGGUAGUUGCCAUAGUGCUUAAACUAAAGUUGCCAUGUGGCAAUUUUAGUUUAUAGAGCAUGGCAAUUUUAAUUUUUUGAUGAUGGCAAUUCCAGUACUUUGACCAUGAAAAUUAAUUUUUGUAUAAACCAUGGAAAUUUAAGUGCAUGUAUCAUGGCAAUUUUAGUUUAUGGUUCAUUGCAAGUCUAGUUUCUUAAUUCUCCGUUUUAUAAUAUGUCAAAAUUUACUUUUAAAUGUAGAAGAAAAUAGCUGAAAUGUAUCAUGACAACUUCAGUGUAAAUAUCAUGGCCAUUCAUAUGCAAUAGACAUGGCAACUUUUAACCUAAAAAAAUUCGGCAAUAUUGGUAUGAGAUCUAGUUUCGAACAUCUCGUCGCGAGGGAUUUAAUGGUGAAAACGGACCUUCAAUCGGAUUUUUCAUUUAAGAGAUAAAACAUUUUAAAAACUGAAAAUCAAAAAAAAAAAUCGACAUGCAUGCAUGCGGUGACGUGGUGCAGUCUGUGUGUUUUAUGACAUGUGGGCGGGUUUAACUCCCUCCACAUAUGUGGGUGUUAGUGUUGUCCUAACCAUAUAUAUAAUCAUCUAAUCUGAUUGUUUUUCUGUGUCAGAUGUAGGGGAGGGUUGACCAUUACAAAUAUAUCAUUCUAAAUAUUUUUUGUGGAAACAAAAUAAUAUAUUCAUUCUUUUUCUGAACCGUUUUGAAGUCAUUUUGCCGAGUAAAACAUUAAUUUGAGCAAAAAAAUCCGCAGCAACGCGCGAGGAAUUAUCUAGUUAUUAAUUUGGUUUGAUGCAUAUGCAUGCAUCGUGCAUGUUCAAUUAAUAUGAGGGUCGAGUAAGCUGAAGCAAUGAUGAGGUGUUAACCAGCACUGCCGGAUGACGCAUUUCAAUCGUGGAUUUGAUCGCUUUGAUUCUUUUCCCUUGCUUAUGCAUAGUUUUCAUUUUUUAUGAUUCUGCUAUUUGCCAACGUGUUUUUUUGUUCAUACGUUGAUGUUGUUUGUCCGCCCCUCACAACCUCCUCCUGUGUAUGCAGAUCAGAGGCGAGCUUCUCCUUGACGCCGCGUCGAGGCAGUGCGGCGGCUUGGUUCAUGGAUGGAGCAGGCGACGGAGGCGAGCAGCCGUGCCCGAGCGGCGAGCGUGGUUGGGGAAAAAAGAAGCGAAGCAGCCGAGCAUGUAGCAGGUUCGUGCGUAGGGGAAAGUGAUAAUACCAACCAUUUGUCAGGUUCGAGUAUCUAGCAGCCGAGCACUUAGCAUGUUUGUGGCCUUCUAAGGGUACGUGAAUGGGCCAUCCAAAAGGUGCUGGGCAUGGCUACCUAGUAAAAACAUAUUUGCAUUUGGAUUGUGUGUNNNNNNNNNNNNNNNNNNNNNNNNNNNNNNNNNNNNNNNNNNNNNNNNNNNNNNNNNNNNNNNNNNNNNNNNNNNNNNNNNNNNNNNNNNNNNNNNNNNNNNNNNNNNNNNNNNNNNNNNNNNNNNNNNNNNNNNNNNNNNNNNNNNNNNNNNNNNNNNNNNNNNNNNNNNNNNNNNNNNNNNNNNNNNNNNNNNNNNNNNNNNNNNNNNNNNNNNNNNNNNNNNNNNNNNNNNNNNNNNNNNNNNNNNNNNNNNNNNNNNNNNNNNNNNNNNNNNNNNNNNNNNNNNNNNNNNNNNNNNNNNNNNNNNNNNNNNNNNNNNNNNNNNNNNNNNNNNNNNNNNNNNNNNNNNNNNNNNNNNNNNNNNNNNNNNNNNNNNNNNNNNNNNNNNNNNNNNNNNNNNNNNNNNNNNNNNNNNNNNNCACUGUCAUAGGCUCCUCCCGAUCUCUGACAUGCAUCAUCGAUGAUCCGUCAUACGACACACAAUGUCGCAGUUGGUCCCUCUGCACUACUGGAUUUUUGUGAACCGUAAUCACAGACAAAGUUACUGCUUGACGAGGAAUACAGAUAGCAGCAUGUGAUGGUGGGUGUCAAGUCGGCAACAAGUAUGGACCGACAUUAUCAGAGCAAACUUUGUGAUAGACAUUCGAGCGCGUCUAUUUGUGGUGUUUCCUACAUGACGUACAUUGAAUCAAAUUGUCGACGCUUCGCACACGUUUUUUUUUUUGCUUUCUCUAUUGGUUUCUCCCUUUUUAUGUUUUGAAUUUUCUUCUAGCUUUUUUCCACAAAAAAUCACUAAUUUUAGAAAACGUUCAAAUCUUGUUCGAAAAUUACAAAUAUUGUUCGUGUUUUACAAAAUUCUUCACAAAUUUGAAGCAAAUUUUACUGAAAAAAAAACGUAUUUUCAUAUUCUUUCGCAAUCUGGAAAACUGUUCGGGUUUUCAAAUAAUUUGUAAUUUUCAACAAUGUUUGCAAUUUUUCAAAUUUUUUUAUUUUUCCUCAAUCAUGUUUUCAAAAAAAUCUUUGCAAACUUCAAAAAGUAUUUGAAGUUUCAAAAGAUGUUUUGGAAUUUAAAAUUAUUUGUUUUUUUAGUUCAGGUUUUCAAAAGAUGUUCAAAAUUUGUUUACUUAUUCUAAAAUCGUUUCUGAAUUGGUUUGUAAAUGUAGCCUUGUUCGGUUUGCUACAGUAGUUGGUUGGAUUCGCUGCAGUAGCCGGUUUGAUCCCUAGAAAACUCAUCCAAUUUUGCUACAGCGCCCAAUGGGCAGGCUCAGUCGGGCGGCGGCCACAAAGACGGUCAGAUAGGUGGUUUGUCUAUAUCUCUCUCGUAGCCACGGCUCAUUUCUUUUGUUUUGUUUUUUGUUUUUUUUCAUUUUUCUUUUUGUUACAUUUGUUUAGCCCUUCAAAUAUUCUUAAUGAAUAUAUUAACAAAGAACUUUAAAUAAAAUAUUUGAAAAAAAGUAACCAUGCGUUUGAAAUUUGUAUAGAGAAAAUAUUUCUCAUCUAUAUGGAAAAAUAAACAAUGUGCACGAAAAACAAGUUGAUUAUGUAUUUGAAAAUGUUAAUCAAGUACAAUAAGGUUAUGAAAAAGGUUAAUGAAAUAUUUGAAAAAUGUUAAAUGUUUAUAGAAAAAAUGUUGACCAUGUAUUCAAAGAAUGUUAAUCAAGUAUUUAAAAAAAAUUAACCGUGUACAGAAAACAUGUUAAAAAUGUGUUAGAAAUAUGUUAAUCUAGUAUUCGGAAAACUGUAAAUAGGCAUUUAAAAAUGUGAAAAUGUAUAUAGAUUUUUUUGAAAGAAAUAUAUAGAAUUUGUUUACCAUGUAUUCAAAUGCCAAUCUUGUACUUGAAAACUGUCAAUCAAUCAUUUGAAUUUUUCUGUAAAUGUGUAUGAAUUUUUUUUGACGGUGUACUUAAAAAAUAUUAAUCAUGUAUUAUAGAAAUGUUCUUGAUGUAUACGAUGAAUCUAGAAUAAAUAAUAAAAGAAGAAAUCAUAAAAACAAUUUAGCCCAAAAAAGAAAUAAAGGAAAUUAAAAAACCAGUGUGGAUGCAUGAAAUAUAGUGAAAACAGAUAAAGAAACUGAUGAAAGUCAACAAAAAACAAAGAAAAUGAAGAACCAAUAAAAAGAACAAAAACAAAAGGAAACAAACAAAAGGAAAAACCAACGACACCAAAGAAAAAAAUGGAACAGUGAAAAACAGAGAAGCAAACAAAGAAAUCAGAAGAAAAACUAGAAAGAAACAAAUAUCAUUGUAGAAAAAUGUGGAAAACGGAAGAAAAUAGAAAAAAACCAGUGAAAAAAAGCAAGAAAAAAGUGGGAAGCAAGAAAAAAAAUGAAGAAAAACAUUUACAAGCAAAUAAAAACUAUAAUUUUGGAGAAACUAGCGAGGAAACAAAGGAAACCCCUAAAAAAAGCAAGACUAAACUGGGUUGGCCCAAUAGCUAAACUAGCGAGGGAAGCGCAACAAAUGAACUUGAUUGAAAAUACUAGUGAUGAACAGGGAAAAAAGCCUAAACUGACUUGGCCCAAUAGCCUUUUUGCCCAAAGUAGUUGCCGAGCAUCCUUGAAUCAGUCCACUAUUCGUUCAUGUUUUUAUGAAAUUGCAAGUCAACUGGAUGAAACCCUAAUUGUGCAUAGAUCGUUCAUGUUUUUAUGAAAUUGCAACUCAACAAAGCCUAAUCGUGCGAAGAGCGUCAUUCUUAAUAAGAUAGUAACCAACACCUCAGCAGCAGUAUGUUAUUAUAUGUGUUACCAAAGACUAAUCUGCCCUUGGAUCAACAUCCGGAUCCUCCCUAAUGAUUCAGCCAGGUCCACCGUCAGAAUGAAAAAGUAAGAUUGUUCACUCGAUUUGGCCGCGGAUUCACAGAUUCCUCCACCGCGGCGCUCCGGCGGGUGGCUGCCAUGAUGGACGUGUUUCGGAAGGAUUAGAGGGAGGAGAUGUUCUAUUUGUGCUCACCCUCACGGCCCAUUAUUGGAAGCCAUUCGUGUGGUCAAGUAUUUCUGGAUGAGUUCAUUUGAAACACAUCAUUUGUUUUUCCAUCCCUUUUCAAAUUGUUGUCUCGUGACUUCAUCCUUUGCGCUCGACUUUCACGAUUUCUAGGAUUUCUUUACUUGUGCCCAUGAUGAGCAGAAUCACGCAAAUAAGGUCAUGGAAAAUAUCGCCAAGAAGCUUGUGAAAGACAUGCACCAUGAGGGGCGCAUCAGGUGCAUGGUCAAAUAUCACGUGGAACAACUGAAGAAAAAGAUUCGCAAGAAAGAAGCCCGACAAGAGAAUCUUACGCGUGACCAGUUUAUGAUGGUAAGUGAAGGUUGCUUACUAUUCCAUACAUUACAGCAACUUAGCUUCCUUCCUAAGUUGUAUUUCAACUAAGGUGGUUCUUCGGUGGUGCGCCGACAAAAUGCAGUGCUGGAACAUGAUCGUUGCCAAGUGGAUAAGUCUAGAGUGGCAGGUUGAACACAACAUAAUAGGGAAGAUGCGUCUUAAGAUGGGUGCUCCAGCGCACGGUCAAGGCAACCUCACGGUCACUGGUGUCAUGGACAAGCAUGUAAGCAAAGACCUUCUUUUCUUCUCAUGAAUUUGUCCUUCACGUUCUAGCGUGCCCUUCAUGGUUGUGACAACUCUCUUUUGCAGAAGAGAGCAACAGGCAUUGCCAUAUCUUUCUUUCGGGCUUGGAGCUAAAAAACACAUGAAACCGGUCAAGGACAGAGAACCUAAUAAUCUUGAUGGUGACUGGAUCAGCGCGAAAUCUCGUUCCAAAGGGAAGAAAUACAUCACCAAGUACAAGCAGAUGCACGGGGAGGAGUUUGAUCCCAUGGAUGGACCCUUUGACCCUAAGAUGUCUCUUAUUGCUAACGGCGGUAGGAUGAAUGGGCGGAUGGGGGUUCACCUUGAUUUCGUCCAGACCUAAAGCCUAGCCAGAAUCAAUGCGUUGAGGGCUAUGAGUACAGACUGAAGUCCUAGCAUAGAGGCACGCCCUAUGCAUCCCGAGGUCAUGUAUGAGGCGAUUCAGGUCAGUUCUUCUUCAUUCGUCAAUACAAUGGUCAUGCAUAAUUGCCUUGCAACACUAAUGACAAUGCAUUGGCAUGUUGUUGGGCCAGCUGGAUGCAGAUGGACUGCGGGAGGAGAAGCAGAGAUAGCGGGCAAAAAACCGGUCCGUCAUGGAGAAACGGGAUCAGGAAUUGCCAACAAUGAAAGAGAUGGUUGCACAACUUUAUGCCAUGAGUGGCAAAACCAUGCCAGUAUCACCAACCCUGCCACGGACAUGGUGAGUUCUCUGCAAACUUAUUCAACCACCAUCCUAGUUCUUGCCAUUCAUCUUAUUCGUCUCAUGUCCUUAUAGGUCAUUCCUUCAAUUGGGUCUAACAAUUGGCCGGUAGCUAAUCCUGGAGUUGAGCAAGAAAUCCUAAUAGAUACUUUCAAUGUUCCCUUUGCGACCAAAACCAUGUGAACCCCUAGUUAUCGUCAUGAGCUUUGUGCUUUACCAACUUAUCUUCGUGGACAGAACUAUGCAUGCAGUUGUGCUUUUCUGAACUUCCUAUGCUUGAGAACAUUGUGUUUGUGUGCCUGAGACAAUGUGUUUGUACUAUAUUUGAGACCAUAUGUUGUUUGACUAUAAUGUGGCAUUGGUUGAGUCAUCUGCGAAGUGAUAUUGCUUGCUGUAUAUAUGUGAGAAUUUGUUGCAGGCCAAACAUAAAAUAAAUGAAAGAAUUGCCACUACCAGAUGCUUUGCCAAGUUCGGUACUCGGUGAAAUAUCAUUGCCAAGUGUGAAACUCGGCUAUAGUGCCACGUGGCACCAUCUGGUUUCUUGGAUAUGUCAUUGUCGAGUGCCGGCCGGAAGCAACUCGGCAAAGAGUGUAACCUGGGCUAUCGCUGGACAUCUCUUUGCCGAGUAUGCAUCUCGGCAAACUGUCGUUGUCUUUGCCGAGUUUUUGCAGAUGUACUUGGCGAAUGGCCCGUGCCACGCGUCGACCGCCCAUACAACAAGCUUUACCGAGUGUAAAACUCGGCAAACACAUCCACGCUUGCCGAGUAUUUCCUCACGGGGUCUCGGUGAAGACGACAUCUCGGCACACUGUCACGGCCACGUGGCGGCCGCAGAGCAUAUGUGUUCGCCAAGUUCUUGCUUUAGGGAUUCGUCAAAGUUUUCUGCCACGUGACACCCACCGUUUCCGUCCGGCCCAUCGAGUCUUUUUUUUUGCCGAGUCCCCGUGUUCUGGUUCUUGGCAAACUCAAUUUUACCUUUUUUUUUGCGGAAAAACUUCCAAUCUAUUCAUCUUCAAUCAUGGCAGUACAACAAAUACCAGAAAUAAAAAUUACAUCCAGAUUCGUAGACCACUUAGCGACGACUACAAGCACCGAAGCGAGCCGAAGACGCGCCGCCGUCAUCGCCCCUCCAUCGCCGGAGCCGGGCACAACUUGUUGUAGUAGACAGUCGGGAAGUCGUCGUGCUAAGGCCCCAUAGGACCAGCACCCCAGAACAGCAACCGCCGCCGAUGAAAAAUAACGUAGAUCGGAAGGAUCCAAACCGAAGACACACGACCGUAGACAAACAACGACGAGAUCCGAGCAAAUCCACCAAAGAUAGAUCUGCCAGAGACACACCUCCACACGCCCACCAACGAUGCUAGACGCACCGCCAGAACGGGGGCUGGGCGGGGAGACCUUUAUUCAAUUUUCAGGAAGCCGCCGCCGUCUCGCCUUCCUGAGUAGGACACAAACCCUAACAAGAUUGAAAAAAACGACUAAAAACGGAGCCCUCCCGCCGGCCCUUGCCAGGAUCCACCGCGCCUCCAUGGCCCUAGGGCCACCGGAGGCGAGGCGGAACUGCGCCGGCGCCGGCGAGAGGCACAAACUCUAACUUUCUUUCUUGGAGAAGGAGGAGGAGGUGGAGGAGUAGGCCACUUUGUGCAAGCUUCCGUUCUCAUGCAAACUCAACUUUACCUGCAGCUGUAGGAAUCAGGCCGAGUACCUUGGGCCGAGAACAAUACUCGGCAAAGGCGUCGCCGAGUGUGAAACGGCUUUCGCAAAGUAUUUACGUCACUCGGUAAAGUGGUAAAUUCCAGUAGUGUUAUAUAACCUCCGUCCCGAAUUACUUGUCGCUCAAACAAACAUAUUUGGGAUGAAAUCAGAUGAUUACUUGCCAUCCAAUAUUCCAAUUGCAUUUAGUUAUUUUAUUCCGGUUCUCCAGGGGAUGAAAGAACCGGGCCCGGUCCAACAAGAGACCCCAAAUGCUGCCGUGCUGUAUGCGUACGUGGAAAGAAAAGUAGAAGACCCACUCCGAUUCACCCUCGUCCGUCCCAGUGCGUACGUGGGUGCGGUGCGUCUUCUUGAUAAUCCGCCUCCAACGCCAGAUCGAUCGACGCCUUCGUCCCCACAUCCACGCCCACGCACGCCCUGCAGCGAGCAAUGAUCCGCCGCCGCGGCACUUCCCCGGCGGCGGCGCUGGAAGAUGACGACAUGCUCGGGGAGAUCCUGCUUCGUCUCCCUCCUACACCGUCCUCCCUCCCGCGUGCAUCCGCCGUCUGCAAGCGCUGGCGAGGCCUUGUCACCAACCACAAUUUCCUCCGUCGCUUCUACGCACACCACCAGAAGCCGCCCCUCCUCGGCGUCUUCCAGUUCCAUCACGGCGAUCAGCUGGAGUUCACUCCCAUCCUUGCUGCUUCGAACCGCAUCCCUCCUAAGCGCUUCGACCUGCGAAUCCGCGAGGUCGACAGACACGCCUACGUGGGGCCCCAAGCCCAACUUCUCGGGUGCCGCCAUGGCCGCGUCCUCGUCUUACACCGGAUGAAUGCAGAGGUCCUUGUGUGUGACCCCAUCAGUGGCGACCGGCGGCAUGUGCCGAUUCCGCCUGAGUUUAGGAUUGGCUACGUCAAGGGGACGGUGCUCUGUGCUGCACACGACAAGGGCCACGUUCAUGGCGCUUGCCACUCCACCCCUUUCAAGGUGGUCUUGCUGGUUAUGUUUCAUAAUGAUAGUCCACCUCUUGCCUCUGUUUAUUCCUCCGAGUCUGAUACAUGGGGCGAUGUCAUCUCUGCAAAGGCUCCAUGUCCGAUCUACUCUGGUGGUUAUCUUAGCACUCUUGUUGGCAAUGCGUUUUAUUGGCCACUUAUGCAUGCCAACGAUGGUAUACUUGAAUUUGAUUUGGAUAGGCAGAGCCUAGAUGUGCUAGAGGGACCUCCUGGAAGGGAUAUUCCCCUCGGCCAUCAGAUCAUCCCGGCAAAGGAUGGCACUGUUGGUAUUGCCAUGUUGUCUCGCCGUUACCAUGAUAUUCAAAUGUGGCAGAGGAAAGUCAAUAGCAAUGGUGUUGGCACUUGGGUUAUGUGGAAGACCAUUGGAACACAUAACAUUCCUGAGCUCCGACCACCGAUUGAAGGAGAGGAGCCAUGGGUGAAAUUUAUACUAGGAUAUGAUGAGGAUACUGAUGGAAUAAUUUUAUACGUGAAACACAACGUCUACAUGGUUCAACUUAAGUCGAUGCAACGCAGGAGACUUUUUGAAAGUUGGAAUGUUACUCACUAUCAUUGUAUCAAGAGUUUCUAUGCGCCAAGUGUGUCAAUGUAGUAUUUCCAUCCUUGGGAGAUAACAAAUCAAGUAUCAAAUGAGUAGUAGUGGAAAAUCAAAUUUUCAAAUGGUUAACUCAUGCUUACUUAUGAUACUACCCGGAUAUCAUUUAAUCCCUUGGUGAUUGUAUUAGAUUUCUUGGAAUGAAACAAAGUUGACCGAUAUACCUGUUAACAACAUGCUGAUAUUCCCUAUUGAGUAUUGAUUGAAUGCCUAUGAUGUAAUUAUGCUCGCCAUUAUGUUGUCUUCUGCUACUUCCAGAAUUCUGCUAAAUGGAACCCCAGGAGCUCCUUUCUCUCACAGGAGGGGGCUCAGGCAAGGUGACCCAUUAUCGCCCAUGUUAUUCAUCUAGAUCAAUGCGACAUCAGAGGGACGACAAGAGCAAGUUAGAUUUGCAGUAUAUGUUGCUUGGAACAUAUGGAAAGAGAGGAACCGACAGGUUUUUUAGGCAAAAACAGCCCAGGUUCCUGCUAUUUUGCAGCUGGUGUUGGAUGACAUCUCCCCUGAAGGUGGCAUUUUGUGAGUAGUAGCGUUAGGAGAAGGGGUGAUCAGCCCAUGUCUGGUUGACUGUUUUCUUUCCUUUCCUCUGUUCUCUGCCUCGGAACUUCGGUUCGUUUUGCUUCUGUAACCAUUCUUUCCCCUAUAAUGCAAUGGCAGAGCUCCUGCCUUUUCCCAUAAAAAAAUAUCUUCUAAUGUUACUUAUAAAAGCAUGAGUUAGGUGAAACCAAAUGAUCUCAACCGUUCAAUCACCUAUAUCCAACGCCCCACACCCCUCUAAUGAUGUAUCCAAUACACAUCAUUGAUAAAACUGGAAAAAAAAUAUUAAUUGCAUUAUUUAUAAUUAAUUUUGAAACAAAAUUAAUUUCGUUGAUAGUAGUUAAUCCUGGAAAAUAUCAGUUGCAAGAAUAAUCUUCGUAACUGUAUCACGCACGACCAUUCUACGAAUAACAAGAGAGGGAAGAAUGCAUCAACGAGGAUGCACAUGCACGAGUACUAGUUACUGAAAUUUGAAGACCCAAUUUUCAAAGGACGCGUCUAGGGAGCAGCCGGGUGCUCCCUAGCGUUUCCUGGCAGCCACCCAGAUAUAGCAAUUUUCUGCCCCCCCCNNNNNNNNNNCCCCCGCUACCGAUUCCAGCAGCCACCCAUCGAAGCGAGCAAAUCACCUGGUCCUUCCCCUUCGCCCGAUCCCUCCCCCACCCCUGCGGGUCUUCUUUUUGCCUUUCUCCUCACCUAACCCCCAGCCCCAUCUUCUUCUCUCCCAAGCAAAAAAGGACAGCACGCCCCUUCUCCUCACCACUUCCAGAUCCAAGAAAACCUUCACAGCCCUCCAAUGGCGGCUCCAUUGAUGUUUCUUCUCUAGGCGCGUCGUUCCUGAUUGCCUGGUAAAAAGGCAAAAAAGCAAGGCAAAAAGGUCAGAUUUAGCUCAUCUUCCAGAUCCCCCUCCUCUUUCCCCACGAUUUGUACAAGGCUUCAGUUGUGCAAAACAUUGUGUAAAAAAGAUGUGAUGUUAAGCAUGUUUAGUCUGCUGUUUAGGCAAGUUUCAGCCCCCUGAUUUGGGCAAAUUUAAUCUGAUGUUAAGCAUGAUAUUUCUUCCCAGUUUUAAAAAUCUAUUUACAAAUCUAUUGCAUAUGAACACAUUUAUAAAUCUGUAGGCAAGUGCUGAUAGUAAAUGCUGGGGACAAAAAUACAUUUAUAAUGCCUUAAGCAAGAAAAACAACUGAGAAAAAACAGUACUUAUUAAGAGGAUGAGAAACAACUGAUCAUGAUCUAUUUCUGAUGUGUUCCGGUUCUAUUAAUUGCUUAUAACAGUGCAAAAAAGACAUUCUGUUUGGGCAAAAACAGUGCUAUGAAUCGGUGUUGCUCUUCGGUUCCCUCCUAACAUUCUAGUCUUUUGGAGGGAGAGGGUCCAAGGCCUCUUAUAAAUCGGUGUUGCUCUUCGGUUAGGUCUGGUUGACGCAUGUGGGUCCGGAACACUGAUACUAGCGGACCCUGGAUUGCGUAACACACGCAACAUUGUCAAAAUUUAUGCCCGCAAUAGAUAAAUUGUGGUAACCGGCGCCAAAAUAAACUGUAGACAUCUAGAAGUUAGUUGUGACGCGCACUAAUAGACGCCCUCCAAACAUAAGUUAGGUCCAAAAAUGCCUAAGAAAAUUGUAAAUACUAAAUCCAGAGUAGUCUCAAAUUUUAAGAGGGUCAAAAAAUUCCUAAGAAAAUCAUAUUUACUAAACCUAGAUAGAGUAGUCUCAAAUUUUAAGAGGGUCAAAAAAUUCCUAAGAAAAUCAUAUUUACUAAACCUAGAUAGAAUAGCUCAUUUGUCCGCUACUUCGGGGGAGAGUCCAGUUUGUACAUGAGAUGCAUCAAAAAAGUUGCUUACGUUAUUUUAAAAAUGAUUAUCACACAUAAAAAUCUAUCAAUGUAAUAUAAAAAAUACAGACAGUUCAGAAAUGUUCGUAACAUUAGAAAAAAAGGUCACACAUUUAAACCAUGUUUAUCACAUCUAGGAAAUACUCGUGAAAUACUAAAAGAAAUCUGUUAGCGUAAUAUAAAAUAAUUGUUGAUACCAUUCAAAAAAUGUUCAUGACAUUUAGAAUCGCAUGAAUAAAAAAAUAGGUCCAUAAUGAAUUUGAAAAAAAUUCAAGGUAUGUUUAUGAAAUGUUCACUGUUUAUUUUGAAAAAAGUCAAUGUCCAUUUUAAAAAUGUUCAACAUGUAUUUAAAAAAUGUUUUAUAUGUAUUAAAAAGUUAAACCAGUAUUUAAAAAAUUCAUGGCAUGGAAAUAAUAAUAAAGAAUUGAGAAAAACGAAUAAUAAUAAUAAUAACAAAGAAGUUAAAGGAAAAACAAAGAAGAAAAGAAAAAUCAUAAACUAGAAUAGAAAACACAGAAAAUUAAAUAAAUAAACCAGACAAAACAUAGGGUUUAAGGGUUUCGUAAUAUAGAACCUUUCGGAAACGCUCCUACUGCUGGUAGAUAGGUGCUAUUCAGCCGGCCCACUCAAACAUCGCCGAAGGCGAGAGAAGCAUAGGUCUCGGAAUAAGCGAGAUAUAGCUACAAUCCCGUACUGGGCGGCGGCAUCUCAUUGAGCCCAAUCCCGUACAGUACCCAGACUGCAGAAGGAGUAUUUGGAACGGAGCUCUCGCUUUAGGUUGAGUAUAUGAAUUCACACUCUCCUUUUUUCAGAUAACAUGUGCAUGCAGGUAUUCUUCAGGUAGUGUUGCUAACUGAAGCUCAAUCUGUUAUUCACCCCUAUAAAUAUCUAAUGUAUAUUGGCAAAUUGGCAUUUGCCAUUCCCGUCAUAUUCUGAAUGACCUGAGGCUCAGUAUGAUUUGGAUAAAAGCUUGUACUGGUAGAUAGGUACAAAGCUACUCCUACAAGGUUCUGGCUUAGGCAUACUGGUAGGUGGUUCUGCACCCAGUACCAAGUACUCCCUCCGUCUCAAAAUAAGUGUCUCAACUUUGUACUAGCUUCAGUACAAAUUUGUACUAAGCUUGAGACAGUUAUUUUGGGACGGAGGGAGUACCAAGGACCAAGCACUGCACCCAGUACCAAGGGUCUGGUUUAGGCAUACUGAAAUGCAACCGAAACCCUGUAUCAUUGGCUACUGGUUCUGCACCCAGGAUGAAGGACAGAGUGAUAGGUGUGAUUUGCGGCCAACUCGGAAGUUCGUGCAUAUUUCGGGCCUCCAUAUCAUAUCUAGCGCAAGAGCUUUGUCGGUCAAGUCCACAAAGUGCCUGGAAGAUAUAAUAUUAUAUAUCCCCAAGAUUAGUGCUUAAUGGUUAGGUCAUGGUCCAAGUUUGGCCACUAAUGUCAUGUUUUUGAUGGAGACUUAUCAAACAAAAUGUUCCUCAAUGAGCCAACAAUGCCAUUAGCUAAAGUUGUUCUCCAGUCCAAGCAUGCGUUCCUUGACUAUGGACUAAACUUUUUUUACAAAGCAAGUUUAUUAUAUCUUGGGUCAGCCAAUUAUAAACCCACAAGGAGCAGAACAAGUAUGUACUGAAAAUACUACUUCCUCCGUCGCAAAAUAAGUGACUCAAUUUUAUACUAACUUUAGGUAGUAAAUCCCAGCUGAACUAUUGCAAUAAGUUAAAACCCUCUUCUUUGAAAUGGGCUGCUAGUAUUAGGAAGCAUUGGCGCCUGCAAAUAUUUCCUUGAGCAUGGACUAGAUCGUGAUUUCAAUUUCAAUGUAUCAUUCUUCGCACUCUGAAUCGACCAAAGGGUGUCCUCGCUCAUGAUAUGCCCUUGGAUUUGUUUUUCAUAACUAAUGCUCUCAGCUUUUGAUUGUCUAAUAAUUAAUCCAGUUGCUUCAUUUGAUUGCUUCAUCUCUUCAUAUCUGUAAUCUUAUUUCAACACAAGCAUUCAACUAGUAUGCGCUGAAAAUUAGAAGAUGCUAAAACUGAAGAAAAAGUGCAGGAACUUCGGUAAUAAAGUCCAGAGUGUUUGGACCCCGGGACAAUAUAUUAUGUGUCCCCAAAAGUAGCGCUUAGGAUAGUCUCUCAGGAGACAGAGCCGCCCCUCCCCUCCCUCCCCCGACCCCGCGCCCGCGCCGCCUCCCCAGGGGGCGGCCGAGGCGGCUCCCCCCNNNNNNNNNNNNNNNNNNNNNNNNNNNNNNNNNNNNNNNNNNNNNNNNNNNNNNNNNNNNNNNNNNNNNNNNNNNNNNNNNNNNNNNNNNNNNNNNNNNNNNNNNNNNNNNNNNNNNNNNNNNNNNNNNNNNNNNNNNNNNNNNNNNNNNNNNNNNNNNNNNNNNNNNNNNNNNNNNNNNNNNNNNNNNNNNNNNNNNNNNNNNNNNNNNNNNNNNNNNNNNNNNNNNNNNNNNNNNNNNNNNNNNNNNNNNNNNNNNNNNNNNNNNNNNNNNNNNNNNNNNNNNNNNNNNNNNNNNNNNNNNNNNNNNNNNNNNNNNNNNNNNNNNNNNNNNNNNNNNNNNNNNNNNNNNNNNNNNNNNNNCUGGCGGUGGCCCGUCACGGUGGUGGCGCCGUCCUUUGGCGGCGGGGCGGCCUGGUUGCGCAGGGUGGCCGGCGGCGCGCCCUCGGCCCAGAUCUGGGCCCUUAGGGCCCCAUCUGGGUCCUAGCGGGCCGGUCCCUGGGCAUGGCCUCGUUGUCUGCGGCGCGGUGAGGAGGAAGAGCGGCUCGGAUUUGGGGCGGCGGCACCGCCGGCGUGCCGGCAGCAGCGUGAAGGAGGGAGCUUUGCGGGCCCACGAGGGCUCGGCCGGGCCUGUGGGCCCACGGGCCUGGUGUGCUCCUGCUAUUGCGUCCGGACGGCUAUCGUUGCGGACGGUGGAGGUGGGGCCCUCCCGCGUGCCGAUGGUGCUGAUGCCCUAGUCCCGGCUCUGAUUCUUUGCCGCGCUAUCCUCACUUCGCGGUGCCGUGGUGAGACGGCGUGGGGGCCUCAAGACCGCGUUGGCGCACGAUGGUGGUUGGUUUGGUGGCAGGCUCCGGGGCGCCCGAGGUGCGGGUUGUGAUCGGGGGAAACCCCUGUCGGCAUGGCCAACACCGGCGUGGUGGCGCCUGUUGGUGCCACCUGACCUUCUGGGAGGGCGGUGGGGCUACCCUUCCUCUCGCCUCGUCGUGUACCGGGGGAACCCUUGGCAGCAGCGUCGUCAUCGCCGCGAUCCUUCUUGGAUGUGUUGAUAGGUGCCGGCGCUUCGGAGUCUUGGAGUCUAGUGGAAGAUCCUGGUGGGCGCUUCGAUCGCGAGGCUUCUUCAUUUUUGUUGAUCCGCCGUUGUCGGCAUUUGUUUCUUUUGCUUUUCUCUGUCGUUUCUUUUGGGCGUGAGUGUGCUGCUUCCGCCCCAGCACCUAUCCAUGUAUGGUUCGGUUGGUUGCUUUGUAUACAAAGCGGGGGGAAACCCUUUUUCGGUGAAAGUAGCGCUUAGUGGUGAAGUCGUUGCCCAUGUGGCCAUGUUUGAUCGUUAGUGCAUGUCUGGCCAUUCUCCAAAGGGGACUUGAACAAAAUGUUCAUCAACAAGUCCACAAUGCCACUAAUCAAGUUGCUUUGCUGAUCAAGCAUACGUCCUCCUUGACCAGGGACGUAUAAAUAGACGCUCAUCCUGCUCCCAGACCGACAGCCUGGAAUUCACAGGAUAAUUUGAAAACCAUUUCUUCCAAAUGAGGUGCUACUUGUCAUGGGGAUGUUUAUUCCUGGUCCUCGGCACACUGAACUCCAUGUUUCUGAGUUGUUCGGGCUGCUUCAUGGAGGAGAGGGCAGCCCUCAUGGAUAUUAGCUCUUGGUUCAUGGGCGUGCAGUACAUGGUUCCCACUUCUUGGGGAGACGGUCGUGACUGCUGCUCGUGGGAAAGGAUCACAUGCGACAGUAGCACGCGACGGAUAUCGCGUCUCGACCUUUUCCAAGAUAUCCACCAAUACGUGUCUGAUAUUAAAGAUGAAUGCUGGAACCUUAACUUGACGGUCUUUUCUCCGUUUCGGGACCUUCAGCUACUGAAUUUCUCUGGACAACAGGCUAAGUUACAGCAUUUCGAGGGUAUGUAACUCUUGUGGCAUGCGUGCAACUAUUUAUUUUCUCACUAGUUUUGAUUACAGAUCAUCUUAUUCUGAAGAAAACAAUUAAUCAGGUCUCCAAGGAUUGAGUAAGCUCAAGUAUCUUGACCUCAGUGACAACCGUUUGUUAGGGGGUAUCCCAAGAUCCAUCGGCAAAUUGGUUACUCUGGAAGUCAUAAAUCUCAAUGGAAACAACAUAGGUGGGGAUCUUCAGAAUAUAGGUACUGAAACAAAUCAGUUUAACAUUCCCUUCAAUUGGUGCAAUUAAUUUUAUUAGUUGCUUUAUGGCAUGUACAAAUGACAGGUUUUAAAAAUCUCCGGAAUCUGCGAGAAUUGCAUUUGAGAUCCAAUCGAUUGAGUGGUAGCCUCCCAGCAUCCGUAUUUGCACUUUCAUGCCUUGAGUACUUGGAUCUCUCAGAAAACCACUUUGAAGGGCAUAUACCUAUAAACUCAUCUUGGAACCUGCGACAAUUGCGUUUGACAUCCAAUAGAUUGAGUGGUAGCGUCCCAACAUCCGUAUUUGCACCUCCGUACCUUGAGUACUUGGAUCUUUCAGAAAACCUCUUACAAGGACAUGUAUCUAUAAAUUCAUCCUGGAAGUGUUCCCCAGUGCUUCAAACUAUCUUGUUAUCUGAAAACAUGCUAGGCGGUAAAUUUGAUUUCUUUUGGCUGAGAAACUGUAUCAAACUCAAAGAGAUAGAUCUGUCCAGGAAUACUGAUUUGGUAGUUCAAAUGAAACUGCAUGGUUGGGUACCUAAAUUUCAGUUGAAUACACUAAUGCUCUCUUUGUGUAACCUUGAUAAGAGCAUUAUUACAGAGCCAAAUUUCCUGCGCACACAGCAUCACCUACAGUUUCUUGAUUUGUCCAACAAUAAUUUGCCGGGAAGCAUGCCUAAUUGGCUGUUCACAAAUGAGGCAACACUAGUUUACCUGGACCUUGCAAACAACUCACUAGUUGGAUCAUUAGAUCCGAUAUGGGAGCACCAAACUAAUCCUGAAGUUUAUCUGGAUCUUGCAAAUAACUCACUACUUGGAUCAUUAGAUCUAGAACAUGUGAACAUAUCUCUGAACCAAAUUGAAGGACAACUGCCAGCCGACAUUGGUUUGAUGUUUCCUAAUAUGAAGGUUCUUGAUGUUUCCCACAAUAUUAUUUCUGGAACAAUACCACCAUCACUGUGCAGCAUUGGCGACAUUAGUAUUAUGGACCUAUCAAAUAACAAGUUUGCAGGAGAGGUACCAUCUUGCUUGUUCAAUUGUUCUGCAGCAAUAUUGAAGCUCUCAAACAAUAAUCUUGGGGGUAUGAUACUUGACGGGGCUAGUAACUUACCUCACAUAUGGGCAAUUUACUUAGACAAUAACAAAUUUGAAGGAGCUCUCCCUAAAAAUCUGUCUGGUGGUGUGCAAGUCAUGGAUUUACACGGUAACAAUAUUUCAGGAGAACUUGAAACCUCAUUAUGGAAUCUUCCUUAUCUGGAAGCUUUAAGCCUUGCUAGUAAUGGUAUAACUGGUGACAUCCAUCCAGAAAUAUGUAAAAUUACGAGUCUUCUGCUGUUAGAUCUGUCCGGCAACUACUUUACUGGGCGUACUCCAAACUGUAGUGGUACAUUACUACUCCACUAUCUGAGUAUAUCUGGGAAUUCGCUGUCAGGCUCCCCGAAUGACUUCUUCAACAACUCCUCCAUUGCAGUUCUGGAUCUCAGCCAUAAUACACAGGCAACCUUGAGUGGACACAUUAUCUUCCUUGGAUCAAUCUACUUCUAUUAGGCUGGAAUAAUUUUGAGGGGCAGAUCUCUUCAAACCUCUGCCAUCUCCGAUUCUUGAGUAUACUUGACAUCUCACACAAUAGACUUUCGGGUUCCAUACCACCAUGUGUAGGUAGCAUUCCAUUUGAAGACACUUCCCAAGAUGAUUGGGAUUGGCCCGGUGCGGGUGAUAGGUCAUUUGGAGCGGGGCCGAUGGGCCUUUAUAGUGAUGGGUAUGACCUCCCACACUUCAACUUCACAACCAAAAGGAACUCCUACACAUACGGACGGAACUUUUUCAUGUCGAUGUCUGGCAUUGACUUCUCUGCAAACAUGCUGUCAGGUGAGAUUCCAAAGGAGAUAGGGAAUUUGAGCCAUAUCAAAUCUCUCAACCUGUCAAAUAAUUUCUUGACUGGACCGAUUCCUGCAACCUUCGCAAACAUGAGCGAGAUUGAAAGCUUAGACCUAUCAGGAAACAGGCUGAAUGGAUCAGUACCAUGGCAGUUAAGUCGGCUAUCAUCCCUAGAGGUGUUCUCUGUGGCAUACAAUAACUUAUCAGGAUGUCUACCAGCCACUGGUCAGCUCAACACAUUCGAUAUGGACUGUUACAGAGGGAACAACAACCUUCGAUCAUGCACUUCCAGUCCAGGUCCUGUGGCAUGGAAUGGUACUGUAGGAAGUGAGCCUGAUGGUUCUGACCCGAUCCUCUACGUGGUCACUGGCGUUUCGUUCGUCUUGGCAUUUUGGGCCACUAUCACUUUCAUAUUCUGCCAUCCAUUUGGGCAGCGUGCUAUUGUCAAACUGUAAUAUGUAGAGAGAGAGAGUGCGUGCGUGCUGCUGAAUAAUAGUGAUGGUGUGUAAAGAACAGAUGCAGACCACUUUAGCAAUCUGCUUUCCGAUUAUCCAUGUAUUUGUAAACCAUAUUAUCUUUUGUUGCUUCUAAGAAGCUGCGUUGCGGCAAAGAUUAUUCUGAUUUCUCCUGCUUGAAGAAGGCAACUAAUUAAAUAUCGGUGUAAUCCUAUUUAAAAUCAAAGUUUUAAAUAGCGCGCUAAGCAUCUUAGCGUCGGACCUCUUUCAAAUGCUAUAGCGUGCUAUAGCGGAGCUAUAGCGCGCUAUUUAAAAUGUUUGUUCAUUUGUUUGGACCAAAGUCUCUUAGCGCAAGACCUUUUGUAAACGCUAUAGCGUGCUAUAGCGGAGGUAUAGCGGGCUAUUUGAAACAGUGUUUAAAAUAGACCUUAAGAACAGUAUGGAAUGCUGGGAGGUAAGAUGCUGCCUCCUGGGGUAGAAUUACUGAGAAAGGAGGUAUAUGUAAUACUGCCUCCUAGGCUUUUAAGUUUUAUUGGAUUUUCUCAAAGCCCAUUUUUCUUCUGCAAGAAGCAAUAUGAAGUGAUGUGGGAGCAAGUGUUAUCUUCCAUUAUUCCUAAAGAGCAGGGUAGUCUGUAGUUUAAUCUUUUCAGCAGUGAAGAGUUUUAACAAAUUUUGUGAAGCAGAAGUUACCAUGUAAGCUCAAGGUGCAGAAUGGUGGUGGGAAGUUGAUAUUUCGGGAGGAUCCUUGGUUCUACAUAGCGCUUUCUUUGGCACUUUUUUAAAAAAAAUUCUGCACUGAACUUCCUUUAGCACUGCUGAAGCCUCAUAAUGUUUGUAAUGCUACUACUGUUCAUGUAGCUGAGGAUUUUGGAGUGUACCUGUUGAUGCCAAGCUCCCUGCAAGAUUGGGCUAUAUAUAUACCACAUAGCCCUUUUGUUUUUUGAGAACAUUGCCCUUUGUUACUCUUGAACUCAUCUUCCUCUGCAUCUCAUUUGCUUUGCUUCUCCUGUACUAAGGUAGCAUUAGGCCUCUGAUGAUGUUUUUGAGGUGCAAGCCACUAAUGAUAUUGAGAGAAAGGUUGAGAAACUGGAGAAAUAAUUAAUUAUGACGCUUAAGAGUCUACCUAUGCUGAUUGCCUUUUCCAGUCUCCAGGAUUGGGAAGUGCACAGUAUAAUAUUUGAGACACUAUUUUAUUUCAUCAACUGGACCAACUGAUAGUUCAGAAUUCUACAACCGAUGAUACUACCUCUGGGAUUUCUACUAGAGAUGCAAGCUCUAUUUGUGUCAUUCUAGCUUGAUUGCGUACCAAAUCCCUUUGUAACAUUGUCAAUAGUUUCCUGUGAUCUGGAGCAAAAGCACCAACACCAACAGCAAUUCAUUAUCAUCUUGGUUUGCAAAUUGAAAUGUACAGAAUCAGAUCUGUUUAGAUCAUACCAUCAUUGUAUUGAAUUGGUUCCAUUUUGGAUAACACCUUUACAUACCUUUGGACUUUCCUUUUGACUUCAUGACACCAUCACUUUGGAUAACCAUUUGUGACACCAUUGUGGCAACAUCCGGCUCAACAUUGCAGGCAUGCAUCUUCCUGAAGACGAGAAACGCUGCAUCCGCCAUGCCAUUCUGCACAUACCCUGACACAAGCGCACUGUAAGAGACCGUGUCCUUGGCGGCCAUCUCAUCGAAAAGGCAAUCAGCAUAGUGUGUGUGUAGAGUUUGUCACCAUGUGUGAGAGUUGGUGACAAACUCUCACACAUGGUGACAAACUCUACACACGCACGCACACACACAUGCACCAAGGAAGAAGACCAAAAUGGCUUUGCCAAGAGAAACUUCCUUGAUGCCCACCGUGGCUACAUUGUGUAUCCAGCCCUCACGGCCUGAACUUUUCUCAUUCAUCAGUACAACUUAAAUACCCAGUAAAAUAGACUCACACGCAGCCAAGGCAACAACCUAUCCGGUUCUCAUGCCAUGCACCACACGACCUGAUCCACUAAUCAACUGACCCAUGCACUAACUAAUCUAGCAACAUGCAUGCGCACGUACAGCACCGGCGCAAUCUCUCCACAACGGCCACAUGACUUGGCCGUCUAACAAACUAACUCCACGUCUCAACGUGGCCUAUUACUUCAUGCACCAACUAAUUCUUCAGCACAUACGCAGCUUCAUGCAGCAUGACACUCGCCACGGCGGAGCGUCCCGCACGUCCCGCAUGCUCCUGACGCGCCCGACGAAUCCGACCGGAUUAGACGCCGUGGCUUAUUCCAACAGAAUGAAGGCCUCCGGCAUCCUGCCGCACACCACAAAGUCUCCCAUGAUGGUGCUCCAAGUAACAUCGUUCCUAACGGCCAUGGCCUCGAAGACCCUGUGAGCAUAUAGCAAGUUCCCGCACUUUGCGUACAUGUCCAGCAGCACGGUGCCGACGAGCACCCCGUCCUUGUCGUGGAGAGAGGCGCGGACGCUGUAGCCUGUAGGCAUGCACAGACUUCCCCCGGCAGAGCGCGCUCUGCUGGGCGAGCAGAGGAAGGAGCGCGACGAGGGUGGAGUCGUUGAGUCUGAGGCAGGCGCGGCCCUCCUGCAUGUGUUGGAGGCAGUCGAGCUCGUGAAGGUACAUGCCGUGGAGCGCGUAGCCGGUGAGCAUGGCGUUCCAGGCGACGGCAUCCCUGGCGGGCAUGGCGCGGAAGACGGCGGCGGCGGGGCGGAAGCGGGCGCACUUCAUGUAGAGGUCGAUGAGGCCGUUGCAGACGAAGAGGUCGGUGUGGAGUCCCGCGUGGGCGGCGUGGCGGUGGAUGGCGCGGCCGCGCGCGCAGGUCGAGCAGCGCGGAGCACGCCUUGAGGACGAAGGGGAAGGACAUCACAGAGCAUGGCGGCGUAGAGCGCGAGCGCGCCGGCAGCGUGGGUGGGCCCGCGCCAGGAGUAGGCCCGGAUGAGCGCGUUGUAUGCGCGCGCGUCCGGGUCCGGUAUUCCGUCGAACAGGUCGCGUGCGCGCGAUGUUGUGCUCGAACUGCCGGUGGUGGUGGUCGAGGUGGCGCGGACGUGGAGAGGAGGUGGGCACCCGGAGGACGGCGAGGUGCGGUGGCCGGCCUGUGUUUGGUGGCGGGAAGUCGAUGCCGCAUCGCGCAUCCUUUUUUUAGGGAAACGCGAUCAUGGCUCACUUUAUUGAAGAUCGACAAGAUGGGCGACAAGCUCCGGGACCACAAAAACUUCUUGGCUGAUGUUGACAGGAGGAACGAUACCAUUCAAGAGUGGGUGGGGCAGCUCAAGCGUGCCAUGUAUGAAGCUACCGACAUCCUCGACCUCUGUCAGCUCAAGGCCAUGGGGCGUGCAUCAUCUACUGCUCUAGACGCAAGGUGUUUCAACCCCUUGCUCUUCUGCAUGCGGAAUCCCUCCCAUGCUCAUGAGAUCGGCACCCGCAUCAAGACGCUCAACAAGAAGCUUGACUACAUCAAGGAGCGAAGUGCUGCUUUCAACUUCGUCAAUCUCGGGUCCUAUGCAGAUCAUAACAACAAUGCCCAUGGCUUUCGCCAUUGUAAUACAAGUCGGGAGACGGUAGGUGACUUCGACCGGUCAGCUAUUGUUGGAGACAAGAUUGAACAAGACACAAGAGCACUGGUGGCCCAGAUCAUGCGGACGGGAAUGGAUGUCAACAAUGGCAUCAUGGUGGUUGCUAUUGUAGGUGUUGGUGGGAUCGUCAAGACCACCCUCGUCCAGAAGGUCCUCAAUGACAAGGCAAUCCAAGGUGAAUUCAGCAAAAAGAUAUGGUUGAGCGUAAAUCAAAACUUCAGUGAUGUUGAUCUGCUGAGAAGGGCCAUCAUUGAAGCCGGAGGAUAUGCCCAACCACCUGAAAGUGCAAAGACCAGCCUUCAUGAAACCCUCGAGAACACACUGAUUGACCACAAGACCUUUCUGGUAAUGGAUGAUGUGUGGAACCAUAGAGCAUGGGAUGACGUGCUGAAAAUACCCUUAGUCAAUGCUGCUGCUUUAGGAAGCCGAAUCCUCGUCACUACCAGAGAUGAAGUUGUUGCCCGAGGGGUGAAAGCUGGCCGUACCACCAUGUCGACAUAUUAGCGCCUGAAGAUGCUUGGUCAUUGCUCAAGAAGCAGGUCUGUACUUAACAGUGAAGUGAAUAAUCUAUCCCCAUCUACGUAUUAACAGUAAUUAAUGAUCCAUUAAUUACAUGUAAUUUAGUGACUUCUUUUUACUAUUACCUGUUGGAGGUAAGAGUUUGUCACUAAUUUUGUAAGGCCGAGAUUACUUUUUAAGUGCCAACAAGGAAAUAUGCCACAACACUAAUUGAGACACAUAGAUUUUGUUUAAUCAAUCUUUGAGAAAUAAUUAUAUAUAUAUAUAUAUAUAUAUAUAUAUAUAUAUAUAUAUAUAUAUAUAUAGACGGUCUAUUCUACACACCACUUCGGCACUGAGAGCGUGCUGCAUCAUUUUGACGACGAGCACUGCAAUAGAGACUAGUGAACUUCUCGUCGGAAAAAACGGCACGCGUUAUUUUUUCGGUACUGUUUUUGCUCUAAUUUUUUAACCGUUUAUCGGAAUGAGGCGUGUAAUACACCAUUGAAAAUCUAUGGAUUAGGCACAACUUCGACAUGUUGAACAUUUUUCGAGAUUCCACACGGUUUAAUAGCAGUUUUAAAAAUAGUGCGGCAGAUGACGAGUGGCAGCGAACGUUUUUUCGCCUUUUUUUCGAACCCGCUUGCCGGAAUGAAGCAAAUGAUACGCCAUUGGAUAGAUAUCGUCGAGGCGCAUCUUUCUCAUAUAUAAAUUUUUCUCUAAUUCGUUAUGGUUUAAGAGCAAUUUCAAAUUUACUAAAUCGCGGAACUCUGUUUUUCAAAAAUUUUGAAUUUUUCGGUACUGUUUUUGCUCCAGUUUUCUAACUGUUUGUCAAAACGAGACGUAUGAUACGCCGUUGGAAAGCUACAGACAAGGCGCAACUUUCGUAUGCUGAAAUGGUUUUGAGAUUCCUUACGGUUUUUAGUUAAUUUUGAAAAUCGUGCGGCUGACUUCGAGAGGCAGCGACUGUUUUUUCGUGAAAUUUUUACGAACGGCUAGUCGAAAUAAUUCAAAUCAUACGCCGUUGGAAAGAUAUCAACGAGACGCAACUUUUUCAUGUAGAACUCUCUCUCUAAUUCCUUACAAUUUAAGAGCAGUUUCGAUUUUACCGAAAAGCGGACACUCUGUUCUUCGCGAGACCAAAAUCGUCAUAUUUACUGCAUCAGACAGAAGAACGCACUGCUUCAGACAAAAUACCGCACUGCAUCAGACGGGCUACCGAACUUCAUUGUGUUUUUUUAGAUGUAAAUUUUGUCGGGUGAGGAAGUGGAGUGCGCUUCACAUCGGGCAUAAGUGAACCGCAACACUAUCGAGAGCUGAGCCUCAUGAGAUUACAGAGUGAGCUUCACAUCGGAUCGGGCGUAAGUGGACCGCAAAACUAUCGAGAGGUGAGCCGCUUGAGAUUACAAAGUGAGCUUCACUUCGGGCGUAAGUGGACCGCAAAAACUAUCGAGAGGUGAGUCACAUGACAUUACAAAGUGAGCUUCACCUCGAGCGUAAGUGGACCACAUAACUAUCGAGAGGUGAGCCACAUGACAUUACAAAGUGAGCUUCAAAAAAUUUACAUACCAGACACUUUUGUUUACCAAGUGAACCACAUAGGAUUUUACACUUAAUCGCAUCUAAGCAUCAUUUUCUAUAACAAACUUGGCCUUGCAAUUCUAUUACACAGGCUGUACACACAAUUCACAUAAAAAUUAUGGGGGAGGAUAGCACCACGAGGCUUUCAACGGGACUCUGAAACCGAAACUACAUUGCAUUGCACUGCGGUACUGCACUGAACACACAAACUAUGUACUUGUUGGGUUGGAUUGAUGUGCUGCUGCAAAAAUAAUCAAAAACUGCACUCAAACUGCAUGAUGUGGUGCAGACGCGAUGUGGACUCGCGAGAGAGAGUUUGCUCAGCGGAGGUGAGCUGCACGGGGGCGGCAAGCGAGAUGCACGGUGAGAGGCAACCGAGCUGCACAGAGGCUGGCGAUGCGGUGGGUCACCGGGGAACUGCACGGCUACAACGCAAGUACUGCAGAGCCGCGACGCGUGGACUUCCCGGGAUCCAGCAACUGCAUAGACGUGCCUCCGCCGACGAGGAUCCCGCAGGGACGGUAGGACACCCGUGGGAGCACACUCCCUCGUCCCUCUGCCCACCCCGCGCCGUGACAUGCAUCCAAUCCCACGGGAACGGAUCAGGCGACAUCCGACUCUCCUCCUACGGCCUCCUGUCCGUCGCCGGGGAGCCUGGGAGCCGUGGCGACCUCGCCGUGGGGCCUCGACCGCGCGCCCGAGGUGGGGGAGGCGGGGCCACGACCUCUGCCGUUGACCUCGCCGUCGAUGGAGCACCUCCUCCCCAUCCUCCCAUCGAAAGGGCGCAGGACAGGGGCGGUCUCGGCGGCGCGGGACAGGGGCACCCACGCGGAUCUCGCCGAAUUCGGCGACGAGCUGCACGAGCGGGGUGGCUUCCGCGCUGAGGGGCCGGCGGUGGCCGGAUCCGGUGGUUGAGGCCGCGCCGGGGGCCGAGGGCGGCCGGAUCCUGCCAUGUCCGCUGGAUGGUGUGGGAGAAAGAGGAGCGUGGCGGCCGGUAUAGAUGGUGGUGCCCGUGGGACGCAGCCGGAGGUGGUGGUGGGCGGCGCCGUCGGAGAAGAAGGGUUGGGUAGAGGUGCUCCGCUCCGGAGGUGGGGAGGGAAGUGGGGCGGCGCAGGGGGAGAAGUGGGGCGCGGCGUGGGGAGGGAGGUGGGGCGCUGCGUGGGGAGGUGGCUGGCUGGGAGGGGAGCAGGGAGUUGAUGAAGGUCGUGGGGACCGGAGCAAGGAGUUUCUUUUUUUACCUCGUGCAGCUCGUCUCUUGCUUUUGCGGGGUAAGUUUGUAGCUACGGGUCAGCUCGGUACUGUUAGUAGAAUAAGCUUUUUUGGUGUGCAGAAUAAGGUCUUAAGGGGUGUUAUCAUAAUAGACUCACCCUAUAUAUAUAUAGACACACACACACACCAGUGGAGAGGCAUGGGUCGUAUAUUUGAGGGGAGAAACCUUUUGUCAAUAUCCAGUCUCGUUUUCCAACAUAUGAGAUUAAGAUCUAAGUGCUCAGCUACUCAACAGUGUCAUAGGACAUAAUAUAAAUUAAAAAUUUCUUUAAGACAAAAAAAUAACAAUUUUGGUGAACCCCUGCCAAUACAACAAAAGAAUAUAACACGAAAAUUACUAGACUAGAAGUUGGCAGUAAUUUUGCUAGAGAAUUUGCAAAGAAAUUUAGUACUAAAUGUUUGGCGUAUAGUAUUAUGCAUUAUAGACGCUCGAGAUAUAAGACAAUUUCAUGUUACCAUAAAAUAUGAAAACGAAUAAAACAAUAUACGAUUUCUGUUAAAUUUGGAGUUACUUCUUAUAACGGUGAUGAGAGAGUAGUACUAUAGUAUAUUCUUAUUGCAGUAUGUUCCAUCUUGUAAAAAGAAAAGGAAAGAAAAUUAACUGUAUCGAUCCCUUGUACUGUAUGUUUGCAGGUAUGCUCAAGUGAGAUAGAUGAAGACCACAUCAAUAUGCUAAAGGAUAUCGGACUGAAAAUUAUACUGAAAUGUGGUUGUUUACCAAUUGUUGUUAAAGUAAUGGGAGGACUCUUGCGUGAAAGAGGGGGGCUACGACGUGACUGGCAGCGGAUUUUGGAUGAUUCUAAAUGGUCAACAACUAAAAUGCCCGAUGAGCUCAACCACACAAUAUACUGAGGAGGAGGAGGAAGAAGCAGAAGAAAAAGAAGAAGAAGAAGAAGAAGAAGAAGAAGAAGAAGAAGAAGAAGAAGAAGAAGAAGAAGAAGAAGAAGAAGAAGAAGGAGAAGGAGGAAGAAGAAGAAGAAGAGGAAGAAGAAGAAGAAGAGGAGGAGGAAGAAGAAGAAGAAGAAGAGGAAGAAGAAGAAGAAGAAGAAGAGGAGGAGGNNNNNNNNNNNNNNNNNNNNNNNNNNNNNNNNNNNNNNNNNNNNNNNNNNNNNNNNNNNNNNNNNNNNNNNNNNNNNNNNNNNNNNNNNNNNNNNNNNNNNNNNNNNNNNNNNNNNNNNNNNNNNNNNNNNNNNNNNNNNNNNNNNNNNNNNNNNNNNNNNNNNNNNNNNNNNNNNNNNNNNNNNNNNNNNNNNNNNNNNNNNNNNNNNNNNNNNNNNNNNNNNNNNNNNNNNNNNNNNNNNNNNNNNNNNNNNNNNNNNNNNNNNNNNNNNNNNNNNNNNNNNNNNNNNNNNNNNNNNNNNNNNNNNNNNNNNNNNNNNNNNNNNNNNNNNNNNNNNNNNNNNNNNNNNNNNNNNNNNNNNNNNNNNNNNNNNNNNNNNNNNNNNNNNNNNNNNNNNNNNNNNNNNNNNNNNNNNNNNNNNNNNNNNNNNNNNNNNNNNNNNNNNNNNNNNNNNNNNNNNNNNNNNNNNNNNNNNNNNNNNNNNNNNNNNNNNNNNNNNNNNNNNNNNNNNNNNNNNNNNNNNNNNNNNNNNNNNNNNNNNNNNNNNNNNNNNNNNNNNNNNNNNNNNNNNNNNNNNNNNNNNNNNNNNNNNNNNNNNNNNNNNNNNNNNNNNNNNNNNNNNNNNNNNNNNNNNNNNNNNNNNNNNNNNNNNNNNNNNNNNNNNNNNNNNNNNNNNNNNNNNNNNNNNNNNNNNNNNNNNNNNNNNNNNNNNNNNNNNNNNNNNNNNNNNNNNNNNNNNNNNNNNNNNNNNNNNNNNNNNNNNNNNNNNNNNNNNNNNNNNNNNNNNNNNNNNNNNNNNNNNNNNNNNNNNNNNNNNNNNNNNNNNNNNNNNNNNNNNNNNNNNNNNNNNNNNNNNNNNNNNNNNNNNNNNNNNNNNNNNNNNNNNNNNNNNNNNNNNNNNNNNNNNNNNNNNNNNNNNNNNNNNNNNNNNNNNNNNNNNNNNNNNNNNNNNNNNNNNNNNNNNNNNNNNNNNNNNNNNNNNNNNNNNNNNNNNNNNNNNNNNNNNNNNNNNNNNNNNNNNNNNNNNNNNNNNNNNNNNNNNNNNNNNNNNNNNNNNNNNNNNNNNNNNNNNNNNNNNNNNNNNNNNNNNNNNNNNNNNNNNNNNNNNNNNNNNNNNNNNNNNNNNNNNNNNNNNNNNNNNNNNNNNNNNNNNNNNNNNNNNNNNNNNNNNNNNNNNNNNNNNNNNNNNNNNNNNNNNNNNNNNNNNNNNNNNNNNNNNNNNNNNNNNNNNNNNNNNNNNNNNNNNNNNNNNNNNNNNNNNNNNNNNNNNNNNNNNNNNNNNNNNNNNNNNNNNNNNNNNNNNNNNNNNNNNNNNNNNNNNNNNNNNNNNNNNNNNNNNNNNNNNNNNNNNNNNNNNNNNNNNNNNNNNNNNNNNNNNNNNNNNNNNNNNNNNNNNNNNNNNNNNNNNNNNNNNNNNNNNNNNNNNNNNNNNNNNNNNNNNNNNNNNNNNNNNNNNNNNNNNNNNNNNNNNNNNNNNNNNNNNNNNNNNNNNNNNNNNNNNNNNNNNNNNNNNNNNNNNNNNNNNNNNNNNNNNNNNNNNNNNNNNNNNNNNNNNNNNNNNNNNNNNNNNNNNNNNNNNNNNNNNNNNNNNNNNNNNNNNNNNNNNNNNNNNNNNNNNNNNNNNNNNNNNNNNNNNNNNNNNNNNNNNNNNNNNNNNNNNNNNNNNNNNNNNNNNNNNNNNNNNNNNNNNNNNNNNNNNNNNNNNNNNNNNNNNNNNNNNNNNNNNNNNNNNNNNNNNNNNNNNNNNNNNNNNNNNNNNNNNNNNNNNNNNNNNNNNNNNNNNNNNNNNNNNNNNNNNNNNNNNNNNNNNNNNNNNNNNNNNNNNNNNNNNNNNNNNNNNNNNNNNNNNNNNNNNNNNNNNNNNNNNNNNNNNNNNNNNNNNNNNNNNNNNNNNNNNNNNNNNNNNNNNNNNNNNNNNNNNNNNNNNNNNNNNNNNNNNNNNNNNNNNNNNNNNNNNNNNNNNNNNNNNNNNNNNNNNNNNNNNNNNNNNNNNNNNNNNNNNNNNNNNNNNNNNNNNNNNNNNNNNNNNNNNNNNNNNNNNNNNNNNNNNNNNNNNNNNNNNNNNNNNNNNNNNNNNNNNNNNNNNNNNNNNNNNNNNNNNNNNNNNNNNNNNNNNNNNNNNNNNNNNNNNNNNNNNNNNNNNNNNNNNNNNNNNNNNNNNNNNNNNNNNNNNNNNNNNNNNNNNNNNNNNNNNNNNNNNNNNNNNNNNNNNNNNNNNNNNNNNNNNNNNNNNNNNNNNNNNNNNNNNNNNNNNNNNNNNNNNNNNNNNNNNNNNNNNNNNNNNNNNNNNNNNNNNNNNNNNNNNNNNNNNNNNNNNNNNNNNNNNNNNNNNNNNNNNNNNNNNNNNNNNNNNNNNNNNNNNNNNNNNNNNNNNNNNNNNNNNNNNNNNNNNNNNNNNNNNNNNNNNNNNNNNNNNNNNNNNNNNNNNNNNNNNNNNNNNNNNNNNNNNNNNNNNNNNNNNNNNNNNNNNNNNNNNNNNNNNNNNNNNNNNNNNNNNNNNNNNNNNNNNNNNNNNNNNNNNNNNNNNNNNNNNNNNNNNNNNNNNNNNNNNNNNNNNNNNNNNNNNNNNNNNNNNNNNNNNNNNNNNNNNNNNNNNNNNNNNNNNNNNNNNNNNNNNNNNNNNNNNNNNNNNNNNNNNNNNNNNNNNNNNNNNNNNNNNNNNNNNNNNNNNNNNNNNNNNNNNNNNNNNNNNNNNNNNNNNNNNNNNNNNNNNNNNNNNNNNNNNNNNNNNNNNNNNNNNNNNNNNNNNNNNNNNNNNNNNNNNNNNNNNNNNNNNNNNNNNNNNNNNNNNNNNNNNNNNNNNNNNNNNNNNNNNNNNNNNNNNNNNNNNNNNNNNNNNNNNNNNNNNNNNNNNNNNNNNNNNNNNNNNNNNNNNNNNNNNNNNNNNNNNNNNNNNNNNNNNNNNNNNNNNNNNNNNNNNNNNNNNNNNNNNNNNNNNNNNNNNNNNNNNNNNNNNNNNNNNNNNNNNNNNNNNNNNNNNNNNNNNNNNNNNNNNNNNNNNNNNNNNNNNNNNNNNNNNNNNNNNNNNNNNNNNNNNNNNNNNNNNNNNNNNNNNNNNNNNNNNNNNNNNNNNNNNNNNNNNNNNNNNNNNNNNNNNNNNNNNNNNNNNNNNNNNNNNNNNNNNNNNNNNNNNNNNNNNNNNNNNNNNNNNNNNNNNNNNNNNNNNNNNNNNNNNNNNNNNNNNNNNNNNNNNNNNNNNNNNNNNNNNNNNNNNNNNNNNNNNNNNNNNNNNNNNNNNNNNNNNNNNNNNNNNNNNNNNNNNNNNNNNNNNNNNNNNNNNNNNNNNNNNNNNNNNNNNNNNNNNNNNNNNNNNNNNNNNNNNNNNNNNNNNNNNNNNNNNNNNNNNNNNNNNNNNNNNNNNNNNNNNNNNNNNNNNNNNNNNNNNNNNNNNNNNNNNNNNNNNNNNNNNNNNNNNNNNNNNNNNNNNNNNNNNNNNNNNNNNNNNNNNNNNNNNNNNNNNNNNNNNNNNNNNNNNNNNNNNNNNNNNNNNNNNNNNNNNNNNNNNNNNNNNNNNNNNNNNNNNNNNNNNNNNNNNNNNNNNNNNNNNNNNNNNNNNNNNNNNNNNNNNNNNNNNNNNNNNNNNNNNNNNNNNNNNNNNNNNNNNNNNNNNNNNNNNNNNNNNNNNNNNNNNNNNNNNNNNNNNNNNNNNNNNNNNNNNNNNNNNNNNNNNNNNNNNNNNNNNNNNNNNNNNNNNNNNNNNNNNNNNNNNNNNNNNNNNNNNNNNNNNNNNNNNNNNNNNNNNNNNNNNNNNNNNNNNNNNNNNNNNNNNNNNNNNNNNNNNNNNNNNNNNNNNNNNNNNNNNNNNNNNNNNNNNNNNNNNNNNNNNNNNNNNNNNNNNNNNNNNNNNNNNNNNNNNNNNNNNNNNNNNNNNNNNNNNNNNNNNNNNNNNNNNNNNNNNNNNNNNNNNNNNNNNNNNNNNNNNNNNNNNNNNNNNNNNNNNNNNNNNNNNNNNNNNNNNNNNNNNNNNNNNNNNNNNNNNNNNNNNNNNNNNNNNNNNNNNNNNNNNNNNNNNNNNNNNNNNNNNNNNNNNNNNNNNNNNNNNNNNNNNNNNNNNNNNNNNNNNNNNNNNNNNNNNNNNNNNNNNNNNNNNNNNNNNNNNNNNNNNNNNNNNNNNNNNNNNNNNNNNNNNNNNNNNNNNNNNNNNNNNNNNNNNNNNNNNNNNNNNNNNNNNNNNNNNNNNNNNNNNNNNNNNNNNNNNNNNNNNNNNNNNNNNNNNNNNNNNNNNNNNNNNNNNNNNNNNNNNNNNNNNNNNNNNNNNNNNNNNNNNNNNNNNNNNNNNNNNNNNNNNNNNNNNNNNNNNNNNNNNNNNNNNNNNNNNNNNNNNNNNNNNNNNNNNNNNNNNNNNNNNNNNNNNNNNNNNNNNNNNNNNNNNNNNNNNNNNNNNNNNNNNNNNNNNNNNNNNNNNNNNNNNNNNNNNNNNNNNNNNNNNNNNNNNNNNNNNNNNNNNNNNNNNNNNNNNNNNNNNNNNNNNNNNNNNNNNNNNNNNNNNNNNNNNNNNNNNNNNNNNNNNNNNNNNNNNNNNNNNNNNNNNNNNNNNNNNNNNNNNNNNNNNNNNNNNNNNNNNNNNNNNNNNNNNNNNNNNNNNNNNNNNNNNNNNNNNNNNNNNNNNNNNNNNNNNNNNNNNNNNNNNNNNNNNNNNNNNNNNNNNNNNNNNNNNNNNNNNNNNNNNNNNNNNNNNNNNNNNNNNNNNNNNNNNNNNNNNNNNNNNNNNNNNNNNNNNNNNNNNNNNNNNNNNNNNNNNNNNNNNNNNNNNNNNNNNNNNNNNNNNNNNNNNNNNNNNNNNNNNNNNNNNNNNNNNNNNNNNNNNNNNNNNNNNNNNNNNNNNNNNNNNNNNNNNNNNNNNNNNNNNNNNNNNNNNNNNNNNNNNNNNNNNNNNNNNNNNNNNNNNNNNNNNNNNNNNNNNNNNNNNNNNNNNNNNNNNNNNNNNNNNNNNNNNNNNNNNNNNNNNNNNNNNNNNNNNNNNNNNNNNNNNNNNNNNNNNNNNNNNNNNNAUUUUUUAAAACGUUAGAAAUGUUAUGUUAGAUCGAACUAGUUUAUUUUUAGUAAAUGCUUAGUUUGAACUAGUUGAAUUAAUAUAACUAGUUUAUUUUUAGUAAAUGUUUAGUUGAACUAGUUGAAUUAAUAUAUAUAGAACUCGUUUAUUUUUAGUAAAUGCUUUUUUGACCUAGUUGAAUUAAUAUAUAGAACUAGUUUAUUUUUAGUAUAUGCUUAGUUUGAACUAGUUGAAUUAAUAUAACUAGUUUAUUUUUAGUAAAUGUUUAGUUGAACUAGUUGAAUUAAUAUAUAUAUAGAACUAGUUUAUUUUUAGUAAAUGCUUUAAACUAAUUGAAUCAAUAUAACUAGUUUAUUUUUAGUAAUUGCUUAGUUGAAUUAAUAGAAGUAGUUCAAUUAAUUAAAUUAGUAAGUGAUUAAUGUUUCGCCUAAUAUGAACAUAGGAAAUGUCGUCUGACGACGGAAAAAAAUUUAUUAUGUGUGAAUACUGUGAAGACCAGCGUGGCCAGUGCGACAGAAAUUUCCUUGUUGAUGGUAGGCGAUUCAGCAUCAAGCUGGAUGAGACUUUCGAAUUCGAUACAUUAAGUCACAACGACAAGUCUGUUUUCGUAAUUAAGCAUGACUUAUAUAUGCUUCAUUUUGCCUGACUUAUAAUUUUUAAUUUUCACUAUUAUACUAGCGCAUCCCGUGCCAUGCAAGAAUUUUGGUCUUGGAUAAGAUAGGUUUCAAAGAUAUGGAAACUAUGGAGGUAAAGAGAGCUUACCUGAAAACUAAGCAUGAUGGUUAUACUUUCAACGUCAAAGUAUACAAUGCACACACGUACACCUAUUUUGAAUGCAAAACUUGGCAAGCACAAUGCAAGGCUUAUGCAUUUGAGCCUGGUAUGGUUAUCACCUUUGAUAUUCGUCCGGAAGAUGAUAUUGAAGGUAAUAUAGACAUAUGGGUCGAUGUGAAGACGCCUCCAGUUCUACCAUUAUGUGAGUUCUUCUCAACUAUAUUUUUGUCUUUGAUAUUGCUUAUUCAAAAAUAACUGACAACUAAUUUCUAUUGACAGCUUAUCUCCAUUCAACCAAACAUGUCCGGCGCUUGGUAGACAGGACCUACUACUGUCCUGGAGCUGAACUAAACUGCGAGGAGAUAAGUCAUUAUGUUUCAUGGCUUGAGGAUCUUCAUACUGUCAAAACAAAUUUUCUUCCUGCACUUAGAAAUGUUAGUACUCAAAACGUGCGACCAAUAGUGAUGGUAUUGAACUACGGUCACAUCUAUUUAGGAAUGAUGGUAAGAUAUUUACUACUUGUCCUCAGUGUAUAUUUUGCAUACAUAAUUUUUUUGCUAAACUUUCAUUGCUAAGUAUAUUAAUUAAGUACUAUACAAUGUUCUUCAACAGGGACUCCCGAUGACAGUUGUGCCUCAGGGGAUCGAGACUAAAGGUCAGAUGUCAAUUGUUAGCUUACGGCCAAGAUAUCCUGCAUUGCACAUGAAUGCAUUCAGGAUUUCUAGAAGCGAUGAAUGCUUAAUAGUGAAAGAUUGGAGGGAAAUUGUUAAUGAUCGCAGAGAAGUACUAGGGGGCAGCAAUGAGAAGCGCAGCCCACGAUUAGGAGACAUGUUCAUCGGUAUGCUCCAGUAUGAUCAAUCAGGAGAGCUAUACAUGUUCUAUGCUAUUUUACCAGAGAGAGAGUAGCUAGCAGGAGUGAUUUAGCUAGUUCUUCAUGCUGCUCUUAAUUAGUACUUGUCCUUUCAUGUCCGUGUUCUUCGUUUUGAACUUAAGUGAUUUGCUUUUGUGGUGUUAUAUAUGAACGCUUAUAAUAUCAUGACAAUCAUGUUGAACUCGAUCGAUAAUAUUUUUGCUUCUGGUACAAGUGAAUGUUUCUUCUUUAAGAUAGUAGUGCUGGUGGUGAUUAGAUAGGUAGUUAAUUAUUAUAUCUUUUUAUGAAAGAAACCGCAGAUUAAUUUCAGCUGGAUGGGUCCUACCUAAGUGAUCAAGUAUAUGCCAUAUCCGUAUAUAUUAUAGUUGAUCAAGUAUAAUAUGGAUAUGGCAUAUACUCUAGCUAGCUAGCUAUAGAGAUAUCCAAUAAUGCAUCCAGUCGAAACUAAUCUGCGGUACUUUCACCUAAUGAUUUAACAACUCAUUAUAAUGUAAAACAAUCACUAAAUUAAAUUGAAAACACAAAAUUAAAGAAAAAUUAAAAAAACACCCAAACAUUUAGUAUCGGUUGGUGUUACCAACCGGUACUAAUGGCCUCCACGCAAACGGGCCUGGCUCGUGCCACGUGGUGGCACUUUAGCGCCGGUUCGUCACGAACCGGUACUAAAGGGAGGGGACCUUUAGUCCCCACUCUUUAGUGCCGGUUGACGAACCGGCACUAAAGCCCAUUACGAACCGGCACUAAAGGCCGGUUCUGCACUAGUGUUAUUUUAUCUCUUGCUUUUCGUCCAUAUAUACUGCGUGAUGAUGAGAUAUAUUAUGUACCUUCCUUGUGCAUGUUGCUAAGUAUUUUGUCUUUUUACUGCUUUCCAAUGCAUGUUUUCUCGAGUUCAACAUAGGAGUAUCAUUUAACCAUAUUGUAAUUUUCUUGCCAUGCAGGUACCUUAUCAUGUUGUAUGGUGGACCCACAAGGAUUUGAGUCUAUGUACAAAAUAAGAAGAAGCACCUUCAGUUACAUUUGCAACUUGGUGAGGUUGCCAUUUUUGGAAGAUAUGAUGGCGAGGGAUCACACCUUUGUUGAUGGGAGAGUAAUGUCUUUACAAGAUCGAGUAGCCACUGCUCUGAGAAUGUUGAAUUCUGGUGAACCACCGGUGGUCAUAGGAUCCUAUCUUGGUGUCAACGAGUCCACUAUCUCGCUGGUAACUCAGAGGUUUAUUGAGGAUAUUCAGGAGCGAGUGUUGCACCAUUUGGACUGGCCAUACAAUUUCCAAGCAAUGGAGAAGAUCAAGUGCAGGUUUGACAAGAUGUACGGCUUGCCAAAUUGCUGCGGUGUUGUACAUACAACUUACUUUGAAUUUGGAUCACCAAAACUUGACCAUGAGGAGAACAUUGACACACUAAUGCAAGCCGUUGUUAAUCCAGAUAUGAGGUUCACAAAUAUUUAGUUUGGAGCAUCAAGUAGCAUGAACCAGGCAAAUGUUUUGCGCGACUCUUGGCUCUUCAAGUCCUGCGAGAAAGUACUUUGUUGGUUGGUAGCAAGUUCAAGGUAUCAGAUGGCUCAGACAUUGGGGAGUACAUCAUUGGUGAUGAAGGAUACCCUCUUCGUCCAUGGCUCCUCACACCUUACCGGUUGGAGGAUGACAUCUCAGACUCGAAAGUGGAGUUCAACAUGAGACACUCUGCAGCUACAGCCAUGGCGCUGAGGGCACUAGAAAGGUUGAAAGACACGUGGAAGUGCCUACAGGAAGAAGGCUGGCAUCCGAAUAGUCAACAUGAUUUGCGGCGGACAAUCGACACGUGUUGUAGGUUGCAUAAUAUAGUGAUAGAGAUGGAGGAGGAGGGUGCAGUCAUGCUCAGCAAUCAGGAGGAGAAUUGCAUCGAGCAAGUGAGCCAGUUAUUAGACGAGGAUGCUGUCAAGGUGAGGGAUGUACUAUCCAAGCACUUGGUCGAUUCUCGAGGUAAAAUAACACAUUUCUUAUCUGUUCAUUUUAUAUUUCUUUCCCUCUCAUUGAUUCCAUCUUUCAGCUACUUGUUUAGUCCACACAUUCGCUACAGAGGAGGAACAAGAAGCAUCCAGUCGAAGAGAUGAAAACAAUGAACAAGAAGCACACCAACUACAAACAACGAAUCGAGGGAAAUUAUACACAAAUAACAAAUUGACAGCCCAAGCAAAUGGUACGUGUUAUACACAAGAAGUGGCAACUGCAAGUUAGAUUCAAAUAUACGUUUGUUUCAUUUUCUCAUGCCUUUCAUCCAUUUAUGCUGCUUGAUGACUAAAUAUAUUCCAUUAAAUUUUGUGGUUCACACAAUUACGAGUUGUUUCAGAUGACAUAAAAACAAGGUUGUAAUGGGCUUUCAACACAAAUUGUAUCCACAUUGGUCGAUGUACGUGUGGGUUGUUUUAUGCAUAGCUGCUCUCUGAUUUGAUUGCAACCCCUCGUCCUUCUUGUUACCCUGAGUAUGAAAAUCUAGAGUAAUAUAAAAAAUCUGAGCAUUGUAAAUUAGAGCCUAUGUAUAACCACUAUUUGCACUUCUCUUGCCAUGCAGAAACUUUAUCAUCUUGUAUGGUGGGCACACAAGGAUUUGAGUCUUUGUACAAAAUGAGAAGAAGUACCUUUAGUUACAUCUGCAGCUUGGUGAAGGUGCCCCUUUCCGAAGAUAUGAUGGUAAGACGUCACACCUUUGUUGACGAGAGAGUGCUGUCUUUCCAUGAUGGUGUCGCCAUUGCUUUGAGAAUGUUGAACUCCGAUGAGACGCCGGAGAUUGUGGGAUCAUCAUUUGGUGUGGAUGGGUCAACGGUUUCACUGUUAACUCAGAGGUUGUUAAGGCCAUGGAAGGACGAGCAAGGCACCAUGUCAUGUUGCCUGGCUCCGCUCAAGUGGAGAAGAUCAAGCACAAGUUUGACAAGAUCCAUGGCCUCCCAAACUGCUGCAGUGUUGUACAUACAACUCACAUGAAAUUUGGAUCGGAAAACCAUGAGAAUGAGGAAAAUGAUGGCGUGCUAAUGCAAGCCAUGGUAGAUCCAGAUAUGAGGUUCACAGACAUUUUACUGGGAUCGCAACGAAACAUGAACCAGUCAAGCAUGUUGCACAACUCCGAUCUCUUCAAGUACUGCGAGAGGGGUGCUUGGCUGAAUGGUAGCAACCUGACGGUACCAUCAGGUGGAGGAUCGAAAGUCAAGGAAUACAUAAUUGGUGAUGCAGGAUACCCUCUUCGUCCUUGGCUCCUCACUCCUUACCGGUUGGAGAAUGGCUCUCACUCUCAGGCGCCAAAGUUGAGUUUAAUAGGAGACAUUCUGCCGCUACAGCCGUCGUGCUGAGGGCACUGGCAAGUUUAAAGGAGACAUGGAAAUGCCUGGAGGGAAAAGGGUGGCGUCCAAAUAAUCAACUUGAGGCGUACUGGACAGUCGACACUUGCUGUAUAUUGCAUAACAUAGUGAUAGACAUGGAUGAGGAUAAAGAGGAGGAGGAAAAGGUGGAGAAUUGCAUCAAGCAAUUGCGGCAGUUAGCAGACGAGGACGCCAUCAGGGUGAGGGACGCACUAUCCCAGCACUUGAUUGAAUGUGGAGGUAAAAUAACACACACAGACACUUUAAUGGCCACAUCUCUAUAUUUUGUUUGUACCUAUUCUGCCAGUUUUACUUCAAGUAUGAAAAAUCUAGAGUAAUAUGUUACCUCUUGCCUUGUAAAUUAGAGAUUAUGUAGCCAAUGUUCUUUCAAUGCAGGAACCUUAUCAUCUUCUAUUGUGGAUGCACAAGGGUUUGAAUCUGUGUACAAAAUGAGAAGAAGUACCUUCAGUUAUAUCUGCAGCUUGGUGAAGACCCCAUUUUUGGAAGAUAUGAUGGCAAGGGGUCACACCUUUGUUGACGGGAGAGUGUUUUCUUUGCAGGAUGGAGUAGCCAUCGCUAUGAGAAUCCUGAACUCUGGUGAAUCACCCGUUGCCAUAGGAUCCUCUCUUGGUGUUGACGAGUCAACUGCCUCACCAGUAACUCAGAGUUUUGUUAAGGCUAUGGCGGAGCGAGCAUUGCCCCAUUUGUGUUGGUCAUACUCCUCCCAAAAAAUGGAGAAGAUGAAGCGCAAGUUUCACAAGGUCCAUGGCAUGCCCAACUGCUGUGGUGUAGUACACACACCUCGCAUCACAUUUGGAUCACAAAACCGUGACAAUGAAGAGAAUGAAGGCAUACUCAUGCAAGCCGUCCUUGAUUCUGAUAUGAGGUUCAGAGACAUUUGCAUGUGGCCGUGACAAUGCCAAUUGUCAACACAUGGUGGCUUUGUGCAACUCUGAUCUCUUCAAUCGCUGCGAGAAGGGUACUUGGCUGAAUGGUAGCAAGCUGAAGAUAUCAUCAGGUGGUGGAUCAGCAGUAAGGGAAUACAUAAUUGGUAGUACAGCAUACGCUCUUCUUCCUUGGCUCCUCACACCUUACCAGUUGGAGAAUGGCCUCUCACUCUCAGACGCCAAAGUUGAGUUCAACAGGAGACAUUCUGAAGCUGCAGCCAUCGCGCUAAUGGCGCUAGCAAGGUUAAAGGACACAUGGAAGUGCCUACAGGGAGAAGGCUGGCGUCCAAAUAAUCAGCUUGAGGCGUAUUGGACAGUCGACACGUGUUGUAUAUUGCAUAACAUAGUGAUAGACAUGGAGGAGGAUGGUGUAGGCAUGCCGAGUGAUCGGGAUCAAGCAAGUGUGGCAUGUAGCAGAUGAGGAGGAGGGUGUCAGGGCGAGGGAUAUACUGUCCCAGCACUUGAUUGAAUCUGGAGGUAAAUUAAGACAACUCUCAACUGUGUUUGUUCGUACUCUAGCUUUGCGUAUUUGCUUCUUCUUUUUUUUGUAAUUACCUGCUGUUGAUUCCAUGAUUCCAUCUUAAUUCCAUCUUAACUGCGUUUGGCUGAAGAGGAGGAACAAGAAGCAGUAGUAGUUGCAUCUGGCUUAGGAGACGAAAAUAAGGAAGAAGAAGCAGUGGUAGCUAUGAUGAAGCGUAUAACCCUUUGUCUCGGGCCGCAAUGUAUUUAUAUGACCGAAGCCUUGAUGUACAAGUUGAGAGAGAGAGAUCGAUCGUGAUCCUCUCGAGAGGUUACAGGAGAUACGGGAGAGAAGAAGAGAUAGAUAGGGAUACAAGUUUAAACCACUUUCCUAUCCCUAUACAACUUAUAUUCUAACACUCCCCCUCAAUCUAAACCCUAUUUGCCAAGGUUGAGAUUGUACUUGAAAUCAUCUAACCUCCGCAUUGUCAGAGGCUUUGUGAAUCCAUCAGCAAGUUGAUCACCUGUUGGAAUAAACCUUAUAUCAAGCAGUUUGCGUGUCACUCUUUCUCUGACAAAGUGAAAAUCAACUUCAAUAUGUUUUGUCCGUGCAUGAAAAACAGGAUUAGCUGAAAGAUAGGUUGCACCAAUGUGAUCACACCAUAAUCUUGCAGCCUGUGAAACUUUAAUUCCAAGUUCAUGUAGCAAUGUCUGAAUCCACAUUACUUCAGCUGUUGCAUUAGCUAAAGCUUUAUACUCAGCCUCAGUGCUUGACCGUGAGGUUCAUGUAGCAAUGUAUGAAUCCACAUUACUUCAGCUGUUGCAUUAGCUAAAGCUUUAUACUCAGCGUCAGUGCUUGACCGUGAGACUGUUGCCUGUUUUCUUGCACUCCAUGACACAAGGUUUGUUCCCAGAAACACAACAAAGCCACCUGUUGACCUUCUAUCAUCAGCACACCCUGCCCAAUCUGCAUCAGAGUAAGCUGACACAAGCAUAGAGGAAGACUUGACAAUCUGAAGACCAAGUCCCUCUGUAAACUUGAGAUACCUCAAAAUCCUUUUUACUGUUGUCCAAUGAACAGUAGUUGGAGCAUGCAAAUAUUGACAUACUUUGUUAACAGAAUAUGAAAUAUCAGGACGUGUAAGAGUCAAGUACUGUAAUGCACCCACAACACUUCUGUAAUUCGUUGCAUCAUAUGACCCAAGUGCUUCUCCACUUUCAACAGUAAGUUUUUCUGAAGUAGAGAUAGGUGUACUGACCGGCUUACACUUUUCCAUACCUACCCUUCUGAGAAUGUCAGUGGUAUAUUUCUCUUGUGUAAGAAGUAUGCCAUCUUUUACCUUCUUGACUUCAAUUCCAAUAAAGUAAUGAAGAUCUCCUAAGUCUUUAAGAGCAAACUCCAGCUUUAAAUCCUUAAGCAGACAAGUUGUAGCCUCUGAGCUGGAACUAGCAACAAUUAUAUCAUCAACGUAAACAAGAACAAAUAUAGUAACAUUGCUCUUAUGGUAAAAGAAUAAUGAGGUAUCUGCCUUUGAUGGUGCAAACCCAAGCUUUUGCAACUGCGUACUUAGCCUUGAGUACCAGGCUCUUGGGGGCUGUUUUAACCCAUACAAUGCUUUGUCCAACUUACAGACAUAAUGUGGUGUGUUCUUGUUUUCAUAUCCUGGUGGCUGCCGCAUGAACACUUCUUCCUCAAGAACACCAUGAAGAAACGUGUUCUGAACGUCUAACUGUCGUAGGCUCCAACCUCUGGAAAUAGCAAUAGACAAUACAAGUCGAAUAGUAGCUGAUUUAAUAACAGGACUAAAGGUAUCCUCAUAAUAUAUACCAAACCUUUGCUUAAAACCUUUUGCAACUAGUCUGGCUUUGUAUCUCUCUAUAUUUCCAUCAGCUCUUUUCUUAAUUUUGUAUACCCAUUUGCAGUCAGUCACAUUAGCAUCCCUCUUUGGUGGAACUAGCCGCCAAGUUUUGUUUUGAAUUAGUGCAUCAUAUUCGACAUCCAUAGCCUUCUUCCAAUCCUUGUGUGCAAAAGCAUCAUGCAAAUUUGUUGGUUCACCAGUACUUGCGAGAAACGCACGCUUAAGUUUAUCAUACCUGAUUGUACCAUCCGUAUACGUCUUCUCCUUGACAAUACCUGACUGAGAUCGUGUAUGACGGAGAGAAACUGAAGUUGCUGCAGUACUGGCCGCAGAAGAUCCGUCCGGCCCAGAAACCGCAGAAGAUCCGUCCGGCCUAGAGGCACACACGCUCCCCCCGUCGCCAGCAGCAUCGGGACUCGUGGCGCAGGGCGAGGCGCUGCUGCGCGAUCUAGUGGGCUCCAUGCUGGUGGGCUCCACACCUGGCGGGCUGUCGGCCACCGGUCCAGAAGCGCUGGUUGGCUCCGCGCCUGGCGGGCUGUUGGCCAUCCGACCGGGCGUCAUGGGAGACACGUGGCGAUCCACCUGGGAUCCCGCACCCGUCAGACUGCGGCGCGGAUCAGCCUCGGAUCGCGCGGCUGCAGUGCCAGGCGAAUCUUCCUGGGAUCUGGCGUCUGGUCCUGUUUUGGCUGCAUCUACACACAUAAAAUCAUGUCUUGUGGCUGCACAAUCAACAUUAGAUUCAGAAUUUUCCAUGGAAUUUUCCACAUGAUCAGUUCUAAUUAAUUCACCCCCGUGAUCAGGAGAAGAUGGAGGAUCGGAAACAAGUGAGAUUUCAGCACGCAAAAGAGCUCCCGCAUUAGGAUGAAGUUUGGCAAAUGGAAAUAAUGUUUCAUCAAAAAUAACAUCACGAGAAAUAUAGAUACGACCUGAUGAGAUUUCUAGACAUUUGUAUCCUUUAUGAAGAUUACUAUAGACAAGAGACACGCAUUGUGUGGACCGAAACUCAAGUUUAUGGCGAUUGUAGGGACGCAAAUUUGGGUAGCAAGCACACCCAAAAAUUUUGAGAGAGCUAUAGUCUGGUUUUUGAUGAAACAAACGUUCCAAAGGAGUAGUGUUGCCAAUGACUCGACUAGGCAGACGAUUGAUAAGAUAAGUAGCCGUGAUAAAGGCCUCAUCCCAAUAUUUAAGUGGCAUUGAUGCAUGAGCUAAAAGAGACAACCCAACUUCCACCAUAUGACGAUGUUUGCGUUCGGCUGAACCGUUCUGUUGGUGUGCAUGAGGGCAAGAGACAUGAUGAAUAAUGCCAAUGCUACGGAAGAAAGAAUUGAGUUUCUCAUAUUCUCCUCCCCAGUCACUUUGGACUGCAAGGAUCUUUCUAUCAAAUUGUCUUUCAACAAGUUUUUGGAAUUCUUGGAAAACAGAAAAGACUUCAGAUUUGAACUUAAGCAAAUAUAUCCAUGUGAAUUUGCUAUAAUCAUCAAUAAAACUGACAUAGUAUUUCUUGCGACCAAAAGAAUCUCUUGCAUGACCCCAUACAUCACUGAAAAUAAGCUUUAAAGGAGCAUGAGACACACUAUUUGACAAAGGAUAAGGAAGUUGGUGGCUCUUUGCACAUUGACAAGCUUCACAAACUGACUCACUUUCGGAACUACGUGACAAUGAAAGAUUGCCUUUAUUGACUACUUGCUUGACUAUAUUUGGAGAAUGAUGACCUAAUCUUUGGUGCCAUUUGGCUAAGGAGGGCUUGAUGGCAGAAUAAACUUGACGGUGAUGCUUUCGAUCAAAGACUCUUGAUGUGAUGGGAUAUAGCCCUCCAAUGCAUCUACCGUGAUGGAUGAGCUCCUUCGUUGCCCGAUCCUUUAUGAAAAAAUAGGUAGGAUGAGUUUCAAAGAAAACAUUAUUGUCGGAGGUUAAACGAGACAUGGAAGCUAGAUUUUUAUCGGCUUGAGGAACAUGAAGGACAUCUUUAAGAACAAGAUCACGCUUAAGGCUAGGGGAAUUAAUAGAAGAUUGACCAAUGUGGGUGAUGUCCAUACCUCCACCGCUUGCGGUGUGAAUUUGAUCAUUGCCAUGAUACCUCUCUCGGAGGGCAAGCUUCUCUAGCUCGUUCGUGACAUGAUCCGUAGCUCCGGAAUCAGCAUACCAGACCGUGUCACCAUCAGCUCCGCCGUGAUCCCGCAUGGCUGCAGCUGCGUGCUUUGUAUCAGGCACGAAGUCCUCAUCGUACCGGUGCCAGCAGUCAAUGACUUCAUGACCCGAUUUCUUGCACAGCUGACAUCUAGGCCGCCGGUUGUUGUUGUUGUGGCCGCUGUUGUAGCCGCCGUUGUAGCCGCCGUUGUAGUUGUUGUUGCCGCGGUCACCACCAUUGUUGUCGCGAUCACAAGGGCGAGCCUGGCCCUGGUUACCACUGCGCCCGCCGCCGCUGCUGUUUCCGCGUCCGCGCCACUGCUGUCCACUCCCACGACCACGUCCGCGGGAGGCGACGUUGACAGAAGACUGACGCAGAUUGCCUCCUUGAAGCAUGCUGAGGCGGGCGUCGAAGCUCAGGAGCUGGCUAUACAGCUCCUGAACCGUAACAGCUUCAACCCGCGCCGCCAAGGCCGAGAUCACAGGGUUGUAGUCGAUGUCGAGGCCGGUGAUGACGUGGGAGAUGAUCUCGGCGUCUCCGAGCGGUGCACCGGCGCAGGCAACUUCAUCUAAGGGUUUUAAUUUUCCCAAGAUAUUCUGUCAUGGUUAGAUUACCUUUCUGCAGAUUGGUGAGCGCCAUCCUUGUGUUGAUCUUCUGGGCUUGUGUUUGCGCAGCGAACAUGGCAUGGAUGGAGUUCCAAACCUCAGCCGGCGUCUGGAGCAUCGCUACUUGGGCAAGGACCUCUCGAGACAAAGACCCCAUGAGGUACCCUUGUAGCUGUUGCUGCUGCGCGAACCAGAUCGAUCUGGCAUAGUUGAAGACCUGCUCUUCCUUCCCAUUGUUGUUGAUGGUGAUGGUGGCAGGGGGCGCCGCACUUGUGGCGUCGAGGAAGUGCUCCAUCUGUGCUCCUUUGAUCUGAGGUAGCACGACAGCCUUCCAGAGGAGAAAGUUCGUCCUUGUAAGCUUCUCUGAUGGAGGCGGACCGAGAGAGGGCGAGCUGCUGGAGGUGGAAGGUGCGGAUAAAGUGGACAAAGCGCUCAUGGUGGAUGCGGGCAUGGUGGCAGCAGCGGUGGAUGGCGUGGUUCCUGACAUGAUUACCUCUCUUCUCGAUCUCGGUUCCUCUCUUCUCCGAUCAACUAGAUGGAUUCCUUCUCGAGGGCUAGACGUACGAGAGGAAGGGCUCUGAUGACCAUAUGAUGAAGCGUAUAACCCUUUGUCUCGGGCCGCAAUGUAUUUAUAUGACCGAAGCCUUAUGUACAAGUUGAGAGAGAGAGAGAGAUCGUGAUCCUCUCGAGAGGUUACAGGAGAUACGGGAGAGAAGAAGAGAUAGAUAGGGAUACAAGUUUAAACCACUUUCCUAUCCCUAUACAAUUUAUAUUCUAACAGUAGCUGCAUCCAGUUCAGGAGAUAAAAACAAGGAACAGGAAGUGCACCGAGCACAACCAGCGGACCGAGGAAAGGAGAAAGUGCAUGGUAGCUAGCUAAGGAGAUGAGAUCGGACCGCCCUCUCCACUGAAUCAAUUUGGUACUAUUAUUUUUUCCGUCUGUUAUCAAUCGUGCUUCAAGUCGCAGUCCUCUUCUUAGUUUCUAUAUUAAUUUAGUGUCAGUUAAAUGUAUUUUGGAAGCACUACAAUAUCCCUCGGUUAUAGGUGAUAGGAUAAACGUGCUUGAAAGAAACCAAGCUGAUCUCAUCUACUUUAAAUCUUGGUAGGAGCAGGUGGAAGAGGACACUAGGCAGCCUUGGAGAUCUUCAUCCUGCUGCUUGGUUACAUCUAAGUAUCUAACUGUAUGCAUGGAUGCAGUAAUGGAGACAAAAGCCGAAUUGAUGCAGCAACAUGAAUCUGAAGUUGGAUCAACUUAUUAUUCUGCUUUUCUUUUAGUUAGCAUGUCUUUGGCAAAGGCAACGGUUUUGUAUCUUAUAUUAUCGACAAUACACUUAAUUUCACGCGUCGUGAGAAGAACCAGUCGCGUAGCUGCAUGGGAACAGACUAUUUGUGAUAUCCAUACAUCCUUUCAGGUUCUGCAACCUGAAGAGUGUUUUGUGACAGCAGAUCAACUGAUCUUCUCUAAAUUGUGGUCGGCGAACAGCGCAGAGUGUUCUGUGACAGUUGAAGUGCUCGGUGUGAUGCAUUUUACAUAAAUUUGGGGUUGCCUUGCCUGGAGCGGGAGGUAAAGUACUCCUACAGUUUAAUCUGUUCAGUUAGCAGUAUUUCUUUUUUUAUAAAUUUCCUCAUGCUCAUUCCAUCUUCCUGACCAGGGGACGAUUCCCUGCAUCUAUUCAGUUAGUAGUAUUAGCUAGCUUUGGUUCAGUUUACACCCAUGGAACUGUGGUGGCUUCAGAGGAAAAGGAUUCUCGUCCCUCAGGCCUCAACUAUGUUAUCGUGCCACAGACGACGGCGUCGACAUUGGCCUUGUCAUUGCCGCUGAUCAUCUAUGGAAUUCACAUCGAAACAAUUCAUUCCUUUAUUCAGAAAAAGAGCUGGCAUGUCAUGAUCUGACAAGAAAGAAGAGAACAGAGUUGAAGUUGCCUCUUUACCUGCAGCCACACCAACCGCCCAUGUAGACGGAAGACAAGUGUUGAUUAAUCUAACGAUUCACCGAUCCUGCAACGAUAACUGUUAAUUAAUUCAGCAAGGUGAGAUUAGCAAGCUCAUGACCGACUCGGCUCUGCUCUACAAUCUGUACAACACUAUUAUUUUCAGGCUCUAAAAUGUUGACCAUGUAUUAAAAAAUGUUAAUAUUGCAUUUUAAAAGCAUGUUAAUCAAGUCUUUCAAAAAUGUUAAAUGUGUGUAGAAAAAAAUGUUGACCAUGUAUUAAAAAUAUGUUAUUAUUAUAGUUGAAAAAUGAUAAUCAAGCAUUUAAAAAUGUGAAAAUGUAUAUACAAAAAAUGUUGACCGUGUAUUAAGUAAAUAUCAAUUUUGUAUUUGAAAAAUGUUAAUCGAGCAUUCAAAUUUAUUUUAAAUGCAUCCAGAAGAAAUGUUGACCAUGUACCAAGAAAGCAGUGAAAACCAAGAAAGAAAAAAACAAACAUAUUUAAAGAGAAAAACAUGAGAUACUAGUGAGAAAACAAAGAAAAAUCGUAAAAAAAGAAACAAAAAAGGAAAAAGACCUAGCUAAACCAGCGAAAGAAUCGCAAUGAGCAAAUUCGAUCAAAAAAGCUAGUGAGCGCGGAAAAGAAGACGAAAAGGGGAAACACUUCAGCAAGACCGAAGAAACACUUGCGUGAAGCAAGAUAUAGUCCUGGCAUUCCUGAGCGGGGUUGGUUACGUGGGUUUUUUCCUGCAUUUCCAAAGUUGGUAAGUAUUUUGGUAGUUUUAUAAAUUAUACUCACACAUUUUUAGAAAAAUGUCCAUGCCAUUCAAAAUGAAAUUUCCAUGAUACCUAACAGUAUUUGACAGGUAUAAAGAUGUUCAUAAUAUUUAAAUAUUUUGCACAUGCAAUUUUUUAAAAGAAAAUCAUGACAUAUGAAAAAUAUACAUAUCAUUAAAAAAUCACACAUUUAGAAACUUAAUCCACAUGAUUUAAAAAAAAUUGUCAAGUAGAUAAGGGUUCACUCAUUUUUUACGGGAAAAAGAUAUAAAAAAUUUGGAAAAAUAAAAGGAAACAACUUUAUGAAAAAAAAUAGUGGGGUUGAAUGAAGAGAAAAAACCUGGCAUCCAGGAGGGAAAAAGAAGAAGAAAACCCGCUUCCACCUUGAUAGUAGGCUGCAGCUCACAUCCAUAGGCAAGGGCUAACCACUACUAGCAAUAAGCAACAUUUGGCAUUUGCGGACAUCUUGCCAAAAAAAUAAAUAAAGAGUUCAUGACAGACAAAUAGGCUCAUGGGAUGUGGGAAAUCACAUUAGAAAAAGAAAAUCUGAGAUAUCCAGUUAUAGUAUGGAGUUUAGGAAAAAUGUUUUGUGGAGAUUGCGGUUUGUGUGAAAGCAACAAUUAAGUUGUCCAGCAAUAGAAGAUGGACACGUGCAUCUAGAGCUAUGCAUGAUCAACAUCUAGAGAGACAGGGAGAAAACUAUGGGAGAGAUCCAUGGCAGGGCUCAUUAGACACGGUUGUCGGUUCAGCCGUGUUGUGAUGUCUAUGUGGAGCACUGGAGAGAAGAAUCUCGUCUAUUAUUAUCUACCACCUCCUCGGCAGCCCCCGUCGCGGUGGCCGCGGAGGUCCCGGCGAGGCCUCCUGCUGCUGCACUGGCCUCCGGCCAGCCAUGACUGCUACCUUCCCGGAAGGAAGUAGCCGCCGCCGACAAGCAAGCAAGCAAGCAUUUGGCGUGCGCGCGAGGGAAAAGGCCUUAUCUUGCGGUGGCAAAGUCGAGGUCAGAUCCAAUUCGAUCCCCUGCUCUGUUAAAUUUUGAUUUUGUUUGCUCAAAAGAAAAAGAUGCUGCUUGCUUCACCGACGGGAAGGGAAUGUGUUGGAUGCUUUGCUCCUCUCCUCUCCACUCCACCGGUGGGGAUGGAAUUUGGGAUGCUUUGCUUCUCCCCCACCAGCAGCCACAUACUACUUCCAAACGCCUCCGCUGUCCACACGUGUGCUGUCAUUUGUCGCCGUCGUCCGCCGACGACUCAAAGCCAAGGUUGGUGGUCUAUUUCUGAACUUUAAUUUGUCCCUAAAAGUAGUGUUCAUGUUUUAUUUGCCGCUAAUUCAAUUAAAUUUGCCUGAAUUGUCUUGGGUUCUUAUCAUAGAAAGAAAAGAAAAAAAAGACCAGCAAGUUAAACGAUGGCGAUGGUGCUGGAUGCUUUUGCAUCCUACAUCGGGGACUACCUCAAGCAGGUCGUACAAGAUGAGAUCGGAACGAUGCUGGGCGUCUCUGGCGAGAUCGACAAGUUGGGUGACAGGCUUUAGGACCUCAAGAACUUCCUCGCCGACGCCGAUAGGAGAAACAUCACCGACGACAAGUUGAUCUUUUCUGUCAAUUCGAUUCGGCAGAUGUUUCUUUUGAAAAAGAAAAUCCACGGGUACACACUACAGAAGCAUCACCGUGACCAAGCCUCUAUCACGGCUGUGACGAGGCGCUACCGACAGGAGAGCUCAAUGAUGCAGGAGUAUGGUUUGACUUAAAUGGACUUGGUGGGCUGCACCAUUGGUUACUAAACGUGAGGUGCCUAAAUAUUUAGAUCAACUUCAACCGGGCGACCCAAACGGACACGCAUUUUUUCUGUUUUCCGUCCGUUUGGGUUGGCCAUGUGGACGUGCGCGUCCGCUUUUCCAUUUGGAUCGGUUGGUGCAUCCAACAGGAGGCAUACCUAUUUUCCUCCUCCUCCUCCUCCUCCUCCUCAAGACGCGGCGCCUCCUCAUCGCGGCGCAGCUGCUGCUCCCGGCGCUCGCCGCCGGCCUAGCCAGCCAGCCCGAAACCCUAACAAGCAAGCCAUGGUCUCCUUCAGCGGUAAGGGGAGGGGGAAGGGGAGGUUGCGUUGGAGCACAGGUCGUUCUCCAAUACCUGGCAGGUUCUCCAGGGAUCUCACUGGAGCUAUGACCCUGUGAUGGUUCCUUCUCUGUGGGUGUCCACCGCCCGCGCCGAUACCCGUCGUGUGCUAGGUUUUUAGUUGUAUUAGUGAUGUUAUAUGUAUGACACUAUCCGUGAUGUAUUAAUGAUAAUAUUCGAUGAUGUACGGACGCAUGAGAUGAUUUACUUUUGCUUAUUGAAUGCAUGCUAAUUUGAGUCCUAUAAGAUAUUUUGAAAUGUAUAUCUUGUGUUGCUCAAUAUCCAAGUGGCCGGUCAUGUUUGCAGGUUACACCUCCGAGUGGCGUAUGUUUUGCCGGAGUGUUGAUUCAUUUCCGUUCUGGCAAAUUUCAGGCGCUCGAUAUGUCCUAUUUUAGCAAAGGUCAUGCCGGAUUUUUUCGUGAAUUUUGGCAUGACUUGUGCCAGAAUAUGUAGGAAAUAUCGAGUGCCCCGGUUUUGUGUGUUGAGUAUCCUGGUAGUUGUCUUCGAUCGAUUUUCAAUUAAUGUUUUAACUAUGAACAUAGGAAAUGUCUGACGACGAAAAGGAUUUCGGUAUUUGCAAAUACUGCGAAGACGAGCGCGACCUGUGCGACAGAAUCUUCCUAGAUGAUGAUAGGCGCUUCAGCAUCAAGCUGGACGAGAACUUCGAAGUGGAUACAGUAAAUCACAAGGACAAGUCUUUUUUCGUAAUUAAGCAUAACAUCUGCUUCAUUUGCUUCAACUUAUAUUUUUUUUUACUAUUCUAAUAGCGUAUCCCUGCCAUGCAAGAGUUUUUGUAUUGGAUAAAAUAUGUUUCAGUCAUACUACGGAGGAAAAGAAAGUUUACUUGAAGACCGAGAUUGGUUAUAUUUUCCAUGCAAAAUUAUACAAUUCAGACGACUACACCUAUUUUAGAUGCAAAACAUGGCGAACACUAUGCAAGACUUAUGCAUUUGAGCUUGAUAUGGUUAUCACCUUUGAUAUUCGUCCGGAAGAUGAUAUUGAAGGUAAUACCAACAUCUGGGUCGAUGUGUAGACGCCUCCAGUUAGACCAUUAUGUAAGUUUCUCAACCAUAUUUAUAUCUUCGAUAUUGUUUAUUCAAAAAUAGUUGAUAACUAAUUUGUAUUGUUAGCUUAUUUCGGUGCAAGCAAACAUGUCCAGCGCUUGGUAGACAGGACCGUAUACUGUCCUGGGGCUGAACUCAACUACGAGGAGCUCAGUCAUUAUGUUUCAUGGCUUGAGGAUCUUGAUACUGUCAAGACAAAUUUUCUGCUUGCAUUUAAAAAUGUUAGUACUAAAAAUGUGCGACCAAUAGUGUUCGUAAUGAACUACGGUCACAUCUAUUUAGAAAGGAUGGUAAGAUUUUUACUAUUUAUCCUCAGUGCAUCUUUUCCAUACAUUAUUUUUGAAGCUAAACUUCAUUGCUAAGUAUGUUACCAUACGAUGUUCUUCAACAAGGAUUCCCGAUGAUUGUUGUGCCUUAUGGGAUCGAGACUAAAGGUACCAUGAGUAUUAUCAGCUUACGGCCAAGAAAUCCUACUGAUUACUUUAGUGCAUGCAAAAUUAGCGACGGAUGCUUAAUAGUGCAAGACUGGACCAAAUAUGUGAUGGGGGAGCGCAGAGAAGUACUAGGGGCAGCAAACAGAUGCGCUACCCAUGAUUAGGAGACAGGUUCAUCUGCAUGCUCCAACUUGAUUAAGGAGGAGAGCUAUACAUGUUUUAUGUUAUUUUACCUAAGAGAGAGCAGCAGGAGUGAUUAGCUAGCUUGAAAUGAGUUUGAGGAUGAUGAUGUGCUACACUAUUACUAUGAUGAUAAAAUAGCUAGUGUUGGUGGUAAUGACUAUGAUGAUUAUUAUUAGCUAGUGUUAGUGGUGAUUAAAUAAAUAUUGUUGGUGGUAAUGACUAUGAUGAUGAUUAAAUAGCUUGUACUGGCGGAUUAGAUUCAAGUGGAGGCAACAUGUGGUGCACAUCGAAAAUACUACUAGUCCAAACUACAUCAAGUUUGGAUUAGUAGUAUAAUUUUGACAUGCACCACAUAUUGCCUCCGCUUGAAAAAGCUGCCACCAACACGCCCAUGAACAAACGUCUCCAGAAAUUGGUGAGUGCCCUUAUAUGGCGCUCGCGAUUAAUGGGCCGGUGGCCCAUUUCUGAGUAGCGUGUUGCUUUCUUUCCCGGGCGUUCCUAUGGUACAGUUUUAGCGACUGUUUCUAUGGUUUUCUCAGUUAGGCUCGGUUUUUAAGUCGGGUUUACAUUUUUUUUACGAAAGUGAUUUCUUAUACAUAAAAUGUGAAAUAAUAAUAAUAAUAAUAAUAGUUAUUUAAACAUUUUUGGAAAAUCACCUAAUCAUUUUUAAAAAGUACAUGAACAUUUAUGUAAAAAUGCAUGAACACUUUUGUAAAAAUAUUUUCAAUGUGUAUUUAAAAAUUAUCCAUCAUGUAGUAAAAAAACACACAGUGUUUAUAAAAAUAGUCACCAUGUAUUAGUGAAGCUUGCCAACCUUAAACAAAUGUUCACCAUGUAUUAAAAAAUGUUCUUCGUGUAUCAGUGAAGCUUGCCAGCCUUAACAAAUGUUCACCGUGUAUUAAACAAAUGUUCAGUCAACUGUGUUUUAGAAAAUGCUCAUUGUGUACUAAAAAUGUCCACCAGGCUUAAAAGAAUGUGCGUCAUGUCCUAAAACGUUUUUGGGCAUGUAUUUAAUUUUUUUUUCACCAUCUAAUAAUCAAGUCACCAUGUUUAGAAAAAUAUUAAUCAUGUAUCAAUAAAUGUUCACCGGUCUGUAAAAAAUAUAUACCAUGUGUUAACGUAAUAUUCAGCGUGUAUAAAAUAAAAGUUCAUCGGCUUAAAAGCAGUUUCAGUGUGUAUUUAAAAUUAUUCACUUGGAUUUGAAACAUGUUCGCUGUGUAUUUUUUUCACAUAUUUUCAUGUGAAAACAGAGACAAAUGUGUUUCAUUAAUGAAAAAGGGAAUAAAGGGGGAAAACGUAUGAAAUAAAAGAGGAAAAAAUAACAAUGGGGAAAUGGAAAAAGAAAACAGGUGAAAUGAAAUGGGAUAAAAUGAGUCACCAGAAAUGGUGCAAAUUAGGAGGAAGCUGACAGAGUUUAUUUACCAGCAACAUCAAGCGUGAUUCACUACGUUUUGACAGUACAUCUCCAAUAGAACAUGCUCUAAACCAGAAAUCAUUUUCUGCUUCAUAACCCAAUUGUACCAAAAUGAUUUCUGUACUUUUCUUGUAUCUGAAACACAUACCUUUUUGUAUUCUGGAGGAUCCCACUGUAUAUUUGUACCGCAAACAAAAAUGCAAACCCAUUUUGGCUUAUGUGUGUAUCUUUUUAUUCAACACAUAUAAAUACGUAUAUUGAUAAAAAAAAUCAUACACACAUACUAUACAUCUAUACUACAUGUAAAAAAAUAUCUGGACCAUUCUUCGGUAUAUGAAACAAUGUUUUUCCAUGAAUAAAUAAAUAAUACUCCCUCCGUCCGAAAAAUCUAGUCCCAAGUUUGUCCCUUAAAUGGAUGUACUCCGUCCGUAAAAGCUUGUCCCUCAAAUGGAUGUAUUUAGCACCAAGUUAGUGGUGCUACAUACAUUCAUUUGAUGGACAAGUUUGGGAUAAGCUUUUCGGUCGAAGGGAGUAAUGCUUCAAAAAAAAAGAAUUAGAACGGCUCCAUGGAGCCUGCUCUGAAUCGGUCUUUAGCACCCACGAAAUUUAGCACCCUAAUAAUUAUAAAUUCGAGGCACAACGUCACUAGAAGAAAAGUAUGCAUGCAUUGCAAGACCGGAACCAUAUUCAUUACAUUAACCAAAAAGCUCAGCAACAUCGCAAGAGCGUCUGCGACUUUAUUACAUACCCUCGGGCAAUAUGAAAUGCGAAAGAAUUAAAGUUUAAACGAGCAAAAUAUUUAAUCUCCUUGAAUAUGAUCCCUAUUAUAGCCAAAUCUUGGUUGUCUCCACGAGCUGCGUUGCAUCUGUCUACACAAACUUGAAACAGGGAGAGUCAAGUCUCUGGCCCUAAUUACUCAGCUAACCUUGAAUAGAAAUUCCAGCUACAACUUGGACUAUCUGAAUCACUAUAAAUUGAAGUAUAAUAAAAGUAUACAUGGAUCAGUACACAUAUUUUGGACUGUCUGAAUCAUAUUUUUUUUCAUCAAAUUUUUGUUUGAAUCUUAUUCUCGUGCUGCUUCGAACUGUAAAUGCCGGAUAAACCUUCCUCUUCCCGGAACAUUUUGGUUUAUCCUGCAACACCACAAGUCCUCAUGACCUUGGUCAGUUUGUAGUUCAUUCUCUGGUUGCAAAGGAGCCAUAUACCCCUCUGCAACCAUCUCACCAUCUUCAUCAUCUAUUACACUACUAGAUGACCAGUUGCGCCAAUGGCGCAAAGGCCAAGAGUAAGCCAUGUAUUGAAAGAGUGUACAUUAAUAUUAUUCGGGCACAUAUUGAAACAUAUGAGAAAAAUUUCCACUUACUAUAAGUACAAGCGAUGCAAUAUCCAUAUAAUGUACAAGGACAAUAAUUUGGUAUUCUAUACAUUGAUAUUUUUGUCUAAAUUUUGGUCGAAGUUAGAGAUGUUUGACUUUCUGGAAAAAUAAUAUACCUUAUAUUUAGGAAUGGAGGGAGUACAUGAUAUGAGGCAAAACAUUACCUCCGUUUUAAAAAAAAAUCAAUCGGGGAUUCCAUUCAAAAGGAACCGCUCGUAAAUAUUAAUUAAAUUGAUUAAGUUCAGCAACUGUUAGCAGUGAAAUACAUAGUGAUGUUUUUGCUCUUUAGAAAAUCAAACAGGUAUUCAGUUCAGAAAGAUUUUAUGUUAUUUUUUGCGGUAGAAGAGAAGUGUUGAUUAAUCUAACGAUUCGCCAAGUGCGUGGAGGUAAAAUCAAAUAUACAUAAUUCAAUUUGUUUAGUCAGGUUGCUCUGCUAUUUUGGUCUUGUUAGGGGUUGCUCUGCUGAAUUGGUCUAUUGCAGAUGAGCAACUGGAUUUCUACCGCACACAUGUUCAGUUUCUGGUUCACAAGUUGGCAGCUUCUUCUACUACAAUAUCAAAGUUUGUCCUGCCAUUCCCGAAGACAAAACUUUGUUCUAUUACCUGCAUCUCUCUCUCUCUCUCUCUCUCUCUCUCUCUCUCUCUCUCUCUCUCUCUCUCUCUCUCUCUCUCUCUUCCGUCACCAUCAGUGGCCCUUCAGGGUUUCCAAGAAAAGAUUGGAGUAGGUAGGCGUAGACUACAUCCCUGCAUGAACAUAGGUGAGAGGUUAACUAACUUCCUCAAGGCAAAAAUUUCAAACUGUGGUCAAACAAUGGUCAAACUAAUUAUUCUACAAUAUUAGUGUUACUAAAUAAUUAUUUCAGUUAUUUUGAAUUUUGGUCAAAUCUGGUCAAACUAUGGUCAAACAAUGGUCAAACUAAUUAUUCAAGAAAUAUUAGUGUUACUAAAUAAUUAUUGUUUUUUAAAACAAUAGUUUCAAACUCAAAUAGUGAAAUGUGUCACUUCAUGCUCAAGCAAAAUUCCUGAAGGUUAAUAGGAUUGACAUCUUACUAUUGUCAGGAAAACAACAAGUGCAGACAUGGAAACGAGGGAGAAUAGAACCUGAAAGUUAAGCGUGCUCAGGCUGGGGGAGUGGGAGGAUGGGUGACCGUUCGGUAAGUUAGAUGAUUUGGAAUGAUGAGGGGUGAUUAGAGAUUAGAAUUGAGCAGUGAUGAAUGAUGAAUGAUGAAUGAUGAAUGAUGAAUGAUGAGUGGUGAUUAGAGAUUAGAGGUUAAAAUAAUUCAGAAAUUUGAAAAUAAAAAAAAUCAAAAAAAAUCAAAAAAAAAUCAUAAAGGUGGAGCUCCACGUGGCCGUGGCCUUUAGUCCCGGUUCGUUUAAGAACCGGGACUAAAGGGGAGAGGCAUUAGUAACGACCCUUUAGUCCCGGUUCAAAAACCGGGACUAAAGGGCCUUACCAACCGGGACAAAAGCCCCUUUAUCUACUAGUGUAGGUUAGGUAACAUAUUUUAUCCCCCUCGAAAGAAAGUAACAACAAAUUGCUUCGGUUCGUAACUGCCAUGAAAACGUUGUCCAUGAGCGUGCUGAGCCCCAUGUCCACAAUCAAGUCGUUAAUCUCCCUUGAAUGCUCGGCUCAUGUAAUGUGAUGCGCGCCAUUUGGUGGCUUAGACUUUUUCUUCUUCUGCAAACUAUUUGGGUUUGGUUUGAGUUACCAGAUGCAACGUUUUACACAACCCCACUGAUGGAUAUUUUUCCAACAAACAUUGAUUUUCUUGUUCCAUGUGCCGCACUGCAUGCACUACAAUUCAAAGACACAAAAUAAAGAGAAAAAAGAGUUAAGAGUAAAGGAAGGUGGGAGAGUUAUUUGCUUGAUAUAGUGCCCGUGUAGAUGGUGACUGCUAACCACCAACUAAUUUUUUUUUGAACAGUCACCGGGGGAGAACUGCCAACCUAAAUUUGAUCUCAUUCCAAGAAAAUUAUGAGCUAGUUUAUAAGGAAAAUCGAAUAAAAAACCUAAACAAGUUGACUCGUUUGUGAGGGAAAUCGGGCCAAAACGUACAGGUAACAAGGGCAACAAAGGAUGAGAAAAAAAUACGCCGAGGAGAAGGCCGACCUAAUUAGUAGACAAAAGGACCAUCACCAUGAGAGACACAGGUACAUGUGAGGUGCCGUCAAAGGAUCACGAUACCAUAACAUUGCAAAUAGGGUAACUCACCGUACCGGCGUGCGUACCAAACCCUACGGCGCAACCAGGACAAUAUACCAACUAUAUCAGUAUGCUUCGUCAACUAUCAUUGAAAAACAAUUGCACAUGGGUCCUUUGGAAAAUCAACGACAUCUUCCUCCAACACUUGCUGAUGCUGCCUCCAGACCUCCAAAUCACCGUCAUAAAAACAUUGUUGAGGCCUCAACCGAUAAGCUCAGUCAAAGCCAAAGAGGACGCCGAAGGUAGUGAACCACAAAACAGAUUGCCGCCACAAAGAUGAAGAGUAAGCUGGAGACGAUGCCUUUGAAGACCGCCUGCAAAACACGCCAGAGGACUCGAACGUUUACUUUUAUAAUUUGCAUUCGUUUUUGGUACGAACGUGCCUUCUUCACCCACGUUUCUUUGCAUACCUCUAUAAUACUCUUCUAUCUUCAAUUAUGCUUGUACCCACACCCCAACGUGCUCCUUCACGCUAUAUAUAGUUGUAAUUAAAAAGAUGAAUUAUGCAAUAAGGAAUGGAUGAGUGCAGCUAUGUCACAUCAUGCAGCUAGCUAAUAAACACGAGUGGAUAACUGCAGCUAUCUCACAUCAUGUAGUAGCUAGCGAAUAGUCAGGGGUAGAUGACUGCAGCUAUCUCGCAUUAUUACGAGAUGUGAUGGGGUCGAUCAUUGUGCUUUCCUCUCCCUUCUCAUCCCCAUUAUUAAUGUAAGCGGCUCACAAAGGCCAAGCAAGAGCUGCAGAGACCACGUUCGUACGAUUUGAAGAGCGCUGCUGCCCGCCAGAGGAGGCGACCGCCGCGGGACAGAGCUUCUUCUCAGGCUCCGGCAGCUUAGUGCAGGCGAUUUGUUUCGUUUGAGAUCGACAAAUUGUUCGAGCUACAAAUUCCUCUCCAUCUGAGGACGUCGCAUCUUCACCAGGAUCGAAUUGCUCUCCCGAGCUAAGCUGAGGUAGUUCAAGCUUUUUUGUUUGCAUCUUUAAUUUACAACUAGCCAAUCUGUUUUCUAUUUUUGAUAAACUACACCAAGCUAAUUAAGCUUCUUUUAUUUCUACUUAAAUUUCAACUCCUAUUCGAUCAUUCUUUUUGAGAAAAACUUACAUUUCACACUACCUUAAUUGUUGCAGAAAAGCUAGCAAAAGACAAUGGCGAUGGUGCUGGAUGCAUUUGCAUCCUACGUGGGCAACAUGCUCGCGCAGCUAGCAGCAGAUGGUGUGGGGACGAUGCUGGGCGUCUCCUGCGAGAUCGACAAGAUGGGCGACAAGCUCCGGGAUCUCAAAAACUUCUUGGCUGAUGCUGAUAGGAGGAACAUCACCGAUGAGACUGUUCAAGAGUGGGUGGGGCAGCUCAAGCGUGCCAUGUAUGAAGCUACCGACAUCCUCGACCUCUGUCAGCUCAAGGCCAUGGAGCGUGGAUCAUCUACUACUCUAGACGCGGGGUGUUUCAACCCCUUGCUCUUCUGCAUACAGAAUCCAUCCCAUGCUCAUGAGAUCGGCACCCGCAUCAAAAAGCUCAACAUGAGGCUCGACUACAUCAAAGAACAGAGUGCUACUUUCAACUUCGUCAAUCUCGGGUCUUAUGAGGAUCAUAACAACAACGCCCAUGGCUUUCGCCAUGGUAAUCCAAGUCGGGAGACAGUAGGGGACUUUGACCGGUCGGCUAUUGUUGGAGACAAGAUUGAAGAAGACACAAGAGCAUUGGUGGCCCAAAUCAUGCAGGCGGGAAAGGAUGUCAACAAUGGCAUCAUGGUGGUCGCUAUCGUAGGUGUUGGUGGCAUCGGCAAAACCACCCUCGCCCAGAAGGUCUUCAAUGACGAGGCAAUCCAAGGUGAAUUCAGCAAAAAGAUAUGGUUGAGCGUCAACCAAAACUUCAGUGAUGUUGGUCUGCUGAGAAGGGCCAUCAUCGAAGCCGGGGGAGAUGCCCAGCCACCUGAAAGUGCAAAGACCAGCCUUCAUGAAGCCCUCAAGAACACAUUGAUUGACCACAAGACCUUUCUGGUAAUUGAUGAUGUGUGGAACCAUAGAUCAUGGAAUGACGUACUGAAAAUACCCUUAGUCAAUGAUGCUGCUUCAGGCAGCCGAGUCCUUGUCACUACCAGAGAUGAAGGUGUUGCCCAAGGGGUGAAAGCUAUCUGGCCGUACCACCAUGUCGACAUAUUAGUUCCUGAAGAUGCUUGGUCAUUGCUCAAGAAUCAGGUAUGUACUUAAUUAAAUACUAAUCUUUCAGUAGGUGAAUAAUCUAUCUCCAUCUACGUAUUAACAGUUCUAUGUGGUUUAUUAAGAGAAAUGUUAGGAUGCUCCCAAAUUAAUGAGCCAUUAAUUACGUGUAAUUUAGUGACUUCUAUGUACUAUUACCUCUUGGAGGUAAGAGGUUGUCGGUAAUUUUGUAAGGCUAAGAUUAAUUUGCAAGUGCCAACAAAGCAUGGCGCUAAACAAGGAAAUAUGCCACAACACUAAUUGAGACACACUCAAAGACACCUAGAUUUUGUUUAAUCAAGCUUGAGAAAUAAAUAGAAAUUUGGAUAAUGACAUAUGUAUCAUUUCUACCACUGAAGAGACAUGGGUCGUAUAUUCAUGUAGUGAGUAACCUUCUGUCAAUAUCCAGUCUCGGUUUCCAACAUAUGAGAUGAAGAUCUAAGUGCUCAGCUACUCAACAGUGUCAUAGGACAUAAUAUAAAUUAAAAGUUAUUUUAAGACAAAAAAAUAACAAUCUCGGUGAACCCCUGCCAAGACAAAAAAAAAGAAUAUAACACGAAAAUGACUAGACCAGAAGUUCGCAGUAAUUUUGCUAGAGAAUUUGCACACAAAUUUAGUACUUAAUGUUUGGCAUAGUAUUAUGCAUUAUAGACACUCGAGAGAUUAGAUAAUUUCAUAUUACCAUAAAAUAUGAAAAUGAAUAAAACAAUAUACGAUUUCUACUAAAUUUGGAGUUACUUCCUAUAACAGUGAUGGGAGAGUAGUGCUAAAGUAUAUUCUUCUUGCAGUAUGUUCCAUCUUGUAAAAAGAAAAGGAAGGAAAUUUUGUUUUCUUGGCAUAAAGUAUGCAUGUUAUACACACACAUAGUUAAUUAAAUAUAUGUUCGUAGGUAUGCUCAAGUGAGAUAGAUGAAGACCACAUCUAUACGCUAAAGGAUAUCGGACUGAAAAUUAUACAGAAAUGUGGUUGUUUACCAAUUGCUGUUAAAGUGAUGGGAGGAAUCUUGCGUGAAAAAGGGGGGCUACGUCGUGACUGGCAGCAGGUUUUGCAUGAUUCUAAAUGGUCAACAACUAAAAUGCCCGAUGAUCUCAACAAGAUAGUAUACUUAAGCUAUGAAUAUAUGCCUUCGUACCUGAAGCAGUGCUUUUUAUACUAUUCUUUUCUUCCUAAAAGUAGAAGUUUUCAUAUGGAGCAAGUCGUGGCAAUGUGGAUAAGCGAAGGAUUUAUUCAUGGAAGCUAUAGUGAUUUAGAAGAAUUGGGAAGAAAUUACUACAUGGAGUUGGUAUCUAGGAACCUUAUAGAGCCAGAUAAAUCGUAUGCUAAUAUAUGGUUUUGCAGCAUGCAUGAUGUUGUUCGCUCAUUUGCUCAGUAUAUGACUAAAGAUGAAGCCCUCGUAACUCAAGACAUAGACAAUGAUAUUCUUGGUAAACUCGGUUCACAAAAGUUUCUUCGAUUGUCUAUAGAAACUAACCUGUCAGUAUCAGGUGAACUUGAUUGGAAAUCUCUACAGGCGCAGCAAUCAAUGAGAACAUUGAUAUUAACAAUCGAGAUUAAGAUGAUGCCUGGUGAUUCAUUGGUUACUUUUUCUAGUUUGCGGACUCUACAUAUAGAAUCUGCAGAUGUGGCUCUAUUGCUUGCAUCAUUGCAUCAACUCAAGCACCUGAGGUAUGUAGCACUAGUAAAUGCUGAUAUAUCUGUACUUCCAUGGAACAUUGGCAAGAUGAAACUAUUGCAAUUCCUUGUCCUGGAUAAAUGUAAUAAAUUGGUGAAUCUUCCUGAUAACAUUGUGAAGCUUGGCCAACUGAGGUUACUUUCACUUCCCAAAGCAAGUAUGGUACCAAGACGGUUUAUAAUCUGACAAAUAUGAGGAGACUAACUAUGUUUCGAGCCCACAUGGAUGGUGAUUGGUGCAGUUUGGAUGAGUUGGGGCCUCUUUCCAAACUCAGAGUUCUUGAAGUAAGUGAAUUAGAGAAUGUACCCACUACCUCGUAUGCUGCUAAUGCUAUGCUCGACGAGAAGAUGCAUCUUAUCAGGCUAAUCUUGAACUGCACCAGUAAACUCGGAGAUGAUGGGUUGGUCAAAGAGAAGGAAGGUGUCUCUGAGAAAGAGCAACAACGAAUUGAGAAGGUUUUUGAUAAGCUCAGCCCUCCACCUGGUAUAGAAAUACUUGGAAUCAAGGGGUAUUUUGGCCGGCAACUCCCGAGCUGGAUGAUGUCCACAUCAAUGGUGCCCCUCGACAACUUGAAGACUAUAUUUUUUGAAGAUCUGGCUUGUUGCACAAAACUUCCCAAUGCGUUGUGCCAACUCCCUAGUCUGCAGGCUCUACAGGUCUCUCGUGCUCCAUGCAUCAAACAUGUGGGGACUGGAUUCUUGCAGGCGGCAUCAGCUUCAUUUCCGAGCUUAAAUGCAAUGAUCUUGGACGGAAUGGUGGAAUGGGAGGAGUGGGAGUGGGAGGAGCAAGUACAAGCCAUGCAUCGUUUGGAGAAACUCGUGCUCAUUAAAUGCAGACUGAGGCAUAUUCCUCAAGGCCUUGCCUCCAAUGCAAGGGCUUUGAAAAUAUUAUUUAUGUACGUGAAGCAAAAAAUACAUGUCCACUUUGGUUUAUGUAUUUAUCCUUUUUAUACAACACAUAUAAAUACAAAUAUUGAAGAAAAUUCGUGCACAUAUACUGUACACAUAAAAACAAUUCCAGAACAUUCUGCGGUAUGAAACUAUGCUUUCUCGUGAAUAAAUAAAUGAAUGGUAAUUAAGAUGCUUAAUUAAGAUGCUUGUGGAGGGAUAGACAUAAGCUGCUCGCUCCACUCCACUGUCUUCUCCGUCUGCCAUUUCCGACCAACCUGACCAAGCUCGCGCUCCUCCUUCGAGCAACUGCGCUACUCCUUUGCUUCCUCAUCUCCCAAGCAGGAUCCACUUCCCAUGCAUGGUCAAGCGACUGUAUCAGAGGCUUGCCUUAGCAGUGAGCGAGAUGCAUGCGCUCCUGUCCUUCAAGGCAAGCCUCCUCGACCCUGCUGGCCAUCUCUCGUCAUGGCGCCAUGGCGACGACUGUUGUCAAUGGAAGGGUGUUCGAUGCGGCAACCGUACUGGCCUUGUAAUCAAGCUCAACCUCCGCAACAUUGAUGUGGAUAUCUACGGCAAUCGUCUGAACAUGAGAGGAUCACUGAGCUUGUUGGCAGGAGAGAUGAGGUCCACUUGGUGGAUCUUGCAUGGUUGCCACGCCUCUCUGUGUUGACUCAUCUUGACCUGAGCUUUGUGGAUCUUAGUCCUACGAGGGAUUGGGUUCACAUGUUUAACAUGCUCCCUUCUCUUAAAGUGCCCCGCUUGGUUUUCUGUGGCCUUAGUAGUACCGUGUGUGCUAGUAAUUUACAUUCCAAGUCCAACCUCACACAUCUCGAGGUCCUUGAUAUGCCUCGUAACUACUUCUUUGGCACUUCAUUCAAGCACAACUGGAUUUGCAACCUUACAAGCCUCAAGGAGCUCUACCUCAUUGGUUGUGGCUGGAAUGGGUCCAUUCCCAAUGAACUGAGAAACAUGAAGUCCCUUCAGGUCUUAAACUUGGGUUGGAACAAUCUUGAGGGUUUGCUACCAACCAAUUUAGAAGAUCUGUGUGAUCUGAAAGUACUGAAAUUGGAUGCUAACAACAUUAAUGCAAACAUGGGUGAGUUCCUAGAUCGACUGCCAAGGUGCUCACAGAAUACAUUGCAAGAGUUGUCAUUAGCCGAAACAAAUAUGACCAGAAAUCUACCCGUUUGGAUUGGGAACAUGACAAAUCUCAGUGUUCUUCAAGCAUCUUCCAACAUGUUGACUGGCCCUCUACCCAUAGGAGUUCGAGCACUUGGUAAUUUGGAGUUUGUGGACCUCAUCUACAAUAACUUCAAUGGUAUGCUCUUGCAAAAACAUUUUGCAAGUUUGGGUAAUUUGAAGCAUUUAGACCUCAACUAUAAUAAAUUAAAUAGUGUGCUCAUAGAGGAGGAUUUGGCAGGACUAUUGAAUUUAGAGUAUCUAGACUUGUCAUACAACUCUUUGAAAUUAGCUAUCAACCAAAAAUGGGUUCCUCCAUUUAGAUUGAAGUUCGCUAGUUUUCGUUCAUGCGAUCUUGGACCUCAUUUUCCAGAGUGGCUCAAAUGGCAAUCUGGCAUAGAUGUUCUUGUUCUUGGAAAUUCAAACCUGGAUGAUGUUAUUCCUGAUUGGUUCUGGGUGACAUUUUCCCAAGCUUCAUUCUUACAUGCAGCAGGAAACAAGUUGCAUGGCUCAUUACCAGAAAAUUUACAACACAUUUUUUUCCGAAAAGGGGGUUACCCUAGCCUCUGCAUCAGAAAGAUGCAUACGGCUCAUAUUAUUAAAAAAACGAAACCAGUACCAGAAAAUUUACAGCACAUGGUAGCUGACCAUAUAUACCUUGGGUCCAACAAGCUUACAGGUCAAGUCCCAUUGCUCCCAAUAAACAUAUCCCGUUUGAACCUGUCCUCGAACUCUUUCUCAGGGUCAUUGCCAUCAAACCUCAAAGCUCCACUUUUGGAAGAGUUGUUGCUUGCAAAUAAUCAAAUUAGAGGCAUAUGCAUGUCGAGAAUUGUCUUAGCUUAGGUUCAGUUUUCUUUUUACAUUGUUAUGAUGGUCUUUUAUUCAUCGAGAAUUGUCAUGGCAUAUGCAUGUUUUAUCACUGUGCAUGAAUGUUCUUUGAUAUAUUUUUUGAAUUUUCACCGGGGAGGGAGAGAACUCCCCCACCUGAAUUGUGUUCAUUUGCCUAUAAGGCUUUGCAUCCUCACAAGAUGGGCUCAAGUGAACCAGAGGUACAGGGAGAUAAAAUAAAACAACACAACACACCGAUGACACACAAGACGACACACACAGCAAGGGGAGAACAAGAAGGGAAAACACAACACAACACAACACAACAAAGAGCACCGCCGGUGUAAUCGAACGGCAUCGGCCAGCCGAGACUAAACCAAGGCACUGCACCGUCGACGUAAUCGAAAGGCUCCACGCAACCGAGACUGCACAACGCCGCGACACCACAUGCAUCCCGGGGCACAUUCGAAGGGUCACGCGAGGCCGAGACAACGCCACGCCAUCUAUGUGUCACCGGCGUUGUUGAGGGGCAUCGCCAAGCAGACCAAACCACGGCACUGCACCGUAGACGCAAUCGAAAGGCACCGCGCAUCCGAGACUGCACAACGCCACAACACCACCCGUGUAGGGGGUACAUUCGAAAGGACACGCGAGGCCUAGACAACGCCACGGCACCUGUGUGCCACCGGCGAAAUCGCAGGGCACCGCCUAGCGGAGACUCGCCAAGAAGCACUCGAGCAUGAACAUCGCCGAAGAAGAGCACGGACCCACCGUCGACCCCAAAGCCGGCCGCAACACCAUUAACAUCAACCACACUCUACCAACAACCGCCCCCCAUGCAAGCCGUCGGUUACCACCAACAGCCAUGGUCCCCAAGACGACGCCUCCAAGAAAGUAGCGACGAACCUGACGCCGUCGUCGUCCGAUCUAGCAAAACAAGAUCUUGGGCUUACGCCCGAAGACACUAUCGAGGGAUUUGGGUGAACUGGACCCCUCAGCAACGCCCCCAAGGGGGUGAACUACACAAAAAUGGUGCCGCCGUCACCGGCAUCAACAACAGUUUUUGCAAGGAUUUCUCCAGGAGCCAAACACGACCAAAUCGCCUCAAGAUCCAAGCAUGGCACACCUCCGGCCGCCGUCGCAGGCCACGAGAGAGGAGAAGAGCACCCCCAACUUACCACGAAAAUGGGGCAGAGCACCGUCGCCGUGGAUCCUGGGACUCCCUCCACCUCCCCUCCCCCCGUACAAGCUGGACUAGCCAGAACAAGAUCUUGCCAUUAGGACCAGCACCGCACAGACGCGAACGAGGGGAGGGAUGCAGGAGAAACACCGACGCCCGCCAGAUCUGGGGCAACAGGGGGCAGCAGGGCCGGCACCGGCCGCGCACGGUGCGUCACCCGGCCAGCCGCGCGCGCCCAAGCCUCCACACCAGUGCCGCCAGCCACGGAAUGCCGUAGCCGAGCCAGCGAGCAUCGCCGGGCCCCACGCGCGCGAGGCCCCGCGCCCCGAGCCUCCACCCAAAGCCACCUACUCACAGCUCCGCGCCCGCACGCGAAGCCCCACGACGUCGCUGCUGAAGCCGGAAGCCCCCGGGACCAGGCCCCGCUCGCAGAUCGACGCGCCGGCCAACAAGUGACCCCCCGCCCGUGCCCGAGAGCCGCCCAAAGACGCGAGAAAGGAUCCCUGCCGCCGCCGUCAGCCGCGCGGCUUUGCCCCGCGACGUCCUCCGGCAGCGGCAGAGAGGGGUGGGUGGCCGGCGGCGGCCCUAGCCUAGGGUUGGGGGGCCGCCCGAGUCGCCCGCACGGGGAGCGACGCGGGGGGCAAAUACUAGUCGAUUGCGUGUGUGUAAUUGUCUGUUCUUUGAUUUUGGAUGAACUGGGUGAUGUGUGGAAGUUGGCAUCCUGCUUGUUUGCAUUGCAAGCCUUCGGGUUCUAGUGUACAUGAUGGUCUUGGAUCAUAUGGAUGUGGAGUGAAUGUAUGUUUAGUUUACACCGACGAAACUGGAUUCAGAAGAAAAGAACGCUCGUACCUAAGGCCCGAACUGUGUAAUGGUGCCACAGACGACGGCGUCGACCUUGUCCUCGUCGGUCUGACUCUGUCUGAAGCAAACUCGCUGGCAUACAUGAAGUGUCCCCCCUUCCUUUAACUGACAUUGCAUUGCCAUGAUCUCACAAGAAAGAAGAGAGCAGAGUUGAAGUUCCACCCAUGUUGUUGUUCUUCGUAAAAUCGAUCGGGGGUUCAGUUGAGAUGGGAGACAAGUGUUGAUUAAUCUAACGAUUCGCCGACUCUGCAACCACAACUGUUAAUUAAUUCAGCAAGGUGAGAUUAGCAAGUUCAUGUCUAAGUCGGCUCUGCUCUGUACCAUGUACAACGUUACUUGUGACUAACACGUCCACGGCAGUUGUUGUUGUCGCUCUCUUUCUCUCACUCGCACAAAUGAAGAUAUCCGGGCGCGGCAACAUACUGCAGCCUAUCCAGAGGAGCUCUCUCACAACCGACCGGGCGCAUAUCACGGUUCUGGCGGAGACUACCUCAUCUCUGGCUCCUAGGCUCGGCUCAUACUGGCACAAUCAACCAAUACACAGGGGAUGGGUUUUUAUACCCAACGCGCACACACACCUAGCUAGCUACCACGCCUAAGGUCACCACGGACGCACGCACGCAUGACCGAGACACCAUGCACCGGCCACUAACUCAACUAACCCACGCCUGCCUAACCAACUAUGCAUGCACACGCACAUGCAGUAACAAACUACUGCUAGCUACAUGCAUGGCUCCAGCACUUGAGCAGCUCCUCAACGGCCGCAAGACAGAGCUUCUCCACGCGCCAAAAACUGCUGCACGUCUGGCUGCCCAACUUCAUGCGCGGAGUUUCGGCGAGCACAACGACUUGCGCCAACGGAUCGUGCUAAAUCAAGAUUAUGGCUGACAAUUUCCCUCCUAAUCUUGACAUAGCUCGUCCUCGACAAUCGCCUUGAACUCGUUGCCGGCCGCCCUCGCACGCGAUGAAGUCAGCCACGCCGCCCAACCUCCGCACCGUGGCCACCGCGCUGCGUCCCUUGUUGUCGACGUUCCCGGCCACCGCGCCAUGGCCGCCGCGGCCUCCAUGCCGCCAUGCAGAGCCUCAACGCCGCCACGCCGUGCUGCGCCGCCGUGCCACCAGGCAGCGCCUCAGCGGCCUCCGCGGUCGCCGCACGUACGAAGAGCUAAGCCUCGACUGUAGGAAGAGCAGAGCAAACAUGGCUUGAACGCGGGCAGUCAUGUUGGGACGAUGGUUGGAAUGUUUUUGGCUAGAACAGUGAAUGCCGUUUAUAUACAUCCGGGGAACCCAACCGACAGUCAUCCACUUAACAUAUUAAUCAGUUGGUUUGACAAGCCGCUACAGGAUAAGUAACCUUCUGUCGCCCCUGAACGUUGAACGUUGAGUAAUGCCGCCAGCUCCGCAAGACUUUGGGGUUGAUGAUGAUUGCCUUGUGGUGGAAUAAAUGAAUAAAUUGAUAUGUGAGUGUUGGAAGUAAAAAGGCAAUGGAGAUGGCAAAUCAUACAUGAGAAUUCGGUUUGUUGUCACUCGGUUCAGUGAAAUUUACAGCGUUCUUGGUGAAAUAUUGUAGUGUGAGAGUGAGAACCAGCCAAGAAAAAAGAUGACCAGGUUCAGGUUGGGGAGGGGGGCAUCCAAAUAAUAAACUUGUCCUCGGCCUUGCCAGUCAAUCUGACCCUGAAACAAACUCGCUGGCCUUUGCCGACGGUCCUGCAAUCCAACUCACAAUAGAGAAGAUAGCAGAGUUGAAGUUGCCUGUUUGAUUGCGGCUACGCACAUGUUGUUCUUCUUCAGAAAAUGAAACAGGUACUCAGUUGAGAUGGAAGACAAGGGCUCAUUAACAUUAUAUAUUUUGUGAUAAAAGAGAAGUGUUGAUUAAUCUAACGAUUCACCAAGUGCCUGGAGGUUGGACCUCUUUAUAAGUGAGGUUCUUUCCCUACAUGUAUGAGCAUGAGAACAAGAGGGACAUCCACGCGUGCUCCUCCUCCUCCGCACGCCACGCCACGAUCGCGGGAAUGAGCCGAGUCGAUGUCUAAAUUUUUGCCACGCACCUCUUCGCGUGCUGCGUGUCUAGUUUUGUCUCCCUCCGUUGCUUCACCUCAGGUCGCUCCUCUCCAGAGAGACACACCAGAAUCUCUUCCUCCUCUCGCCACAAGUUCCUGAGCACUGCGCUGCUGCUACGUUCUUCCUCAUCCCAGCUUGCGGCGUGCACCGUAGGUCAGGACAGUAGGCCUCCGAAACCACACCUUUUGAGUCGUGUAUGGGAGAAGGGUGAUAAUUAAGGUUUUUGGGGAGCGCUCUGCGCGACUACUGACUUCUUCGUCACGGACGCCCCGGACUCCGACGACUACUUUCCGGACGUCGACAACCUCCUCGACGACAUGGAGGACACCGACCCCAAGUCCAGUGCCUCUGCUCCGACUGCUGUCCAGUACGUGUUCUUAUCUCUCCUGUUAGAAAUCAUGCAACAGUUCCUUCUUCUAGUGUUUGCCCUAGACAUGUUAGGCUCUACUUCAUAUAUGCAUCUUGAUCUACUGUCUGCUCAAAAGAUGAUCUGUUCUAGCUCAUAUAUGCAGUUAUUAUUUACCUUCUCUUUUUCAAAUCACAUGGCUUGUUUUAUCACUGCUAUACUAGUCAUGCUUUAUCUAGUAUUUCUGUUAAUAAAAUCAUUCGGUAAAUUGCUCAUAUUUCCAACAAUCCAAAAACCUUAUGAUAGGCAAUUUACCUCGAAUGGUUUUGCUGCUUCCAUGAGACCUCCUAUGUUUGAGGGUAUCCACUAUAAGAGGUGGCGCGUGAGAGCAGUCUUAUGGUUUCAAACCAUGAGUUGCUAUGACGCCACUCUUGGUAGACCUGAAGGAGAACUUGAUGCUCAACAGGCACAAGCUUUUCAGAAAAUGGAUACUUUGUUUAAGGCUGCUCUCUUGAGUGUUCUUGGUGAGAACAUAGUUGAUGCUUAUGCGUCAAUUGAUAAUGGAAAAGAUAUGUGGGAUGCACUCGAGGCCAAGUUUUGGGGUCUCGGAUGCUGGCACUGAGCUGUACAUCAUGGAGCAAUUCUAUGACUAUAGGAUGACUGAAGAGCGCUCCGUGGUUGAGCAAGCUCAUGAGAUACAGUCAUUUGCUAGAGAACUUGAGCACUUCAAUUGUAUCCUACCGGACAAGUUUUUUGCCGGGGGUAUCAUCACUAAGCUUCCUCCUUCGUGGAGGAACUUUGCUAACUUACUGAAACAUAAGAGACAGGAGUUUUCCGUCUCGGAUCUCAUUGGUACUCUUGAUGUGGAAGAAAAGGCGAGAGCAAAGGACACACGUGCUCGAGGUAUUGAGGGAGGAUCUAGUGCCAAUCUGGUACAUAAGAAAAACUUCCAGUCCCACAAGUUCAAGAACAAGGGCAAGCUUGAUGGUAAAGCAAAGUUUGAUGGGAAGAACAAGGCUGUAUAACACACGAACUUCAAGAAGAAGAGUGACAAGAAGAAAGGUGCUUGUCAUGUGUGUGGAGAUCCUGAUCAUUGGGCUUCUAGUUGUCCUAAUCGCUAUGACAAGCGUCAUCCUAGGAAAGGCGGCAAGACCGCUAAUGUUGUCAUCGGAGACAUUGACAUGAAGGAUGCUGGGUAUGGUAUACUUCCCACUAUUCUUUCAGUAUGUCAUUCUCCUGAUUAGUUGAUUGACACGGGUGCUAAUGUGCAUGUAUGCGGUGAUAUUUCCAUGUUUUUGUCUUAUCAGAUAGCAGGGACUUCAACCGUGCUAAUGGGAAACGGUUCAAGUGCUUCUGUUCGUGGUGUUGGCACGGUCGAUCUAAAGUUUACUUCGGGGAAGAUUGUGCGGCUAAAGAACGUGCAUUAUGUCCCCUCCGUCAAUAAAAAUCUUGUUAACGGAUCUCUUCUGUGUAGAGAUGGCUACAAGCUUGUCUUUGAGUCAAAUAAAUUUGUAAUAUCCAAGUAUGGAACCUUUGUUGGUAAAGGCUAUGAGUCAGGAGGCCUGUUUUGUUUAUCCUUAUCAGACGUUUGCAAUAAAGUUGUUAAUCAUAUUUGCAACAAUAGUGAAUCAAAUGUGUGGCAUUCACAUCUUUAUCAUGUUAACUUUGGUUGCAUGUCGCGACUAGCGAAGUUGAACUUAAUCCCUAGUUUCACCACUGUCAAGGGAUCUAAGUGUCAAGUGUGUGUGAAAGCUAAGCAACCUCGUAAGUCUCACAUGACUGCGGAGACGAGAAAUCUUGCACCACUAGAACUUAUACAUUCAAAUCUAUGUGAAAUGAAUGGUGUUUUGACAAAAGGUGGAAAGAAAUAUUUCAUGACGUUAAUUGAUGACUCCACUAGAUACUGCCAUGUGUAUCUUCUGAAAUCUAAGGAUGAGGCUUUGAACUUUUCAAGAUCUAUAAAGCUGAAGUGGAAAACCAACUUGAUCGAAAAAUCAAGGGGCUUAGGUCCGACCGUGGUGGAGAGUAUUUUUUCAAUGAAUUUGAUGCUUUUUGUGCGGAACAUGGUAUAAUCCAUGAGAGGACGCCUCCCUACUCACCUCAGUCAAAUGGGGUGGCCGAAAGAAAGAACCGUAGUCUAACUUAUUUGGUUAAUGCCAUGUUAGACACAUCGGGUCUCUCCAAGGCAUGUUGGGGGGAGGCGAUAUUGACUGCUUGUCAUGUCCUAAACUGAGUUCCCACAAAGAACAAAGAGAUAACUCCAUUCGAGGAAUGGGAGAAGAAAAGGUUAAAGCUCUCUUAUCUACGAACCUGGGGUUGUUUGGCGAAAGUCAAUGUGCCAAUUCCAAAGAAGCGGAAGCUGGGACCAAAACUGUGGAUUGUGUUUUCCUGGGAUAUGCUUUUUCUAGCAUUGGAUAUAGAUUCUUGGUUGUAAAAUCUGAGGUACCUGACAUGCAUGUCAGUACGAUCAUGGAGUCGAAUGAUGCGACUUUCUUUGAAGAUAUCUUUCCCAUGAAGGAUAUGGCACUAGUAGAAAAAGGGUCAAAUGUGAGACACAUUAGUCCUGGUUUGUAACAGAACCGGCACUAAUGUGUCCAUUAGUGCCGGUUCCAACAGCUAGGCAGGAGGAGCUCUUUAAUACCGGUUCGUGGCGAAUCUUUAGGACCGGUUCGUGCCACGAACCGGUACUAAAGAAAGUGGUGGCAGGAUGUUGGCAGAGUGGGGCCCUUCCAGCACCUUUAGUACCGGUUCGUGGCAUGAACUGGUACUAAAGGUCGUCCUAUAUAAACCCUUCGUCCACCCGCACUCUGUUCUUCCCCCUUUCCCCUCUCCCUCUCCUCUGUUCUUCCCUCCUUCCUCUCGAGUUCAUCACAAAAUUUGCCCCAAAUUUGUCAAGAUUUGCAGGCCCCCAUCCAUUCAAAUGAUCACCAUGGUUAGCAACUUUGUCCUUUCAUCUCUCAUUGCUAGCUUAGCUCUUGCAUUGGUUUAUAUAGUGAUUAAUUGUGGGUUUUAGUAAUUUGGGAGGAAUUAUAUGUGGUAGUAUUUGAUUUAUAUGCAAUUUGAGGUCAAAAUAACACUUAGUUUGCAUAUGUAGGUGUGGUUUACUUAGUGCCUUCUAAAUCUCCGUCGUAACCACCGUCGAUCGCCCGCACCGUCCCGUCGCCGGCACCACCUUGUGGUGAGCCUCUUGUUCAUGAAAUUUUAUAUAAAAAUUGAUGUUUGUGUGAUUUGGAUAUAUAGUAAUCCGGCAUUGAGUGGGACAAGUUCGGCCAAGUGGAGCAUGUCAAGGCAUAUGCACGUGAUGGAGACAACCAAAGAAAAUGGUACGUUUGUACUCAAGAGGAGACAACUACAAGUUGGAUUCAAAUGUUAGCAGCUCUACCAUAUUUGAAGGUACAGAAGAUCAAACAUACGUACAAGCUUUGUCUUAAUUUAUUUGAGCACUCUUUUUGGAAGUUUAUAAAUUCUUUUGAUUUUAUCUUCUGUCUUUUGUUCAUAUAUACUGCAUGAUGACCAGAUAUAUUCUGUACCUUCGUAGUGCAUGUUGCCAAGUAUUUAUCUUCUAACUUGUUCUUCCAGGUUUUCUCGAGUUUAACUUAUCUAGAGUAUCAUUGAACCAGUUUUGUGUUUUUCUUUCCAUGCAGAAACCUUAUCUUCCUCUAUGGUGGACGCACAAGGAUUUGAGUCUCUGUACGAAAUGAAAAAAGGUACCUUUAGUUACAUCUGCCACUUGGUGACGAUCCCAUUUUUCGAAGAUAUGAUGGCAAGAGAUCACACCUUUGUUGAUGGGAGAUUGCCGUCUUUGCAAGACAGAGUAGUUGUCGCUCUGAGAAUGUUGAACUCUAGUAACUGCUGUUACCGUAGGAUCCUCUGUUGGUGUGUACGAAUCAACUGUCUUGCUGGUAACUCAGGUGUUUUUUGAGGCUAUGUGGUAGCGAGGAUUUCACCACAUAUAUUGGCCUGACUCCGCUAAAAUGAAGAAGAUCAAGCGUAUGUUUGACAAGAUACAUGGCCUGCCAAACUGUUGCGGUGUUGUACAUACAACUCACAUCUCAUUUGGAUCACAUAACCGUGGCCAUCAGGAAAAUGCCGGCAGGCUAAUGCAAGUCGUCGUUGAUGCAGAUCUGGGGUUCGCAAAGAUUUGGUUGGGGCUAUUAGGUAGCAUGAACCAAUUGAGCAUUCUGCACGACUCUUUGCUCUUGAAGUCCUGUCAGGAGGGUACUGUGCUGAAUGGCACUAAGCUGAAUUUAUCAGAUGACUUGGAUGUUGGGGAAUACAUAAUUGGUGAUGCAGGAUACCCUCUUCUCCCCUGGCUUCUCACAUCUUACCCGUCUGCAUAAGAUUUCCCUCAUCAAGCCGAGUUCAACAGGAGACAUUGUUCAGCAUCAACUAUCAAGAUGGCUGCAUUCACGAGGUUGAAAGACACUUGGAAGAUCCUGGACAGAGCGGUUGGUUCAUGUCCAGCUGUUGCAACAAUCCAUGCGUGCUGCAUAUUGCAUAAUAUAGUGAUAGACAUGGAGGAGGUGGAGGAAAUUGCAGGGAUGGAGGAGGAGGAGGAGGUGGUGGGGCAAGCAGCAGGCGAGGACGCCGUCAGGCUAAGGGACGUACUGGCCAAGCACUUGAUUGAAUCUAGAGGUAAAUUAGCACAACUGUUAAUGUGUUUGUUCACUCUCUUUCUCCUUUUGCAAUUCCCUGCUAUUUGAUAUCAACAUGCUAAUUUCAUUUCACCCGCUUGGCUGCAGAGGAGGGAAAAGAAGCAUCAGAGGUAGUAGUUGCAUCCAGUUCAGGAGAUGAAAACAAGGAACAUGAUGCACGCCGACCACAGACAGCAGCAGACCGGGGAAAGGAGAAAGUGCCAGGAGGGUAGCCAGCUUGUGCAACAACACGUGAGAAUGAAAAUAGUACUAUACGAAUUAAACAAUAACAUGUGAGAACGAAGUAGUGUCAAAAUUGUGUAUUCCGAAUCUAUGAGAAUGAUAUUUUCUUGUGCAUAUUACCUAAAAAUAACAAAAUAUGCAUUACUGCCAAGUCCAAAUUGAAAGAGAAUCAUCUGCAGUUCAAACCAAGACAUCACUAAACGGGUGACUUCAAAGGGUAGUCAAGAGCAUAAGACUGAAAACAUAAAAAAUGAUACAUCCAACACUAGAUCGUUCAAAAUCAGACCGUUCAACAAAGAUUAAGAUCGAAGAUGAAGAUGAUUCAAAAAGCCCACAAGGGCACUUGCUGCUACAAAUUAGCCAUCCACCAUGCUGACACUAGCACUGCCAGUCAAGCGUUGCUCUCGCCCACUUGAAGAUGAUGUGACAGCCUGACGAUCACCUCCAACCUAGCAGCCAUCUGCAUUGCCCCACGGCGGUGAGCGACGACUGUCGCUGCCUUGAGGAAAAUGAAGCCGGCGAGGGAGGUGACAAAAGUCCCCAUAGUAACGUACCCGAAGAUCUCCAAAGCCUUCUCAAUCUUCUCCUCGACGUAAUUCUUGAGGGCUUUCUUUGGUUGUGGAGGAGGAGAGGUCGAGGAAGAAGGAGGCUCCUAGUAUAGUGAAGAGGUCGAGGAAGAAGGAGUCUUUGGGGCGGCUGCAGGUAUGUUCCAUUGUUGUGGAGGCGAGCCGGACGGCGCCUGAGGCACUACAGCCUACAGGUGUGUCCCAUUGCUCGAUGGAGGAGGCUCCUGAUGCACAAAAUAGUAUUGCACGAAUUAGACAAUAACCUAUGAGAACGUAGUAGUGUCAUAACUAUGUAUUCCAAAUUUGUGAGAAUGAUAUUAUGCGGUNNNNNNNNNNNNNNNNNNNNNNNNNNNNNNNNNNNNNNNNNNNNNNNNNNNNNNNNNNNNNNNNNNNNNNNNNNNNNNNNNNNNNNNNNNNNNNNNNNNNNNNNNNNNNNNNNNNNNNNNNNNNNNNNNNNNNNNNNNNNNNNNNNNNNNNNNNNNNCCCGCACUUCACCACGUUAUAUUUAUCAAGUACGUCCUCCGUUCCACAAUGUAGUGCGUAUAGAAUUUUGGGAGAGUCAAAUUUUAUUAACUUAAGAUUAUGGUCUUUAAAUGAAAACUGUUUGAAGACGCUGCUCUUCCCUGAAAUUAUAUGGGAAGAGGAAAUUAAUGGUUAUAAACCGUAAGAAUCCAAUAUCUGUCCGACGUGUGUCGAGCACUGGCUUACUUACAGCACACGUUAGCGAAUUUUGUGAUAAAGGCAAGGGUUAACAGUGACCGGGAUGGGGGUUGGGUUAUUCUGUUCAGUUACGUCUGUCUAAGUGGAAUAACUUUUCUAUCUUUUUAAAUGUGAAAAUUGCAUUUUAUUAUAGAUGGCUUUGCAGCAAAUUGUAUGUGUGAGCUGUUCAUUUUUUUAUCAAGUCCUAAUUUUUUUGGUUUUUAAGUUAACAACGGACACGGUGGCCUAUUAGUUGCAGCUGCAACAAUGAACAUCGUAUUUUUGUUUCGUGGUAAUGCACUACAUUCAAAUGUUUGUUACAACAUGACAAUGGNNNNNNNNNNNNNNNNNNNNNNNNNNNNNNNNNNNNNNNNNNNNNNNNNNNNNNNNNNNNNNNNNNNNNNNNNNNNNNNNNNNNNNNNNNNNNNNNNNNNNNNNNNNNNNNNNNNNNNNNNNNNNNNNNNNNNNNNNNNNNNNNNNNNNNNNNNNNNNNNNNNNNNNNNNNNNNNNNNNNNNNNNNNNNNNNNNNNNNNNNNNNNNNNNNNNNNNNNNNNNNNNNNNNNNNNNNNNNNNNNNNNNNNNNNNNNNNNNNNNNNNNNNNNNNNAUCCCCCUUGAUGGCGUUGGUGGAUCGACACGGGCACAGGGGUUGGGAUCAGGACGGAGAGCGGGGGCCUUCUUCUAGGCGGUAUGUGUGAAAGUACGGUUUGAGAGAAAGAGAACACCAUGGUGAAGGUGAGGUGGGCGACAUCCGGUUUUAAAGGAGUGUACUACCAGCGAGAAAUGUCUCGCUACGACGGGAAACCAAACGGGAAUGGGAGGGUUUGACAGGAAAAUGAAAUGGUUCGUCAUGGAUGGGUUUUUUUGUGUUGGUACCACGCGUUAAAGAUAACAUGACAGAUAGUCUAGACAACUAGCGAGAAAUGUCUCCGUAUGGUGGGAAACCAAACGGAAAGGCGAGGGUCCGACAGAAAAAUGAAAUGGUACGUCGUGUGUGGAUAUUUUGUGUUGGGACUAUGCAUUAGAGAUAACAUGACAGAUAGUCUGAACAACCAUAUUUCUUCUUCACAUAUGGGCUGGAUCUUUGGAGGCUAGAUUGUCCACGCGGUUGGACCAUGAGAAGCCUGUCGAACGCCCAUUUGAUGUCCAAACACGCCUGAACGUAUAUGGAAAAGGUAAAUUUUAACCUUAAAAGACGAUCUUAACCAUUUGUUUGACUCAUUUAUAUGUAUUAUAUCCCGUACCAAUGCUGGGUGCAUUCUAUUACGGCUAUAAACCGUGAGAAUCCUAGUAUUUAGUCCCUGUUCGUCCGGUCAAUCGAAGUCACGUUGGCUACCCAUUUACUACUCCCGAGUCAGUAGGAGGCACGUUCGCUACUCAUUGCUGUUCGGCCCUUUUUAGACAUUAUUCUCAUGUACGUACUAUUAAAAAUACUUAAAUACUAUUAGUCUCUGCAGUCAAGCGGAGACUCGAUCUGUACACGAAAGUUUAGGCGGUGUGAGACCAGUCAAAGAUUAAGAGGGUAGCUACAGCUUAUAUAUCCACAUGCUCUUAGCAUAUGAUGCUAACCUUGGAGUUGAUGGCAGCAAUGCUGCUGCUGCUGCUGCCGGCGCUGGCCGCCGCCGCUUCACCUGAUCCGGAGGCGGCGCCCAAGAUUGGGAUGCCGGACUGCGACACAAGCUGCGGCAACGUAAGUGUGCCGUACCCCUUCGGCCUUGGGCCGGACCGCUGCUACCGGCCAGGCUUCAACCUCACCUGCGAUCGACUACGGCACGGCACGGCUGCUGCUUGACAGCCACGGGGCCUUCCAAGUCCUCGACAUCUCCCUCCAGGACACCACACUGCGCGUCACCAGCUCCGUUUCUGUCGUCCAACUCCAAGCCACCUCCAGAGAUCUUCUCUCCUUCCGUUUUAGUGAUUAUUUCACCAACCGCGGGGAGGUGCUCUACUCAUUGUCAGCCCGCAACGAGCUCAUCCUCAUAGGGUGUAACGUCCAGGCGACGCUGCUACAAGGCUCGCGAAUGGUCACCGGCUGCGCCACCUUCUGCUCCGGUGGUGACGCCGGGAGCCUGCCAAAGAUCGCAAUUAAUGGCAGCCACAACAAGAACUGCUACGGCGUGGGCUGCUGUCAGGCGCCCAUCCCCACGUCCAUAGACAGCAUGCCCAACGAGCUGAUGCUGAGCUUCGAGUUCGCCGACCUCGUGCAAAACGUGUCAUGGCACCCAUUCGGGCUGAUCGCGGAGGAAGGCUGGUUCCACAACCACCUCAUCUCCGAUCUGCGGCUACAGUCGCUUCAACGAAACUCAAGGUUUGCUCCCAUGGUUCCUGUCGUUUUACACUGGGCGUUGUUGCCGCUGGCAGGCUUACCCGAGGCCGACGCCAAUGCCAAGCCUGUGGAGGUAGCUACCGGCAUCUGCUCGAGCAAGCACAGCCAUUGUAUAUCUUGGAACAGAGGCUACUAUUGCCAGUGUGAUGGUGGCUACAUCGGCAACCCAUACCUUGUUGACGGUGGGUGCACAAAAGAAGGUAUGUGAUAAUCUGAUCAGUGUGAUGUUAAUUAUGCAUGCGUAUUUCUCUAGCAUUUAUCUACUGAAAUUUAUGUCUACAGCUCAAAAGGAAUUCAUAACCGCGAAAACUUCACUUGUACUUGAAAUACUCGCCUGUGUAGCGAUAGGCAUUUUGGUAGUCCUAGUGCUGGUGCUCGCAAAAUGGGGAGAUAUAAAAGAUAUCAGGGCAAACAAGUUAAAACGGAAAUUCUUCGAGAAAAAUCAUGGUCAGUUGUUGCAGCAGUUGAUUUCUCAGAGUGCCAGUAUUGCAGAAAGUAUGAUCAUGACCUUCAAAGAGCUAGAGAAGGCAACACACAAUUUUGACAAAGAUCUUCAGGUUGGUGGUGGAGGGCAUGGUACAGUUUACAAAGGGAUUUUACUGAACCAACAUGUUGUAGCCGUCAAGAAGCCAAACAGAAUGGUACAGAAGGAGAUCGACGAGUUUAUCAAUGAGGUGGUUAUUCUAUCACAAAUCAACCAUAGAAAUAUAGUAAAACUCUAUGGUUGUUGUCUUGAAACUGAAGUCCCAAUGUUGGUCUAUGAGUUCAUAUCUAAUGGGACCCUUUAUGAGCAUCUUCAUCUUGAAGGACCAAAACAUUGUCUUGGGAUCACAGGUUGAGGAUAGCCAUGGAGGCAGCAAAAUCCCUCGCAUAUCUUCAUACAGCCGCUUCAAGACCUAUCAUCCAUAGAGAUGUUAAGUCUGCUAACAUACUUCUAGAUGAUACUCUCACAACAAAAGUAGCAGAUUUUGGAGCAUCAAAGAAUAUUCCACUCGAUAUAUCUGGUGUUGCAACAAGGGCUCAAGGCACGAGAGGGUACUGGGAUCCUAUGUACUUUUACACAGGACGGCUCACGGAGAAGAGUGAUGUUUAUAGCUUUGGGGUUGUCCUAGUAGAAUUGUUAACAAGGAAGAAACCAUUUUCAUAUUCGUGGUCUUCGGACGAAGAUGAAGUUGGUCUUGUUGAACAUUUUGUUAACUUGUUUGAAGAAGACAAUCUGCUCCAUAUAUUAGAUCCACAAGUUAUCGAGGAAGGUGGCAAAGAAGUCAAAGAAGUGGCCGCUGUUGCAGUUGCAUGCGUAAAGUUAAGAAGAGAGGAUCGGCCGACGAUGAGACAAGUGGAGAUGACACUUGAAGGCACACGCACAUCCAAGGAUCAGGCUUUAGAUAAUGCAUUUCCAUCUACAGAAGUUGAAAGCAACACAAACAUGUCGAUCAGAUGGUAUAGUAUGGAACAAGAGUUCAUAUUGUCUGCAGAGUAUCCUCGGUAGUUUUACUUACACGCAUAUGAGAUGGACACAUUUUAGAGGUUCUUACUCACAUGGUUGGUUUAGCCAAAAUGUGCUUCGUGAUUUGUUGUGAAUCUGUAGCAGCUUUAUUUUUGUGUUGUCAAGCCACUUAUACUAGGUGGUGUUCUUAUAAACUCGUUGAAGAAGAUCCCUCUGCUUUUCAUGAUAACUAACGAUCAUGGUUAUCAUCUUCUCUUAUCUGCUUAGAAAUAUGCAUGCUGCCUCAGUUGUUUUAAAUAUGUAAAUUUCUCCUUCUGUUAAUCCGUGUUCUUUCUGAGUUUACUCUCAUUAUACUUGUGUUUUAAAUAUGCAUGCUAUCUUGUCGUUCUUGGGGUUUAUUUUUGGUAAAUGCGCUGAAUUUUUAAAAUUUUACGGAACAUUCUGCUUACUACUGCAUAGAAGCUAGUGACAUGGAUGAUUGGUGCCACUAACAACAUCUACAGUCGGACUUGGCAAAUCUGACCCCUCAAACACCCAAGGAUGUGUCCGGGCAUGUCCGCUGACACUGACCGAUCAUCCCUUAACUAAUGCAUUCCACAUUCGGAUACCUCAAAUUAGAAACCUCAAAUCCAUAUUCUUACAUACAACGAAAAGCGAUCUUUAAGCGGAGCUCGUCCGGCGGCAGGCUGCGCUCCCCAGAUUGUUGGUCCGGUCACCAGCAAGGUAGGGUAGGGCAUGGGACAUGAGCCGGCUUAAGGCGCCGCCGACUCUCAUGCCCUACUCUUCCUCGUCGGAUUCCGGAACCCAUUGGGUGGCGGCGGAUGUCAGAUCGAUGAUGGAUCAACCAUGGGACGACUCGGCGACAUCCAUCAUGACGCGGAUGCGGCGCCUGGACUGGUGCACCAUACGGGGCGCCGGAGAAUGCCACUCCGCCUCGCCGACGUCCACGGCCGCGAGGGCUGCCACCGCCUCCCACCCACGCUGCCUCGCACGGCGGGGCACAACGCGCCAUAUUUGCGUCCCUGGUCACAGAGCGCCAUCGCAGGGGUUGCACGUCUGCCACCGCGUUCGGACUCCAGAACGACCGUACUUGAUCUGGCUAACCACGACUGAUCCACUUCAAUGGAUGCAAGACAAAAGAAGUAGGCCACCACUGCGGCGUGUUGAGGCUAGAGCUCUUGCAGAGAUGUAGGCUUGUAGACAAGUGCAUAGACAUACAGGUUGGCAUACCGGUCCCCGUUUUCAGGAGCUGCAAAACCCAUUAAUAUCUGAAGUCCAAAAUACUUGAGAGCUUGUAGUAGUUUAUAGGUGUGACAUAACAUGAUUAGUUUUAGUGCAAACCAUAUAAGCUCCUGCUAUUAAUGCAGCACUAAGGUUAUUAACUGGUGAUAUUUUACUAAAUUAAACAUAAAAAUUAGUAGUAAACCACAGGGACUUGUAAAGCGAAGUUACAAAACCAAAACCUUUUCCUCAAGUAAAUCUUGGAGACGCUUUGAAUAAGCAACUGCUCAUGUCAGCCUGUCAUUGAUCUGCAUCUUAACCUGAAUGAACAAUCAGCUCCCAGACGAAGAAUCAACUCACCCUGAUACCACAUACUAAUCUUAUCUAGAGAACCAUCCUCGCAGUUAACGCCUGGUUAACACUUGGUGCCAAGAAAUCAAAAUAAAUUGAUACCUCCAUAGCUCUACGUCCAAGGUCCAGAGGAAGAAAAGGGGGUUUGGAGCACGCGGGCAGCGGGCUUCACUAACUCUCAAGAGAUGAGGUCGUAUAGUGUGCAUACAAAGAAACAUAUUAUAUCACCAGUUGAACUUUCAAGAAAUUAACUCACCAGCUUUCGGUACGCGUAAUCUAUGUAGGAGGAAGGGGGCAGGACUGAAGCAAAAGCCAGCAUUUUCAAGUGGAGCGCAUGCUGCAUACUUUACUUGCUUCAAGAACUUUAUACAGAAUAAUAUGUUCUGUUAGUUCGUCUGAAGCGGUGGAACUUGCCUGUGCCUACUAACUUAGCAUGUACUACAAAAUAAUAUUGUGUACUUACAGUAGUAUUUUGUACUUACAGUAAGUUGGUAUAAACUCCUACUGCCGACAACAACUAAAUCUCACAAGUAAGACACCUUAGUAAGACUGUGAACUGAAUGAAGCUUGCAAAGUCUAGAACCACUUUUUCAAGCCUGACCAAAAAUUAUAAUGCUCACAGAAAGAAUAAACUCACACUGACAACAUUUGACAGCAUACAAGUAUCAACGGUUAGUUAACACCACACAGAUGGAUAGGGUGCCAAGAAAUAGAAGUGAUUCGGAAGAAAUUAACAGCUGCAGGGAGAAAAAGGGGGACUUGGAGGGACAAGAGGUUACGGAAUACCGACUGGGGGCUAGACGACAAGAGCUAUGCAGUGGGAGUCAGUCGUACCCGCCCUUGCACGACGGUGGCCAGCGUUAACAAAAAUCAAUACAGUAGAACAGUAGAAGAUAGAGGGGUUUGGAGGAAGCAUCCAUGUUACUGCUGUGAUAUCUCCGCAGCUGCUGCAAAAGCCUCAAGACAUAGAGGGAAUCUUGUUCAGAUGAGAGAAAACCUACGGAGCUACAAGUGUAAAGAAUGAUGAUUCAAAUGAAUCGAGAAAUAUAUUGUCAACUGAAACAUAUUAUGUUGUCAACUCAACUCGCAAGAGAUUAAAACCCGGCUGCAUGGUCGUAUAUCUAAGCUGAUGAUACUUGAAAACUGUACCAGUAAAUAAUAAGGUUAAUAGAGAUGAACCGUGCUGUUUCAUAUACACGACUUCAUAACCCUGAUUCCAUGACCAUUCAUGGUCUCUAUUGUUGUGCCUUGCUGUGUAUGUUUACAUGCCUGUACAUGGUUGUUUUUUUAUGGGUAUAGUCCUUCACUGUUAUAGUGUAAAACCAUUUCAUAAGUCCAUGAUGAGAUUGUUGGCCCAGACCCGACGCCGAGUACUUUCCGACGACGGUGAUGAUCGACGACAGACAAGGACCAAGCAACGCUGGCUUGUGAUAGACCACCCUCAGUGUAAAGCUAGCCCCAAGCUAGCAAUCUAUCCUUCCUUGGACGUGUGGUACUAAUACUAGUACUUCUGGCCAGAACAAUCACACAACAUGUGCGUAGGCAAACUAGCAAUCGAUCUAUGCUUUGAUCAAUUGGACACAAGCAACGCACGCGAGAUUGUAUGGCCACAGGCUCGUGUCGAGCCUGUUGUAAUUCUGUAUUACUUUUCCAUGAUACAAAGUACAGGGGUUAGGCUACAUAUAUAUAGGAGCAAAUAGCCCAAAAGCUAACCUAGUCGGCAAGGUAUACGUGCACUACUCAGACACAUAUACCAGAGACGUGAUUAACUGCAACAGAGAUCAAAUUUGUUUUGAGUUCUGACAAGUUCUUUUUUUUCAGGCUGAUCUUUGUCUAGAAGCUGCAAGUUUAGCUCUGAAAGAAAUGUCAGUCUCGGAAUAAGGUUCCUCAGCAGGCAAGUUUGGGACAACUUCUAUUGCAUGGGUUAACAAGGCAUUUGACAAGAUUUUGUUGAAAGACAUGCUGUUUUGCAGUAUUUGCCUGUGAUUGACAUGUUUAACCAAGAAGCAUCAGUACUGCUUCAUGGUGGUAUCAUUAUCUCACCAAGUUUGGCAAGGUAGAAAUUAUAUCAUCUCUAGUAUUGGCAUCCUUACACGUUAUGUCCGAGCUCCAUCUGCCACGGCCGGACUUGGUUGGACCCUCAAUCAUGCAUGCUGAUCCUUCACUCAUUUUGCUUCGUAUUUAGUCUGUAUUGGAAUCUCUAAAAAGACAUAUUUAGGAACGGAGGCACCAAAAAUUAAUGCUAUGAAGUGUAUAGGUACUACAGGAGCUCAAUUAAUUGUCUUAUGAGUUAAGUGCUCCACCUCUCAAACCUCCGUUCAUUCAUCUCCAUUGGAUCAUCAUACCGACUCGUAGUAUUUGCAUACCUAGCUAGUUUUUCUUACUUGCUUUGUACAGCCAGAUCCAGCUCACUGGUAGCGCACCUUACUAUGCCUUGCUUUAUUUCUGACAAGUGCAUAUAUUUAGCUCUCGCGCGUUGUCUGUGCGAAACUGCAUGUGGAUGGAUCAACUACCGACGUGCAUACAAGCUAAGGUAAAUAACCCAACCUGACAGCCCAUUUUAUGUACUCUAGUUAAUUAGCUCCGUCCAACAUUGUUGUCUGCUAACGUUCGAGUGUACUAGAUUAUGUAUGACGAGAUGUGAGUUUUUUUUUCGGCACACUGUCUCGAGCUGGUCCUUUGCAGCUAUGAGGACUAAGAGAAAGAUGCUCCUUGAGAAAGAUACUUGAAAUACGAGCACGCAGAGUAAACUAUUUGGCCAGCUAGCAUACAACUUUUGGGCACAUCUAGAGAAAGUUUGCAUGUGCUAUCUGAAAAUAGGUCCGUAAACAUGACCUAUGGGUUAUAGCGGAUGAAAACGUGAGGAAGCUUUUAUGAUGUGCCAUAACAUGUUUGUAACCAUGACCAGAGAUAAAUUAUUGCGGAGAGAUCAGCCCAAAUGCCAAAAAAGAAACGGCAAACUGAAUUUUUGACAUGCAUAUUGUUGUUCACAAAUUGCAGUAUCUCGUUCAGUUUAUUGCUCCGUAGAAUCAGUCUUCUUUAUGAAAGGAAGAAAGGAAAGGCUAGGGUCUCCCUAAAUUUGCUCUGGCUUGAAACAUAAAGCACGUGCACACUGUUCUCUUACAUAGUUACUCCCUCCGUUUCAAAAUAGAUGACCCAACUUUAUACUAACUUUAGUACAAAGUUGGUAUAAAAUUGGGUCAUCUAUUUUAGAACGGAGGGAGUACAUGCUAGCUAGGUACCUUAAAGCUAUGUGGCUUUUCUGUAGCUAAUAAUGUUGCUUUUCCGUCUCCAGGAUGCUGCCAAUAAUCUAUGUGGAAUACCCAAGUGUGGGAUAUAUAGAGUACAAUAUGUGAGAGAGACUUGGAGUAGGGGACAAGUCGUACAUGGUUUAAACCAAUCCUAUCUCUAACUCCUAAUCUCUAACUUAAACAUAAUUAUACUUCUAACAUUCCCCCUCAGUCGUAGCGGGAGUGAAGCGGACGAUGACGACUGAAUUUGAACUCUUGUGCUUUCGUCGUCUUCUCCGCUGCGCCAUCAUCAACUGCGUCUCUGAUGGGUCGGCAGUUAGGGCGGUGACUGCGUCCCCUUCUGGUGCCUUCCUGCCUUCUCGUCUAUUCCCUCCCGCAGUCACAGCGGGAGUGUCGUGGACGCAAGUGACGAGACGGACGCUGUUGACUGGAGUUGUUGCCGAUGAGUUGCUGCAGACGUAGCCACUAAUGUCGAGGUAGCCAUUAAUGUCGAGGUAGCCGAUCAUGGUGAUGUAGCCCUGGUCGAGGUAGUCGUGGUCGAUGGUAUGGUCGUCGUGGAUGAUGAAGCCGCACAAAGCCGGAGGCGCAAAAAAAAUGCGCUAUGACGGAGCUGCAGACGUGGACGAUGCACCUUGCGGAUGUCAGAGGGUGCCGUCGGCGAUGAGUCCACCAGUUUUGCCAAGACCGGAGAAAACCCAUCGAGCACACAUCGGUUUUGCCAAAACCGUGUGGCCGUGUAGGGGUCGUCACUAUAGUGACGCCAUGUCAGUGCAGUCGUGCCGUCGUGGAUGACGCGGUCGUUGCCGUCGUCGUGGUCGCGUCUUGCAGAAAAUUUUGUCAGAGGACGCUAGGUGUCCAUCUUGUGGACAAGGUGGCGGCGGUGUGUUGAUGAAGAUGUUGGUGAAGACGACGUUUAUGAAGACCUUGGUGAUGAAGUGUCGGCGAUGGCGUCACAGCAGCGUGUCGACGAUAAUGUGUCGCUUGAAGGCGUCCCUCGCGGCGACCAAGUGUCAACGCCGUGUCGCGCCGGAGAAGUCGAUCAAGAUUGCAUCUCGUUCCACACCCGCCUGGCGUGUGGAUGGUGCAUGUUGAGAUCGCUUCUUGUAGACGUGCUCGACGAAGUAUAUUGGCUUGUAGCCCGACGUAGUCGUAUAGCUUGAUGAUGCGGCGCAGGGUUGGUGCAGAUCGCUCGAUGCAGCGGUUCGUGGACGUACGCGGACAACUAGCUGGUUGGCGCUGCAGCGUGGAGUCCCUUGGCGAGGCCGCGGCUUCGGCGAUGGCCAUCAUGUGCACCGGCUGGAAUCCAUCUGGGAUCUGCGCAUGUGUCCGAAGUCGACGAAGGCAGCUGAUGCUGAUGAGGCCCAGCUGCAUGCCCUCCCGUGAUCGAGCGCCCACGGAGUCGCCGUGCGUCGGGAUGAUGUAGACACGUGCAACCGGGCCCUCGGAGUUGCAUCGUUGAAGGCUUCAAGCUAGCCGAAUCCAAACCAAGCCCGAGUCUAGAUAUAGCACGUACGUGCAGUUUUUGUGCAUGCCAUACAAGUGCAUGCAUGGCUGCAUGGGUCGAUGGAGGUGCUUGCCGAUGAAGUGCAAGUGCCGGCUCCAAGGGAACCGAUCUGCUCCCUGUCCGACUUGUCUGACGCGAUGGGUGUGUGUCGAAGCAGAUCAAAAACAGAUCGUAUGCCUGGGCUGCCUGUCGCCUGUACAUAUCCCCGGCGUGCCGUCCGGAGCCAGAGGUCGAUGAAGAUGCGCCGUCAGGCCGCCUGGACAGAAACCGGUGGCUGCUCUUCUAGACCGCGCGACCUGCCACGUGUGCUCCGCUGUUGCACGAGCGUUGUGCCGGAUUGAUCUCACCGGAUUUGAGGGUCGGGGAGAGGAAUCUAUUUGUGGCUAAAGCAAGAAAAAUCAAUCUAAGAAAAUUUUGAAUUGGAAUUGUUCUAAUCUAUGGAAUCGAUCUGAUCUUUGCUCGACCGAGUGCCGCGCCCCCGGGGAGAGGAGAUUAAUCUCCCCGGGGGCGGCGCGCUGCCGAAGUGUGGUGGAAGGUUCCUAGGAUCGGCGUCGUGAGACAAACCGCUCUAAUACCAUGUAAAAUUGUAGGAUUGAUGAAUAUUGUGUUGUUGUUGUUUUUUUUGAUCUGACCCAAGUGUGGGAUAUAUAAAGUACAAUAUGUGAGAGAGACUUGGAGUAGGGGACAAGUCGUACAUGGUUUAAACCAAUCCUAUCUCUAACUCCUAAUCUCUAACUUAAACAUAAUUAUACUUCUAACAAAGACCUCCCACGGUUCAAUAUUUGACUUGGAACUCCGUCAUGCAUUUGAUGCCUCAUGAAUUUGUAAUGUAAGUUGUUGAUUCUCAACUCUUGCUUAUGUGAAUUUUGGUUCUCAUGGAUGAGUCUGCAAAACAUGAGUUGGGCUACGUUUAUACUGCAUCGACGGUUUAUAUAAAGUUUGUGUUCAAAGUUUCAGUUCAGUCCGUUUGCUCGUUCAGUUACAUAAUCAAUAAAUAAAGAACAUCACCCUCCACUGUGCUAGCUCUCUUUUUGUCGCCAACUGCAUGUGGUGGGCACGUGGAUGGAUCAAUUAGCGAUGUGGAUGCAAAGUUAAACCAAUCGAUAAAACAGAUUCAACAAGAUGGUAGAGCAUGUUCGAUGAAGGCAGGCUUCCCAGCCACUAUAGCAUAAAUGGAGACAAUCAGACGUGCUGUUCUCAAAAGGAAGUGUUUCUUACUGGUACAUUAAUUAAACCCAUGUGAUUAAUUGAUUAAACUUUUGGUCACUGUGGCAAUCAGGACUUUGGAACGCAAGCCUUCAUCCUCCUGCUUGGUUGGCAAUAAUUUUGGUGCUAAUAAAUUUGGUUACCUGUUGGGUGAAAGAAGGAGAUUACCUUGUAAAACUGUUGCUAGCUUGUAUUGACAUGCACAGUUUUGGUGCUAAUAAAUUUGAUUACCUGUUUGGUGUAUUGACAUACUCAUAGUCCCUCCGUUCCAAAAUAGAUGACCCAACUUUGUACUAAAGUUAGUAUAAAGUUGAGCAUCUAUUUUGGAACGGAGGGAGUAGGAGAGAAGAGAAUAGAGUUGAAGUUGCCUGUGUUUUCAGUUCUUAGCUACACCCAUGUUCACAAAGGACGAAGUGCUCAUAAAUCCACUCGAAUGAUCAUCUGGGCCGUGGGCCGUGGGGUACACAUGAUCUCACACGAAUGAUCAUCUACACCCCAGAUUCCAGAUGCGCAGAGCCGUCACCUCCCUGACCCUAUUGGCUUCCUCAGCGCCGGCCAAAUCCAAAUGUGGAGCUGCACCACUCCGGCGACAGCCCCCAUUCUCCACAGCAGAGGAGCUCGUGUGGCAAUGCGCCGGCGGCGGCAAAGCACGCAUGGUCAGUCGCCAUUUCCCCUUUCCACCGUUGAUUAUAUAUUUUUUUACCUUUCUUGCCCUAAAUUACAUGCAAUUAUUCUUUUGUCUUGAUUUUGUUGACAUUCUAUCGAUUCGGUACAGAAUUCUUUUGACUUAAUUUUGAUGGUAUUGACGCAAAGAGUAGGGUAGUGCUCUAAAACUGCAGACGCUAGUGCCUUAGGCCAUUGAUCAGUUUCAUGCUGACAGAUGAUCUUGGAUGAAUAAUAUUAGUUGCUAUCUGCCCACAAGGUAAUAAAGUAGACCUAGGUGGCAGAUCUCAGGGAAGUUUCACCGCAUUUGCCCCCAACUAGCUGCCAACCUAAUUAUGAUGUCAAUUUUUAUGUAUUCAAACAAGGUGAUGUUACUUCCUGCCUGCCCCCAAGGUAGAGUAAUAAACUAACUAGACCUAUCUAAUCUCAAGGAAAGUACCCGGCAUCUCUCAUCUACUAGUUGCCUACCUAAUUACUCCCUCCGUCCCAUAAUAUAAGAGCGUUUCUGACACUAGUAUAGUGUCAAAAAUGCUCUUACAUUAUGGGACGAAGGGAGUAUGAUGUAAAUGCUUAUGUGUUCAAACAAGACUUGAAAGCUAGACGAGCAAGUCGUCCUUGUUAACAAGGCAGCCGUUGCACCAACUACCAAUCGAUUUGUCCUGUAGCCUAAUACCUAGCUAGAUAACACAUCACAUAUCGAUGGGGGACAAAUGGAGGACAAAUCUUCCUUGUUAGCAAGGCAGCCAUUGCACCAACUACAAAUCGAUGGAGGACAAAUCGAUAUGCACCGCGCAAAGAGCGCAGUGCAUGCGGUUAGAUGGAUAAGAACGCGCACAAUUAGUCAGUCACCGGCCGGCUUAAACAACACAAAACAUACUGGCCCACCAGUCAUAAGUAUACUUGAGGGUUGAGUUGCUAGUUGUUGUCCCAGCUCCAUCUGAAUCCUAAAAUUAAUCUAGCAUGCAUCACCCGGCUUUUGAAUGGCAGUGGAGCUCUUGCUGUAAAAAUAAGAAAAAGGCAGUCUUCUGCUUCAGAAAUCAAGAUUUAUUUCAUCAGUUCUGCCUGGAAUGGCAAAGAUUUAUUUCAUCAGCCUGAGCACCAGGGGGCAGGGUUGAUCUUCUUCAGAGGAAACCCCAUACUUUCAAUUCUCCGUGACUACUCUUGUAUCACGUUGAGUGAUGGAGUUCCGAAAAAACUAGAGAUCAUGGACACAUAGCUUCAGUUACAAAGUUUCUUCUACUCUUUUCUGGCAAAACAUAAAUUACAAAUGUAUGCAGGAGAAGCUCUACUGCACACAAAAAAGGACAAAAGCAGCCAGAUGUUCAUCAAUAAUUGUGGGGCAGGUUGGCAUGCCAUAAGCAGCACUUAACUAAUCCAGAGCCUAAUUAAGCUUAGAUAAGUGCUGAUGUGUGUACAAAACUAUACCAUACAUAUUUUCGGAGGGUACCUUGAGCUCGUCCAAAGCUAGAGAUAAAACGUACCUAAUGUACAUUACAACUGGUUUGUCCUGCCUAUCGUCACAUCUUCCAUGUCGGGUAUGAACCCCUUUCCCCCCACUAAAGCAGCAACUCGAACAAUACUUUUUUUACAAAGCAGUUGAACCAUACUUUAAGCAUUGUCUUCUGCUGCAGAGGAUUUUCUCAAUCAUUGAGGUUUCUGAACAUCUUUUUUCAGCAAACAACCAUAAACGUCAACAUCAGUAACAGUAAAAUACCCAAAACUGUUGAAUGUGUGAAUGCGAUCGAACACCAAAUUUCAUUGUUAUCAACAGUUGAAUGUAAAUUUGUAAUACAUACAUGGAUAGCUCAGUCUUCCUGAGAAAUUAUGAGAAACGUAACUGUUACAAUGUAGACAUCACAAACCUAAUCAUCAUCAAUUAAUACGUAGCUAUGACAUCGAUCAGGGUCCUACUAAUUCAGAAACUCAUUUAGCUUUUAUUAGCUGAUUGACGGAGCCUCUGUUCAAAAGAUUAAGCAAGAUCAGCCACCUGAUAGCCCACAUUGUGUAAUUAAUUAGCUCCAUGCGGGGGAGACGUGCCGGAGCAGAAGCAUAGCUGGUGCGCAAGGAGACGACGUGCCCAGUGGCCGCGUUCUGGUGGAGGAGCUGAGCUGCUGCUCCUGGAUGCGACGGGCCAGACGACGAUCUGAGCUGCCGCUCCCGGAGGUGACCUGCCGGAACAUCAACACAUCUUCUCCCCACCAUCUCCGCCAUCGGUGUUGUCCAUCCAUCUCAGAGGUUGUUGAGGAAGUUCAAGUGUAAUUUGUCUCUCUCUUUACAGCCAGCUAAAGCUAAGCUGCUUAAAUUUGACGCUACCUUUGUCAUUACAGCAAAAUUAGCCAACAACAAUGGCGAUUGUGCUGGAUGCGUUUGCUUCCUACCUCGUGGACAUGCUCGCGCAGGUAGCAGCUGAUGAAGUGGGGACUAUGCUGGGCGUCUCCGGUGAGAUUGACAAGAUGGGCGACAGGCUCCGAGACCUCAAGAACAUCCUCGCUCACGCCGAUAGGAGGAACAUCACUGACGAGACUGUCCGAGAGUGGGUGGGGCAUCUCAAGCGUGCCAUGUACGAAGCUACUGACAUCCUCGACCUGUGCCAGCUUAAGGCCAUGGAGCAUGGAUCAUCCAGUACCAUAGAUGCGGGAUGUCUUAAUCCCUUGCUCUUUUGCAUGCGGAACCCCUUCCAUGCUCAUGAGAUCGGCACCCGCAUCAAGAAGCUCAACCAGAGGCUUGACGACAUCAACACACGGAGUUUUGCUUUCAACUUCAUCAAUAUUUUGUCUUAUGAGGAUCAUAGCAGCAAUGCCCACGCCUCUCGCCAUGGUAAUCCAAGUCGGGAGACGGCAGGGGACUUUGACCGGUCGGCUGUAGUUGGGAACAAGAUCGAAGAAGACACAAGAUCAUUGGUGGCCCAGAUCAUGCAGAAUGGAAAGGAGGUCAAUGAUGACAUCAUGGUGAUUGCCAUCGUAGGUGUUGGUGGCAUUGGCAAGACCACCCUUGCCCAGAAGGUCUUCAAUGACGAGGCCAUCCAAGGUGGGUUCAGUAAAAAGAUAUGGUUGAGCGUCAAUCAAAAUUUCAGUGAGGUUGAGCUGCUGAGAAGAGCCAUCAUCGGUGCCGAUGGAAAUGCCCAGCUGGCUGGAAAUGCAAAGGACGCUCUUCACCGUGCCCUAAUGCAUGCCUUGAAGGACCACAAGACAUUGCUGGUAAUGGAUGAUGUGUGGAACAAUGGAGCCUGGGAGUGUGUGCUCAAAAUACCCUUAGUCAAUGUCGUCGCUUCAGGUAGCUGGGUCCUCAUCACCACUAGAGAUGAAUGCGUUGCCCGAGGGAUGACAGCAACAUGGCCCUACCACUACGUCGACACGUUAGCGCCUGAGGACGCCUGGUCAUUGCUCAAGAAGCAGGUCCGUAUGCAAUUAAAUAGUGAUGUCUUAAUAAAGUGGAUAACCUAUAUUCAUGUACUACCUUCGUCUAGAAUUACUUGUCGCUCAAACAAAUGUAUCUAACACUAAAAUAGUGCUUAGUGCUAGAUACUUCCGUUUGAGCGACAAGUAAUUUCGGACGGAGGGGGUACUUAUUAACAGUACAGUGUAGUUAAUUAGGAGAAUUUUUUUGAUGCUUCCAUACUAGUGUGCAAUUAAUUACGUAUAAGCCAAUCGCUUGUACUCCCUCCGUAAAGAAAUAUAAGAGCGUUUAGAUCACUAAACGCUCUUAUAUUUGUUUACAAAGGGAGUAAGUACUAUUACCUCUUGGAUGGUAAGUUGUUGUCAAUAAUAUUGUAUGGCUAAUAUUAACUUUGUUUUCUUUUUGAGGGCGCUAAUAUUAACUUUGUUGUUUUGCAAAUAAGGUAAUUGCACCGGCGGUCUUGAACUUGGCAUGAAUGUGUACUUUACUCACCAAACUUUGAAAGAAGUGGUGCGCUAGCUAUUUACUCCAUUCGUUCCAAAAUAAGUGUACUAGAGAGUACUUGGCAAAAUAUAGCACCAGGGGUUAAGUUAAACCGAGACCAAGUCAGCUUAGAUGGCUAGUUGGCUUGCUGCCGGCGUGCAUUUUUGGCGCAGAGUCCACACGUGUAGCGUGAGGCCUCGGGGAUGCUUUUUAGUAAAGAAUCCCUAGAAUUGUGGCUAAUAUUAUUCACACAUAUUGUGGUACCAUAGAAAAUAAUAGAAAUGAAAAAUUAUUUUAAGAUCGAAAACAACAAUUUUGGUGAACCCCUACCAAUAGAAGCAAAUUAAUAUAAAACAAAAUCUAACUAGACUAACUGCUGUAGUAUAGUUUUGUAAAAAAAAAUUACACAAAAUAUUUACAAUGCAAUAUUUGUUGUAGUAUUAUGCAUUUUAGGUGACUAAGAGAUAGGAUAAUUUCAGGUGACUCUAAAAUAAUGAACUAUGUAAUAUAUGUUAAUCCUAAAUUAAGAAUAUAAUUUCCUGUUAAAGCAAUGAGUGAAUAGUGCAAAAGUAAUUUUUUGGAAAGAAUAGUCCAUGUUGAAAAAACAGAAGGGAAGAAAAAUUGCUUUCUAGGUAUAAGUUAUGUAAGUUAUACAUGAGAGUCAUUGCAUUAACCUUUGUUAUAUAGGUGGGUGAUAAGUAAAUACAUUUAUAACAUUUUCUUUUUGACUAGUACUUUCUGUACUUUGAGUAUUUUUACCUAGACAAACUUACCCUUGAUAAAGGGAUAGCUAUAUCAAAUACUCCUAUUCCUCCAAAAAUAUCAAAUAGUCCUCUUAUCUAUUGAGAGGCAAAUUAAUUUGAGAGUCUUCAAAGAGCUUGGUUCGUAGUUAAUUAACCCUUAUUGGUCCCUUGAACUGCAUGUUUGCAGGUAAUCUCAAGCGAGAUAAAUGAAGGCCACAUCAACAAGCUAAAAGAUAUUGGAUUGAAAAUUAUACAAAAAUGUGGUGGUUUACCACUUGCGGUCAAAGUAAUGGGAGGACUCUUGCGUAAAAGGGAGGUGCUACGUCGUGACUGGGAGCAGGUUUUUAAUGAUUCUAAAUGGUCAAGAACUAAAAUGCCCCAAGAGCUCAACCAUGCAGUAUACUUGAGCUAUGAAGAUAUGCCUACUUAUCUGAAGCAGUGCUUUCUAUACUACUCUAUUCUUCCUAAAAAUAAAAAGUUUAAUGUGCAUCAAGUUGUUGCCAUGUGGAUUAGCGAAGGAUUUGUUCAUGGAAACUCUAAUGAUUUAGAAGAAUUGGGAGGAAAUUACUACAAGGAGUUGAUAUCUAGGAACCUUACAAAGCCAGAUAAAUUUGAUGUUAAUCAAUCAUGUUGCAAUAUGCAUGAUAUUGUUCGCUCAUUUGCUCAAUAUAUGACUAAAGAUGAAGCACUCGUAGCUCAAGACGGAGACAAUGUUAAUCUUAUUAAACUUCAUUCAGAAAAGUUUCUUCGGUUGUCUAUAGCAACCGAUCAACUACAAUCAGGUGAACUUGACUGGACAUCUUUACAGAAGUACCAAUCAGUGAGAACACUAAUCUCAACUAUUCAGAUCAAGAUAAAGCCCGGUGAUUCAUUGCUUGCUUUUUCUGGUUUGCGGACUCUACAUAUAGAAUUUGCAGAUGUGGCUGCAUUGGUUGAAUCACUGCAUCAACUCAAGCACCUGAGAUAUUUGGCACUACUUGAUACUGAUAUAUCUGUACUUCCAGGGAACAUUGGCAAGAUGAAAUUAUUGCAAUUCCUUAACCUUGGUGGAUGUGAAAAUUUGAUCAAUCUUCCUCAUAGCAUUGUGAAGCUUGGCCUGAGGUUACUCAAUCUUCCGCACGUGAGUAUGAUACCUAGAGGGUUCUGUGAGCUCACAAGUAUGAGGAGAUUAGAUGGGUUUCGAGCCCACAUGGAUGGUGAUUGGUGCAGUUUGAAUGAGUUGGGGCCUCUUUCCCAACUGAGAUUUCUUGGAUUAAUUCAAUUGGAAAAUGUAUCCACUGCCUCGUUUGCUGCCAAUGCUAGGCUUAGUGAGAAGAUGCAUCUUAUUGACCUUGUUUUGGUCUGCACCAGUAGACUAGGAGAUGAUGGAUUGGUCAAAGGGAAAGAAGGUGUUUCUGAGGAAGAGAAGCGACGAAUCAAGAAUGUGUUUGAUGAGCUCCGCCCUCCACCAAGUGUAGAAAAUCUUGUUGUCGAUGGGUAUUUUGGCCUGCAACUCCUGAGUUGGAUGAUGUCCACAUCGAUGGUGCCCCUCACCAACUUGAAGAAUCUAAUGUUUGAUGGCCUGGCUUGUUGCACCCAACUUCCCAAUGGGUUGUGUCAGCUCCCCUAUCUGCAGUCUACCGUGCUCCAUGCAUCAAGAUUGUUGGAAAUGCAUUCCUGCUGGCGGUAAUUGAUCCAUUUCUGAGGUUAAACAGGAUGGUGUUACAAGGAAUGGUGGAAUGGGAGGAGUGGGAGUGGGAGGAGCAAGUGCAAGCCAUGCCGUGUUUGGUGGAGCUUUCCCUCAAUAAUUGCAAAUUGACCUGUGUUCCUCCCGGCCUUGCCUCCAAUGCGAGAGCUUUGAAAAAAUUAGUCAUAGACCACGUGCAGAAUCUCAGCUACCUUGAGAAUUUUCCUUUUGUUGUUGAACUUAGAGUGCAUGGAAUCCCUGACCUGGAGAGGAUCACCAAUUUCCCCAAUAUGCAGAAGCUUACUAUCACCAAGUGCCAAAAGCUGAAGGUUCUAGAGUGUAUCCCUGCACUUGUGAGGUUGGUCCUGGAGGAUUACGCCAUGGAAAAGCUUCCUGAAUACAUGCGGUACAUAAAGCCAAUGCAUUUGCAGUUAUUCUGCAGACCAUGGCUGCUCGCUUCAGUAGCUGCGGGACAAUCUGGUCUCGAGUGGGAUAAGUUUAGGCAUGUCGAGCAUGUUAAGGUAUAUGCACGUGCUAGAGGAAGGAAAUGGUACGUGAUAUACACAAGUGGAGACACUGGCAAGUUCGAUUCAAAUAUUAGCAGCUCUACGGUGUUUGAAGGUAAGUUUAAACAUACGAUUUUUAUCUUAAUUUGUUUGGGCACUCGGACUCUGCUAGUUUAUAAGUCCGUUUCACCUUAUCCCCUGCCUUUCAUCCAUAUAUGCCGCUGCAUGAUGACUGGAUAUAUGUCGUACCUUUUUUGUUCACAUGAUUACGUCGUUUCAGAUGACGUAUAAACAUGACUGUACUGGGCAUGCAGCUUAAUUCUUAGCCACACAGCAUCAGCAACAGCAGCUCAGCCUAGUGAUCAAAGUAACCCAACAUCAUAAUGGGGUAGAUACAAUAUCAUUGGCUUUGUGGACAGACACCCUUCUUCCCGGGCUUGUUGUAACAUUUGCUCUGAGGUCAGCUUGCCAAAGUGUUUUGGUCAUUCUCUCGUGUGGUUUGCAACAAGGAUUGGUUUAGUAUACAGUAUAGUGUGCAUUGCGUUUGCGUAUGCAUCUAACUAGUAGUUUUCCAUGUAAUUUUGCUUGCUGCAGAUAUAAAUUGUGAUUGGGCUGCCUAGAAGAGCUUGCGAUCCUCUUGCUGUAUGUGGUCAGCGUUGGCUUUGUAUGGUACUAACAGUACUGGCGCGUUCCCCUCGGCUGGCGUCUCCGCGGGCACCACGUGUCGUGGUGGGUCCGGCGCGGGCGCGUUGCCUAGCGCUGCCGCGUCUCCACGCAAUGAUGGCCCUGACGGCUGGGCCCACAGGCGUGUGUCUCCCGCCCGGUCGCCCGUGCGGUCACACGAUCCAACGCCCGACCGCGCCGUAGUCGAGGCGGAUUCGCCCGUUUUGUCGCCUGGGCAGGCACGUGAUCCCACGCCCGACCGCACAUCAGUCGAGGAGGAUCUUCCUGGUCAUUUGGACGCCGCCAGUACUGCUGGAUCCGCUGUGGCUCCCGGAUCUUCUGCGGAUCCUGCUCAUGUACGCCCUCGUACACGAGCUCAGAAAGGUAUUUUUAAGCCUUUGGUUCCUAAAGAUGGGACGGUCAGGUAUGAUAAAAAUUUUAAAUUUGCAAAUCUUGCUGUCACUCAAGAACCUAGAAAUGUGGCAGAAGCUCUAGGAGAUAAGAAUUGGCAACGUGCUAUGGAAACGGAGUACAAUGCUCUUAUGAAAAAUCAAACUUGGCACUUGGUUUCUCCCAAGUCAGGGAGGAAUAUUAUUGACUGUAAGUGGGUGUACAAAAUUAAACGACACUCUGAUGGCACUUUAGAUAGAUAUAAAGCUAGGCUAGUUGCUAAAGGUUUCAAGCAACGCUAUGGCAUUGAUUAUGAGGACACGUUUAGUCCAGUUGUUAAAGCUGCCACCAUUAUACUUGUUUUGUCUAUUGCUGUCACCAGGGGAAACGCGCUACUGCUACAAAAUAGCUGUAGCGCCGUAGCAGUAGAGCUGGUGCCCGCGCUACUGGUAGCAAAAAAACCAGCGCACCUUGUUCUCUCCAUGAGCUGAUCCCCACCAGAAGUUAGAGGAGAUAGAGGUCAGGUUCCGACACAUUUUCUUGAAUAGUUGAAAACAACUCAUGGUGAACGUCGGUGUCGCUUGCAGCCCUGAUUUCGCUAGUACUUCCUUCGCCGCCUUUGACAGACCUUGCCCUUUCCAUCCCAACACUUUACCCUUAGAACUCUCUCUGACAUACUUAAAAGUGCCAUGCUUAGAUCUACCCACCGCCGUCGGUAGGCCAAGAUAUUUCUCGCUAAGCGCCUCAGAGUUGAUGCCAAUGACACCUUUUAAAAUGUUCUUAUUAUCCUUCGAGCAGCCCUUACCAAAGAAAAUGGAUGACUUCUGGAGGUUUACCCUCUCACUAGAUGCAUGCUCAUACACUUGUAACAUAUUCCUCAGCUCCUCCAGGUUUCCUUGGGACCCCUCCAGAAAGACGAUGCUGUCAUCGGCGAAUAAGAGGUGAGUCACAUGGGGGCCAGUGCCGCCAAAUGAAACCCCGCUGAUCCACUUUUCCUGCUGAGCUCUCUUAAGAAGGGCAGAAAAUCCUUCAACACAAAGCAAAAACAAGUAUGGAGAUAACGGAUCCCCCUGCCUGAGGCCCCGGGAGGGUAGGAAUCUCAGAAAGCCCACCAUUAAGCUUAACGGAGAAUCUGGCUGUUCGGACAAAACGCAUAACCAUGUCCACCCAAAGUUGAGCAAAGCCAAGGCGAUGCAUGACUUGCUCCAAGAAGGUCCAUUCAACACGGUCAUACGCCUUCAUCAUGUCAAGUUUAACAGCACAAAGAGGCUUCUUCCUUUUGCGUUUACGGAUAGCAUGCACACACUCGUAAGCCACCAAGAUGUUAUCAGUAAUGAGCCUCCCCGGUAGAAAAGCACUUUGUUCCUCGGAGAUCAUCACCGGGAGAAAGCACUUGAGUCUAUUAGCAAGUACCUUGGCUGCCACCUUAUAUAGAACGUUGCAAAGGUUGAUAGGACGAAACUGAGUUAGCAGCUCCGGGGAGUUUACCUUAGGUAUCAUGACCAAGACAGUGUCAUUGAAGGAAUCCAGGGUCGCCCCACCAGCAAGAAAAUCAUGAACAGCCGCACACACAUCAAUCUUCAAGAGAAACCAGUGUCUCUGGUAGAAUAGCGCGGGCAGGCCGUCCGGCCCUGGGGCUUUCGUCGCCCCCAUUUGAAACAAAGCCUGUUCAAUCUCCUCAUCAGAGAUGGCUGCAGUUAGGUUCCCAUUCAUGUCACUGGUAACCACCUCGUCCAUGAGCUCAAGCACUCUGUCAGCCCCAGCCGAGCCCUCCGAAGUGAAGAGAGUGGCAUAAAAUGACGCCGCCAUGGACCGCAUCUCCUCAUCGGUGGUGCAUUUGCUUCCUUCUGCUCGCCGAAGGGCAUGGAGCGUGUUUUUCCUUCUCCGAUGACUGGCCCUAUUCUGAAAGUAUCUUGUGUUCUGAUCCCCCUCUCUCAACCAUCCAAUUCUUGAUCUUUGCUUGUACAUAAUCUCCUCCCUCUUGUACAACUCGCCCAGCUGACCCUCUAGGUCUCGGGCCUCCAGUGAGACGCCAGACACUAGCGCACGUUGCCGCGCAUGUUCAAGCUCCAGCUUGAGCUUCUUGAUCUGACUCCAGGGACUCCAAAUGCUUUAAAUUACCGAUCUGAUUUGGGAUUUUUCCUGUCAACUGAAUGCUUGAUAUAUUCAAAUUGGUGAGGGCAAUCAGUGAACUUAUCUCCUCUGGGAUUUGUCCUGUUAAAUUGUUACUGGACAAAUCAAGAUUGACCAAUAGCUUGUAGAUUUGGAAGCUAUAGUCACGCUUUUGGUCUUUCGUGAUUACUUGAAUGCUCUCUUCAAAGUGUAAUCCUAUGUAGUGUCCUUGGAUAUUAUGGUCAUCAUUCCCUUCAAGUUUGAGAGUGACCAUGGUAUGCUUCAUGUUAUUAUUUUUGCCUAAUAUGUCCAACUAAUGAAGACGGGCAAGGGAAGUGAGAUUGUCCAGAAUAUGGCCACUGAACAUAUUUGAUCUCAACCUCAAGAUUUGCAGUAGGGGCAUUUUCUCGGGUAAGCACAUUGGUAAUCCUCCAGAGAAACUAUUGUAUGAAAGAUUCAGGAAUUUUAAUUGUGAUGCACUUUGAAGAAUUUUGGGGAAUUUACGGAGAGAUCAUUGUUGUUCCAGGCUAGACUGAGCAUUUGGGAGCCAAACUGAUUUGCAGAGUUUGCACCAAACUCCUUGAAGCAUUGCAUAACAUCUCCUGUGAACUUGUUUCCUGAUAGGUCCAACCGUCUCAGACUAGCCAAUCGGCAUAAAGAUGAUGGUAUCAUGCCUCCAAUCUGAUUAUUUGCAAGCAACAACUCUUCUAGAAAUGGAGCUUUCAGGUGUGAAGACAAUGCCCCUAAGAAAGAGUUUGAUGAUAGGUUCAAGCGGACUAUACUUAUUGGGAGCAAUGGGACUUGACCUGUAAGGUUGUUCGACCCGAGAUAUAUAUGGUCAGCUGCCAUGUGUUGUAAAUUUUCUGGUAAUGAGCCAUGCAACUUGUUUCCCGAUGCAUGCAAGAAUGAAGCUCGGGAAAAUGUCACCUAGAACCAAUCAGGCAUAACAUCAUCCAGAUUUGCAUUUCCGAGGACAAGAACAUCAAUGCCAGUUUUCCAUUUGAGCCACUCUGGAAAAUGAGGUCCAAGAUGGCAUGCCGGGAAACCUGCGACCUUCAAUCUGAAUGGAGGAACCCACUUUUGGUUCAUAGUUAAUUUCAAAGAGUUGUAUGACAAGUCUAGAUACUCUAAAUUCAAUAGUCCUGCAAAAUCUUCCUCUGUGAGCACAUUGUUUAAUUUAUUAUAGCUGAGGUCCAAAUACUUUAAAUUGUCCAAACUUGUAGAAUGCCUUUUCAAGAGCACGUCGUUGAAGUUGUUGUGCCCGAGGUCCAAAAACCUCAAAUUACCUAAACUUGCAAAAUGUCCCUUGAAGAGCACACAGCUGAAGUUAUUGUAGCUGAGGCGCAAACUCUCUAAAUUACCUAAACUUGUGAAAUGAUCCUUCAAGAGCACACCAUUGAAGUUAUUGUAUCCUAGGUCCAGUUCAUUCAAACUACCAAGUGCUCCAACUCGGGUAGAGGGCUAGUCAUCAUGUUUCCAAAUGCGCGGAGAACACUCAGAUUGGUCAUGUUCCCAAUCCAAGCGGGCAAAUUUCCGGUCAUAUUUGUUUCCACUACCGACAACUCUUGCAAUGUAUUCCUUGAGCACCUUGGCAAUCGAUCCAUGAACUCAUUGAUGUUUCAAUACUUUCAAGUUGCACAGGUCUUCUAUGUUUCUUGGUAGCAAACCCUCAAUAUUGUUCCACCUCAAGUAUAUGACCUGGAGGGACUUCAUGUUUCUCAAUUCACUGGGAAUGGACCCAUUCCAGCCACAGUCUGAGUGGUAGAGCUUCUUGAGACUUGUAAGGUUCCAGAACCAGUUCUCAUUGAGUGAUGUAUAGAGGUUGUUACUAGACAUAUCAAGGACCUCGAGAUGUGUGAGGUCGGACUUGGAAUGUAAAUUACUAGCAGUCACAGUACUAUUAAGGCCACAUUCGUGCAAGCAAAUCACUUUAAGAGAAGGGAGCAUGUUAACCGUGUGAACCCAAUCCCUCACAAAACUAAGAUCCACAAAGCUCAUGUCAAGAUGACUCAACAAAGAGAGGCGUGGCAACCAUGCAAGAUCCACUGCUCGAAGACCAUCAUAAUUACCACUAACAUCGAGAUAUUGCAACUUGGAGAGAUUCCCAAGUUGGGAAGGUAUCGUCCCAGUGAAAUAUGCCAAUGAAAAGUUGAGAUACCUUAAUUUGCCGAGGGAACCCAUGAAAACAGGUAUGCUUGUGCCGGUGAAGUCAUUAUGGCUCAGAUCAAGAUACCUUAGGUGUUGCAAAGUAGCCAAAGAGGAGCUCAUCUCUCCUGCCGACAAGCUCAAUGAUCUGCUCAUGUUCGGAUAGCCACCAGUAUCCAUGUCGAUGUUGCGGAGGUUGAGUUUGAUUAUAUGGCCAGUUCGAUUGCUGCAUCGAACACCCUUCCAUUGACAACAGUUGUUGCCACGGCGCCAUGACGAGAGAUGGCCAGCAGGGUCGAAGAGGCUCGCCUUGAAGGACAGGAGCGCAUCUCGCUCACUGCUAAGGCAAGCCUCUGAUUCACUCGCUUGACCAUGGGAAGUGGAUGCUGUUUGGGAGAUGAGUAGGCAAAGGAGUAGUGCUUUUGCUCGAAGGAGGUGCAUAAGCUUAGUCAUAUUGGCCGGAAAUGGCAGACGGGGAAGACAGUGGAGCGAGCGUCUUAUCUCCGUUCCACAACAAGCUACUUUAAGCUAGUCUUUCCAUGUGUACUUUUCGUAUGCUCAAGUUAAGUUAUGGCAAGAAUUCUACCCUGCAGAGGACGGCAGACCAGGUUGUGGCUGGAAUUUCUAUUCAUGUUUCGCUCAGUAUUUGUGGCCGGAGACUUGACGCCUCAGUCCACGUCAUGGUCUUGCAACGUAUACAUACUUUUCUUCUAUGGGUGCUAAAAACCCAUUCAGAGGAGACUCCAUGGAGCCCUUUAAAAAAAAUCAAAAGCAAAAAAAUUCAAAGAUAGGAGUAACAUUUUAUCAGACUCCAUCAACUCAAACCAAACCCAUACAGUUGGCAGAAGAAGAUAAAUCUAACCCUCCUUCUUUUUAGUGGGAAAAAAAAUCUAACCCCCAUUUUUUUUUUGAGAAAUAAAAAUCUAAGCCUCCUGAUCCGAACGACUGAGCGCAAGCAUUCAAGCAUUCAAGGGAGUAGGCCCCUGCCAAAGGGCACAGGCGAGCUCAUCCAUAGGAGUGCAAGCAUUCAAGGGAGUUGGCCCCAGACACACAGGGAAUUCAUUUUGGCACAUGGGAGUAUAUACUCCUGCCAUCGGUAUUUUUUUUUCCAAAUCAGCCACUCUGUUGUAUACUACUUCCUCCGUCACGUAAUAUAAGAGCAUUUUCAGACAAGGGAAGACAAGAGAAGAUUUAGGACUACAUUAUAUAAGAGAUUCAGAGGUAUGUUUCGAACGAUACAUGUUAGGAAUAUAUAGGAUCAAUAUGCAUAUUUGAUCGUUGAAGCUCGCUUUCGGACUAGGAGUUGCCUUGCCGCUAGCACAUGUGCCCAGUUGUUUGGAAUUGACUGGUAGUGUUCUUGUGUGCUUGUUGUGGAGAGGGCUGAGCCAUAGGCUGGGCACUCUGAAUUCGAAGUCGCUUUGAUCGCGAGGUGAUAAUGACAGCCGUUGUUCGGUGUCUUGUGUGAGUGUUCUGGGUAGCCAGGCGGGGCCAUGUGUCGGCUUGUUAUGGCGACUUUGUCCUGUUUUCUUAAUUAGCUGGGCAAUUCUUUUUUUAAUUAUUAUGAUAUGAGGCAAAACAUUACCUCCGUUAAAAAAAAUCAAUCGGGGAUUCCAUUCAAAGGGAACCGCUCGUAAAUAUUAAUUAAAUUGAUUAAGAGUAAUGCUAGACUCACGGGCAGUCUACGGAGGAUUUACAGGGUGGUUAAAGCUAAUUAGCUGGAUAUAGAUAAGUUAGGCGGGCCCACCUCUGAAAAUCAAGGAGGUCGUACAGAUCUCUCGCUGAAGCAUUGGAGUAAUUGGGCCAGCGCACUAGUGAUAUUUUUAAAAAAUUGAGUAAAAAGGAAGCGCCUCGGCGAUCGAACCUGGGAACUCAUGGUUGCUUUGCUUCGUUACCCUGAUAGCUAUUUUACACUGGUUUUGCAUGUUUUUUUCAUCGGGUUUUCUUCAUUUCUUUUUCCCUCCUUUUACAGUUCUUUCUCUCUUCUUCAUUUUUAUUCGAUCUUCUCUGGUUUUUUGCUUUUUCCUUUCCUUUUUUUGUUUGGUUUUGUUAUAUCUUCUUCGUUUCUUUGUUUUUUCUUUUCGCUUUUCAAUGUUCCUUUCAUUGUUUUUAUCAGUCUUUCCACUUUUUUGCAUUUGUUUGUUUGUUUGUAUUUAUUUUUCAUUUUCCUUUUUCUUUGGUUUAUUUUGUUUCUCUUUCGAGUGUUGGAUGCUCGGUUUGGGAGAAGCCCAGUUGAGCAGCUAACGAACCCGUCUAUUCUCUUGCGACCCCUUUGUCCUUCAUAUAAUAAACGGUCUAUUUUAUUACAUGCUUAUGUGAAAACUAAAUUUGGUUGGGGAGGGGGGGGCAUUGGACCCCUUUGUCCUUCAAAUAAUAAACCUGAGCCUGGAUGCCUUGCUCUCUGCUGCCACCAGCAUGCCUUGGCACGAUCGAGGCACGCUUCCGCGGAUUCACCUGGGGCAAAAUAAAGCACCGCUACUCCAUCUUUGGCACUGGUAGUAACAUCCCCUAGGUAGUGGAACGAGAAACACUUCGACGGUUAAGAGCGGAUCUAGGGAGACGGAGUUGUUUUCAAGGUGGAUUUCGAGAAAGCAUACGACAAAGUCAAAUGGCCUUUCCUUCAGCAGGCCUUACGCAUGAAGGGUUUUGAUGAAGCUUGGCGACGCCAGGUUCAAUCCUUCACGCAAAAAGGGAGUGUUGGAAUUAAAGUGAAUGAUGACAUUGGUCAUUAUUUCCAGAAACACAAGGGUCUGAGACAAGGUGAUCCAAUGUCUCCUAUUUUGUUCAACAUUGUGGUUGACAUGUUGGCAAUUCUGAUAGGAAGGGCCAAGGAGGCUGGUCAGGUGGGUGAUUGGUGCCUCAUCUGGUUGAUGGAGGUGUGUCAAUCCUGCAGUACGCUGAUGAUACAAUCAUCUUUAUGGAGCACGACUUGGCGAAAGCGAGAAAUAUGAAGCUGGUGUUAUGCUUAUUUGAACAAUUGACCGGACUGAAAAUCAAUUUUCAUAAAAGCGACUUGUUCUGCUUUGGUAGAGCCAAUGCGGAACAAGAGGCUUAUAGGCAAUUGUUUGGAUGCGAAUUGGGGGCGUUACCUUUCACUUACUUAGGUAUACCCAUUCACCAUCGUAAGCUGACGAGCAGAGAAUGGAAGAGCAUUGAAGACCGGUUUGAGAAGAAACUAAGUUGCUGGAAGGGCAAACUCAUGUCGUAUGGAGGCCGACUAAUACUUAUUAAUUCGGUGCUCACGAGUAUGCCCAUGUUUCUCUUAUCUUUUUUUGAAGUCCCAGUUGGUGUUAGGAAAAGACUGGACUUCUAUCGAUCCCGGUUCUUCUGGCAAAGUGAUGAAACAAAGAGAAAAUACCGAUUAGCCAAAUGGGAUAUCAUCUGUCGACCAAAGGACCAGGGGGGCCUUGGUAUUGAGAAUCUUGAAGUAAAGAACAGAUGUCUUCUCAGCAAGUGGCUGUAUAAACUUUCAGUUCAAACCGAGGCCACAUGGGCGCAGAUUCUUCGAAGUAAGUAUCUGCAGUCCAAGACGUUGUCCCAGGUGACAGUGAGACCCACAGACUCACCGUUUUGGAAGGGGCUUAUGAGAGUUAAAGCUGCCUUCUUUAAUAGAACUAAGUUUAUAGUUGGUAAUGGCAACACCGAAAGGAUACUUGGCUUGGUGAAACGUUGUUGGCGCUUCAGUAUCCGUCCCUGUAUCGUAUUACUCAACGACGUGAUGCUCUAGUUGCCACGAUUUUGCAGUCCAUUCCCCUUUAUAUUUAGUUCAGGGGGGCGCUUGUGGGCGACCGGUGGGAAGCAUGGCUUCACUUGAUGAGUAGACUGAUGGAGGUUCAGCUAUCUCACCAACCCGAUAAGUUGUGUUGGAAGCUUACUAGGUCUGGUGAGUUCUCUGUCCAGUCGAUGUCAUUAACUCAAGUGUUAUACCUAGUUCCAAAGAGGUUUGGAAAGUCAAAGUUCCUUUAAAAAUUAAAGUGUUUAUGUGGUUCGUGCAUAAACAAGUCAUUCUAAUAAAUAAUAAUUUGAUUAAACGCAACUGGACAAGAUCUACUAGGUGUAGUUUUUGUGAUCGGGACGAAAACAUCAAGCACCUCUUCUUUGACUGCCAUUUGGCAAAGGUUUUGUGGCACACGGUGCAUAUUGCCUUUAACAUUACUCCUCUGAAUUCGGUCAGUGCAUUAUUUGGAAUGUGGCUUCUUGGGAUAGAGUCCAAAACAGCCAGACACAUUCGUGUAGGAGUAUGUGCUUUGUUGUGGGCAAUUUGGAAUUGCAGAAAUGAUUUGACCUUCAACAGAAAAACAAAUAUUCAUUUUUCUGCAGGUUUUAUUCCGAGCUACUGCGCUGAUCCUUAUGUGGUCCUUACUCACUCCGAUGGAGGCCAGGAAGCGUUUGGUUACUGGAUCUGUCCGGUGGGAGAUGGUAGCACGGGAUAUCUUCAACCGGUUUGGAUGACGGUCAUGUAAUAGGAUAGGCAAUUAGUUUACCAAUCUUUGUUUUGCCGGCCGAUUGUGGCUUUUGGGCCUUGUGUUUCUGGCCCUUGUGGCUCUUUGUGAGCUCGCCGUUAUUUUGCUUUCAGACGUGACGACCUUGUUGAACAACUUUUAUUUAUAUAUUUAUGUGGCCGUAUGCAUUGUUCUGAUGCAGAGGCCGGGGAGACCCCCUUUUCGAAAAAAAAAAGCUAGCUAGGGAGAUCAUAUACUAGAUCAUUUUGGUAAUUAUUUUUCCUCUGCUACUAGUUGUGCUUCAAGUCGUAGUUCUCUUGUUAUGUCGCUGGAUACCAUUAUAUCCUUGGGUGAUACAUUAAACUAGCUAGAAAUAAACUAAGCUGGCCGAUGCUUGCACCUGUUAGCAGCACGCUAAGGAAACGAUUCAUUCAUUCGGAUUCGGUCGUAGCAGCUGUUAGGAGUGAAAUUCAGAGAAGAGCAGAGCAGAAGUGGGGAGUAUCAUUUACUAGUCAAGGGUCAACAUAUACACCUGGAUUGAAGAGAAGGCACAAACUGCAGAGUGAUUUCAGAGGCAGCUGGUGAACUGGUGCCUCUCAGGAACUGAAACUCUGAAGACUGAAAUAUCUGAAGAAAUCGGGACACACUUUUGAUCACUUUUAUAAUCUCGGCCCUUCUCCUCCUGCUAGCUGGAGGGGAUCUGCUCUGCUCUGAACGACGACGACCAAAGAGGUUAUCAGGAGAAGAAGAGCAUGGCAGUCAGCACUCUUGCUAGUUUGCUUGGAUUCAGUUUUCUUCACCUUGUUUCGAUGGCCUUGUUCUCUGUGGAGAAUGGUCAAGGCAUAUAUAUAUAUAUAUAUAUAUAUAUAUAUAUAUAUAUAUAUAUAUAUGCCUGUUCCAUCACUAUGCAUGGAUAAUCUCUGGUAUUAGUGCGAGCUUCUUUUUUUUCCGGUAAGGGGGUUUGCCCUGUUGUGAUGGUUGGAUCAUGUGGAUGUGGACUGAAUCUAUGUUCAGUUUACACCAAAUGGAACUGGAUUCAGAAUGGGGGAAAAAGAAAAACGCCGCCUCUGAGGUCUGAACCGUGCAAUUUUAUUAUUGUGGUGCCACAACAGCGGCGUCGACCUUGUCCUCGUCGAUCUGACGACCCCCCUCAUCACGUCCUUCCGUUGCCGAUGGUCCUGCGACUGAAUUCACUAUUAAAAAAGAGAGAGAGAGAGAGAGCAGAGUUGAAGUUGCAGUGGCAAAAUCAAUCAGCUGGGAUUCAGUUGAUUAAUCUAACGAUCCUACAAGCACAACUACAAGUAGUGGGUCCAAAUUGGGACAAGCGCUCUGUCAUCCCACUAAAACAUGUCUAAAUACAUCCGCAAAGAUGUCUGUACACUCUAAAACAUGUCUACAUACAUCCGGAUGUUGUAGCUUAUUUAAAAUGUCUGAAAAGACUUAUAUUUAGGAACGGAGGGAGUACAUGGGAAGUACAAAAAAAAAAAUCUUAAUAAGGUAAGCCCAGGUGCAAGAUAAGCUUUUUCUUUACAGGCAUGAUUAAGCUUUUUUUGGUUAUGACUCCUGCAUGGAUGACAAUGCUUUCUGAGCUAAUAAAUCUGGUUUAUGUGCAGGCACGUUGAUAGAACUUUGGCUGACAACGUGACUUUAUUGGUAUGCCCAGGUUACAUCCAUGGAACUGGAAUCAGAAAAAAAAAAGACAACAUCAUUUUUUUAGGCUAAAAAAAGAGAGAGAAAAGAGAACAGCUUUUUUUUAAGCUCCGAGGCGACCACACCAGCGACGGCGACCGAGGCCCCCAUUCCCCACAGCAAAGGAGCUCGCGGAGCAUUGCAACAACGGCGGCGAAGCACGCAUGGCAAUUAAUCUUUUGUCUUGAUUUUGGUUGCAUUCUAUCGAUUCGAUACAUAAUUCUUUUGUUAUCUUAUUUAUGAUGGUAUCAACGCAAAGGGUAGGAUUUUUUUUCUUUUUUUUUCUUUUUCGAAAAGGGGGACUCCCCGGCCUCUGCAUCAGAACGAUGCAUAUGGCCACAUUUAUUAAUAAAUAAAGAGGUUCAACAACUGCAGACGCUAGUCCCCACCUUGCACCCGCCAUUUGAUCAGUUCAUGCCGACAGAUGGUUUUGAAUGAAUUAAUAACUAACACUAGUUCCUGCCUGCCCCUAGGUAAUAAACUAGACCUAUGUGGAAGAUCUGAGGGAAAUUUCACUGCAUCUCUCACCAGCUAUGUGCGUUACCUAAUUAGUCCCUGAUCCGUCACAUAAUGUAAGACAUUUUUUGAUACUACAACAGGUGCCAACCUAACUAUGAUGUAAAUUGUUAUAUAUUCAAACAAGGUAAUGUUAUUUCCUGCCUGCCCCAAAGGUAGAGUAAUAAACUAGACUUAUCUAAUCUCAAGGAAAGUACCCAGCAUAUCUCAUCAGCUAGUUUGCCUACCUAAUUAUGAUGUAAAUGUUUAUGUAUUCAAACAAGACUUGCAAGCUAGACGAGCGCAAGUCAUUCUAGUUAACAAGGCAGUAGUUGCAUCAAAUAUUAAUUGAUUUGUCAUGUAGCCUAAGAGCUAGCUAGACAACAUGCCACAUAUCGAUGGAGGACUUAAUCAAUCCUUGCCAGUUUUCACUGAAUCUGCAUCACGGUUCAUUGAAUCUGCACAACUAGUCGCGGGCAGGCUGGCCGGCAUAAACAACUCAAAACGCACUGGCCCAAUACUCAUAUGAGUUGUUUCGAGUUGAGUUGCUCCUAUUAUCCAGCUCGAUCCGACUGUGACUGCGAAUACCAAAAUUUAGCCAACAUCCACCAUCAAAUAAAGUAGACCUUGUUGAUUUAAGACACUUGGGGGUUGAGUUGCUAGCUAUCAUCCAGCUCGGUCUGACUGUGAUGGCGAAUACUAAAAUUAAGCCAUCAUGCAUCAUCAAAGUAGACUUUGUUUUGCGGGCAUACCUCUCCAAACAGUCUCCAUUAUUGGGAAUGAUAAUAAUGAAUCGGUCGCCUUCAGACAACAGCUACCUAUUGACAGAUGUGUCUGACAAUUACAUUGUGCCUACAACGAGCCUAAGCAACUAGUGCCAGUUGACCUGAACGAGUCAUGCCAACCAGGGCAACAACUAAUAGUUCAAAAGAUUAAGCAAGAUCAGCAAGCUGAUAACCCAUGUUGUGUAGUAAUUAAUUAAUUAGCUCUGUCAAACGCAGCUGUCUGCUAGUGUUAUUAUCUUCAAGUUGUUGACAGUGACGAGAUGUGAUGGCAAUAUGUUUGAUCAUAUCUUCCGCUGAUCCUCAUCUCAGUUUCAUUGUGCUGACAUAUAGCCAUCACAUAGAUGUUGAGAUAAUAACAAUAUGUUUGAUCAUAGUAUUUACAGUAUGAUCUCUAGACAUAUUUUUACACGUGAAAUGCCCAUGGAUAGUCGAAGGCAUCAUGAACAAUCUCCUGCUCGAGGAGGUUCCGCGGCAUCCAACGUUACUUGAGAUCCUCAUCAGGGUUUGAAGAAUGCUUGACGCCUAGGGUGCUGUUUCUUAACACAGAUAUAUGGUGCCAUCACCGUUCCUUUUUUGUUUCUCAUUGCGUCCCUGCUGAAAUUUCUGAGGUAUGAUCAUUUCUUCAUCAAUGAUUAGUUAAACUUAGUAGCAAAUUUAUAGCGUGCACGGCACGCGAGAUGCCUGAUCCGGUGACGCGCUGGGCGGAGGCAGCUGGGUGCUCUGUGUGAUGGAUCAGCGGAAAAUUGAUUACAAUCUCCGAAAUAUAGAGUGUGUCGGUGCAUCUUCAUCCAUCUCGAUUAACUUCUAGAAACUGCCAGACCCAAUUGGAUCCUUAUAACCACAUUUAUUCUGCCAUAGUUCUACCGCCAUCCCUGCAUCCCGGUUAUUAACAUCAGUUUAAGUAAAUUUAUUUGAUUAGUUUGUUGUGAUGCCCGAUAACAUCCAGUGCAUGUCAGCUCAAGACCCUGGGUGUAGUCGCGCAUGCAAUCUGUUGAAUCUUUGCUUGACCUGAUAUUGCUCCUGCAAUGCCGAUUUCGAACUCUGUUUAUGUAAACAAGAGUAUGCGCUUGAUGGCUCAUGAAUUUGUAAUUUAAAAGUUGUUGAUUCUGAACAAUUAUUUAUGUGGAUUUUUGGUUCACAUGAGUUGGGUUACAUUUAUAGUACAUCAGUUGGGUUACAUUUAUAGUACAUCAGUUUAUAUGAAGUAUGUGCUCAAAGUUUCAGUUUAUUUUGCUUGUUGAGUUGUACAUGGUUCAUCUUGCCAGCCCUCCUUUUGUUCCAAGCUGCAUGUAGAUAUGGAAAGUUAAACUAAUGGCUAAAAAGAUUAAACAAGAUCAGCAACAUGACAUCAGGCCAUGUUUUUUUAUGGUAAUAUGUGUCUCAUUCAUAUCAUAAAGAUUAAAGUACAAGUCACGGGAGGACCGACAUGACAAAAUUGAAAAGAUAGCAGAUGUUAUUUCAUCAUAAUACGUGUCUCAUUCAAUGCAGCUGUCUGCUACUGUUAUUACUCCAUUCAAUGCCCCUCGUAAUCUCACGCCUUAAUCAUUCUUGUCCAUUUCCACCCAGCUGCGCCGUCGCCUUUGGCCUUUCCACACAGAGGCGGCAACACAGCGAAGGUGGAGCUAAACUGCUGCUCUCGGUGCCGUCACCCUGGAGGGGUUGCUAAGCUGCUGCUCCCGGAGGCGACGCGUCGGACGAGGAGCUGAGCUUCCACUCCUGGAGGCGGCACGUAGGAUCGAACACAUAGUCUCCGCUGAUCGUCGGAAAUCGUCCAUCCGUCUUGGAGGUUGGUUACGCAAUUCAAGUGUUAUUUGUCUCUCUUUACAGCUAUCUAGCUAAGUUUCCUGCUCACAUUUAACAUUACCUUCAUUAUUAUUAUACAAUAAAAAUAGCCAGCAACAAUGGCGAUGGUGCUGGAUGCAUUCGCGUCCUACCUGGUGGACAUGCUCACGCAGGUGGCAGCAGAUGAGGUAGGGGCGAUGCUCGGUGUCUCGGGUGAGAUCAACAAGAUGGGCGACAAGCUCCUAGACCUCAAAAACUUCCUGGCCGACGCCGACAGGAGGAAAAUCACCGACAAGACCGUCCAAGAGUGGGUGGGGCAGCUCAAGCAUGCCAUGUACGAAGCUACUGAUAUCCUCGACCUCUGCCAGCUCAAGGCCAUGGAGAGUGGAUCAUCCUCGAUAGAUGCAGGGUGUUGCAAUCCCUUGCUCUUCUGUAUGCGGAACCCCUUCCAUGCUCAUGAGAUCAGCAUCCGCGUCAAGGCACUCAACCAGAGGCUCGACGCCAUCAAGCAACGAAGCGCCACUUUUGGCUUCAUCAAUCUCAUGUCCUAUGAGGAUCGUAGUGGCAAUGCCCUUGCCACGCACUAUGGUAAUCCAAGUCGGGAGACGGUAGGGGACUUUGACCGGUCGGCUUUGGUUGGGGACAAAAUCGAAGAUGACACAAGAGCGUUGGUGACCCAUAUCAUGCAGACAGGAAAGGAGGUCAACGAUGGCAUCAUGGUGGUCGCCAUUGUAGGUGUCGGCGGGAUUGGCAAGACCACACUCGCUCAGAAGAUCUUCAAUGAUGAGGCAAUCGAAGGUGAGUUUAGCAAAAAGAUAUGGUUGAGCGUCAACCAAAACUUCAAUGAGGUUGAGCUGCUGAGAAGAGCCAUCAUCGAAGCCGGAGGAGACGCCCAACUAGCUGGAAAUGCAAAGGCCACACUUCACCGAAGCCUCAAGGAUGCCUUGAUUGGCCACAAGACCUUGUUGGUAAUGGAUGAUGUGUGGGACCAUGUAGCAUGGGAGGGUGUGCUCAAAGUUCCAUUCAAUGUUGCUGCUUCAGGCAGCCGAGUCAUUGUCACCACUAGGGAUGAAGGUGUUGCUCGAGGGAUGAUAGCUAGACGGCCCUACCACCAAGUCGACACAUUAUUGCCUGGAGAUGCUUGGUCAUUGCUCAAGAAGCAGGUGUGUACUUGAUUAAGCUACUAAUCUCUGCCUUGAGUCAAUAAUCAUUGAAGUUAAUUAAAUACAAUGUAGUUACUUAAGAGAAGACUUGUAUGUACUAUUAGCUCUUGGAAGGUAAGAGGUUGUCGGUAAUUUUGUAGGGCUAAUAUUACUUUGCUAGUGUCAGUAAGGCAUGCAUGGUGCUAAACAAGGAAAUGUACCAAAGCACCAAUUGGGCUUUCCGCAUUUGAUUUAUGCCAACUUGACACUUGUUCAGACACAUUAGGUUUUGUUUAGCCGAGCUUGAGUAAUAAUUAGACAUUCGGAUAAUUAUAUCUAUAUCGUUUUUACCAGUGAAGACAUGGGUCCUAUAUUUAGGUAGCAACUAAGUUUUUGCCAAUAUCUUGUCUCAUUUUCGAAUUUACUGAUGAAAGAUCUAAGUGCUUAGCUACUCAACAGUGUCAUAGAAUAUAAAAUAAAUGAAAAUUUAUUUUAAGAUGGUAAAAAUAACAAUUUCGGUGAACCUCUGCUAAUAUGACAAAAUUAUAUAUAAACAAAAAGUAACUAUACUAGAUGUUGGUUGUAGUUCUGCUAGAAAAUGUGCACACAAAUUUAUUCAUUAAUGUAUUAUGUAUUUCAGGCGAUUGAGGGAUAAGAUAAUUUCACAAGACCGUAAAAUACGAAAACCAAUAAAAUAAUAUAUAAUUCGGCUAAAUCUAGAGUACAACUUUGUAUAACAGCGAUGACAGAGUAGUGCAAAAGUAUUUUCUAGCAAUACGCUCGAGUUUGUAUGUUAAGUAUUUACCGUCAAUUCUACCUUGUACUGUACGUUCGCAGGUACUCUCAGGUGAGAUAGAUGAAGAGCACAUCAAUACACUAACGGAUAUUGGAUUGGAAAUUAUACAAAUAUGUGGUUGUUUACCACUUGCUGUUAAAGUAAUGGGAGGUCUCUUGCGUGAAAGAGGGGGGCUCCGUCGUGAAUGGGAGCAGGUUUUGGAUGAUUCCAAAUGGUCAGUAACUAAAAUGCCCCAAGAGCUCAACCACACAGUAUACUUAAGUUAUGAAUAUAUGCCGCCUUAUUUGAAGCAGUGCUUUCUAUACUACUCACUUCUUCCUAAAAGUAAAGUUUUUCAUAUGGAUGAAGUCAUUGCGAUGUGGAUGAGUGAAGGAUUUAUUCAUGGAAACUCUAGUGAUUUAGAAGAAUUGGGAAAAAACUACUACAAGGAGUUGAUAUCUAGGAACCUUAUAGAGCUAGAUAAAUCAUAUGCUCAUAUAUGGGUUUGUAGCAUGCAUGAUGUUGUUCGCUCAUUUGCUCAGUAUAUGACUAAAGAUGAAGCGCUCGUAGCUCAAGACGGAGACAAUGAUAUUCUUACAAAACUUGGUUCACAAAAGUUUCUUCGGUUGUCAAUAGAAACUAACCGAUCACAAUCAGGUGAUCUAGAUUGGACAUCUCUGCAGGCGCAACAAUCAGUGAGAACAUUAAUCUCAACUAUUCAGAUCAAGAUGAAGCCUGGUGAUUCAUUGGUUACCUUCUCAAGUCUACGAGUCCUAUAUAUAGAAGCUGCAGAUGUGGCUGCACUGGUUAAAUCAUUGCAUCAACUCAAGCACUUGAGGUAUCUGGCACUAUUAGAGACUCAUAUUUCUGUACUCCCUGGGAACAUUGGCAAGAUGAAACUAUUACAAUUCCUUGACCUUCGUGGAUGCACAAAAUUGGUGAAUCUUCCUGAUAGCAUCGUGAUGCUUAGCCAACUACAAUUUCUUUACAUUCCCAACAUACAUAUGAUACCUAGAGGGUUCCGUGGUCUGACAGACAUAAGGAAACUAAUUGGGUUUCCAGCCCACAUGGAUGGUGAUUGGUGCAGUUUGGACGAGUUGGGGCCUCUUUCCCAACUCAAAAAUCUUUUCUUAAAUAAAUUGGAAAAUGUAUCUGCUGCCUCAUUUGCUGCUAAUGCUAGGCUUGGUAAGAAGAUGCAUCUUAUCGAACUAGACAUUGGUAAAGAUUGUGUUAAAAUUAAGAUGUGAUGUUUUUGCCCCGGCCGUGACACCAGAAACCUCUGACCGACAUGUUUAACCCUUUGCACCGAUGCAAACCAACAUGUGGUUCUGUGGUUGGAUGGUUAGAGGGGCAGUGGUAUCCCUAGCCCAUCAGGGUUCAAGUCCUGGUGCUCGCAUUAUUCAUGGAUUUAUUUCAGGAUUUCUGGCGAGACUUUGUAAAUCUCAAGAUGAUAUGCUGGCUCAGUCUUUUGGAGGUGCUCAUAGGAGUAGGAUGUGCAUGUGUGCACUCAUAGAGGUGAGUGUAUGUGCGUAUGUAUGAACGCUUGCGUCUAUACUGUGUUUAAAAAAUAACCUUUUGCACUGCUGGUUGCUUUUGUUUAGAGACAAACACCGGCGGAUUUCUUUGCAUAUGCUACCACGGGGGGCUAAUUUUCGUGUUUUGACCUUUUUCGAAAAGUUUAGACGGAUCUAACCUCGGUAUGAAUGAAUUUCGAGAUUUGAUCCUUAUUCCCAUCGCCAGGGUCCUCGGCAGUAGGCUAUAAUAGGCUACCGCCAUAGGCCUUGGCGGUAGCUCACUCAUGCACGUCGGCCCGAGUAAACGGCAACCGUCUCCUGCCGUCCACCCUACCGCCAGAGUCCUCGACUGUAGCCUAUGCAACCCUACCGCCAAGGACAAUGGCGGUAGGAGCCGAACAGUUAUAAAUCCGCGGGGGCCGUGGCGCACGGCCCACCCACAGUUAUGAAUCCCCUGCGCCCCCGCCGCGCCGCCCAGCACAGAGAGCAACUCCUCUCUCCCCCUCCACUCCCACCCCUCCCUCCGAUUUUCUUCGUUUCUCCACCGUUCUUGCGGCUCGAAAUGGCUCCGAAACGAGAAAAGUGCGGCCGAUAGCAAAAGAGGACGCCGUCAGUAUCUGCCUGGUUAGUCGAUUUAAUGGCUGCAGAGGAGGAACAAGAACCAGUAGUAGUUGCACCCGGUUUAGGAGAUGGAAACAAGGAACGAGAAGCUCACCAACGACAGACAACCAAUCGAGGGAGCUGAGACGAGAUGGUCCUAUCCAUUGAAUCAACUUGGUAUUAAUCAUGCUUCAAGUCGCAGUUCUUAAUUAGUUCAUUCUUUUGCAAUGGCUCUAAUUAAUGUUACUGUAGGCAUUUUGAUGUCGCUGAGGUGAUGAUGCAGCCUUCUGCUGCUCCUCUUCCUCAGGCCAAGAGCAUCGUAUUCUCAGAAUUCUGCUGCUUGUUUCCCUUCUUCUGACUGGAGCUUCCCAGGGAUCAGUGGAGCGCCCAGUGCAGCAACCCCGGGAUCAGCUGAGGCACGUACGGGUAGUGUUGUGAACCAAACUUUUACCCGGUGGAGAAACUGACUAAUAAUGUUGCUACAUGCUUAUAUCCUUAGUUGCUGUAUUAAAACUGCAGAUUAUUAGUAUCCUUGGUAUGUUGCUGUAAAUUGUAAACUGAACGUUCAACAAAAUACUCCCUCCGUCCGAAAAUACUUGUCUUCAAACUGAAUAAAAGAGGAUGUAUCUAGAUGUAUUUUAGUUCUAGAUACAUCUCUUUUUAUCAAUUUUGAUGACAAGUAUUUCCGGACGGAGGGAGUAUACAAUAGCAGCGAGUCAUGUUUGCUUAUGGUAGGUGUUUUGGAACUAUUGGAUAGUAGCAGCUGUCAGCGCUUAGCGCACUAUGGAUAAGUCAUCGUAAUGCGCCCGCUGUCACUAGCUGGUUCUAGAAGAACAUAGGUGACAGUACAUUUAGAGUCGUUGUGAAAGUUUGAAUGAUUAAGGCAUGCAUAACAGAGUGAUUGACAGUACAUCUAGAGUUUUGUGUAGCAGGAUAUGUUUAUUUUUUGACUCUGAAUAAGUAAUAGAACUACUCAACAUGCUUCAUAUAUUAGCCGGAACAUUUAUGGUCUCUGUUGUUAUGUCUUCCCAUGUAUUUUUAAUGUGUCUACAUGCAUGGUUAUGUUUUGUGGGUCUAGUGCUUCACUGCUGUAGUUUCAAAUCACUUUAUAAGUCCAUUACGAGGUCAAGUUUGUUCUGAUUCUUGAUAAGUAAUUUUUCUUUUUCCAGGCUGAGAUUUUUCCUCAAGUUGCUUGCCUUUAUGGCAUUGCAUCUAUCGCAUGCCUUUAUUUUCGCUUCCAUGUAUGUGACGAAGACAAUUUUUAGUAAGCUUUUGUGAUUGAGAAAACGAUUAAUAAUGUAGCUUCAUCGAGGCGGAGUGUUUGUGAUUUGUAUUCUUUCAGUUGCUUUUCUGUAACCUGAAGCUUUCAUGGGUUGAUGAGUACACAAUACCAUAGAUGUAUGAUGACUAUCCUUGAGUUGGCUGUUGUACAAGUUGUAUGGUUUUGAUAGGUGUCGUGUUUGGGCAGCAUUCAAUUAAAUUGUCAAGUGCGUUUCAGGAUAUGUCAUGGCAAUGUUAAGGCUCAAGAAGAGAAAUAGCAGAUGAGAAGGGCGUCAGGGCUUGUUGGCAUGCAAAUUGCUCAAACCUGGAGCGGGAGGUAAGUUGGCUCAAGCCUGGAGCCCGAUUGUCCGAGCCAGAUUAUAUAUAUAUACCUCCUUGUACGCCUGUUCAAAAUGAAAAAAAAAAUAGAUAAAGUUCAUACUUUGUUCUCAUAGAAUAUCUCUCUAAAGCAUCUAACUAAAACAUACAUUGAAACUAACAUACAACUGGGUAAAACAUUUAAAUGCAAUAACAAAUGCGAUCAUAAUCGCAACUAAGGUAACAAUUGAACCAACAAUAUAGUGAUAUCAAGCCUUUUUUUUCAAUGGCAUAUUUUCUAAUCUUUCUAGUCUUCAAGCGUGUUGCAUCCAUCUGGAUCUUGUGAUCAUCGACGACGUCGGCAACAUGCAACUCAAAUUCCGUCUUCUCCUCCUCAAUUCUUUUCAAUUUUUUCUAAUCUUCAAUUUUUCUAUAUAUACACGAUGCCGCAAAAGGCCCCGGCGCAAACAUCGUCUCCACCUCGGGGCCAACAUAGCCAAAGAAAGCUUCAACAUGGUCUUCAUCGACCAGAGGUUUGAAUUUUCACCCUGUUCAUUAAAUUCACCAUAAAGAUACUAGUCCCUUCAUGCAAAUGUAAUGAUUUGGCAAUCUCUUUCCUGCAUGCAUGCAGAUCGAGCUUGCCCCUUCAGAGAUCUUUUUCAAUUGGUGUGUUUGCUGAAGCGGGUGUCCAAUAUAAUGGCAUGGCAUCCCUCACCAUUACCACAACCGUACGCACACUUUGGAAAACCGCAGAGCACUCCUUUAAGUGUUCUCCGUUAGAAGGAACCGUUACACGACAUGGUCAUGAAUAUAGAGGAAGUGACCUUUGUUUCUCCGUUCUUGGUUAAACAACAAGUUUUCGUAUAUCUAGUCGAUGCUACUACAUAUAGUACGUGUUCAUACAUAUAUACAAUAUAUAACAUCUCUGGCGAUCCCUAACUAGCUAAUAUCUAUCCACCAAGAUCGAGAAGGACACCCAGAUGCUAUUCUCCGUCUGUAGGUAUGACAUGCUCAACAAAGAAUCCCGCGAAAUCCUCUUGAAUUGCUCGUAUGCGAUCAGUUGGUAGGAGUUCGUUCCGCAUCCGCAUGAUCUAAUUGAAAGAAAUAUAUAUAACUCAACACAAUUGAUGGUAAUAAAAAUAAAAUGUGAAUAUUGUUUAUGUACUUCAUAUUUUCGUUCAGAUCUGCCCCUCUCAAAGGUCGUCUGGUGAAUUCACUCGCAAACGUAGUAUCCACAUAAAUUGUUCCUAUCUUCCUGCAUCAAGCAGUACUUUGCGAGAAUAGAGUUCAAUCAAAAUAAUAAUCAAGCAUGAUAAGGGUAUCGAAACUGGAAUGAAUGAGAGGUGCACGGAAAUAUUAUGUAUUUUUGUAAAAAUANNNNNNNNNNNNNNNNNNNNNNNNNNNNNNNNNNNNNNNNNNNNNNNNNNNNNNNNNNNNNNNNNNNNNNNNNNNNNNNNNNNNNNNNNNNNNNNNNNNNNNNNNNNNNNNNNNNNNNNNNNNNNNNNAAUACUAAAUUUGGUUGGGGAAGGGGGGGGGGGGCAAUUGACACCUUUGGCCUUCACUCCAUCAACCGGUCUCCUCCCCAUACCCUUCGUCCAAGCAUUUUGGCUACUGACAACGGCUUCAUUGGCUCCUCCUCUGUAGGACAGAGGUUGCGUGCCGCUGUUGGAGAUGCUCUUACUCCACGAGCUUGAGAAUGAAUGACCCAACUCCACCUAGAGUGAUCAGACCUGUCAAAACAAGCCCAAUAACCCUCAUCCAAAAACGCCGGUCACUAGGUGCCACCUGAGCUGGUCCGCAUCCGGCUAGCGGCUGCACAACGAUGUCCACGUCACCUUCAUCGCCUGACGGAUUGAUGUCCGCACCUGGCUGCACAACGAUGUUCGCAUCCCCUGCUUCGGCUGCUGCUUUCUUGGCCUUCGAGUGGACGCAGAAGCACCACAGGCAGGCCGCAAUGACGGCGAGCAACAAGAGCCCCCCGCCAAUGCCCAUUCCAAUGGCAAAAGUUGUGCAAAGAAGUAAAGCCUGCAAGCAGAGGAAAAUCAAACCAGAGGAGGUGUUGUGAGGAGGAUGCGGCUGAUAAGCUGCAUGUAGCUGUGAACUACACUUUGGAUUGAGGAACCUUGUUCAAGUUAGGGNNNNNNNNNNNNNNNNNNNNNNNNNNNNNNNNNNNNNNNNNNNNNNNNNNNNNNNNNNNNNNNNNNNNNNNNNNNNNNNNNNNNNNNNNNNNNNNNNNNNNNNNNNNNNNNNNNNNNNNNNNNNNNNNNNNNNNNNNNNNNNNNNNNNNNNNNNNNNNNNNNNNNNNNNNNNNNNNNNNNNNNNNNNNNNNNNNNNNNNNNNNNNNNNNNNNNNNNNNNNNNNNNNNNNNCUUUCGUCCGGAAAUACUUGUCGCACAAAUAGAUAAAAUUGGAUGUAUCUAGAACUAAAAUAUGUCUAGAUACAUCCAUUUCCCCGGCGAGUAUUUCCGGACGGAGGGAGUAUAAUAAUAAAUAAAAGAAACGAAAGGGGAAGUGGGGGCAACACACAUUUUCUUAUUCUAACCAAAAAAAAUUUGUACAUAAACAAGUAAUAUUGAUCUCCGCAGGUCACAUGCGCGCUACUUAAUUAGGUUCCGUGAAAGAAAAGAAAAGAAAAUGUGCAUGCAUGCAUGCAUCCAUUCGCGUCCAACAGAAAAGAAAAGUCCAUCCAUUGCCCAGAAUUCUUUUGUAUUCUAUCUAUUUCACCGCAUCAAACAAAAAUUGACAUUGCCAUGAUCAGACUAGAAAGAGGAGCCAAGAGUUCACGUUGCAUGUUUAUAUCAGGUGAAGUUGUUAUAUUGUGUACUCCCUCCGUCCGAAAAUACUUGUCAUCAAAAUGGACAAAAAUGGAUGUAUCUAAAACUAAAAUACAUCUAGAUACAUCCCCUUUUAUUUAUUUUGAUGACAGGUAUUUUCGGACGGAGGGAGUAGUAUCUUAUACUCUUGGCAAUACUAAGCUUGGUUUUGUGAUUGGGAGAACAAUUAUUUAUUAGUGCGGCUGCAGGGAGAGCACGGACUAUUUAAUGAUUUAUACUUGCAGGUUGCAAUCUGAAUGAAGAAUUUUGUAAACAUAACGUGGCAGUUAUGCACAUUCUACCGGGUAACACUCUGCUUGGAGAAUAGAAGAUCUACUAACUAAUUCGGCAUUCACCUCACCUGCAAGGAAGAAAAGGAAAUCCAGAUUCCAGCUGUUGGAUAACCUGUACUCCCUCUAUAAACUAAUAUAAGAAUGUUUAGAUCACUAAAGGGGUUAUCGGGGGUACUUCUUUACUAACAAGGUACUGUACAUUACAAGUACAUCUCUCUACUUCUUUACUAACAGCUGCAUGGGUUCUACGUAAAAAAUAUUUGUGAUUUAUAUCUUUGAGUUGACUUGUACAAUGGAAGAUGCUUAAUAACUGUAUAGUCCCCCCCCGCAGCCCCCCGCGGGCGACCCGGGCGCCCAACCCUAGCCGCCGCCGACCCAACCCCACCUCCUUCCUCUCCUCCCGCCGCCGCCGGCGGGCGCCGCCGGGCAAAGCCCGCGCGGUGCCGGCGGCGGCGGGAUCUCGCCUGCCUUCACCUGGAGUAGGGGCCGCGGGGGGUUCCUUCCUCGGGCGCGGCUGCGGAACUCGGCGGCCGGCGCGUCGGGUGGCGCGUGCUGGUGGGCUCUGAGGCGGCGGCCUCGCUGGUGCGGACGACACUACUCCGACGGCAGGGAGUGCUCGUCGGUGAGGUAGGCCGGAUCCCCUCGGCUGCGCGGGCAGCGAGGUCCCGGUGGGCGCUGGUCAUGGCACGGGGAGGCCCCGGGCUCCCCUCGUCAGAUCGGAGGCGAUCUGGGCCGCUCGUGAUGCAUGACCUCCGGCCGGCCUGGCUCAUGUUGUGGCUGGUUCGGAGGUGGCGGCAAGGUGCUUGGCCGGGGGAAACCUUUGGCCGCCGGUGGCGGUCACGGCGUCGAUGGCGACCCGGACGCCAUUCCCUCCUUGGUGGCGGCGCCGAGGCUAUACCUCCCCUGCCUCCCCCCUUCCCCUACGCCCGGGUGAAAACCCUAGCCCCGGUGGCUAAGCGGCGGCGGCGCCACAGCGUCGUCACCUUCUUGAAGGCGCCGAUUUGGGCCUGGGGAUGCUGGGUGUGCAUGGCGAGUUUGUCUGGUUCCUGGUGGCGGCCCGUCUGAUCUACCGCGUUGCAGCUCCGUGGCUGCGGUGCUUAUCUUCCGGCCGUGUCUCCGAUGGCGACCUCGCCCUUCCUCACCUUGUACUUGCCGUGGUGGAGCGGUACUUCAUCUCACUCAUUGAUGGCGGCGGAGAUCGGCGGCAUGGUGCCGUGGAGGCUCGGCGUCCGAUGCGCGAAGAUGGACUCGCGCAGGAGGAGGUAGCUGUCUGGCGUCAUGGUGACGUCGAUGGCUGAUGUGGCCUUCACAAGGUAGAAGACUCAAUAUCAUCUGAAGACGGACCUGUGGAAGAUGGCGGCGACGAUGCAAGAGUGUGUCUGACCGGAUUGUGCCCCAGACCCGGUAUGUGGCUCGGCUGGGGCUUCCGGCUUUUGAUGUUAGGUUUAGGUGAGUAGUUUGGGUAGGGGCCCAGCUAGCAUCCCUUCAUCAUAUGGAUAAGAGUAGCGGCAUAUGUUGCCAAGAUGGUGGAUUCAGGUAUAUUGUUUGUAAUACUUUGUAAGGUCCUCGAGAAUAAUUAAUAAAGUGGCCGUAUGCAUCUCCCAGAUGCAGAGGCCGGGGGUCAUCCUCCUUUUCUAAAAAAAAAAGUUGCUAAAGAACUGAUGAUUAUUAGUAACCUUGCUAUGUUGCUGUAACUGAAGAUUCAUCAAACAUAAUGGCAGAGUGCUGUAUGUUUAUAUAGGUGCUUUGGCACUAUUGGACAGUAGCAGCUGCCAGUGUUUUGAAAUAAUGAAUUCGUAUUUUAGCCCAUGCUACUGAAUUUUUUUCCGCUGCAACUCACGGACAAGUAGUUGUCGCUUAAAUUGAAGUAUGUAGAUGCAUUUCAGUACUAGAUACAACCGUUUGAGCGAUGAGUAUUAUAGCCCAUGCUACUGAAUUAAACAAGUGUAUAUGCAAGACAAGUGUUGCUGCAUGGAGACAGGCCAUUUGUGGUUUAUAUCCUUCAUUUGCAGUGUUUAUGACUGGUGUUUUUGGCCAAAUUCGAUUGUAGCAGCUGUUAGUGCUAAGCGUGCUCUUGAUAUGUCAUCAUAAUGUGUCUGCUGUCGCUAUUUGGAGAAGAACAGAGUGAUUGACAGUAUCUCUAGAGUGUUUGUGACAGUUCAAAUCAUCAAGGUGUACUGCAUGUUGCAUACAAAGUGAUUGACAGGGAGGAGCAGGGUGCGCCAGUUAGAAGAUGAGGACGCCGAAGCACCCGUUAGCCUGCAGAUUGUUGGGACCUGAAGCUGGAGGUAAAUUCCGCCAAGUGUUUAAUUUGUUAUAGUCAGGUUGCUCUGCUCUCAGUCACUUAGUAGUUUUAUGAAUGUUCUCAUGUUGAUUCCAUCUUCCGUCUGGCUCAGAGGAUGAAGAUAAGGAACACAAAGCAGAGCUAGUUGAUCAGACCAUCCUCACUGCACAAUCUGGUAUCAUUUUUCCUAUUACACAUUAAGUCUCACUGCGGUAAUUAUUACUAUUAGCACGAAUUGUUGUUUCGUGAUCUACUAGCAGCUGAUAUCAAAGUUCAUUCUUUCAUCGUCGAAAUAAAAACCUAGUGUUUUUGAUAUGCCACUGAUAUCAAUGGCAAUCAAUAUUGUUCACUUAUUCAGAAGGCAAUUAAUCUGAUAGACCUAGCCGAUAGCUCAUGGUCUGUUCCUGCACCCUUCUAGCUAAAUGGUAGCUCAUGGUUCUGUGUAGUAGAAUAUGUUUAAAUUUUCUGGGUGGGGGUACAAUUUUUUACUCUGAAUAAGAAACAAAAGUGCUCCACAUCCUGCAUACAUAACCCUGAACAUUUAUGCUCUCUGUUGUUAUGUCUUGCUGUGUACGUUUAAUGCCUGUAUGUACAUGGUUGUGUUUUGGUGGGUCUGGUCCUUCUUGAGACUGGAAUAAGCGACUCUUCGGAAGGCAAGUGUAAGGAUAACUUUUAUUGCACAAGUUAACUUGAGACUGGUACACAAAAAUACUGAAAGAUGUGCUAUCUUGCAGUAUCUGCAACAAGAGUGGAGGACUCCUUUGCGGCUUGAAUGGUCGGUAUUCACUGGACUGGAUUAUAGAUUUGUGGCGGUAAAUUUAUGACUGCCUCUGUUUCUACUUGACAGGGUUUCGGUGUUGGGCUCGGUUUUCAUCAUUCAACUCGUAAACCGAAUUGCUCCGGUCCAGCCCUCCCAUAUGCUAGGCAAAGAGUCCCACAUAACGUUCCAUGGGCCAUAAGAUUCUCAUCCCAGAACAUGGUGCUUUCCUUUGCUUGUCUUCGCAGGUGGAAAUAUGAAUGGGAUGCUUUGCUUCUCUCCACUGUUGGGAGUGAGAUAUGCUUUUGCUAUGCUUUGCUUUGCUUCGCUGGUGGGACUGGGAAUGGGAUGCUUUGCUCCAGCUGCCAACUUUUGCCCCCAUAUCAUCUUAACUGCUGCUGUGUAACUGCUACGGUGGCUUGGCAUCUGUGUAAUUAAUUAACUGUAUGCGGGCAGCGUUGGAUGGCCGCCUCCUGCAUCCGUGUCCGCGGACGGAUGCGGGUCGACAUUGGAGUUGCCCUUAUAUGAUUAACUAAUUAGCUCGGGCCAGCGCAGCUGUUUGUCACUGUCACUAUGAAGUCAUCAAGUGUAGAUAAUGACGAGAUGUGAUGGUGGCAAUGAGCUGCAUCCAUUCACACUAGAAAUGUGUGAUCUGUUUACCGGAUCUAGACAAUAUUGUGAUAAGAAGACAGAGUUAAAAACAUGUUAAGCAGAUUUGCUCUCCAACACCAGAUCUGCUUUUUUAUUUUCACUUUCCUGGCACACAACAUGAUUGAGUUGAAUGUCCUCCUGAUCUGAAGGAGGAGGAGGAGGACAUCCCGUCCAUCUCAAAGGUUGGUGAGGUAAUUCGAUCGAGUUUAAUAUUCGUCUUCUCUAAUUACACUUAGCGCUAAUUAAGUCAUGCAUCUUGCUUGUGUCUUCCUUGUCCCACUUGCUUAAGUUUCAUCUUUGCUUUAUUAUCACAACAAGUUAUACAAUACAAUGGCGAUGGUUCUGGACGUGUUUGGAUCCUACUGAGGUGACUUGUUUUGUAACCAUUUUAAUUUUCAAAUACAUUAAACUGCUACGUUUCAAGAAUGUAAAAAAUUUAAUAUGGGAAAUAUACAAGUCUUAAAAUGUCAGAGGAGCAGCCGAGUGCCGGCGACCGGGCGGGGAGUAAAGUAUGAUGGAGGCGCCGCCGCUGGCCACCGGCCAGUCUGGUAAGCAGAGAGGGCGGCGUGGCGUGCACACGAGGAAAAAGCAUAUAUUGCCAUCAAGGAAAAGUUAUGUCCAAUCCAAUUCGAUACCCUCUUCAGAUCAGCUGAUUUGCUUUGUCAAAUAAUCUACUCCUCCAUGGAAAAGGAAAAGAAGCUGCUUUGCUUUGCUUGCUCCAUCGACGGGAAUGUGAUGCUUUGCUUUGCUUCUCUCCACCUGAUGGUUUACCCAGCUCCGGCUGCCAACGAGUACCCUGUGGCUGUGGCAUUACUUCCCAAAUCCCAAUCCCUCCAGGCUCCAGGUCUUCCCCAGCACAGCCAUCGCCCCCGCCGCCACCGUCCGCUGGUAUUUGUCGCCGCCGACUGCUGUGCCGUGCAGUGCAUCCCAUCAAUCUCAAAGGUGGGUGACGUAGUGCCGUGCUUGCGGUAGUUAGUUAGUGUUCAAGUUUUAUUUCCUUGUCUCUGUCUGCUACUUAAAAUUCACCUUAAUUGUCUCUAAUUGUAAUCACAGCAGAAGGUCAGCAAGUUGACCAAUGGCGAUGGUGUUGGAUGCUUUUGCAUCCUACAUGGGGGACUACCUCAAGCAGGUGGUACAAGAUGAGAUCGGAACGAUGCUGGGCGUCUCCGGAGAGAUCGACAAGUUGGGAGACAAGCUUCUGGACCUAAAGAACUUCCUUGCGGAUGCUGAUAGCAGGAACAUCACCGACAAGACCGUCCAGGUCUGGGUGGGGCAGCUCAAGCGCGCCAUGUAUGAAGCUGCUGACAUCCUUGACCUCUGCCAGCUCAAGGCGAUGGAGAAGCGUGGGCCAUCCUCUGCAGAAGCAGGGUGUUGCAACCCCUUGCUUUUCUGCAUGAGGAACCCCUUCCAUGCUCGUGAGAUCGGCACCCGCAUCAAGGCGCUCAACCAGAGGCUUGAUUCCAUCAAGCAGCGCAGCGCUACUUCCAACUUCAUCAAUCUUGGGUCAUACGAGGAUUGACAUAGCAGCAAUGCCCAUGCCUCUCGUCAGGGUAAUCCUAGCCGGGAGACGGUAGGGGACUUUGAUCGGUCCGCUAUUGUUGGAUACAAGAUUGAAGAAGACACAAGAGCACUGGUGGCCCAGAUCAUGCAGACGGGAAAGGAUGUCAACAAUGACAUCAUGGUGGUUGCUAUCGUAGGUGUUGGUGAGAUCGGCAAAACCACCCUCGCCCAGAAGGUCUUCAAUGACGAGGCAAUCCAUGGUGAAUUCAGUAAAAAGAUAUGGUUGAGCGUCAACCAAAACUUCAGUGAUGUUGAUCUACUGAGAAGGGCCAUCAUCGAAGCCGGAGGAGAUGCCCAACCACCUGAAAGUGCAAAGACCAGCCUUCACGAAACCCUCAAGAACACAUUGAUUGACCACAAGACCUUUCUGGUAAUGGAUGAUGUGUGGAACCAUAGAGCAUGGGAUGACGUGCUGAAAACACCCUUAGUCAAUGCUGCUGCUUCAGGCAGCCAGGUCCUCGUCACUACCAGAGAUGAAGGUGUUGCCCGAGGGGUGAAAGCUAUCUGGCUGUACCACCGUGUCGACACAUUAGCGCCGGAAGAUGCUUGGUCAUUGUUCAAGAAGCAGGUCUGUACUUAAUUAAAUACUAAUCUUUUAGUGAAGUGAAUAAUCUAUCUACAUCUACGUAUUGACAGUACUAUGUAGUUAAUUAAGAGAAAUGUUAGGAUGCUCCCAAAUUAAUGAGUCAUUAAUUACGUGUAAUUUAGUGACUUCUAUGUACUAUUACCUCUUGGAGGUAAGAGAUUGUCAGUAAUUUUGUAAGGCUAAGAUUACUUUGCAAGUGCCAACAACACUAUUUGAGACACAUUCAAGGACACCUAGAUUUUAUUUAAUCAAGUCUGAGAAAUAAUUGGAAAUUUGGAUAAUUAUAUAUGUAUCAUUUCUACCAGUGAAGAGACAUGGGUCGUAUAUUUGUAUAGUGUAACCUUUUGUGAAUACUCAGUCUCGUUUUCCAACAUAUGAGAUGAAGAUCUAAGUGCUCAGGUACUCAACAGUCUCAUAGGACAUAACAUAAAUUAAAAGUUAUUUUAAGACAGAAAAAUAACAAUUUCGGUGAACCCCUGCAAAUACAACAAAAGAAUAUAACAUGGAAAUAACUAGACUAGAAGUUGGCAGUAAUUUUGCUAGAGAAUUUGCGCACAAAUUUAGUACUUAAUGUUUGGCGUAGUAUUAUGCAUUAGAUAAUUUCAUGUUACCUUAAAUUUGAAAACGAAUAAAACAAUAUACGAUUCUGCUAAAUUUGGAGUUACUUGUAAAAAGAAAAAGAAAGUAAAUUUGUUUUCUUGGCAUAAAGUAUGUAUGUUAUACAUAGCUAACUGUAUCUGUCCCUUGUACCGUCUCUUCGCAGGUAUGCUCAAGUGAGAUAGAUGAAGACCACAUCAAUACGCUAAAGGAUAUCGGACUGAAAAUUAUACAUAAAUGUGGUUGUUUACCAAUUACUGUUAAAGUGAUGGGAGGACUCUUGCGUGAAAGAGGGGGACUACGCCGUGACUGGCAGCAGGUUUUUGAUGAUUCUAAAUGGUCAACAACUAAAAUGCCCCAUGAUCUCAACCACACAGUAUACUUAAGCUAUGAAUAUAUGCCUUCUUACCUGAAGCAGUGCUUUUUAUACUAUUCUUUUCUUCCUAAAAGUAGAAUUUUUCAUAUGGAUGAAGUCGUGGCAAUGUGGAUAAGUGAAGGAUUUAUUCUUGGAAACUCUAGCGAUUUAGAAGAAUUGGGAAGAAAUUACUACAUGGAGUUGGUAUCUAGGAACCUUAUAGAGCCAGAUAAAUCGUAUGCUGAUAUAUGGUAUUGCAGCAUGCAUGAUGUUGUUCGCUCAUUUGCUCAGUAUAUGACUAAAGAUGAAGCACUUGUAACUCAAGACGGGGACAGUGAUAUUCUUGCUAAAAUUUGUUCACAAAAGUUUCUUCGGUUGUCCAUAGAAACUAACCGAUCACAAUCAGGUGAACUUGAUUGGAAAUCUCUACAGGCGCAUCAAUCAGUGAGAACAUUGAUUUCAACUCUCCAGAUUAAGAUGAAGCCUGGUGAUUUGUUGGCUAGUUUUUCUAGUUUGCGGACUCUGUAUAUAGAAUCUGGAGAUAUGGUUGUAUUGCUUGAAUCAUUGCAUCAGCUCAAGCACCUACGGUAUCUAACACUAGUAAAUUAUGGUAUAUCUGUACUUCCGGGCAACAUUGGCAAGAUGAAACUGUUGCAAUUCCUUGACCUUCGUGGAUGUACAAGAUUGCUGAAUCUUCCUGAUAGCUUUGUGAAGCUUGGCCAGUUGAGGUUACUUUCACUUCCCAAAGGAUGUAUGGUACCUAGAGGGUUUAGUGGUCUGACAAAUAUGAGGAGACUAAGUAUGUUUCAAGCCCACAUGGAUACUUUUGGAAUUAGGGAGAGCACUCCGAAGUUUAACCUAGCAAUGUCCACAAAACCGCGCAUGAAGCCAUUGCACAACGCGAAGAUGUGUUCGCGUAACAGUGGCCAAAAGUGUUUAAACAUCGCCACCGGCCACCCAUCAGGCCCCGGUGCCGUGUCAGUUUUCAUGCUUUGGAGAGCCUCGUCAAUCUCCUUGGGGAGAAACGCGAGCCCCAGCUCUUCGUUCUCCGACUCCAGGACCUUUUGAGCUGGCAGCCAGGCGUCCUCGCUCAGCCUGGCACGCUGAGGCUCGUCGGUCCCCAUCAGGCUUAUGUAAAAGUCGUAGAUGUGUUUGCUAAUCGCUGGUUGCUGGAGCAGGAGCCCCUGCUCCGUCUGCAGCCUCAGGAUUAGGCAUUUCCUGCGACGUCCAUUCGCGUACGCGUGGAAGUAUCCAGUGUUCGCAUCUCCCUUGAGCGUCCACUUAAGUCCUCCUCGGUGCCUCCAGUAUUCCUCCUCGGAUCGGAGCAACUCCUCGACUUGCCCUUCCAAGGCGUAUCGAUGCGCCCAUUCAUGCUCCGAGAAUGGACGCGAGUCUGCUUGAGUGUCGAGGAUUGCGAUCUCAUCGAGAAGUCUCGCCCUCGAAACUUUCUCGUCUCGUCCCUGAUUCGUGCCCCAUCCCUUGAGGCUUGCACGCAAGCGUCCCCCCACCGCUGUCCAAAACUCCAUAGGGCCGCGCUGCUGGCCCGUGGCUUGAACACUUCUCAACCAUCUUUCCCGAAAGAUGUUGUCGAAAUCAGGGGCCUCGAACCAUGCUGUUUCGAAAAAGAAACGCGGGCUGCGACGUACCUUAUCUUCCCCUGAAGAUAAGAUGAGUGGAACAUGGUCCGAGCCGAUCCUUGUUUCAGCAAGGAGCGAGCAUAAUGGGAACACCACUUCCCAUUCCGGAGACAUGAAGGCGCGAUCCAAGACGGAUCUCACCGGGGCUAGUUGUUUGUUGGUCCAAGUGUAUCUUGCCCCCGUUCGUGCCACUUCCCUAAGUGACAUUGACGCAAUUGCGCUGUUGAACAUGGUCACCCUUGACCAGUUGAUGUUGUCAUUGUUUUUGUCCGCGUUCGAUCGGAUGAGAUUAAAAUCUCCACCCACUAGGAGCGGGACCUGGGAUGCGGCAACUGCCAGCACCUUGGCUUCGAGUUCUCCCAGAAACUCUGUCGAACGUGAGUGAUCUGCUGGUCCAUAGACUUGCAGGAUCGCGAGCUCGCGUAGCGAAGCUCUCACGCGAAUAUUGGCUGCAAUGAAGAAGGUGCCUACCUCCCAGGACAGCACCUCAUAUACGGCACUGCAAAAGCCAAGCAGCAUGCCACCCGAAUGCCCAUUAGCCGGGCUGUGUUGCCAAAUGAAACGCUCCAAAGGGUCUAUGGCUAUGAGGUCUUGGUGCCGAAAAUCUGAUUUAAUGGUUUCCUGGAGCCCUACUAUAUCGAUCCCUUCUUUCCUGAUGUAGUCGCGGAGUUGGGUGCGCCGCCCCGAGUGGCCGAAGCCACGGAUGUUCCAAAUGAGCAUCCGCAUCUAGAUGACGCGGUUUCGCAGGCGGAUCCCCCUAGAGGUGAUCGCCUUGGCCACGCGCCUUGCCUUGCCGCAGCGAGGCGAGGGAGGAGCAGCAACCCCUGUUGUUGUCUCCCCUUCGGGCCGGAGACUUAGCGACGUCGAGGGAUCCUCCUCGACAGCCAUACGCUCCGCGUGUUGAGCAGCCGCCGCUGCGAGUGCCGCCUGAGCCAGUUCCUUAGCGCGCACCAGCGAGAUUAGCUCGCUAACCCCACCCUCCCCGAUUGGUGCAACUCCACUCUCCUCCAACACGUCGCCUAGGUGCUCGUCCGAGAAAGAAUCCAAAAUCGAGAAGCGGGGCAAUGGAUAUACUCUUGUGGAGUAUAUGAACGCCUUUAAUCAAGUCGUGACGGAUCUAGCACGCUUGGGUGCAAUGGUUGAUGACGAGGAUAGGGCAAUUCUGCUUCUUUGUUCAUUGCCAUCAUCCUAUGAGCACUUGAUCACUACUUUGACGCACGGCAAGGAGACCGUCAAAAAUGAGGAUAUUACUGCGGCAUUGCUAUCUUAUGAUAUGAGAAAGAAGAACGCGGUGGAAGUCUCUCAUGGUGAAGGUUUGCUAGUCAAGGGUGAGCAGUGGCGGAAGGGAUAUGAGGCUGGGAAGAACAAGAAAAAGAAAAAGAAUAUACAGUGUCACAAGUGUAAGCAGUGGGGACAUAUGAGAAAGGACUGUCCAGAACUCAAUGGUGGGGCAAGUGCUAAUAAGGCAACUCAUGGUGAUGACUCAGACAGCAGCAGUAGUGAUGUUCUCAUAGUAUCAGACAGGCGGUCAACCAAAGGUGAAGCAUGGAUGUUGGAUUCAGCUUGCUCUUUUCAUGCGACACCCAACAGGGAGUGGUUCUCUUCGUACAAGUCUGGUGAGUUUGGUUUAGCCUAUGUGGGCGAUGACACAGGUUAUCGUGUUGCUGGAGUAGGUGACAUCAAAAUCAAGAUGUUUGACGGAGUUGAGCGGAUGCUUCGGGGAGUCAGGCAUGUGCCAGGGCUAAGGAGGAAUCUAAUUUCGCUUGGUGUUCUUCAUUAUGGUGGUAUGGUAUUCCGUUGUGAUCGGGAUAGGAAGACCAUGAGAAUCAUGGAAGAUGAGGUGACCGUGAUGAUUGGAGAGAGGACGGCUUCACAUCUUUACAAGUUGCAAGGGAGCACUAUUGCAGGUGGAGUCACGAAGACUGGAGUUGCGGGAGUAGCAGCGGGGUCUCACGGCGGCGGCGGGUCUGGGGCAAACUCGUCGAGUAGCUCUCAGUAAGCUACGAAGAAGACAACACAAGUCCGGAGUACAUGGAAGUUUGACGCAUGGACAAAUUCAAGGUGGUGGAGAAUAUUCGCCAAGGUGGAGUUUGUUGUGUUUGUGUCGAAUAUUUUGUACUAGUUGGGUUACGCUUGGACUUGGUGUUGUAGUGUGGGUAGGAUACUUGUAGUGUCGGAGUCGGACACGUUGUACCCUUGGCCUCUUAUAUAUGAGGAGGCACCUCACGUUGUAACCUAUGACGACUAGAUAGCGACAGGCUCGCAAGGGGGUGCCGGCGGCAUGUGCCGGCGCCCGGGUGGCCGGUGUUGCGGUAUCUCGGGGAGGAGCGCCUGUAGUCAUUGCCCCGGGGAGUAGGCGAGUUCGCUGAACCUCGUUAACAAAUCUCGGUGUCGUCAUUGUCUGUGAUUACUUGUUCCUCGGUGGAUCGACUACGCACCUCGGAUUUAUUCUAACAAUGUGGCAAUGGUUGAGUCAUCUGCGAAGUGAUAUUGCUUGUUGUAUAUAUGUGAGAUAUUAUCACAAUGUGAUUUGUUGCAGGCCAAACAUAAAAUAAAUGAAAGAAUUGCCACUACCAGAUGAUUUGCCAAGUUCGGUACUCGGUGAAAUAUCAUCGCCGAGUGUGGAACUCGGCUAUAGUGCCACGUGGCACCAUCUGGUUUCUUGGAUAUGUCAUUGUCGAGUGCCGGCCGGAAGCAACUCGGCAAAGAGUGUAACCUGGGCUAUCGCUGGACAUCUCUUUGCCGAGUAUGCAUCUCGGCAAACUGUCGUUGUCUUUGCCGAGUUUUUGCAGAUGUACUUGGCGAAUGGCCCGUGCCACGCGUCGACCGCCCAUACAACAAGCUUUACCGAGUGUAAAACUCGGCAAACACAUCCACGCUUGCCGAGUAUUUCCUCACGGGGUCUCGGUGAAGACGACAUCUCGGCACACUGUCACGGCCACGUGGCGGCCGCAGAGCAUAUGUGUUCGCCAAGUUCUUGCUUUAGGGAUUCGUCAAAGUUUUCUGCCACGUGACACCCACCGUUUCCGUCCGGCCCAUCGAGUCUUUUUUUUUGCCGAGUCCCCGUGUUCUGCGUCCCCACGUUAUGUUCUUUAGUUAAUUAGCUCCGUCCAAUGUUGCUGUCUGCUAACGUUCGAGUGUACUAGGGUAUGUAUGACGAGAUGUGAGUUUUUUUUCCGGCACACUGUCUCGAUCUGGUCCCUUGUAGCCAUGAGGACUAAUUAAGAGAAAGAUGCUCCUUGAGAAAGAUACUUGAAAUAUGAGCACGCAGAGUAAACUAUUUGGCUAGCUAGCAUACAAUUUUGGGCAGAUCUAGAGAAAGUUUGCAUGUGCUAUCUGAAAAUAGGUCCGUAAACAUGACCUAGGGGUCAUGAUACAGCUACCAGCCUUCAAGAUUCCCAAAGACCAUAGGUUAUAGCAGAUGGAAACGUAAGCAAGCUUUUAUGAUGUGCCAUAACAUGUUCGUAACCAUGACCAGAGGAGGGUCAUGAGUCGGAUAAAUUGUCUAUAUAUGUAGUAUAAACCUGUACACUUUGGCUAUAUGACCCACAUAAUAAACAACCAAAAAUGAAAAACGUUUACCAAGUUUGCCAUGAGCUAGUACAUGCUUUUGCCUUGAAAUUGUUCUAUUGUUUGCUUGGACCCUGAACCAGAGAUAAAUUAUCAUGGAGAGAUCAGCCCAAAUGCCAAAAAAGAAACCGCAAACUGCAUUUUUGACAUGCAUAUUGUUGUUCACAAAUUGCAGUAUCUUGUUCAGUUUAUUGCUCUGUAGAAUCUUUUCUCUUUAUGAAAGGAAGAACGGAAAGGCUAGGGUCUCCUUAAAUUUGCUCUGGCUUGAAAAAUAAACCACGUGCACACUGUUCUCUUAGAUGCUAGGUACCUUAAUGCUAUGUGACUUUUCUUUUCUUGGCUAAGUUUGAGAUCCAGUAGGUAAUGUCGCUUUUCCGUCUACAGGAUGCUGCCAAUAAUCUAUGCAGAAUAUUUUGUCAGGACUUCGAACUCCGUCAUGCAUUUGAUGCCUCAUGAAUUUGUAAUGUAAGUUGUUGAUUUUGAACACUUGUUUAUCUGAAUUUUGGUUCUCAUGGAUGAGUCUGUAGAACAUGAAUUGGGCUACGUUUAUACUGCAUCGGUUUAUAUAAAGUUUGUGUUCAAAGUUUCAGUUCAGUUAUAUAAUCCAUAAAUAAAGCACUCCACCCUCCACUAUGCUAGCUCUCCUUUUGUUGCAAACUGCAUGUGGUGGGCACGUGGAUGGAUCAAUUGGCAAUGUGGAUGCAAAGUUCAACCAAUGGCUAAACAGAUCAAACAAGAUGGAUCAGUAUAUCUGACAGUAGCCCACGUUAGCUAAUUAGUUAAUUAGCUCCGUUCAAUGCAGCUGUCUGCCACUGUUAUUACACCGUUCAAUGGCUCUCAUAGUCUCACUCCUCAGUCGCUCCCGUCCACUUCCACCCAGCUGUGCUGUGGCCUUUUGCCUUAGCCGCCGGAGAGCACCUGCCUGCUGCUACUCUGCGUCCGACUACUAGUUUAGCUGCUGCUGCUGCUAGUUUCAGGAGGAUCUGACCUGCUGCUCGCGGAGGCAACUCGCUGGAGGAGGAGCUGAACUGCUGCUCCCGGCGGCAUCGCGUCGGAGGAAGAUCUGAGCUUCCGCUCCUGGAGGAGACACGUCUUCUCUGGCGCUGCUAUCACGCUGACCCCCACGUCUUCUCCGCCGUCUGUGUUGUCCAUCCAUCUCAGAGGUUGGUUGGGCAGUUCAAGUGUGAUUUGUCUCUCUUUACACAUAGCUAACUAAGCUUCCUGCUUGAAUUUGAAGUUACCUUGUUAUUGCAGAAAAAUUAGCCGGCAACAAUGGCGAUGGUGCUGGAUGCAUUUGCGUCCUACCUGGUGGACAUGCUAACGCAGGCAGCAGCAGAUGAGGUGAAGACGAUGUUGGGUGUCUCCGGCGAGAUCGACAAGAUGGGAGACAAGCUUCGGGACCUCAAGAACUUCCUCGUCGAUGCCGAUAGGAGGAACAUCACAGAGGAGACUGUUCAAGAGUGGGUGGGGCAGCUCAAGCGUGCCAUGUAUGAAGCUGCUGACAUCCUUGACCUCUGCCAGCUCAAGGCCAUGAAGCGUGGAUCAUCCUCAGUAGAUGCAGGGUGUUUCAAUCCCUUGCUCUUCUGCAUGAGGAACCCCUUUCAUGCCCGUGAGAUCGGCACCCGCAUCAAGGCACUCAAUCAGAGGCUUGAUGACAUCAAGGAACGCAGCGCUGCUUUUAAAUUCAUUGAUCUUGGGUCCGAUGGGGAUCAUAGCAACAAUACCCAUGCCUCUCGCCAUGGUAAUCCAAGCCGGGAGACGGUAGGAGACUUUGACCGGUCUGCUAUUGUUGGAGACAAGAUUGAAGAAGACACGAGAGCAUUGGUGGCCCAGAUCAUGCAGACGAAAAAGGAUGUCAAUGAUGGCAUCAAGGUGGUCGCUAUCGUAGGUGUUGGUGGGAUCGGCAAGACCACCCUCGCCCAGAAGGUCUUCAAUGAUGAGGCAAUCCAAGGUGAAUUCAGCAAAAAGAUAUGGUUGAGCGUUAACCAAAACUUCGGUGAUGUUGAUUUGCUGAGAAGGGCCAUCAUCGAAGCCGGAGGAGAUGCCCAACCACAUGAAAGUUCAAAGACCAGCCUUCACGAAACCCUCAAGAACACAUUGAUUGACCAAAAGACCUUUCUGGUAAUGGAUGAUGUAUGGAACCAUAGAGCAUGGGAUGACGUGCUGAAAUUACCCUUACUCAAUGCUGCUGCAUCAGGCAGCCGAGUCCUCGUCACUACUAGAGAUGAAGUUGUUGCCAGAGGGGUGAAAGCUAUCUGGCCGUACCACCAUGUCGACACAUUAGCGCCUGAAGAUGCCUGGUCAUUGCUCAAGAAACAGGUCUGUACUUAAUUAAACGCUAAAUCUCUUUCAUUAUCUCCAUCUACUUAUCAGCAAUACUAUGUAGUUAGUUAAAAUAAAUGUUAGGAAGUUGCCAAAUUAAUAUGAGCCACUUAUUGCGUGUAAGUCAGUGAAUUGUAUUUACUAUUGCCUCUUGGACGUAAGAAGUUGUCAACAAUUUUGGUAAAUCCCUGCCAAUAAAACAAAAGAAUAAAACACGAAAAUAACUAGAUUAGAAGUUGGUAGUAAGUUUGCUAGAAAAUUGGCACUCAAAUUUUAGUAAAUAAUGUUUGGUGUAGUAUUAUGCAUUUUAGACGCUUGAGGGACACGAUCAUUUCACGUGACCAUAAAAUGUGAAAACAAAUAAAAAUAAUAUAUGAUUCCUGCAAAAUUUGGAGUUACUUUCUAUAACAGUGAUGAGAGAGUAGUGCUAAAGUAUAUUUUUCUAGCAGUAUGUUCCAUUUUGUAAUAAAGAGAAGGAAAGAAAAGUUGUUAUAUGUGGAAGCCAAUGCACAUAUCUUCGGUAUGUAGGAGAAAGAUAAGUAAAUACAUUAAUAACAUUUCUUUUUCACAUGUACUUUCUGCACUUUGAGUAUUUACAGUCAAUCGUAGCUUGAUAAAUGGACACAUACAUCAACUAGUCCUCUUAAGAGGUAAAAAGAGCGCCUUAGAGGAUCUUGGUACAUAGUUAACUAAAUGUAUCAGUCCUUCUAUUGUAUGUUCACAGGUGCGCUCAAGUGAGAUAGAUGAAGACCACAUCAAUAAGCUAAAGGAUAUCGGACUGAAAAUUAUACAGAAAUGUGGUUGUUUACCAAUUGCUGUUAAAGUAAUGGGAGGACUCUUGCGUGAAAGAGGGGGGCUACGUCGUGGCUGGCAGCAGGUUUUGGAUGACUCUAAAUGGUCAAGAACUAAAAUGCCCGAUGAGCUCAACCACACAGUAUACUUAAGCUAUGAAUAUAUGCCUUCUUACCUGAAGCAGUGCUUUCUGUACUACUCUCUUCUUCCUAAAAGUAGAAUUUUUACUAUGAAUGAAGUUGUUGCAAUGUGGAUUAGUGAAGGAUUUAUUCAUGGAAAUUCUAAUGAUUUAGAAGAAUCGGGAGAAAAUUACUACAAGGAGUUGGUAUCUAGGAACCUGAUAGAGCCAGAUAAAUCUUAUGUUGAUAUAUGGGUUUGCAGUAUGCAUGAUGUUGUCCGCUCGUUUGCUCAGUAUAUGACUAAAGAUGAAGCACUUGUAACUCAAGACGGAGACAAAAAUAUUCUUGCUAAACUUGGUUCACAAAAGUUUCUUCGGUUAUCCAUAGAAACUAACCGAUCACAAUCAGGUGAACUUGAUUGGAAAUCUCUACAAGCACAACAAUCAGUGAGAACAUUGAUCUCAACUAUCCAGAUUAAGAUGAAGCCUGGUGAUUCCUUGGUUAAUUUUUCUAGUUUGCGGACUCUGCAUAUUGAAUCUACAAAUAUGGUUGUAUUGGUUGAAUCAUUGCAUCAGCUCAAGCACCUGAGGUAUCUAACACUAGUAAAUGCUGGUAUGUCUGUACUUCCGGGAAACAUUGUCAAGAUGAAACUAUUGCAAUUCCUUGACAUUGCUAGAUGUACAAAAUUGGUGAAUCUUCCUGACAAUAUCGUGAAGCUUGGCCAGCUGUGGAUACUUGCACUUCCCAAAGCAAGUAUGGUUCCUAGAGGGUUCGGUGGUCUGACAAAUAUGAGGAGACUACGUAUGUUUCGAGCCCAUAUGGAUGUUGAUUGGUGCAGUUUGGAUGAGUUGGGGCCUCUUUCCCAGCUCAGAUUUCUUGCAUUAGUUGAAUUAGAGAAUGUAUCUGCUGCCUCGUUUGCUUCUAAUGCUAGGCUCGGCGAGAAGACACAUCUUAUCAAGCUAUUCCUGUGCUGCACAAGUAAACUGGGAGAUGAUGGGUUGGUCAAAGAGAAGGAAGAUGUCUCCGAGGAAGAGCAGCAACGAAUUGAGAAGGUUCACGAUAAGCUCUGCCCUCCACCUGGUGUAGAACUUCUUCAAAUCAAGGGGUAUUUUGGCCGGCAACUCCCGAGAUGGAUGAUGUCCACAUCAAUGGUGUCUCUCAACAACUUGAAGACUUUAUUUUUUGAUGACCUGGCUUGUUGCACACAACUUCCGAAUGGGUUGUGCCAGCUCCCUAAUCUGCAGUUCCUACAGGUCUCUCGUGCUCCAUGCAUCAAACAUGUCGGGACUGGAUUCUUGGAGGCGCCAGCAGCUUCAUUUGCAAGGUUAAAUGAAAUGAAAUUGUUCGCCAUGGUGGAAUGGGCGGAGUGGGACUGGGAGGAACAAGUACAAGCCAUGCGCCGUUUGGAGAAACUCGUGCUCAUGAAUUGCAAACUGAGGCACGUUCCUCCAGGCCUUGCCUCCAGUGCAAGAUCUUUGAAAAUAUUAGGUCUACAAUAUGUCAAGCACCUUAGCUACAUUGAGAGCUUUCCUUCUGUUGUUGAGCUUCUAGUGAAUCGAUGCCCUGACCUGGAGAGGAUCACCAAUCUCCCCAAUCUGCAGAAGCUUUCCAUCAUGUACUGCCCAAAGUUGAAGGUGCUGGAGCGUAUCGCUUCUCUUGAGAGGCUGGUCCUGGAGGAUUACAACAUGGAAAAACUCCCAGAAUACAUGCGAAACAUAAAGCCAAAGCAUUUGCAGUUAUUCUGCAGGCUAUGGUUGCUCUCUGUGGUUGCCACGGGACAAUCUGGCACUGAGUGGGACAAGUUCGGCCAAGUGGAGCAUGUCAAGGCAUAUGCAGGUGAUGGAGACAGCCAAAGAAAAUGGUAUGUUUUGUACACGAGAGGAGACAACUGCAAGUUGGAUUCAAAUAUUAGCAGCUCUACCGUAUUUGAAGGUACAGAAAAUCAAACAUUUGUACAGGCUUUGUCUUAAUUUGUUUGAGCACUCUAAUUCUGCCAGUUUACAAAUUCUUUUGAUUUUUCUCAUGCUUUUCGUCCAUAUAUACUGCACGAUGACUAGAUAAAUUAUGUACCUUCCUAGUGCAUUUUGCUAAGUAUUUGCCUUCUUGUUCUUCUAGGUUUUCUUGAGCUUAACAUACCUAGAGUAUCAUGUAACCAGUUUUGUAUUUUUAUUUCCAUGCAGAAACCUUAUCAUCUUCUAUGGUGGAUGCGCAAGGAUUUGACGCUCUGUAUAAAAUGAGAAGAAGUACCUUUAGUUACAUCUGCAGCUUGGUGAGGAUCCCAUUUUUCGAAGGUAUGAUGGCACGGGAUCACACCUUUGUUGAUGGAAGAUUGUUGUCUUUACAAGAUGGAGUAGCUGUCGCUCUGAGGGUACUGAACUCUGGUGACUCUCCGCUUACCGUAGGAUCCUCUCUUGGUGUGAAUGAGUCAACUGUCUCGUUGGUAACUCAGCUGUUUGUUCAGGCUAUGUGCCAGCGAGCAAUGCACCACUUGGGCUGGCCAGGCUCUGCCAAAAUGGAGAAGAUCAAGAACAAGUUUCACAAGAUCCAUGGCCUGCCAAACUGUUGCGGUGUUGUACAUACAACUCACAUCCCGUUUGGAUCAGAAAACCAUGACCAUGGUGUGCUAUUGCAAGCCAUGUUUUAUCCAGAUCUGAGGUUCGCAAACACUUGGCGGGGGGCGUCAGGUAGCAUGAACCAGUUGAGCCUUUUGCAUGAUUCUUCGCUCUUCAAGUCCUGCCAGGAGGGUACUGUGCUGAAUGGCAGGAAGCUGAAUUUAUCAGAUGGCUUGGAUGUUGGGGAAUAUAUAAUUGGUGAUGCAGGAUACCCUCUUCUCCCCUGGCUUCUCACACCUUACCGCCUGGAAGACAAGGACCUCCUUUUUGCAGAUUUCCCUCCUUAUCAAGCCGAGUUCAACAGAAGACACUCUGCAGCAUUAGACAUCACCCUCUCUGCGCUGAGGAGGUGGAAAGACACUUGGAAGAUCCUGCACAGAGGGGUUGGUUCAUGUCCACCUUCUCAAACAAUCUGUGCGUGCUGCAUAUUGCAUAAUAUAGUGAUAGACAUGCAGGAGGAGGAGGAGGAGGAGGAGGAGGAGGAGGUGCGCCGGUUAGCAGACGAGGAUGCGGUCAGGAUGAGGGAUAUACUGUCCCGGCACUUGAUGGAAUCUGGAGGUAAAUUAACACAACUGCACGCUGAUUGCUCCUUCUUAUGUGUUUGUUCGAACACUUUGUCUGUUUACUUUUCUCUCGUUUCUAAUUCCCUCCUAUUGAUUCCAUCUUUUAUCUGUUGUUGGUUAGGCCACACAAUGGCUGUUGCAGAGGCGGACCAACAAGCAGCAGCAGUUGCAUCUGGUUCGGGAGAUGGAAACAAUGAGCAAGGAGCAUGCCGACGACAAAGAGCAGAUCGAGGGAAGGAGAAAGUGCAUGCAUGAUAGCUAGAUAAAGAGAUGAGAUCAAACCGCCUUCUCCAGAGAAUUAAUCUGGCAUUCUUUUUUUCUCUGCUACCAUUUUCAAACUGGAAGUUGUGUUUAAUCUCUUUGGUGAUAUAUAUGUUGCUUAAAUUACUUGGACAGAAAUUAAGUUGAUCGAUACUAUUUGUGAUUUUCUAUAUAUGUAUUCUUUCAUGUCCUUGCAGCUGUAACCCUCAGGAAGGAAGGAACCAAAUGGAGCAGAGUCAUUCAGUUAUACGUAUGUUGUUUAUAGGCAACAUAUAUGCGUCUGGGCCGUUGGGCAUGAUUCAUUCCCAACGUUGUAGCGUUAUGCGCAUUGUGGAUAGAUAGAUAUGUCCCUGCCUGCAACUACAAUGUUGUUGGCUGUCCCUAGUCUACAGAGCAGAGUGGGGAGAUGAUUUUGCACUCAACAGGAGCAGUGUCUUUACAGAGGGAGAAUAUAAGAGAGACGAGUGGUUGUACAGUUUGAGUAUCAUGGGCUUUGGCGACAUACAGAUGUUCAAAACAGAGCAGAGUGUUGGGUUUUGAUCAGUAGAUCAAUUCACCAGUAACCGGAGCAACACGCGUGUGCAAAGCUAGCAAGCACACAGCCUAGUAGCUUGAUUGAUGAACCAACCUCCCGUACGUGAAGCUGGCUUGCUAGUGCUCUAAUCGCUCCGAUGGAUUUACGUCGACGGAACUCUGAAGUAACUUGACGACAGGACCUUGUCGGUCCUGUUAAAUACUUCUCUAUAUUGCUUUUCUUUUCUUUUUUCGUUGGUUGUACAAAGCUACCCUGCUGGUGCUUAUAUACACGUUCAUACAAGACUAGGAAGUCGACUCGGACUAGCAAACAUAAUACUACUAGGACUCAGCCUAACUCCUAAUCCUAUACGUACACAACUAGGUUAACUUUCACACAGAGUGGGGAGGAGACACAUCGACUGAUUUUGCACUCACCAGGAAGGAAGUCCAUAUAUAGCCAAGUGCUUUGUACAUGAAGGAGAAGAUAAGACAGCAAAUUCAGGCAGAUGGUGGGGCGGAUGAUACAGUUUGAGUAUCAUUGGCUUUGGCGGAUGAUACGUACGUGAUCCUUCUUCACGUAUGUUGGUCUGGUUGUUGCAUUUGAAUUCAGGUUAGUUUGCCAAAGGAAAGUUUGGGUCAUUCUUCCCUGUGAACAAGAGCAUGAUCGAUGCGAGUGUGAUUCACAGUUUAUUCACGACACUCGUUUUACAAUAGUUUGUGCAUCAUGCAUGCUCUUGCUCACGUGGUCAGGUUUUCUUGUAAUUUUGCUUGCUCCAUAUAUAUAUAUAUAUAUAUAUAUAUAUAUACACACAUAUAUAUGUGCAUGCUGUCCUAAGCAAAAGAAACUGAACCUAAGCUUGCUAUGCUUUUGGUGUAUUCUCUGACAACAAGUUUCAUGGCAUAUGCCUGUGCAUGGAUGACAUUUGACUAUGAAUGAACUUGGGUAUCUUGCUUAUUUCCAAGUCUUGCGGUUGUACAUGAUGGUUUCAACAGAUGGAUGUGAACUGAAUCUAUGUCCAGGUUACACCGAUGUAACCUGAUUCUGAAGAAGAAAAUGCCACAUACAGAUGGCGUCGAACUUGGCCUCGUCGAUCUGACUCUGCAUUAAGCAAACUUGCUGGCAUCAAGAUUUUGGACCCCCUUCCUUCACUGGAAGUCUUCCUUCGAAUUCACACUCAUUCAUUCAUCCAGAAAAAAGAACUGAUCGACAUUGCCAACAUCUCACAAGAAAGAAGAGAGCAGAGUUGAAGUUGCCAGCCUGUUUACUUGCAGCUACACCCGUGUUGUUCUUCGCAAAAUCCAUCAGGUUUUCAGUUGAGACCAAUCUAACGAUUUACCCAUCUCCUGAAACCACAACUGAGCGGGGUGAGAUUAGCAGGUUGACAACUAAAUAGGCUCUGCUCUACAGUCUGUCCAACACUGUUAUUUUGAGACGGUCCACGUUGAUUGUGACUAACAAAAAGUCUAUGUUAGUAAGAUUUAUGUUUGGCAAAUACUAGUGUUUUGUAUUGGAGUAUACUAUUGGCAGUAAGCUUUUAUGCUUCGUGAGAACAAUUACUGAUGUCAAAAUUCUUGUCUUAGAUUUAUCUAGAUACGGAUGUAUCUAACACUAAAAUGGGAAUAGAUACAUCCAUAUGUAGACAAAUCUAAGACAAGAAUUUUGGGACGGAGGGAGUAAUUGUUAGAGAAGGAUUGAAUAGAUGACAGCACAUGGUGAGCGACGCGCCCGGGCAUUGUCCAUUCUGAUAUUGCUGCCCGAGUGUCAACAGUGACAUCAGUUGGCAAGUGGACAAUGAUGUAUCAUUCUAGACAGUGCCACCAGACGCUCGGAUUGCCAACUGCGAUCUCGCCUUGGCUCAGAAAUUUGGAUUACAACCUGAAGACGACACUAUAUAUAGAGCCUCAAAAGGAGCACGCAGUUGAGAGGAGCUCUCAUGAAAAUUGUAACUAAAUCAGUUGCACCGUCUGUUGAACAGUUCUUCAUCUUUUUGCCUUCUAAUAAACAGAAAACAAACAAGAAAAAUACUGCUCCCUCCGAUCCACAAUAAGUGUCACAGUUUCGAACUAAGGUUAACGCUUAUUUUGGAUCGGAGGGAGUAAGAGACAUAAAUAGUGUAUAGCCUAUUGGAUUAUAGCAAUAUCAUUUCAACUUGUUCAGAAAGCAGCUACGUACUAUACUUAUUUGCAGCAAUUAAGAUACCAGCUGCUCUGAUGUAGACAUGGAAAGUGAAAAAUCCUGAUACUUUGAACCUGAACUGUUCUGUGAUACACUUAAGAACCCAGGUGCAUCGGCAGCAGCUGAGAAUGAACAAUCUCCACCAACAGCUGACAAGAAUAUAUAUAUAUAUAGCAGCUGAGAAGCAGGCGUCUAAAGUAAGCAUCAAUUCUACAGCGUAUAAACAGAUUGAGGGAAUAAUGUAUAGAUAAAUAACCUUAUUCUAUCCAAAGGAUAAAUAAAGCAACCUCCACGUUGAUCCAAAAGAAACUACCCAAGUUCAGGUACGACCACAGCAUACAAAAGAUAGCAGCUACAACCAGUACCAACCAAAUGUGUCACUCCAAGGAUAACAAAACAACCGUAAUAAUAUAACAACAUACUCCCUCCGUCCGGAAAUAAUUGUCAUCAAAAUGGAUAAAAGGGAAUGUAUCUAGAUGUAUUUUAGUUCUAUAUGCAUCCAUUUUUAUACAUUUAUGCGACAAGUAAUUCCGGACGGAGGGAGUACAUAUUUAUGUACACGUCUUGGCAACAAUUGCAGAAAUCGGCGAUGGAGUAAACUGAGGGGUCGACCUACUACACAUGAUGAGAGCCUGAGAAACUCACUCCACCUCAUUGAGAGACAGUGGACAAGAGGUGUGGUCCCUGGAGCCAUGCUGUUACGAAUAAAUGAAUACAUAAGAUACUUGAAAGAUCAAAAGGUGUUGUGAAAUAAAAAUUACAAAACGUUAUCUCUUUGAGUGAGGGCAGGUGAGGUCUUUACCUUUCUGUUUCUAUACAGUUGCAAAUCUGGAUGAAGACUAGAGAAAAUCUUUUAUGCAGAUAUGCUCAAUCUUUGGCCAGCUUUCCCCAUGAGGUGAUUGGCAGCUCUUCUUCAAGAGUUCAGAAUCCCGCACGUAUAUUCCGUGGACGGAAGAUGGCAAAUCAGGUAAAGAUGAUAUAUUGGGGCAUCUAUGAAUUCGCAGCUCCGACAGGCAUGAAAAGGACUUCAGAUUUCCUGGCAAUGAACUGAUUUCACAAUCCAUAAAUGACAGGUUGAUGACAGAUGAGAAAUCUACUGACUCCUCAAAUGAAAAGGACUCCUUGCAUCCUAUAAGACGCAAAUAUCUUGGAGCUUUAAUACCUUCAACAGAGAGCAUGUGGUUGAGCAUUACGGGGCUGCUAACAAAUAGGUACUCCUGGACUCGCAGCUGUGAGAUGCACUUCAUACUGAGGUUCGGGACAUGCACAAAUUCUGCACCGAAAAGUUGCAGCGAAGACAACCCUUCAAGAAAGCACAAGUCCUGUAGAUUUUCUAGUGACAAUGUUCUGAGGGAGGUUAAAUGACCAAUCGACAAUGAUGAAGAGCUUCUGCAGUGACUCAUGUCAAGAUAUUUCAGGUGUGGCAAGUCAAUACUGAGGAAAUCAGCUGCGACCACACAGUGUCGUAUGUUGAGCAUCCCAAGGGAAAAUGGCAAAAAAUCUGAUUCAUGUGUCAACUCUACAGAAGGGCAGCUACAUAAAGAAAAUAUUGAAAGAGCGGAAACAGCUCGCAGCCCCCCUAAUGAUCUAAGGCACCAGCACGAGUUGAUGAACAAUUCAUCAAGCUUUGUCAACUGUUGGAGAACAUCCUGUGACGGAAGUGUAGUCAAAGUCAUAAUCUCUUUUAGUGACAAUAUUCUCAAUGCAGUGAGACCAACAAGGCAAACCGCUAAUGCUUCAUCUGCAACGACACAUGAAUAAAGGUGAAGCCGACAAAGCCCUGAUGGUGGAACCAGUUGUAGGCUGAUGUUCCUUUUACAUAUGAGUCUUAUCCUCUCCACAUGGCAACAUAUCCAUGCAUUGAUGAUAUCCUCUUUCACCAAUGCUUCACUCCCCUCUCUUUUUAGAGUACUUUCAAUGGUUUGAAGAUGAGAAAUAUCAACAUCCAUCAAUUUCAUCAAGCGCUUCAGAGAUGAAUGUUCUGACAACAGUAUGUCCUUGAUGUUUGAUCCCGAAUCCACCUCCCAUGUGGAAGAAAGACGUGACUUCAGGCUGUCUGUCAUCAUGGUGUUCUCCCUUUCGUCAUAUUGUUUUAGCUCAUCGCUGGAAAUAAACAUAAGCAAUAUGCACUUCUUAAUCACUAACUCUUCAAGGCUAGCUGGAAGAGAAGGUAAUGUCUUCAAGUAUGGGACAUUCUUGAGGUGAAGUGAGGAGCAAUUCCCAAAGAGAGCGGCAUUUGAUGGUAGGAUUUCUAAGGCACUGCAAUUAACAAGUGCAAAUGAUUCCAAAUUCUGGAAAUAAGAAUCCCUGAGUAACCAGCCUGGGUAUUUUGCAUAUCGGUAACCUUUGAUAGUAAGGCCCCUUAUUUGCGGUGGUGGCACCAGACCUUCCAGGGUUUCCAAAUGUAAACUAUCAGGUGCAGUCAUGUCAUUUUCUUCACUCCAUUCAAGGUGCAAUCUCUCGAGAUGAUUUUUCUGAUGUAGCUUUGCUUCUAAAGCUUGAUCCUUCCCAGCAACAUUCUCAAGAUUUGAGACACUUAAACUGCCACCAAGGUUGUUCAUGUCUUUCAGUUGUCGCAGCUCGUAGCCCCUCUGUUUUUUCACGCAAAAUUGAUCGAGAUUGUGGAGUGAAAUUAACUUGCCUAUGUAAGGGAUUUGGCCACGCCCUUCAAGAUUUCUCAACUUACUUAAACUGAAUAUUUUUUCAGGAAAAGUUUCAACCUGGGGACUGAACUGAAGGUAUUGCAAGUGGUAAAGAGCACACAAUGAUCCUGGCAAUUUGGAGAUUGAAGUUCUUGUGAGGUUCAAGUACCGAAGGUGCUUCAAUUCACCAACAGAUUCAGGCAGGUUGCUGCUGUUAUAGAACUCCAGAAUAAGUACACGCAACUUCUUCAAAUUCUGCACCACCUGCUGGAAAAUGUCUCUUGCAUCAUCUGUAACUGGCUCAAGGCAGACAAAGGUACGUAAAUGAUGUAGCCUGCAGAUCAAACGCUGAUGUUGCUUCAAACUCUUAACACGAACAGACAGAUGUCGAACAGUUUGUGGUAUUGUUGCCAUCUUAUCAUCUUCUAAUCUGAAGCAGACUUCUUUAGACAAUGACUCUGCCAAAUCAUGAACGAGAUCAUGCAUAACAUACCAGUCCAUAAUUAUACCAUCAUUGUAAACUGGUUGAAAGAAUGAAACUGAGAGCAUCUCAUCAAAGCAGUCCCUCCCAAUAUCUUCAAUUCUUUUGUUCACAUUGCACGAAUCAAAAAGUCCCUCUCCUACCCACAUGCGAACCAACUCCUCCAUGAUAAAGCUGUUGCCUUUUGGAUAUAAACUGCAAUAUAGGAAACACCUCUGCAGACUUGGAUCUAAAUUCUCGUAACUCCACAAAAGUGCUCUACUGGGAUCACUUAAGUUGUCAAUCCUUAGAGCAUCUUCCCAUGCUGCCUUAUCCUUUUUCCUGCUUAGUUGUGAACCCACAGUUUUUGCUGCCAGAGGAGAUCUUCCAAGUCUUUUAGCAAGCUUCUCUGCAAUCGUUUCUAGCUGCUCAUGCAACCUCUGGUCUCCAAUUGCUGCACCAGAAAAGGCAUGUUCCUUCAAGAGUGCUAAGAUAUCAGUGUUUUUCAUUUCUUUCAAAAUAAUAAUUUCCUUACAGUAAAGAGCAGCUGGAAGUGUCUCGGAUCGAGAAGUUACCAAAACUUUGCUUCCUGUGUGUCGAGAAACUAGAGGAGCCAGUAGUUGCUCCCAGUCCUCAUUGCUGUUUUUUUCAAACCAGACAUCAUCCAACACAAGCAGGAAUCUCUCUGAUUUUUUCAGGGUGUCCCUUAAUAUGCAUUGGAGAGUAUCAAGAUUAUCAACAGGUGGGCACUGCCCUCCUUUUGCUGAUUCAAUAAUCAACCGUGUAUGGCCAAUAACAUCAAGUUUGCGCGAGAUGCAAACCCACAUCCUGACCUGAAAAUGUUCUUUUACCCUCUCGUCAUUGUAAACAUAUUGCGCCAAGGUGGAUUUUCCCAUGCCUCCAAGUCCAACAAUGGCUAGACCAGAAAACCUACUUGUAUCAGACUCAGCAGCAAUCAGCUUGGUAAGAAGACCUAUAAUAUCAUCGCGGUCCUUGUCACGACCAAUCACUUUCGGAGGUGCUAUUGAUGUGGCCACUCGAAUAACAGCUGCUGGCAUUGUGGAGGCCCCAGCAGGUAAGCAAAGUAGUUCACGGAGGCCCUUGGCUUUCGCAAGGAUGAGCUUCAGUUCCUUCAACUGGUCGAGUAGCUUUUUGUUCUUUGGGCGCAGAUUGGACAGCCUGCUCGACACAGUAUGCACAUGCUUCAUAAUAGUACCACUAGAAGAUGCAUGUUCUAUCAAAGAAUCCUUCCCCUUCUCUGCUUCGCGCUUGAGGAUGUUGUACUCAUGCUCAUCUAGCAGGUCCUCAGCUUUACAGAAUGCGUCUUUGAGCUGCUGGAUCCAGUUGUUCAACAUUGCCCUGUGAGGGCUCUUGUUAGCUGCUUCAACCAGUAGAGUGAACUGUGGCAUGAUGUUGGUCUCCAGUUCAUGGAGCUCACUCACCAUGUCCACACCAAGACACCUUGCGGGGUCAGCUAGCAGCUUCUUCAAGAUCGGUGAUACCACCAACUGUAAGCCAGCCCGUACACCAGCCACAGCCAAUGCCACUUCCGCCAUUGAAAGCACACCGUGGUAUUGAGGGGGGUGUAUCUUUUUUUUUUGUGUGUUUCUUGGAAGUAGAAAGGCACGGUGGGAAAAUUGGGAUUUUUUGAGGAAUGAAAAUCGGGAAUAUAACAGAGCAAAUAUGGGAAAUAGGUAAAAUUACUCUGAAGGCAGAUUGUGUUUGUGUGUGUAUUCACAGAAUCUUCAAUUUGGUUGGUGGUUGGUGGAGAAGAUGAAAAAAUGAUGCAAAGAAGUGUAUCUGGAGGGGACACUGAGACAGAAUGAAUGGGUGAAGACACUAAACCGUAGGGUCAAUACGGAGAAGUAAACAAUAGCUAACUCUAAAGAUUCCUCAAAAAAGAAAAAGAUGGCUUCUGGAGUGUAAAUCAAAGGUUCAAGACAGCAAUAGAUGGGAAACCUGCAUGAGCGAAAACAGGGAGAUAAAUCAGUGAACAUACAGCAAACAGAGCCGCUGCAAGCUGAUUCUUCUUCCUGCUUUUGUGCAAGUUAAUAGUAUAUUUGAAGAAGAAAACGGCAAGAGCAAGACUAACAGUGACAAGAAAGAAAACGAAGGGCAUAGAGCUUACGUUGAUGAAGGGUGAAGGCUGAUGAAGGUAGCUAGCGAUUGCAGGAGCAGGUGCGGUGAUGAAGGGGAAUGAGAAAUUGCGGGAGAGGCGAAUUGGAGGCAACACAAGACCGAUGGGGUGAAAUCAAAGGUUUUUGAUAGCAAUAGUUGAAAAACCUGCAGGAGUAAAAAACAGGGAAAUAAAUCAGAGAGCUGCAUCAUAGAACACACUGUAAACAGUGCCGCUGCACACUGAUUCUUCUUCUUGCCUUUGGCAAGUAGAUGUAUUUGAAGAAGAAUACUAACAGGGACAAGGAAGAAAACAAAGGGCAGCGAGCUUCCACAGAUGAUGAGCUGCAGGAUGACCAAGGCAGCGAGCGAUCGCUAGAGCCGGUGUGAUGAUGAAGGGGAAUGGGAGGUUGCGGGCGAGGCGAAUUGGAGGCAGCACUAGACCAUAAGAGAAAUAGGACGCAAGACACUCCAAAUGGGGGUCAAGAAGACAUGAAUGGAUCUGAUCCACCUAGUCGAAUUUUUUAACUUGAGCUGAGCCCAACUUGCUGAAAAGCUAAUAGGUACACACUGUCUUUAGCGCACUCACUAAUCAAAUGAUGAUUAAAAUACAUGAAGUGGCCGCCUUAGGUAUAAUUAAUAAAAAGAAAGUGCCCAUCCACUCAUGUUUUUUAACAAUGAAACGGUAGGUCAUCUUACCUGCUUCUCUUUAUUUGUUUCUUUCUUUCUUUUCCAUUAUCAUGACUGGCCCUUUUGUGAUUUCCAAGAACCAUCGCUCCAGUUCUCAAAGGUAUGACACAGAAUAAAAUUAUGAUCUCAUAUGCCUUCAAUUUACAGGAUAUCCAUGGCAAUUGACAAUUGCAAAUGGGUAAUAUGAUGUGCAUUGAAGGAACAACAAUGAAGACAGAACAUGACAACGUGAAACACAGAGGAAGUGGGGGAUAAGACAGAUUAUGACAACUGUAGCAGUUUGGGCCUGAAGAUAGGUCACCUUACCUGCUUCUCCUUCUUCUUUUUUCCAUCGCCAUCACUGGCCUUUCAUAGUUUCCAAGAACAAGCUGGAGCAGGUAGGCCACAUCCCUGCAUGAACAUAGGUGAGAGGUUAACUAACUGCCUCGAAGCAUGAUCAACAGUAAACAUAGGUACCCAACAUGUUUCAUCCUCCUCGGAAAAGAAAGAACAACGAUUGCAUGUAAAUCGGAUGGGUUUUUCCCCACUGUUGGUGACCCAAAUUGAGUUGUCAAGGCAAGAAUCAGUGGUUACAUGGAACAAAUUGCCUCAACAUAGGUUAACUGACUGCCCCGGGCAUGCUGAAGCAAGCAAACUCUGCUAAGGUAAUUGUUUCUCCCCUGCCACCAACACCAACCUCCGAUACAUGGAGCCAAGUGUGGAAUAAUACUAAUCUGAACUGACCAUAGCGAUCUGAUCCAGCUAGUUACGUGUUUUAACUUGAGCUGAGCUCAACUUGCGGAAAAAAGUAGCAGGUACCCAGUGUUCCGUAGCGCACUCACUAAUCAAAUGACGUUUAAAACACAACAAGUGGCCCAAGCUGCCGGCCUAAGCUAUACUUUAAUAAGAAGUAAGUACUCAUUCGUUCCUCUUUUUGUGGUGUUAUACGAUCAAAGAGUGUUUGUUGGUGCCAUGUUUUGAUAUUACUCGAACAAAGAGUGUUGUUGGCGUGAUGGAGUAAACCGAGGUAACCACUGUUUCAACAGGGAUGAAUAUCAGUCGGCAAUUAAUUAGAAGCAGCGGUUGUGCUGAAAACAGGAGGCAAGUCACAAAACAGGAAGGUCUGGGAUUGAGGUGAGUUGUUAACCUGAAGACUCACCAGCUUGAAUCUUGUCAGUUUGCAUACCGCGUAGUGUAGGACGGACCUGGUGGUAGCACAUCAAAAGCAAGAAAGUCAGUGAAGUUUGUUUUAAAGAGUACGUACGAACAAAAAUGGUAGGUAGGUCGCCUUACUUGCUUCUUCUCUCUUUGUUUUCCAUCACCAUCACUGGGCCCUUUGUGAUUUCGAAGCGCCUUCCUACGCUCGAGUUGUGAAAGUUACGACAAACAAUAAAAUACCAUCUCUUAUGCCUUUGAUUUACAUACAGGGAAUCAACGGCGACAUACAAUAGCAAAUGGGAAACAAUGAUAAUGAUAUGCAUCAAAGGAACAACACUAGAGGCAUAUUAUGACAAAUUGCGCUAGCAGUAUUAUUGUUACCUGCUUCUGUCUCUUUGGUCUCAACAGCGAUGAUGCGAUACGCCGUCACACUCUUCAUGGCGUUGUCAGGGAGCCCGGGUUCAUCUCCUUCGUACCACGUCAUCAUUGGUGUGGCUAGGUUGGAUCCCUACUCGAGGCCUCUUCGACUCUAGAGUGAGGCCAUCUUGCCUUCCUCCUACCUUAUACAUGUCCUUGUUGGCACCUCGCUCGUUCCGCAUUGUUCGCAGGAGAUCCUUGACGAUGCCAAUCUUGCAUAUUUCUCCGUUGAAGCUCUCUUUCCGACUGGGAGUCGCCUUGCAACUAGCACAUGUGACCGGUUGUUUGGAAUUGGCUGGCAGUGUUCUUUUGUGCUUGUUGUGGUGAGGGCCCAGCCAAUGGCUGGGCACUCUGAAUUCGAAGUCGCUUUGAUCGCGGAGUGAUAAUGACAGCCGUUGUUCGGUGUCGUGUGUGAGUAGCCAGGCGGGGCCAUGUGUUGGCUUGUUAUGGCGACUUUGUCUUAUUUAUUUAAUUAGCUGGACAAUUCUCUUUUUAAUUAUUAUAUGAUACGAGGCAAAACAUUACCUCCGUUUUAAAAAAAAAUCAAUUAGGGAUUCCAUUCAAAAGGAACCGCUCGUAAAUAUUAAUUAAAUUGAUUAAGAGUAAUGCUAGACUCACGGGCAGUCUACGAAGAAUUUACGGGGUGGUUAAGGCUAAUUGGCUGGAAUUUAGACAGGGCCGUCUCCAGGAAUUUGGGGCCCCAAUACGAAAUGCAAAACGAGGCCCUACUUUUUAUUUUACAAAUCAUAUAACUAAAACUAACAUAAUUAGCAAAACAUACUAUCACUUAAUUAUAUAACUAAAAAGAGUAAAGGUAGUACUAAAAAUAAAAUAAAAUAAAAUAAAAAAGAGACCUCAUGUUUUACUGAAAAGCAUCAUCAAACUGGUCUAUGUAUCCGUUCUCCACUGCUGUGAAUUGUAGUGCGAUAGACUAGAUCCAGUGAGAAAUUCUUCUACUGCACAUCACCAACAACAGGUCAAGUAGCUACCUGGAAAGUUAUAGAAACAAUCAAACCACUGAUCGAGCCAAUAAACAAUGGAUUGCCUUUACUUUUGAAUCACAAAAUUUUAGUGAUCCCUUUUGUGUUUGCUUCCGUAAUACCGUUAGAACAUGUGUGGAUCUUCCCUCAAAAAAAAAAAAGAACAUGCGUGGAUCAGUUGACAGACGUGGAGGCGGAGAGCUUCUCGUCCUUGACUUUUUCUAACAGCCCUGUCCAAGCAAUCUGCAGCUCGGAUGAACGGGUCACAAAUUCAUGUCGUGGGGACUCAAAACGGACCAACGGAGGAAACGGGUAGAUCUGCAGAUGAAGACCUAAGACAUAGAACAUGGCCGCUGGGCAGACAGCGCGCAGAUGAAACGUCGACGCGACGGCUGGACCGGCGUUUGGGCGACUCGUGAAUAAGGGUGGAAGAGUGGGCAGGCCUUUUUCUCUCGUGCUAUCCCUUGAUGGCCUGGCCUGGCCUCCCUCUGUCCUAAAAUUCUUGUCUUAGAUUUGUCUAGAAAUGAAUGUAUCUAAUACUAAAACGUGACUUGAUACAUUUAUUUUAUUUUUGGAGGGGGGAAGGGGGAGGUAUAAUGAAUAACGACACAGCGAUUUGAGGGCCCCAGUUUUUCAGGAGCCCUGUGCGCAUGCACAGCUGGCACAUGCCUCUCGACGGGCCUGAAUUUAGAUAAGUGAGGUGGGCCCACUCCUGAAAAUCAAGAGGACGUACGGAUCUCUUGCUGAAGCGUUGGAGUAAUUGGGCCAACGCACUAGUGAUAUUUUUCAAAAAUUUGAGUAAAAGGGAAGCGCCUCAGCGAUCGAACCUGGGAUCACAUGGUUGCUUCCAUUGGUGGACCUAGCCCACUGGGCCAGGGUGGGCCAGCAGUGUACUAUACAUAUACACUUACUUUUUAAUUUUUUUUAGCUUUCUCCUAUGAUACAAAUGCUGUUUUCAAAUCUCAGGGUGGGCCCACCCUGGCCACCCUCUACCACCGCCACUGACUUGCUUCGUUACCCUGAUAGCCAUUUUAUACUGGUUCUGUGUGUUUUUUUCAUCAGGUUUUCUUCAUUUAUUUUUCCCUCCUUUUACAGUUCUUUCUCUCUUCCUCAUUUUUAUUCGAUUUUCUAUGGUUUUUUGCUUUUUCCUUUCCUUUUUUUGUUUGGUUUUGUUAUAUCUUCUUCGUUUCUUUGUUUUUUCUUUUCGCUUUUUAAUGUUUCUUUCAUUGUUUUUAUCAGUUUUUCCACUUUUUUGCAUUUGUUUGUUUGUUUGUAUUUAUUUUUCAUUUUCCUUUUUCUUUGGUUUAUUUUGUUUCUCUUUCGAGUGUCGGAUGCUCGGUUUGGGAGAAGCCCAGUUGAGCAGCUGACGAACCCGUCUAUUCUCUUGCAACCCCUUUGUCCUUCAAAUAAUAAACCAUCUAUUUUAUUACAUGCUUAUGUGAAAACUAAAUUUGGUUGGGGAGGGGGGGGGGGGCAUUGGACCCCUUUGUCCUUCAAAUAAUAAACCUGAACCUGGAUGCCUUGCUCUCUGCUGCCACCAGCAUGCCUUGGCACGAUCGAGGCACGCUUCCGCGGAUUCACCUGGGGCAAAAUAAAGCAUCGCUACUCCUUGUUUGGCACUGGUAGUAACAUCCCUUAAGUAGUGGAACAAGAAACACUUCGACGGUUAAGAGCGGAUCUAGGAGACGGAGUUGUUUUCAAGGUGGAUUUCAAGAAAGCAUACGACAAAGUCAAAUGGCCUUUCCUUCAGCAGGCCUUACGCAUGAAGGGUUUUGAUGAAGCUUGGCGACGCCAGGUUGAAUCCUUCACGCAAAAAAGGAGUGUUGGAAUUAAAGUGAAUGAUGGCAUUGGUCAUUAUUUCCAGACACACAAGGGCCUGAGACAAGGUGAUCCAAUGUCUCCUAUUUUGUUCAACAUUGUGGUUGACAUGUGUUGGCAAUUCCGAUAGGAAGGGCCAAGGAGGCUGGUCAGGUGGGCGGAUUGGUGCCUCAUCUGGUUGAUGGAGGUGUGUCAAUCCUGCAGUACGCUGAUGAUACAAUCAUCUUUAUGGAGCACGACUUGGCGAAAGCGAGAAAUAUGAAGCUGGUGUUAUGCUUAUUUGAACAAUUGACCGGACUAAAGAUCAAUUUUCAUAAAAGCGACUUGUUCUGCUUUGGUAGAGCCAAUGCGGAAUAAGAGGCUUAUAGGCAAUUGUUUGGAUUCGAAUUGGGGGCAUUACCUUUCACUUACUUAGGUAUACCCAUUCACCAUCGUAAGCUGACGAGCAGAGAAUGGAAGAGCAUUGAAGACCGGUUUGAGAAGAAACUAAGUUGCUGGAAGGGCAAACUCCUGUCUUAGGAGGCCGACUAAUACUUAUUAAUCCGGUGCUCACGAGUAUGCCCAUGUUUCUCUUAUCUGUUCACUUAUUCCGAAAGCAAUUAAGCUGAUAGACCUAGCUGGUAGCAGUGUGGAAAGUAAAACAUUAACUUUGCGAUGCUUCCAGUAGAUCAGUAGCAUGCAUGUUUUGGGCAAUCCAUUUAGCUGCUGUGCUGUGUAAAUUGAAAGUGAAGAACCUUUAUAAGUUAAACCCAGGUGCAUGCUUGUAUACCUGAUUUGAUAUGCUUUUAAACUGUACCUGGGUACUAAACCCAAGUUAAGUAUACCACCCGAGUAUCUUGACGCGCGCGCAUAAUAUGCUGGAUGGAUAGCUCAUGGUCUGUUCCUGCACCCUUCUAGCUAAAUGUGUAGCUCAUGGUUCUGUGUAGCAGAAUAUGUUUAAAUUUUCUGGGUGGGGGUACCCUUUUUUACUCUGAAUAAGCGACACAAGUGCUCAAAAACCUGCAUACAUAGCCCUGAACAUUUAUGGUCUCUGUUGUUAUAUGCUGCUGUGUACGUUAAUGCCUGUACUUACAUGGUUGUGUUUUGGUGGGUCUAGUCCUUGUUGAGACUGGAAUAAGCGACUCUUCAGAAGGAAAGUGUAGGGUAACUUUUAUUGCACAAGUUAACUUGAGACUGGUUAAAAAAAAGAUUGAACGAUGUGCUGCCUUGCAGUGUCUGCAACAAGAGUGGAGGACUCCUUUGCGGCUUGAAUGGUCGGUAUUCACUGGACUGGAUUAUAGAUCUGUGGCGGUUAAAUUUAUGACUGCCUCUGUUUCUAUUUGACAGCAUUUCGGUGUUGGGUGGUACGCUCGGAUUUCAUCAUUCAACUUGUAAGCCGAAUUGCUCCGGUCCAGCCCUCCCAUAUGCUAGGCAAAGAGUGGCACAAACCCCACAUAGCGUUCCAUGGUGCUUUCCUUUGCUUGUCUUCGCGGGUGAAAAUAUGAAUGGGAUGCUUUGCUUCUCUCCACUGUUGGGACUGGGAAUGGGAUGCUUUGCUCCAGCUGCCAACUUUUGCCCCCAUAUCAUCUUAACUGCUGCUGUGUAACUGCUACGGUGGCUUGGCAUCUGCGUAAUUAACUGUAUGCGGGCAGCGUUGGAUGCCCGCCUCCCGCAUCCGUGUCCGNNNNNNNNNNNNNNNNNNNNNNNNNNNNNNNNNNNNNNNNNNNNNNNNNNNNNNNNNNNNNNNNNNNNNNNNNNNNNNNNNNNNNNNNNNNNNNNNNNNNNNNNNNNNNNNNNNNNNNNNNNNNNNNNNNNNNNNNNNNNNNNNNNNNNNNNNNNNNNNNNNNNNNNNNNNNNNNNNNNNNNNNNNNNNNNNNNNNNNNNNNNNNNNNNNNNNNNNNNNNNNNNNNNNNNNNNNNNNNNNNNNNNNNNCGGAUGCGGGAGGAAAUAAGCUGCAUCCACUCACACUACAAAUGUGUGAUCUGUUUACCUGAUCUAGAGAAUAUUGUGAUAAGACAGAGUUAAAACUUGUUAAGCAGAUUUGCUCUCCAACACCAGAUCGUUCACUUUUGACAAUGUGCACUGCUGUCCCACUUUUUUAUUUUCACUUUCCAACACCAAAUCACUUGUGACAUGAUUGAGUUGAAUGUCCUCCUGAUCUGAAGGAGCAGGAGGACAUCUCGUCCAUCUCAAAGGUUGGUGAGGUAAUUCGAUCGAGUUUAAUAUUCGUCUUCUCUAAUUACACUUAGCGCUAAUUAAGUCCCACCUGCUUAAGUUUCACCUUUGCUUUAUUAUCACAGCAAGUUAUACAAUACAAUAGCGAUGGUAGUUGUUGCUUAAGUUUCACCGUUUCUUUAUUAUCUCAAUAGGGACUUGUUUUGUAACCAUUUGAAUUGCAAAUACAACAAAUUGUUACGUUUAUUUAAUAUGCGAAAUAUAUGAGUCUUGAAGUGUCAACCGGCCCAGCGCGCGCCGCUGUCAUUUGGCGUGCGCAUGAGGCAAUAGCAUAUCUUGGCAUCAAGGAAAAGCUCAGCUGCCCUGUGGCCAUAAAAAAAAUAUCAAUGCCCUCUUCUGUUCAGCUCAGCUGCUUUGCUUGCUCCAUCGAUGGGAAUGGGAUGCUUUGCUUCUCUCCGCCUGAUGCUUUACCCACCUCCGGCUGCCAACGAGUACCCUGUGGCUGUGGCAUUGCUUCCCAGAUACCAAUCCCUCCAGGCUCCAGGUCUUCCCCAGCACUGCCAUCGCUCCCGCCGCCACCGCCGUCCGCUGGUAUUUGUCGCCGCCGACUGCUGUGCCGCGCAGUGCACCCCAUCAAUCUCAAAGGUUGGUGACGUAGUUUCUGUGCUUGAGGUAGUUAGUUAGUGUUCAAGUUUUAUUUCCUUGUCUCUGUCUGCUGCUUAAAACUCACUUUAAUUGCCUCCAAUUGUAAUCACAGCACAAGGCCAACAAGUUGACCAAUGGCGAUGGUGUUGGAUGCUUUUGCAUCCUACAUCGGGGACUACCUCAAGCAGGUGGUACAAGAUGAGCUCGGAACGAUGCUGGGCGUCUCCAGCGAGAUCGACAAGUUGGGCGACAAGCUUCUCGACCUUAAGAACUUCCUCACUGAUGCUGAUAGGAGGAACAUCACCGACGACACUGUCAAAGUCUGGGUGGGGCAGCUCAAGCGUGCCAUGUAUGAAGCUGCUGAUAUCCUUGACCUCUGCCAGCUCAAGGCCAUGGAGAAGCGUGGGUCAUCCUCCUCAGAUGCAGGGUGUUACAAUCCCUUUCUUUUCUGCAUGAGGAAUCCCUUCCAUGCUCGUGAGAUCGGCACUCGCAUCAAGGCGCUCAGCCAGAGGCUUGAUUCCAUCAAGCAGCGGAGUGCUGCUUUUAACUUCAUCAAUCUUGGGUCCUACGAGGAACAUAGCAGCUCUCGUCAUGGUAAUCCCAGCCGUGAGACGUCAGGGGAGCUCGACAGGUCAGGCGUGGUUGGGGACAAGAUCGAAGAAGACACAAGAGCACUGGUGGCCCGGAUCACACGCACUGGAAAUGAGGCCAGCAACAACAUUAUGGUGGUCGCUAUUGUAGGUGUUGGUGGGAUUGGCAAGACCACCCUCGCCCAAAAGGUCUUCAACGACGAGGCCCUCCAAGGUGACUUCAGCAAAAAGAUAUGGUUGAGCGUCAACCAAAACUUUAGUGAGGUUGAGCUGCUGAGAAGAGCCAUCAUCGAAGUCAGAGGAGACACUCAGCCAGUUGGAAAUGCAAAGGCCACGCUUCAAUGAACCCUCAAGGAAGCCUUGAUUGGUCACAAGACCUUCUUGAUAAUGGAUGAUGUUUGGAACUAUAGAGCAUGGGAGGAUGUGCUCAAAACACCAUUAGUCAAUGCUGCUGCUCCAGGCAGCCGUGUCCUCGUCACCACUAGAGAUGAAGGUGUAGCCCGAGGGGUGUCAGCUAUAUGGCCGUACCAUCAUGUCGACACAUUAGCACCCGACGAUGCUUGGUUAUUGCUCAAGACGCAGGUCAGUAUGCUAUUAAACAACAUUACCUUUAUCAAGCAAAUAAUCUAUCUACAUCUACUUAUUAAUAGGUGUAUAAAGUAGUUCUUUCAUAGAAAUGUUAGGAUGCUUCCAAAAUUAAUCAGGUGUGGUUUCAAUCGCUUAUAUGUGCUACUACUACCUUAAGAGGCUGUCAAUAAUUUCACAGGGCUAAUAUUACUUUGCUAGUGCCAACAAAGCAUUGUGCUAAACAAGGAAAUAUAUCACUAUAUAGUUUGGCCAACAUUGUUUGAUCUAGUAAGUACUAUGCAUUUUAGGUGAUGGGAAGAUGGAUAUAUAGCUUCACGUGCCUGUAAAAUAAGGAAGAUAAUAAAUAUUAUAUGAUUUUACUAAAUCUGAGUGCAAGUUUCUAUCUCAAUGACGGGAGUACUGCAAAAAUAUAUUGCUAGUAAUACAUUCAGUUUUUGAAAAAAAAAGAGGAAAGGAAGAAUUGUUUUCUAGGUACGAAGUAAAGUUUUAAAAGCGCUAGGCAUUGCAUCUGGCCACCGCCUUACUCUUUUAUGACCAAAGCACACACUUAAGUGCAAUUAUGCGCACAUUAUGUGCUGGUCAUUUUGCUACCGCUCAGAGACUGGCAUGCCUUUUUCUAAUAAUGGUAUAAAAUAUGUAUUUUAUUUGUCGAAUUCAUAUCGCAAAUAUUUGUAUGUAGGAGCAAGAUAGGUAAAUGCAUUCAUGACAUUUUUUGACAUGUACAUUCUGUGAUAUGAAUAUUUACAUUGUCAAACCUAGCUUAAUAAAUGGACAGAUAAAUCAAUUAGUAUUCUUGUCUCUUAGAAGGUAAAUUUGAGUGCCUUAAAGGAGCUUGGUUCAUGGUUAAUUAACUGUAGCUGCCCCUUGUAUUGCAUGGUUGCAGGUACUCUCAAGUGAGAUAAAUGAAGACCACAUAAAUACGCUAAAGGAUAUUGGACUCAAAAUUAUUCAAAAAUGUGGUUAUUUACCACUCGCCAUCAAAGUAAUGGGAGGACUUUUGCGUGAAAGAGGAGGGCUACGUCGUGACUGGCAGCAUGUUUUGGAUGAUUCAAAAUGGUCAAGAACUAAAAUGCCUGAUGAGCUUAACUAUGCAGUAUACUUAAGCUAUGAAUAUAUGCCUUCUUACCUGAAGCAGUGCUUUCUGUACUAGUCUCUUCUUCCUAAAAGUAGAAAUUUUACUAUGGCUGAAGUUGUUGCAAUGUGGAUUAGUGAAGGAUUUAUUCAUGGAAAUUCCAAUGAUUUAGAAGAAUUAGGAGAAAAUUACUACAAGGAGUUGGUAUCUAGGAACCUGAUAGAGCCAGAUAAAUUGUAUUCUGAUAUAUGGUUUUGCAACAUGCAUGAUGUUGUUCGCUCAUUUGCUCAGUAUAUGACUAAAGAUGAAGCACUUGUAACUACUCAAGACGGAGACAAUGAUAUUAUUGCUAAACUUGAUUCACAAAAGUUCCUUCGGUUGUCAAUAGAAACUAACCGAUCACAAUCAGGUGAACUUGAUUGGAAAUCUCUUCAGACACAGCAAUCGGUGAGAACAUUGAUCUCAACUAUCCACAUUAAGAUCAAGCCUGGUGAUUCAUUGGCUACUUUUCCUAGUUUGCGGACUCUGCAUAUAGAAUCUGCAGAUGUGGUAGCAUUGAUUGAAUCGUUGCAUCAACUCAAGCACCUGAGGUAUCUAGCACUUGUCAAUGCUGAUACAUCUGUACUUCCAGGGAACAUUGGCAAGAUGAAACUGUUGCAAUUCCUUGACCUUUGUGGAUGUUCAAAAUUGGUGAAUCUUCCUAAUAGCAUUGUGAAGCUUGGCCAGUUGAGGUCUCUUUCACUCCCCGCAACAAGUACGGUACCUAGAGGGUUUAGUGGUUUGACAAAUAUGAGGAGACUAUGUAGGUUCCCAUCCCACGUGGAUGGUGAUUGGUGUAGUUUGGAUGAGUUGGGGCCUCUUUCACAGCUCAGAUAUCUUGGAUUAAUUACAUUAGAAAAUGUAUCUGAUGCCUUGUUUGCUGCUAAUGCUAGGCUCGGCGAGAAGAUGCAUCUUAUCAGUCUAUACAUGCACUACACCAGUAAACUGGGAGGUGAUGGAUUGGCCAAAGAUAUGGAAGGUGUCUCUGAGCAAGAGCAUCAACGAAUUGAGAAGGUUCUCGAUAAGCUCUACCCUCCACCUGGUUUAGAAUAUCUUCAAAUCAUGGGGUAUUUUAGCUCGCAACUCCGGAGUUGGAUGAUGUCCACAUCAAUGGCGCCUCUCAAAAACUUGAAGACUAUAUUUUUUGAUGAUCUGCCUUGUUGCACUCAACUUCCCAAUGGGUUGUGCCAACUCCCCAAUCUGCAGUUUCUACAGGUCUCUCGUGCUCCAUGCAUCAAACAUGUGGGGACUGGAUUCUUGCAGGCGGCAACAGCUUCAUUUCCGAGGUUAAAUAAACUGAUCUUCAUGGGAAUGGUGGAAUGGGAGGAGUGGGAGUGGGAGGAGCAAGUAUAGGCCAUGCGUCGUUUGGAGAAGCUUGUGCUCGGUAAAUGCAGACUUAGGCAUUUUCCUCCAGGCCUUGCCUCCCAUGCAAGCUCUUUGAAAAUAUUAUAUCUACAAGAUGUCAAGCACCUUAGCUACAUUGAGGGCAUUCCUUCUGUUGUUGAGCUUACAGUGCAUGGAUGCCCUGACCUGGACAUGAUCACCAAUCUCCCCAAUCUUCAGAAGCUUAUCAUCAUGAACUGCGCAAAGUUGAAGGUGCUGGAGUGUAUCGCUUCACUCGAGAGGCUGGUCCUGGAGGAUUACUCCAUGGAAAAACUCCCGGAAUACAUGCGAGAUUUAAAGCCAAGGAAUUUGCAGUUAUUCUGCAGGCUAUGGCUGCUCUCUGCGGUAGCCGCAGGACAAUCUGCAGAAAAUAUGGCACUGAGUGGGACAAGUUCAGCCAAGUGGAGCAUGUCAAGGCAUAUGCACGUGACGGAGACAACCAAAGAAAAUGGUACGUUUUGUACACCAGAGGAGACAACUGCAAGUUGGAUUCAAAUAUCAGCAGCUCUAGCAUAUUUGAAGGUACAGAAAAUCAAACAUACAUACAAGCUUUCUCUUAAUUUGUUUGACCACUCUGAUUCUGCCAGUUUAUAUGGUCGUUUGAUUUUAUCUCUUGCUUUUCGUCCAUAUAUGCUGCAUGAUGACCGUAUUUGUUAUGUACCUUCCUAGUGUGCAUCUUGCUCAGUAUUUGUCUUCUUACUUGUUCUUCUAGGUUUUCUCGAGUUUAACAGAUCUAGAAUAUCAUGUAACCAGUUUUGUGUUUUUCUUGCCAUGCAGAAACCUUAUCAUCUUCUAUGGUGGAUGCACAAGGAUUUGAGUCUAUGUAUAAAAUGAGAAGAAGCACCUUUAGUUACGUCUGCAGCUUGGUGAGGAUCCCAUUUUAUGAAGAUAUGAUGGCAAGGGAGCCCAUCUUUGUCGAUGGGAGAGUGUUGUCUUUACAAGACAGAGUAGCUGUCGCUCUGAAAAUGCUGAAUUCUGGUGACUCUCCGGUUAGCAUAGGAUCCUCUCUUGGUGUGAAUGAGUCAACUAUCUUGCUGGUAACUAAGGUGUUUGUUGAGGCUUUAUGGAAGCGAGCAUUUCACCACAUCAGCUGGCCUGGCUCCGCUCAAAUGGAGAAGAUGAAGCGCAAGUUCGACAAGAUACAUGGUUUGCCAAACUGUUGUGGCAUUGUACAAACAGCUCACAUCACAUUUGGAUCACAAAGCGGUGACCAUGAGGAGAAUGACAGCACGUUAAUGCAAGCCAUGGUUGAUCCAGAUAUGAGGUUCACAAAUAUUUGGUUGGGGCCGUCGGGUAGCAUGAACCAAUUGAGCGUUUUACACGACUCUUGGCUCUUUGAGUCCUGCCAGGAGGGUACUGUGCUGAAUGGCAGUACGCUGAAUUUAUCAGAUGGCUUGGAAGUUGGGGAAUACAUAAUUGGUGAUGCAGGAUACCCUCUUCUCCCCUGGCUCCUCACACCUUAUAACCUGGAAGACAAGGACCACUCUCCAGAUGUUCUGCCUUAUCAAGCCGAGUUCAACAGGAGACACGCUGCAGCGUCAACCAUCAUGACUGCUGCGCUCACGAGGUUGAAAGCCGAUUGGAGGAUCCUAGACAGAGCGAUUGGUUCAUGUCCACUUGUUGAAACAAUCUAUGCGUGCUGCAUGUUGCAUAAUAUAGUGAUAGACAUGGAAGAGGGGGAGGAAGAGGGGGAGGAAGAGGGGGAGGAAGAGGAGGAGGAGGAGGAAGUUGCAGGCAUGGAGGAGGAGGAGGAGGUGCGGCAGUUAGCUGACGAGGACGCCGUGAGGGUGAGGGACGUACUGGCCAAGCACUUGAUUGAAUCUAGAGGUAAAUCAGCACGGCUGUUAUUGUGUCUGUUCUGACUCUAGCUUUGUCUCUCUUAAUUUCUCCUUUUGCAAUUCCCUGCUACUCUAUUUGAGAUGAACAUGCUAAUUUCACUUCACCCGCUUGGCUGCAGAGGAGGAAAACGAAGCAGCAGCAGCAGUUGUUGCAUCCAGUUCAGGAGAUGAAAACAAGGAACAGGGUGCACGCCGACCACAGACAGCAGCGGAUCGGGGAAAGGAGAAAGUGCAUGAUAGAUAGCUAGCUUUGGAGGUGAGAGCAGAUUGUACUCUACUGUUCUUUUUUCUCUGCUAUAUUAAUCGUGCUUCAAGUCGCAGUUCUGUUGUUAGUUCAUUCUUUUGCUAUUUCCCUUGGUGAUUUGUUAAGUUACUUGAUGGAAAGAGAGUAGUGAGCUGAUAAUACACCUGUUGGCAAAAGAAACUAGUCUUAUCAAUGCACCUGGUUAGCAAUAUGGUCAGUAGAACACACUGCAUAUUAAGGCCCUGUUCGGUAAUGGUCCGCGCUCCUGGAAUCUGCGGAGCGGGUAAAUGGCAACUCCACCAUUUUGACCUACAGCUCCGCCAACUCCGCUCCGGGAGCUGUGGAGCGGAGCGAUGUCGAACAGCCCCUAACUGACCGGCUGUAUAACUUUUGAGUGUCCAGUAUGCAUGCAGAGUCAUUUACUAGUAUCUCAUCCAGUUUAAAUGUUGAUGCAUGUGAGCAGGCCGAAGGGAGAGUAGCUUGUACUAGACGGAUCUUCAUCCUGCUGCUCGGCUACAUCAAAUCAAAUCGCCACCUGCGGAAGGGAUGCGGCUAUCUACACCACUAAACAUAAAGUUGCAUCGGUGAAUUUGUUUCUUUGGUUUUUCUUUUUUCUCCAAAUGUUUGGUUAAGACAAGUGAGGCGUGUUUUCAGGUGAGAACAGUUAAUAGUGUAGCUGCACAGAGACUGCAGAGCACUUGUGUUUGUGUUUACAUUCUUUGAGUUGGUUUCUGUAACCUGAUGACAGAAUUGACCAUCAGGGUGUAAGCCGAAGAAACUGAAACUGCUGUUUUUUUUUUCUUUUAUGCGGGCGGACUGAAACUGUUGCUGUGCCUACUAUUGUCAUGAAACCUGAUUCUGUAUAUGCUACAACAGGUACUAGCAACUGGCCUGCACAAACGAAACAGGGUUUUGAUGUUGUGGUUGCAAAAAUACUUAUUGAUCCACUGUCUGUGGCUGAUGUGUUCACCUCGUAUGCAUGGCGGGGCAUUUUUCUUUCCUGGAAUGAACAGUUUUUUCAGGUUUGAAGUUUUUGAGUGAGCCAUGUCACUUGUGUUUUGAAGUUUUUGACUGAUGUGUUCACUUGAAGUUUUUGACUGAGCCAUGUCACUUGUAGUACUACGUUGUGUAGUAGCGUAUCUGUAACAGUCGAAGGUCAACAGAUUUGGCAUUCACCUGGAAGGGUUCCGUUUUGUAUCUUGCCAACUGCACAGUGGUUGCAGAGGUGGACAGAGAUGACUACGUACUCUCUGUGAGAAGCUGAAACUCUGAAAAGUUUCCAAAGAAAUCGACACUAUAGAACAGGCCUCCCAUCUUAUGGCACAGAUUGCAACUUGUUGUUGGUUCAUGCUAUAGUGCUCAACUUAUUAUCUCUGAAUUCUUCUGAACUUUGUCAACUUCUUGAGAAGAAAGUUAACCUGACACACCUAGCUUUUAGCAAUAUAUAUGGUGGUUGGGUACUAGUACAAGAAACUGCCAACCACUAAACAUGAAACUGAACAUGUGUGCGGUAAAAUCCAGUUGCUCGUCUGCACUAAGCAAAUUGAGCAGAGCAACCCCUAACAAAAAUUGAGUAAGAGACAUAAAUAGUGUAUAGCCUAUUGGAUUAUAGCAAUAUCAUUUCAACUUGUUCAGAAAGAAGCUACGUACUAUACUUAUUUGCAGCAAUUAAGAUACCAGCUGCUCUGAUGUAGACAUGGAAAGUGAAAAAUCCUGAUACUUUGAACCUGAACUGUUCUGUGAUACACUUAAGAACCCAGGUGCAUCGGCAGCAGCUGAGAAUGAACAAUCUCCACCAACAGCUGACAAGAAUAUAUAUAUAUAUAGCAGCUGAGAAGCAGGCGUCUAAAGUAAGCAUCAAUUCUACAGCGUAUAAACAGAUUGAGGGAAUAAUGUAUAGUAGCAAGUUAAAGAUCAAGUUGGACAGAGUAAGGUCUAAAUGGCAUCUCCCUUUUUCUAAAAGGCAAAAGAUCUUAAUGGCCUCUUGACUGAAUAAGAUGUGUAGAUGGAGAAACCAUGCGUAUGAAGCUGCUCAGUAAAACUUAACUAAAUUCACUAACUUGAGGUAACAAUGAAGAAAGAAGAAAUCAUUCAUAAAUGCCGAUUCUCUCUUCUUUGAACAUAUUACACAAUUCGGCAUCUUCUUGUAGGAAAGAACAAAGCAAAGAAAGAAGGAUAAAAUAAGAACAAAGCCAUGAACAGAGCAUCAAGGAAUCAGUAGAACAAUUUCAACUCAUGCGUACGCUCGCUUCCUAUAAUCAAUGCAAAUCGGAAGAAUACCAAUGACAUAUGGACAUGCAUAAAUAGCAAGAUCAGGAGGAGAAUACUUGCGUAAAAAGAGAGCACCCAUUCAGUUACCAUUUCUACCCUCUACACUUUCACGCCUAUUCCAAAAAAAAAAGAGGCUAACUAAAUAAUAUAGUAACUCAGAGACAGCGUUUUUUCUUCUUCUGAAUCCUGUUCCAUUUGGUGUAUACAUUCAGUUCGCAUCCAUAUGAUCCAACCAUCAUGUAUGUACAACCACAAUUCAAUAGCAUUACCCAUUCAAUAGCAGUUCGUUUAAAAUCAAAUGCUAUCAAUGCACAGUGAUGAAACAUGCAUAUGCCAUGACGAUUCCCGACGGAUAAUCGACCAUCAUAAGAACGUAAAAAAGAAGUGAACCUAAGCUAGCUGGCUACGGUGGUGACUGCUAUGCUAUAUUUCUCCUCUCCUCUUUGGUUUCUGUUGAGUACAGCUCCAGUCAGCAGCAGGAGAAGGAGCUCUGUCAAUUAUAUAAUGUAAUACUCUCUGGGAUGAUGCUCUGUCAAUUACUCCCUCCGUAAAGAAAUUAAUACAAGAGCAUUUAGAUCACUGCUUUACUGAUCUUAACGCUAUUAUAUUUAUUUACCGAGGGUGCUCAAGCCCUCACAUCCGGCAACAAGUUGGCACACUGACAAGGAAAACAAGCUGCGGAAGGCACAAAACUCUGUUCUUCAACAGCUGUUAAGAAAACUCUGCACUGUCUUCUCUAAAUUGUGACAGAAGAAAAUAGACUACGAUGACAAUAUCAUCGACAAUGCGGUUAGCGCUAACUCCUGCUGCAGCUGAAUGAAUGAAUGAAUCAUGACCAAACACAUAUCGUGCAUAAACACACACACAUGACACCCUCACCGCAUUUUUUGCUUGCAGAUUUUUCCUUCGGAUUACAGGAGUGGUGACAACAACCAACCGAAAGAAUAUACAGAAAUCACAAAUAGCCUUUAUCCUCUAUGCAGCUACGUUAUUAAAGCAGAGCCUGCACACACGUGGUGUCAACGCAUCAAAGCUUACUGCCAAUAGUAUACAUACAAUAUACAAAUCACUUAUAUACGUUUUCCAAAGGUAUGACAAAACCAAACAACACUAUGCGACUAUGUUAUUAGUUGUUGUCUCAACGCAUCAAAGCAUACGGCUAAUACUAUAUACAAUACAAACCCCGUGUAUUUUCCAAAGGUAUGACAAAACCAAACAACACAAAUUCGCGGAUCCAGCUUUUAAUCCGUGCUGCAGCAUAAACUUGCCUCCAUUGACAGGCAGUGUUAGUAGUUAGCUAGUCAGCCCCCUCCUCUCUCUCUCCAGCGCUCAUACCGCAUGCACGAUCUCCACGAUCCCAUGCACGUAGCCACGACCGGCGCCCCGCGCCCUAUGUUGUAACUCUCCAUAUAUACACUGAUGAAUGCAUCGGCAGCACCCAAGGUGCAUUGCCUAUUCUUUUUUUUUUGAAGUUGUGCAUUGCCUAUUCUUUCUACUCCAGUCUACAUGGUAUCAGACGCUGGUCAUCUCCUGCGCCUGUAAACCGCUUCCGCUGCCCUCUCUGCACCGCAUCGCCAUGGCGAUCCCGCCGCCGCCGCCACCACGUCCCCCUGUCUCUGCUGGCGGCACUCCCACUACGCCUGCUUCCCAGACUCGCUCUCAGGUCCUGCUCACCCCCUCGGCCUUCUCCCGCGGCGGCACACUCUUCGUCACCGAUCCCACUGCCUCCUCCUCCACCACAAACCCACACCUCUCCCCUCUCGCCGGCGUGUUCAUCAACCACCACGUCCCGAUCGUCCUUCAGCUCAACCCGCCGAACUUCUCUUACUGGCGCACUCUCUUCGAGGUCAUGUUCCAGAAGCAUGCGGUGCUGGAUCACAUCGUCGGCCCUGCGCGCUCCCUCGACCCUGCCUGGAUGCAAGAUGAUGCUCACAUCGUCUCCUGGCUUUACAAUCGCGUCAGCCCCGAGGUCUUCGGUCUCAUCCAUCAGCGCGGCGCCACUGCUGCCGCCGUCUGGGAGGCCAUCCGCACCCUGUUCCUCGAGAACGCCGAGCACUAGGUGGUUUUCCUUUCCACCGAGUUCCGGCGCAUCGAGCAAGGCUCGUCCUCCAUCCUCGCGUUCUUCGCACAUCUCAAGGAGUGCACCGAUCGUCUCUCCGAGCUCGGCGCCGCCGUCACCGACCGCGAGCAGGUACUGAACAUGUUCCGCGGUCUUCAUCCUCGGUUCCGCUACGCCGUCCCCAUCCUGACUAUGCAGACACCAUUCCCCACGCUCCUGCGUUGCCGUGCCUUCCUGCUGCUUGAGGAGAGCCGCCUCUCCGCCGACUCCAACUCUGAGAUCGCCCUGCAUGCCGCUCGCGUCCCCUCCAACCAAGGGGGGCCUGGCGGCGCACCGGGCGGUGGCAACAACCGCGGCAGUGGCGGUCGCAACAGGGGCCGGGGGCGAGCGCCCAACUCCGGCGGGGGGCAGUCCUCGCAGUCCGGCGGGGGCGCGCUUGCACCGCGCCCUGCUGCUCCAACCGCCGCCCCAUGGACCGGUGUGGUGCAUGCCUGGCCUAUGCCGUGGCGCCCCCAUGCUCCUGGCGCCGGCAUCCUUGGGCCGCGACCAGCCGGCACGACUCCGUGUUUGCCGGCACGGCGUCCCACCACGCGGCUCCUCCAGGCGUCCCGAGCAACGCUCCUCCUGUGGUCUGGCAGCCCGGCCUAUUCCCGCCGUUCCCGCUGCCUGGCGCGCCCCCGAGUGGCGCGCCCACCACGCCGGCAUGGGAUCAGACCGCGCUUGUCGCCGCUCUGAACAACAUGUCACUCCAGCAGCAGCAGCCCGCGUCAUCCCCAGGCCCCUGGUACCUUGACACGAGUGCCACCUCCCACAUGGCGUCGUCCCCAGGUAUGCUCUCCUCUUCUUCCCCGUACGACUCCUCCCGCAUAGUUGUUGGCGACGGGACCUCUCUUGCAGUUACGCACAUUGGCCACACCACCAUCCCCACCUCCUCCUCACCCAUCCACCUCAACAACGUACUCGUUUCCCCGCACAUCAUACGCAAUCUUCUCUCUGUUAAGGCCCUUGCUCGCCAUAACCCUCUCAAUGUAGAAUUUGACGAUCGUGGUUUCUCUGUCAAGGACCGAAGCACGAGGAAGGUGAUCCUCCGAUGUAACUCUGCUGACGACGAGCUCUACCCCAUGACGCCGUCGCCCGCCCCACCACCCCGUGCUCACCACGCCUUCACUGCGGUCUCGCGCGCGCUGUGGCACCAGCGCCUCGGUCACCUGUCUGGCGACGCGCUCGACCGCACUCUCCGUUGCUCUGACAUCACCGACACCCCUGCGUCCGCCGGCGUCUGUCAUGCCUGUCAAUUAGGGAAAAGCACUAGGCUUUCGUUUCGAUCAUCAGAUCAUGUAUCUUACUUUCCGUUUCAACUUGUGCACUGUGAUGUAUGGACCUCGCCGUCCCCUAGCAACUCUGGAUGUCAGUACUAUUUGCUUUUGCUUGAUGAUUACAGUCAUUUUGCGUGGACCUUUCCGUUACGCCACAAAUCUGACGUUCUCCCCACACUACGCUCCUUCUUCGCCUUUGCCAUCACCCAGUUCAACCUACCCAUAGUUACCAUCCAAACCGACAUCGCGACAGUGCUGCCACACACGCUCUCUUCUCGGCCACUGGCACCAAACUCCGCAUGUCAUGCCCUCACACCUCUCCACAGAACGGGCGCGCCGAGCGCGCUCUGCGCACGCUCAACGACAUCACCCGCUCCCUGCUUUCGCACGCCCACACGCCCUACUCCUUCUGGGCUGAAGCUCUACAAACUGCUACAUUCUUACUCAAUCAGCGACCUUGCCGCCCACGCCAUGACCACACUCCCUUCUACCUACUCUAUGGCGUUCACCCUGACUACACGUCUCUACGCAUGUUCGGGUGUUUGUGCUAUCCCAACCUCACCGCUACCACACCGCACAAACUUGCCCCUCGGUCAGCCCCAUGCGUUUUCCUCGGCUACUCACCCGAUCACAAGGGCUAUCGCUGCCUUAACCCAACCACAGGACGUGUCGUCAUCUCUCGGCAUGUCGUGUUCGACGAGCACUCGUUUCCUUUCCAUGCCACCACUGCACUCAGCCCGCCUGUCGACUCUCUCCUCGACGAAGCCCUCGCCACCAUGCCGCCCGUUCCGCGCCAGCCUCGCACACAGCAUCCACGCAUCAACCCCGUAGCCGAGCCAACACCUUCACCACGCCCCGCCCUGGUGCCAACACCUACACCCACGCCCUCGCCAUCUAGCCACGCACCCGCAGCCGUGGCAGCCACCUCUCCCAACCUCACACCUGACGCCGACGACGCUGGCACUCCCACCGUCUCCCCCAUCACCUCGCCUUCUCCACCUGCUCGCGGCCGUUCCGUGCCAGUGACCACACACAACAUGAUCACACGAGCACAUGCCGGCAAGUUUUUCCCAAACCCUAAGUACCAACAGAACCUCACUGUCACCACCAAAGCCAUCUCACCCAUCCCCAAGACUGUGCGUGCUGCAUUACGGGAUCCUUGUUGGCUUCAUGCUAUGCAGGUGGAGUAUCGGGCGUUGAUGGAGAACAAGACUUGGCGCCUCGUCCCGCGACCGCGCCACGCCAACAUCGUCACCGGCAAGUGGCUGUUCCGGCACAAACUGAAAGCUGACGGUACGCUCGAGCGCUACAAAGCGCGUUGGGUUGUUCGUGGCUUCUCCCAGCGCCCCGGGGUCGACUUCGACGAAACCUUCUCCCCCGUCGUCAAGGCUGCCACCAUCCGGGUCGUCCUCACCAUCGUCGCGUCGCAGCAGUGGCCCGUGCAUCAAAUGGACGUCAACAACGCCUUCCUCCACGGCACUCUCUCUGAGCAGGUCUACUGCCAACAGCCGGUCGGCUUCGUUGACACGGACAAGUAGGAUCAUGUGUGCCUCCUGGACAAGUCCCUCUAUGGACUGAAACAGGCGCCGCGCGCAUGGUUCGCUCGGUUCGCCAACUUCGUCCGCGGCAUCGGCUUCAUCACCUCGCGCGCGGACCCGUCGUUGUUCGUUCUACGCAGCGGUGCCGGCUCGGCGUACCUCCUACUCUACAUCGAUGACAUAAUCCUCGCCGCCUCGACAACAGAGCUCCUACACCACAUCCAGCGCGUGCUCUCCGCCAAGUUCUCCAUGAAGGACCUCGGACCCCUCCACUACUUCCUCGGCAUCACCGUCACGCGCACUGCCGAGGGCUUCUUCCUCUCGCAGCGCAAGUACGCCGAGGAGCUACUGGAGCGCGCCAACAUGCAGUCCUGCAAACCUGCCCCGACGCCCGUGGACACGCGCUCCAAGCUCUCUGCAGGCGAUGGGGCGCCGGUCACCGACGCUUCUGAGUACCGCAGCCUCGUCGGCGCGCUGCAGUACAUGACCAUGACACGGCCCGACAUCGCCUAUGCCGUCCAACAGUGUUGCCUGGUCAUGCACGACCCGCGUGCCCCGCACCUUGCAUUGGCCAAACGCGUGCUUCGCUACCUCCGCGGCACCACCUCCCACGGGCUGCAUCUCCGGCGAAACGCCAAGCUCGACCUCAUCGCGUACUCCGACGCGGACUGGGCCGGCUGCCCCGACACGCGUCGCUCCACCAGCGGGUACGCGGUGUACCUUGGCGACUCCCUCGUCUCCUGGUCGUCUAAACGGCAAGCAACGGUGUCCCGCUCGAGCGCUGAAGCCGAGUACCGCGCCGUCGCCAAUGUCGUCGCCGAAUGCUGCUGGCUUCGCCAACUUCUCGUCGAGCUCGCGAUGCCGCUGUCCCAGGCGAGUGUGGUGUUUUGCGACAACAUCUCCUCGGUCUACAUGGCUGCGAACCCGGUUCAUCACAGGCGCACAAAACACAUAGAGCUCGACAUCUAUUUCGUUCGCGAGAAGGUUGCUCUGGGCGAGCUCCGUGUGCUCCAUGUACCCACUACACAGCAGUUCGCCGACGUGCUCACCAAGGGGCUCCCUACGACAGCGUUCGAGGAAUUCCGGUCCAGCUUGUGCAUCCGUCCACCGGACGCUCAACCUGCGGCGGGGUGUUAGUAGUUAGCUAGUCAGCCCCCUCCUCUCUCUCUCCAGCGCUCAUACCGCAUGCACGAUCUCCACGAUCCCAUGCACGUAGCCACGACCGGCGCCCCGCGCCCUAUGUUGUAACUCUCCAUAUAUACACUGAUGAAUGCAUCGGCAGCACCCAAGGUGCAUUGCCUAUUCUUUCUACUCCAGUCUACAGGCAGGGCCUGCACGUACACAACGGGAAAUACAUGAGGGCCAGUCUUGGUAACGCUCGUUUUGCUUCGCACAUUGCUAAUACAAUAGGUGCAUCAAACUGACCGGCUUAGUUUCUUUCCAAGUAAAUUUAACAACAUAUCACCACAGGAUGUAAUGAUUCCCACUGAGAAUAAUUAGUUAGCACCAUAUAUAGCAACCAGCUAGGAACAGAAAUGCGGCUUGAAGCACUGUUAAUAGCAGAGCAAAAUGAAUACCAGAUUAAUUCGAUGGAGAGGGCGACCUGAUCUGAUUUUCGAGCUAGCAAUCAUGAACCUUCUCCUUUCCAUGAUCUAUUGUUAAUCGUCGGCGUACUUCAUGUUCGUUGUUGCACAGUUUACUCUCUUACUGAACUCUACUUCCGAGUCUGAGUCUGAGGAGUAAAUUGCAAAAAACCACCACCUUGGGGUUUUUUUUUUCAAAAAACGGCCACCAUUGUGCUGACAGUUUUUUGCAAGUAUACCAGAUCCCAGGUCCAAAGCAUGACAGCUGAAGGAAGCAGUAGCUUAAUUAGGUGUAUCAGCUCGACUGCUUUCUGAAUAAGUUGACAGCAUGCAUGAUUGUUUCUCUCAGUGACAAGCAUCAGAAUAGACUGAACUUUCGUUUUCAAGAAUGACAUCAGAAUAAACUUUGAUAUUGCUUAGUAGUACAAGAAACUGCCAUCUAGUGAACCUGAAACUGAACAUUCAUGUGUGCGGUAGAAACCCAGUUGCUCGUCUGCACUAAGCAAAUUGGGCAGAGCAACCCCUAAAAGAAUUAGCAGAGUAACCUGACUAAAAAAAUUUAGCAGAGUAACCUGACUAAAAAAUAUUGAACUGUAUUUUUUUUGUCCCAAUUCUGCCUCCCGGCACUUGUCGAAUCGUUAGAUAUUUAGCUGAAGUUAUUGCUAGAAUUUUAAAAGGUGGAUGAUACGCGUCAUCCAAGAUCAGCCGGUCCGCACCGAGUAGUGGUGAGCAACGAGGAACAUCAUGUUAAACCAGGCGCAUUACUGUCACGUAGAGGAGAUAUGCCUUGCGCAUGGGAUAAAGUUCAGGAGGUAGUUUAGGCUAGAUAUUCUUGUUGUAACUAAACCUAUCUCCUCCUCUUUUCUUUCUCUCCAAGAUGUAUCUUAUCUCCUUGUAACCGAACGAUGUAUGCGCUGUCAGGGAUAUUGCGCCCCUGCUAUAUAACACGCAACACGUCGCCCAAGCUAGGGUAAGACGUUUCUGCCAGUCGCACAUGGUAAUCAGAGCCUAACCUCUUCCCAUCCAAGCUUUCCACGAUUCCAAUCUGUGCCUAGCCAUGUCUUCCUCAUCCGGCGCUAUCUCCCAGCCUACCCUCAGCGGUCAGGUCACCGAGAAGCUUUCCCGCACAAACUAUGUGCUAUAGCGCACACAGAUCAUCCCACAGCUGUGUGGCGCCGGGGUCUUCGGCUAUGUCGAUGGCACCCUGCCGGAACCGGCCAAGCUCCUCGCCGCCAAGGACAAGGAAGGCAAGGAGACAUUUGAGCCCAACCCUCUCCACCCACUAUGGGUCAGGGAGGACCAACAUGUGCUCGGCUACCUGCUGAGCAACCUCUCCAAGGAAGUCCUCAUCACGGUGACCACGGUCACCACGGCGGCUGCGCUCUGGACGACUCUGGCGACCAUGUACUCGUCGCAGUCGCUAAGCCGCGUCAACAACAUCCGCACCAGCCUCAUCAACGCCCAGAAGGGCACUCAGUCCGUCGCCUCCUACUUCGCCUCAAUGCGCGGCCUCGCGGACGAACUCGCCGCGGCCGGCAAGCCGAUCUAGGACGAUGAACUCAUCUCCUAUAUCCUUCAUGGACUGGACCAGGACUAUCAGCCCCUGGUCUCGGCCCUCGAUGCCCGUGUCACCCCUGCCUCCCUCGACGAGAUCUUCUCCAUGCUCAGCAACUUCGAUCAACGCAUGGCUCAGUUCCACGACUCCGGCGGCGGCGGCUUCAAGUCAUCUGCAAACGCUGCUUCUAGGGGCCGUGGUGGUGGCUCCCACUACCGUGGCUCCUCUCGUGGCAAAGGGCGGUCCUCAGGUGGCGGGCAAGGCGGUGGCGGAGGCGGGCGCUCGGGCACCAGGGGUCGCCGCGGUCGUGGCUCUGGUCGCGCUCGGGCGGACAGUCCUCGCUGCCAGAUCUAUGGCAAGCCGGGACAUACAGCAAAAGAUUGCUGGUACCGCUACGACGAAGACGAAGACGAUUCCCAGGACGAGGACAAGGUCGCCAACGCAGCUGAUGGCUCCUAUGGGAUCGACACCAACUGGUACGUCGAUAGCGGCGCUACAAACCACAUCACCAGCGAGCUCGAGAAGGUGACAAUGAAAGAAAAAUACCGCGGCAAGGACCAGAUCCACACUGCCAGCGGCGAAGGUAUGCGGAUAUGUCAUGUUGGUCAUUCAAUUUUUAGUACCCCUAAAUGCAAAAUUCAUCUUAGGAGAAUUCUACAUGUUCCUAGUGCCGAUAAAAAUCUUCUCUCCGUUCAUAGAAUUGCCAUUGAUAAUCAUGUCUUCCUCGAGUUUCAUCCUUAUUUCUUUUUGAUAAAGGAUCAGGCCACGAAGAAAAUCCUCUAUCGAGGUAGAUGUGUUCGAGGGCUUUACCCGUUGAUUCCGGAGUGUAGAAGAUUCAAUAAACAAGCCUAUGGUGUUGUCAAGCUUUCGUCAACACGGUGGCACGAUCGUCUAGGACAUGCUUCAUUUUCUCUAGUUGAAAAAUUGCUUAGGAAAAAUAAGCUCCCGUUUGUUGGUGAGCGGCAUAUUGAAACUAUUUGUGAUUCAUGUCAACGUGCUAAGAGUCAUCAGUUACCAUACGCUAUAUCUACUAGUGUCUCCACACAACCCUUGCAAUUAAUUUUUUCUGAUGUUUGGGGUCCCGCCCCUAGUUCUGUGAGUAGACACACCUAUUAUGUGAGUUUCAUCGAUGAUUACAGCAAAUUCUCUUGGAUCUAUCUCCUUAAGAAGAGAUCAGACGUUUUCCAAGUCUUUAAAAAAUUUCAAGCUCUUGUUGAACGCAAGUUUAAUAGUAAAAUUAUUGCUGUUCAAUCCGAUUGGGGGGGGGGGGAGUACAAAAAACUCAACUCCUUCUUCCAAACUCUUGGCAUAUCACACCAUGUUUCCUGCCCUCACGCUCACAAACAAAAUGGCUCGGCCGAGCGCAAGCAUCGCCACAUUGUCGAGGUUGGACUUGCCCUGUUAGCAUGAGCUUCCAUGCCACUCAAGUUUUGGGACGAAGCGUUCCUCACUGCUGUGCAUAUUAUCAAUAUGCUUCCUAGUCGUGUCAUUCAGAAUGAAACACCCCUCGAACGCCUUCUCCACAUCAAAGCUGACUACAAGUCUCUCCGUGUGUUCGGAUGUGCCUGCUGGCCUAAUCUCCGUCCAUACAAUAAUCGCAAACUUAUGUUUCGCUCCAAACAAUGCGUCUUUAUUGGAUAUAGUGCUCAACACAAAGGAGUGAAAUGCCUAGAUGUCUCCACGGGCCGUGUCUACAUAUCCCGUGACGUUGUCUUUGACGAAACUAAGUUUCCCUUUGCGGAUCUCCAUCCAAACGCCGGUGCGCUUCUUCGCCAAGAAAUUCUCCUUUUACCUUUCACACCUUACCGGUUCUGAUCAAGGGGGGAACAAUAUUGAUGAUUAACUAUUGACUAAUCCCACUGAUAGUGUGCAUGAGCAUUGUGAUGAUACAGGAGCGAACAGCGAAGAAACUGCAGAAAAUGCAGCUCAAAAUGAUGAAAAUAGUGCAAAGCUUCGGCCUCAUUUCAUGUGUCCUGAAUCAGGAAGCAGAUCCUCCUCGGGAUCAGUUCCAGGCCAGAGAAUCAGAUCCUCCUCGGGAUCUGUUGCCGCAGACGGACCAGGCGGACCAGGCGCAGGCGCAAGCGCCGCUACCUCCGAUUCCGUGGCGGACGCGCGGAGUUCUCCCACUCGUCGAGAUGCGGCCCCAGCCUCCCACCAACCAUCAUCUGCCGCGUGGCCGCGUGCCAUGGGUGCAGGCGAGUCCCGAUUCGGCGGUCGGCCUGUCUGCUACAGGAGGCGGGGCCUAGGUGGCUCCAACAAUGCGGGCCACGGCACAGGCGCGGAAUCCCGCGCGGGCGGAUCGGCGCGGGAUUCAACUCUGCUCCCUUCUUUCUUGUGAGAUCAUGUCAAUGUUUCAAUGUCGCACAUUAUUUUCUUCUGAAUCAACCAGUUCCAUGAGUGUAACUGUAAACUGAACAUGCAUCCAGUCGACAUCCAUAUGAUCGCACCAUCAUAUACAACCAUAACAACUGCAAACAAGCAAGAUGCCACCUUCAACACAUCUACAGUGACCAUUCUCCACCGAGAAAAGACCAUCAGAAAAAGGUAAAACAGAAAAACUUAGCCUAAGCUAGUUACCAACGGUGGUGCCUGCUAUGCCAUUGUUCUCCCAAGAAGAAGCCCGGGGCUUGGCUUGACGACGAUGACAAAGAACAUGUUCUCCUGACCUCUUUGGUCGUCGUUCAGGCCACAGCAGCUCCAGCUAGCAGGAGAAGGCCGUGCGGCGAUUAUAAAAGUGACCCCGCAACUAGCGAGAACAAGUUUGCACAAGGAGAAAGAAAACAAGCAGCAGAAUUCUGAGAACCAUUUGUUUUUAGAGCAAAGAGGCUACACAGCCCCCAUUUUCAUUAUGAAAGUGGAUUUUCAUUACGAAGUUUGCACAAGACUCAACUCACAGCCAUUACAGUUACAGUUUCUUCAGGUUGCAGCAAAGCAACUGAAAGAAUAUAAAUCACAGACACUCUGUCUCCAUGCAGUUACAUCAUUAAAUUGUUUUCUUGGUACAACUACAGUGGGUUUAUAAAGCCAAUUACAACUUGAAUUAAAAGGAAACAACUCUUAACUGAAUUUGAAAACAGCAGGAAAACCUUCUUCGGGACGAACCUUUCCAUGUCCAAAUUCUUACUUCUAAACUAAUACUCUGAACUAUUAGGGAUAACUAGGGAUACAGUACAUAAUAUCUCAUAUGGGCUGGUUGCCUGGUGCAAGCUGAACUCUCUGUGUGACUGGAUUGGACCUCCCCCAUGUGCUGUAACUAGACAUCCCCUUCCACCUGCUCACAUAAGAUUAAAAGUACAUGCAUGAGAGACGCGACCGACACUUCAUGCGCAGUUCUAAGUCAUAUAUAUCAAGGAUUCCCAUUGUCAAAGUAUAUACUGGUACUAUAAAGCUGCUAGCUUGAUUGUUCAGAUCAUGCAGUGUUAAUGAGCGAAUGGACACUAAGCAUUAUAUAGCCAAUACAGGAAGAAAAUAUAUAGUUGACAGUCAGUUUAUAGGUUUUGCUUCGGCAUAUUGCUAAUAAAUGCAAGUAUUCAUGGACUUAGUUUCUUUCCAGCUAGUUUAAUGUAUCACCAAAGGAUAUAAUAUGUUUCCUAGUGACAUAAAUUAAGCAGUGUCAUAGCAGAAGAAGGAACUAGGAACAGGAACUGCGACUUGAAGAACUGUUGAUAUCAGAGAAACAAUAUAUACCAAAAUCACUAGGUGAAGAGGGCCAUCUGCUGAUCUCCAUAUCUAGCUAUCAUCCACCUUCUCCUUUCCUCGAUCUGCCUUUCGUUGUCGGUGCACGUCCUGUUCCUUGCUUCCAUCUCCUGAACCAGAUGCAACUGCUGCUGAUUGUUGUUCCUCCUCUGCAGCCACUGUGAGGACUAACCAAGCAGAGCAAGUUAAGAUUGAACAAUAGGAUACGAUGAAACAAAUAAAGCGAAUAGAUAAAACACUAAUCUGAAAAAAUACAUUAAAGUUGCGUUAGUUUACCUCUAGAUUCAAUCAAGUACUGGGACAGUGCAUCCCUCACCCCAACAGCGUCCUCUUCUGCUACCUGUCGUACUUGCUUGAUGUAAUUAUACUCAUGAUCGCUCGGCAUGCCUGCACCCUCCUCCUCCUCUUCCUCCUCCUCCAUGUCUAUCACUAUGUUAUGCAAGAUGCAGCACGUUUUGAUUUUCCAGAACACUUCAUCUUUAUUACUUGGAUGCCAGCCUUCUCCCUGCAUGCACUUCCAUGUGUCUUUAAAACUUGCCAAUGCCCGCAGCGAGACGGCUGUAGCUGCAGAGUGUCUCCAGUUAAACUCGACUUUGGAGUCUGAGAGUGAGCGGUCAUUCUCUAGCGGGUAAGGUGUGAGGAGCCAGGGUCGAAGAGGAUAUCCAGCAUCACCAAUGAUGUACUCCCCGACUUCUAAUCCACCACGAGAUGAUACCUUCAGCUUGCUACCAUUCAGCCCAGCACCCCUCUCGCUGGACUUGAAGAGACUGGAGUCCUGCAAAAUGAUCGACUGGUUCAUGCUACCUGCUGAGAGAUUCCACCAAAUGUUUGCGAGCCUCAUAUCUGGAUGAACAACGGCUUGCAGUAGGACGUCGCCGUUCUCCUCAUGGUCAUGGUCUUGUGAUCCAAACGUGAUUUGAGCUGCAUGUACAACACCGCAGCAGUUUGGCAGGCCAUGAAUCUUGUCAAACUUGUGUUUGAUCUUCUCCAUUUUAGCAUAGCCUGGCCACUCCAAGUGGUUCGUUGCUCGCUGGCACAUAGCCUCAACAAACACCUGGGUUACCAGAGAGACAAUUGACUCAUUCAAACCAAGAGAGGAUCCUACAGCCUCAGAUGGCUCACCGGAGUUCAGCAUUCUCAGAGCGAUGGCCACAACAUCUUGUAAAGACAUCAUUUUCCCGUCAGCAAAGGUGUGACCUUUUGACAUCAUGUAUUCGAAAAAUGGGAUCUUCACCAAGCCGCAGACGUAACUGAAGGUACUUCUCAAAUCCUUGUGCGUCCACCAUACGAGAUGACAGGGUUUCUGCAUGGAAAAGACAAACACAGAACAUGUUAUACACAAUCUCUAAUUAGUAAGGAAAGAGCAAACAUAUAUCACUCUCAGUGGUGGACCCAGGAUUCGGGCAUGACCAGGGCUGAACCGUAGUAGUGAAAUAACACCACCACAAAAGCUGAUGAAAUUAAGAUGACAUGGGCCUGUAUGAAAAUGCACUCAGCCCCAUUAUCCAUUUCAUCCUCUAUUUCUAUGUACUCAAAUUGGAGAAAAACAAUUAAUCCCGUGAUCAGAGCAUCAAGUAUACUAAGUUUUCCGGUGCCAAUGCAAAGUUGCAAACUGAUGCACUUGCAUACUAGUGGUUGGCUGAUCAAUCAAAUUCUUGGUGAGGGAUACAUGCAUGUAAUACUACUCAUGUGCUUGCAUACUACUCCCUCCGUUCCAAAAUAGAUGACUCAACUUUAUACUAACUUUAGUACAAAGUUAGUACGAAGUUGGGUCAUCUAUUUUGGAACGGAGGGAGUAGUAGCUAGUAUCCGACUUGGUGUACUACAGGUAAUACUACUCAGUUAUUAGUUGGAGUGCUGCUCGGACUAGUACAGCUAGGCCCAGUCUGCCUCUCGUUACUGCUCUAGGUUUGUUAGACUCAAGGUAACCUAGGAGGCAACACAAGGGAGUGCAACCAACUCAGAAAAUGAUAGCCACAUAACAAAAUUAACAUAAAUUGAAGAAUCCACAUGUACAGCUGUGUGGCUAAAACUUAAUUAGUUGCAUGUCCUAUACAUGAUAUAUUCAGUCAUCAUGCCGCACAUAUAUAUGGAUAAAAUGAAAUGAACUUAUAAACAAGCACAGUCAAAGUGCCCAAACAAAUGAAGGCAGUACCUUCAAACACAUUAGAGUGGCUAAUAUUUGAAUCCAACUUGCAAUUGUCUCCUCUCGUGUACAAAACGUACCAUUUUCUUGGGUUGUCUCCAUCAUGUGCAUAUGCCUUGACAUGAUCCACUUGGCUGAACUUGUCCCACUCAGUGCCAGAUUGUCCUGCGGCAACCGCAUAGAGCAACCAUAGCCUGCAGAAUAACUGCAGAUGCCUUGCCUUUAUGUCUCGCAUGUAUUCUGGGAGUUUUUCCAUGUUGUAAUCCUCCAGGACCAUCCUCUCGAGUGAAGCGAUAUGCUCCAACACCAUCAACUUUGGGCAGUUCUUGAUGGUAAGCUUCUGCAGAUUGGGGAGAUUGGUGAUAAUCUCCAGGUCAGGGCAUUGAUUCACUAGAAGCUCAACAACAGAAGGAAAGCUCUCAAUGUAGCUGAGGUGCUUGACAGCUCGUAGACAUAAUAUUUUCAAAGAGCUUGCAUUGGAGGCAAGGCCCGGAGGAACAUGCCUCAGUCUGCAUAGUUUGAGCACAAGCCUCUCCAAACGGCGCAUGGCUUGUACUUGCUCCUCCCACUCCCACUCCUCCCAUUCCACCAUUCCGUCCAAGAUCAUUUCAUUUAACCUCGGAAAUGAAGCUGCUGCCCCAUGCAAGAAUCCAGUCCCUACAUGUUUGAUGCAUGGAGCACGACAGACCUGUAGAACCUGCAGACUGGGGAGCUGACACAACCCAUUGGGAAGUUGUGUGCAACAAGCCAGAUCAUGAAAAAAUAUAGUUUUCAAGUUGUCGAGGGGCACCAUUGAUGUGGAUAUCAUCCAGCUCGGCAGUUGCCGACCAAAAUACCCCUUGAUUUCAAGAUAUUCUACACCAGAUGGAGGGCAGAGCUUAUUGAAAACCUUCUCAAUUCGUUGCUGCUCUUCCUCAGAGACACAUUCCUUCUCUUUGACAAACCCAUCAUCUCCCAGUUUACUGGUGCAGUCCAGGAAUAGCCUGAUAAGAUGCAUCUUCUCAUCGAGCCUAGCAUUAGAAGCAAACGAGGCAGCAGAUACAUUCUCUAAUUCAGUUAAUGCAAGAAAACUAAGCUGUGAAAGAUGCCCCAACUCAUCCAAACUACACCAAUCACCAUCCAUGUGGGUUCCAAACAUACCAAGUCUCCUCAUAUUUGUCAGACCACCAAACCCUCUGGGUACCAUACAUCCUUCUGGAAGUGAAAGAAGCCUCAGCUGGCCAAGCUUCACAAUGUUAUCAGGAAGAUUCACCAAUUUUGUACAUCCACCAAGAUCAAGGAAUUGCAACAGUUUCAUCUUGCCAAUGUUCCAUGGAAGUACAGAUAAAUCAACAUUUACUAGUGUUAGAUACCUCAGGUGCUUGAGUUGAUACAAUGAUUCAACAAUUACAGCCAUAUCCGCAGAUUCUAUAUGUAGAGUCCGCAAACUAGAAAAGGUAACCAAUGAAUCACCGGGCAUCAUCUUAAUCUGGACAGUUGAGAUCAAUGUUCUCACUGAUUGUUGCGCGUGUAGAGAUUUCCAAUCAAGUUCACCUGAUUGUGAUUGAUUAGUUUCUAUGGACAACCGAAGAAACUUUUGUGAACCAAGUUUACCAAAAAUAUCAUUGUCUCCGUCUUGAGUUACGAGUGCUUCAUCUUUAGUCAUAUACUGAGCAAAUGAGCGAACAACAUCAUGCAUGCUGCAAAAGCAUAUAUCAGCAUACAAUUUAUUUGGCUCUAUAAGGUUCCUAGAUACCAACUCCAUGUAGUAAUUUCUUCCCAGUUCUUCUAAAUCACUAUAGUUUCCAUGAAUAAAUCCUUCGCUUAUCCACAUUGCCACGACUUUAUCCAUAUGAAAACGUCUACUCUUAGGAAGAAAAGAGUAGUAUAAAAAGCACUGCUUCAAGUAAGAUGGCAUAUAUUCAUAGCUUAAGUAUACUGUGUGGUUGAGAUCAUCGGGCAUUUUAGUUGUUGACCAUUUAGAAUCAUCGAAAAUCUGCUGCCAGUAACGACGUAGCCCUCCUCUUUCACGCAAGAGUCCUCCCAUCACUUUAACAGCAAUUGGUAAACAACCACAUUUCUGAAUAAUUUUCAGUCCGAUAUCCUUUAGCAUAUUGAUCUGGUCUUCAUCUAUCUCACUUGAGCAUACCUGUGAACAUACAGCUAAUUAACAAUGUAUAACAUACAUACUUUAAGCCAAGAAAACAAGUUUUCUUUCCAUUUGUUUUUACAAGAUGGAACAUACUGCAAGAAGAAUAUACUUUAGCACUACUCUCUCGUCACUGUUAUAGGAAGUAACUCCAAUUAGCAGAAAUCACAUAUUGUUUUAUUCGUUUUCAUAUUUUAUGGAAACAUGAAAUUAUCUAAUCUCUAGAGCGUCUAUAAUGCAUAAUACUACGCCAAACAUUAAGUAGUGUCAACUUCUAGUUAUUUUCGUGUUAUAUUCUUUUGUUGUAUAGGUAGGGGUACAACGAAAUUGUUGUUCUCUAUCCUAAAAUAACAUUUAAUUUAUAUUAUGUCCUAUGACACUGUUGAGUAGCUGAGCACUUAGAUCUUUAUCUCAUAUGUUGGAAAACGAGACUGGAUAUUCACAAAAGGUUACUCACUACAUAAAAUAUACGACCCAUAAAUCUUCACUGGAUACAUAAAUAAUUAUCCAAAUUUCUAAUUAUUUCUCAAGCUUGAUUAAGCAAAAUCUAGGUGUCUUUGAAUGUGUCUCAAUUAGUGUUGUGGCAUAUUUCCUUGUUUAGCACCAUGCUUUGUUGGCACUUGCAAAAUAGUACAUAGAAGUCACUAAAUUACACGUAAUUAAUGGCUCAUUAAUUUUGAAGCAUCCUAACAUUUCUCAUAAUUAACUAUGUAGUACUGUUAAUAAAUAGAUAGAGAUAACAAAAUAGAUUAGAGUGUAAUUUAGAGCGGACCUGCUUCUUGAGCAAUGACCAAGCAUCUUCAGGCACUAAUGUGUCGAUAUGAUGGUAUGGCCAUAUAGCUUUCACCCCUCGGGCAACACCUUCAUCUCUGGUAGUGACGAGGACUCGGCUGCCUGAAGCAGCAGCAUUGACUAAGGGUAUUUUCAGCACAUCAUCCCAUGCUCCAUGGUUCCACACAUCAUCCAUUACGAGAAAGGUCUUGUGGUCGAUCAAUGUAUUCUUGAGGGUUUCAUGAAGGCUGGUCUUUGCACUUUCAGGUGGUUGGGCAUCUCCUCCAGCUUCGAUGAUGGCCCUUCUCAGCAGCUCAACCUCACUGGAAUUUUGGUUGACGCUCAACCAUAUCUUUUUGCUGAACCCUCCUUGGAUGGCAUCAUCAUUGAAGACCUUCUGGGCGAGGGUGGUCUUGCCGAUCCCGCCAACACCUACGAUAGCUACCACCAUGAUGUCAUUGUUGACAUCCUUUCCCGUCUGCAUGAUCUGGGCCACCAGUGCUCUUGUGUCUUCUUCAAUCUUGUCCCCAACCACAGCAGACCGGUCAAAGUCCCCUACCGUCUCCCGGCUUGGAUUACCAUGGUGAGAGGCAUGGGUGUUGCUGCUAUGAUUCCCAUAUGACCAAAGAUUGAUGAAGUUGAAAGCAGCGCUGCGUUCCUUGAUGUCAUCAAGCCUCUGAUUGAGUGCCUUGAUGCGGGUGCCGAUCUCACGGGCAUGAAAGGGGUUCCUCAUGCAGAAGAGCAAGGGAUUGAAACAUCCCGCGUUUACCGAGGAUGGUCCAUGCUCCAUGGCCUUGAGCUGGCAGAGGUCAAGGAUGCCGGUAGCUUCGUACAUGGCACGCUUGAGCUGCCCCACCCACUCUUGAACAGUCUCCUCGGUGAUGUUCCUCCUAUCGGCAUCGACGAGGAAGUUCUUGAGGUCCCGAAGCUUGUCUCCCAUCUUGUCGAUCUCGCCGGAGACACCCAACAUCGUCUUCACCUCAUCUGCUGCUGCCUGCGUUAGCAUGUCCACCAGGUAGGACGCAAAUGCAUCCAGCACCAUCGCCAUUGUUGCCGGCUAAUUUUUCUGGAAUAACAAGGUAACUUCAAAUUCAAGCAGGAAGCUUAGUUAGCUAUGUGUAAAGAGAGACAAAUCACACUUGAACUGCCUGACCAACCUCUGAGAUGGAUGGACAACACAGACGGCGGAGAAGACUGAAGACCUGGUGGUCAGCGUGACAGUGGCAACCUACAGGAGCAGAAGCUUAAAUCCUCCUCCGGCGCGUCGCCUCUCGGAUCAGUAGCUCAGCUCCUUCUCUGACGCGCUGCCGCCGGGAGGAGCAGUUGAGCUCCUCCGGCGAGUUGCCUCCACGAGCAGCUGCUCAGAUCCUCCACCGGUGCGUUGCCUCCAUGACGCAGCAGCUACAAUAGCGGUCAGACGCAGAGUAGCUUGGCUUAGCGGCAGACAGAUGCUCUCCGGUGACUAAGGCAACAGGACUGGGAGCGAGUGAGGAGUGAGACUGGGAGCCACUGAACGGAGUAAUAACAGUGGCAGACAGCUGCAUUGAACGGAGGUAAUUAACAAUUUACACAGCGUGGGCUACUGCCAGGAUUACAGACAUACUCCAACAUGCAGACUUUCUCUAGAUGUGUGAAAAAUUGUACGCUAGCUAGCCAAGUUGUUUACUCUGUGUGCCAACUAUCUUUCGAGGAGAACACAUAGCAUUAAGGUACCUAGCAUCUAAGAGAACAGUGUGCACGUGGUUUAUGUUUCAAGCCAGAGCAAAUUUAAGGAGACCCUAGCCUUUCCUUUCUUCCUUUCAUAAAGAGAAAAUAUUCUACAGAGCAAUAAACUGAACGACAUACUGCAAUUUGUGAACAACAACAUGCAUGUCAAAAAUGCAGUUUGCGGUUUCCUUUUUCGGCAUUUGGGCUGAUCUCUCCACAAUAAUUUAUCUCUGGUUCAGGGUCCAAGGAAACAAUAGAACAAUUUCAAGGCGAACUUGGUAAACCUUUUUCAUUUUUGGUUCUUUAUUGUGUGAGUCAUAUAGCCAAAGUUUAUGGGCUUAUACUACAUAUAUAGACAAUUUAUCCGACUCAUGACCCUCCUCUGGUAAUGGUUACGAACAUGUUAUGGCACAUCAUAAAAGCUUGCUCACGUUUUCAUCUGCUAUAACCUAUGGUCUUUGGGAAUCUUGAUAGCUGGUAGCUGUAUCGUGACCCAUAGGUCAUGUUUACGGACCUAUUUUCAGAUAGCACAUGCAAACUUUCUCUAGAUCUGCCCAAAAUUGUAUGCUACCUAGCUAAAUAAUUUACUCUGUGUGCUCGUAUUUCAAGUAUCUUUCUCAAGGAGCAUCUUUCUCUUAGUCCUCGUAGCUGCAAAGGACCAGAUCGAGACAGUAUGUCAUACAUACCCUAGCUAGUACACUCGAACAUUAGCAGACAGCGACGUUGGACGGAGCUAAUUAAGUAAAGUACAUAACGUGGGCUGUCAGGUUGGAUUAUUUAGAUUAGCUUGUAUGCACGUUGGUAGUUGAUCCAUCCACAUGCAGUUUUGCACAAACGACGCGCGAGAGCUAAAUAUAUGCGCACUUGUCAGAAAUAAAGCAAGGCAUAGUAAGGCGUGGGAGCUGGAUCUGGCAGUACAACAAAGCAAGUGAGUAAAACUAGGUAGGUAUGCAACUACUACGAGAUGAAUGAAUAUGCAGGUUUGAUUGAUUUAACUUGUAAGAAAUUAAUUGAGCUCCUAUAUUACCAUAUGUACGUACCAGUAAUUAGGAAGCAUUUUUGUUACCAUAUUAGCUUCUACUCCCUCCGUUCCUAAAUAUUUGUCUUUCUAGAGAUUUCAACAAGUGACUACAUACGAAGCAAAAUGAGUGAACCUACACUUUAAUACAUACAUCCGUAUGUUGUAACCAUUUGAAAUGCCUAGAAAGACAAAUAUUUAGGAACGGAGGGAGUACUUGUGAGCCAUCAUGCACAAUUGAUGGUCAAACCAAUUCCGGGCAGCUGCGUCAGUUGGGUCUUGGGCGUACGUGUAUAGAUGACGUUACAGAAGAUAUAAUCUCUACCUUGCCAAACCCGGUGAGAUUAUAAUACCAACCACGAAGCGGUACUGAUGCUGCCUGCCUCUCACCAACGGAACAGGAGAGGAAAGUUGAGUAUUAGUCCCGCUGUACCUCCUUAUGCUACGGAUCCGGCUUGCCUGCUCCAUCCCCAUGCUUCCAUCCGUGCUCCCACUUCAUCCUACGGCUGUCUUUUUUUUUAAUUUAAUCAUCUCCUCCCUGAUUUUAAAGAGGUGGGGCCGGGCCUUACUUUGUUCCAAUCAAAUCAAGCCAGGUACCCGGGAGCACGGAUGGACACACGCGGGGGGAGCAGGCAAGUCUCGUCCUUAUGCUACAGCAGCUGAGAUACCUGCCUUUAUCGAAGGCUUGUAGCGUUUCCACCAGCAGCAGGACACGCAAAAUAAACCACUGGUGCAAAGAAUGGCUGCAAAACCCAAUGUAAAACAUGUCAAUCAAAGGUCUCUGUUACGAGAGCAACUUAUCUCUAUUGAAUGCCCAAGGGGCAUAUAUUACCAAGACUUGAGGUACGAGGAAAGGAGACAUGCAUGGUCUAAUAUGGACUCCUAGACCAAUACUAAUACUUCCUAAUAGUCUCUAGCUAGUAUCACAGGGUGAAACAACAUGUCUUUCAGCAAAAUAUUUACCAAUGUCUACUGAACCUGUGCAAUAAAAGUUGUCCCAAACUUGCCUGCUGAAGAAUCAUAUUUCGAGGGUGACAUUUCUUUGAGAACUAAACUUGCAUCAUCAUGGAAAUAUAGGAGCUCAUAAUUAGUAAUUAGGCGGGCAGCUACUACAGUACUAGCGACAAAUGCAAGAGUACUUUUCCUUGAGAUCUGGUAGCUAGGUCAGUUUAUUACACAACCUUGGGGCAGGCAGGAGCUUAGAUUAUACUGUGUCUGUACAGGAGCGUCUGUCGGACGAAUCUGGUCAAUGGUGGGUGCAGGAAGGCAGGGUAAGAAAGUUAGAGAAUUCAACAAUCACAGGUGGAAGGGGAAAUGACAACUGACCGUGCCUAGUUCGCCGCCAAGCCAUGCGCGUUUCUUUGCCGUGGAGGAUGUGGGAAACAACACAUCUUUUAGCUAAGUCUUUACCAAUGUCUAGUUCAUUUGUGCAAUAGAAGUUGUCCUAAACUUGGCUAGUGAAGAGUCACUUAUUCCAAGAGUGGCAUCUUUGCAUCUCAACCUGGAAAAAUAUUUAAUAGCAACAUCAGAACAAAAAAUCAUGAACUUCUAAAUAAAUUUACACUGGGACAGUGAAGAACUAAACCAACAAAAGAUGGGCAUACAUGAAGCAUGCUUGUCUUGCAUAACAAUCAGAAAAAUUAUUAACAGAGACCAAAAAAUUUUCAAGGUGAUGAAGCAUAUGGUGCCAUCCAUUUAGCAAGAGAGGUAGAGGAACAAACCAUGCAUGAGCUAUCCAUCCACUAUAUGCCCAAUACAGUUUAAUUUGGAUGAAACCUUAUUACUUACUGGUACAGUACAAAAGUAUUAUCAGAUCACAUAUACGACCAUGCACAACGUAUCAAGAUUUUACAGUUUUACAUCUAUAUAGCACUGCAGCAAAAUUAGCUGUUCAAAUCAUGCAUACUAGUGGAGGCAUUGCAAGUAGGUAAUGUUUCUACAAAUGACACGACAGAUAUUCAGUUUCCAACCAGAACUAAGAUAAUCAUUCCAGUGAUGCUGAAUCACAUUAUUUUCCAACUCCCACUGAUCGAAACCAAAAAUUAAACUACAAGGCCUAUACCCAAUUAUCCACCAAGACAAAUCAUGUAUCAACGUUUUGCAAUUAGGUGCUAGAAUCGCUGGAAAAUGAACUAACGAAUCGGUGCGAAAUCAACAUUAAGGAACAUGGUCAGGCCAGGUCAGGCAAAACUUAACAGAUUGCAUACGUGAUAACAUCCAACACUUGAGCUGAUGUUACACUUAAUACUAUCAGGCGUCACAGCAAACUAAUCUUAUAAAAACCGAUGCAUUAAAUUAACUUCAACUGAUAGUAACAACCAGGGUGCAGGGGUGGUGGUAGAACUCAACUAAGGCAGAAUAAAUGUGGUCAAGAGGAUUCAGUCACAAAAGUAGAUCUAGGUGGAAGAAGCUAAUCAAGAUGGAAGAUAUCAGUAGCAACGGGGUGGAUCUAGGUGCAUCGUCACACCCAAAAAUUCAGAGGACAUACCUCUUUAACUUUGUGAACAUUUUCUUUUGAAAUUUUUAGAAAACGAUAUAGAAUAAAAAACUGGACCGAAUCAUCCCGCGAGGUUUCUACGAGUGUCGCUUAAGCAAUUGUUGGGUGCAUUAUUGGCUAGUUAACCAGUGGCAAACCAUGUGAUUCAUCCGAGACGACAAAGACAGCCUGUGGCAUGGAUUAACUAAUGAUACAGUAAUUAGGCAAGGCAGAUAGUUUAGUACCUUGGGCAGGCAAGAAAAGUAGGAAAAGUGCGCCAUCGGAACAUGCCGGGAGAGAGCAGAAGCGUGUUUGGUUGGUGAGGUAAGUAUGUAUUAUAGAUCUGGUUGACAGCACCACGCUCUGUCCAUGAUGAAGACGAUGGACAUUAGUAAUCUGCUUCAGUAAUUAUUAUUAUUAUUUUUCUGCGAGGGCUGCUUGCUAACUGUUGUUGGGUGCAUUAGUAGCUUGGUUAACUAGUGCCAAAGCGCGCUAUUAAUCCGAGACAACAAAGACGAGGCUGUGCCAUGGGCUAACUAAACCAAUACAGUGAGUAAUUAGGCAGGGAUGUAUUAGUAUACUAGUGAGAAAUGCAAUGCAAUUUCCUUGAGAUCUGGUGGCUAGAACCCAACGAAACUAGUGUUCAAUGGUAUAGAGGUAUGGUGGGAGCAGGCAAUUUCGGAGCACUCAUGUGUGUGUCCAUGGAUCGAAAUGAGGACAAGAAAAUUCCAGACCCCAAAAUGAUGGUGUGUGUCCGACUGUCCGUCGAUACCAUCGAAAUUAACAUAGUAUGAGGCAAUAAAGAAAGGUGAAGAAUUUAACCCUAAACCACCUGUGAAUGUGGAAGGGGAAAUGGCGACUCACCGUGCGUGCUUCGCCGGCGCCGCCAUGCCAUGCCACGCGCGCUCAUUCGCCGUGAAGAAUUGGGUGCGUGGGAGGGGAGGCUAGGCUAGAACGGCCGGAGCCUCCCCUGGCUCCGCCGCACUUCCGCCGACAACUCCGAGGCCGAUGUGCGUGCCCCCUCUCCUCCUCCUCUGCCAGGUCGCUGGGGCUCCAUGAGAGUGCUCCCCCGGGCGGUCAGUGCGCGGUGACGGGCCGGGGACCAAUCUUGCGGCGGCGGCGGGGCACCGGACCUGCUCUCGGCCAAGGAAAUAUAUUGUUCGUGUAAUUUUUUCCUUUUUGUUUUUUGUUUUCCUUUGAGAGACAAGGAAAACUUAGCUACAGCUACGGCCCAUGUGCCUCACCAGUCCAGGCCCAUGAAAUAGAGGCCCUGAUGCAUCUAUGCCACGACUGCUACUGCAUUCAUGGCUGAACUUUUGAUAAAUGAUGAUCAAUUUUGUUGGUUUUACUUUCAACAUCUAUGCCGCGAAUAUGCUGGCUGGUAGGAAUCGGAAUCAUCCAUCCGAUGCUCGCUCACCAGGUUUAAGAUGUGACAUUGAUUGCGCAACGUGAAUGGGAAAUGCAUUUUCGCCAUAUUUGUCGCACCCUUGUAUUUCUGUAGUUAUUGUAAAAUAUGAUUUAUAUUUGCAACUAUGUAACACCUGUUUUUCAGCUUGAAAUUCAUAUAUCUACUCUGUUUAGAGUUUAUACAAGGCUUCCAUGAUUCUUUCCUGGGGCAGAGUUUUGACAACUCAGAUUGACGAAAUAAAGUAAGGCCGACCUGGAUGGUGUUGAGGUCAAACUGACAAUUUUCUAUGGCCGCGAUAUGCUACAUGGAUCACACACACAUCCAUCCUCGUCGGCUCACACAAAACUAAGCUGCAAGAAUGGAUGCUUUUUAUCACACAUGACUUUGAACAAAAGGAAAUAUGUUUGCAAGAACAGGCAAAAGAAUAUAUAUGUAUGUUGUAUGUCUGCAUUGUAUCCAACUCACAAAAUGUUUACAAGACGUAUGUUUAAAGUUGAAAAAGUUUGCCAGUUCCUCUGAUCUAAUGAGUAAGAAAAUGAAAGUGACUCAUCCAGUAUGAAAUUAUUUAUUUUCUUGUUCUUAUUACUAUUUUAAGUAAUCCAUCCCUCUCCACCACCUCUACCCACCCUGUCGCCGAGCAUUACCCUCCCGCUACUCCCGCCACGCAUGCUAGGUGGAGGUAUUGCGAAUAGGUUCUAAUGUUUGGGCAAUUCAGUCACUAUCUCUGCCAGCCUAAUUGCAACAAUAUGAUUCUCGCAGACGUCCGUGGCAUAUCGAAAGAACCAACUCAAGAGAGUGGAAAAACGAACAAUUACUUAACAUUAUGGCGUGCAGAGCAGGAUGCAGGGAAUCGGCAUGAGGAAAUUUACAAAACCUGUUGCUAGCUGGACCUGGCCUGAACAAAUUUAAACAUAGCCUUCAGAGGAAAUGAGCAGUUUACCUUCAGAGGAAUCAACAUGAGGAAAUUUAUAAAGCAAUACUACUUGCACAAAUUAAACUGUACUCUCUCCGAUCCAAAAUAAGUGCCGCAGUUUUGAACAGUGGUUAGUUCAAAACUACAAAGAUUAUUAUAGAGCGGAGGUGGUAGUAUGUAGGCAACCUAGUACUCGGGUCAGCAAGUGCUUGGGACAACACUCAAAAUGCAAAAUGCAGCACAAGACAGCUCCCCAAUCCCCACUCUGCUCUUCUCUUCUCCUAUAAAUAUCAACACAGUGAGAUAUCCUAACAAUCGACUGCAUGAAUCCACUCUGCCCAAACACCCGACCAUAUCACAUAUAUAUUCUUCCCAAAGGUUACAACAUGCAGAUAUAGUCACAAAUAGUCUCCUAGUCUCCAUGCAGCUACAAUACUAAUUGUUUCCUCGAUCACAAAAGCUUACUACUACCACAGUAUAAGAUACACUGAUUUUAGCCUUUGGUUGGCCCUUUCAUUGCCAUGAAGGACCUGCGUUGCAUCCACGUGCAGGCACGCAAUAUGGUGUUACCAAGCUGAUCAGCCCUAUGCCGACGGGGGCCGUCGGCAUAGCCCUAUGCCGACGGGAAUGGGGGCUAUGCCGACGGCCUGGGCCGUCGGCAUAGGGGCUCAGUGUGGUAGUCUGAGCAGCAGCGUGAAGACCUAUCAACAGGGCCGGGCCGGCCGGCUAGCUAGUCUUCCUCGCAUCUGCACACAUCAAGAUUUAAACUGGAUGAGAUACUAUAUGACCAUGCAUGCAUGCAUCCAGUUGAGUUGGGUUUAAGCCUCGUAUCAAGGUUUUCCACUAUCAUCAACCAUAUGUAUAUCACAGCUAAUGGAGUGAAUUGCAGAAAUCACCACAUUGACGAAUAGGUUUGCAGAAAGCACCGGUUUACGAAUUUAUGGCAGAAACAACUUAUUCUCAGCUUAAUCAACUUAUUCCCAGGGGGGUGGGCGCGCCCCCCACCCUCUUGGGCAGCCCGUAUCUCCCCUGACGUGCACUCCAAGUUCCCUGGGUUGCUUUCCUUCCAAAAAUAACUUCUCCAGUUGAUUUCGUUCCGUUUUGAUUCCGUCUGAUAUUCCUUUUCCUCGAAACACUGAAAUAGGCAUAAAACAGCAAAUCUGGGUUGGGCCCCCGGUUAAUAGGUCAGUCCCAAAAAUAAUAUAAAAGUGGAAAAUAAAUCCCAAUAUUGCCUAAAACAGUAGAUAAUAUAGCAUGGAGCAAUCAAAAAUUAUAGAUACGUUGAAAACGUAUCACUCCUUUAUAUACGGGGGCAGGGGGCACCCCAAAGCACAUCAAUUGUUCUCUUAGCCGUGUGCAGUGCCCCCCUCCACAGUUUACUCCUUCGGUCAUAUUGUCGUACUGCUUAGGCGAAGCCCUGCGCGGAUCACAUCACCAUCACCGUCACCACGCCAUCGUCCUGACGAAACUCUCCCUUGACACUUUGCUGGAUCAAGAGUUCGAGGGACGUUAUCGAGCUGAACAUGUGCAGAACUUGGAGGUGCGGUACGUUCAGUACUUGAUCAGUUGGAUCGCGAAGACGUUCGACACACUCUUCCCCUCUCGCUGCUAUGUAGCUCCAAGAUAGAUCUUGCGUGAUCAUAGGAAUUUUUUUGAAAUUGUAUGCUACGUUCCCCAUCACUAGUUGCACACCUAAUGGUAAAUUUGUUCAUAGCCUACAAAAACCGUUAGAACAAAAAAUAAUUCAAACCUCAAAACAAAGCACAAACGUGAUCACCCCUCCCCUACGACGGUGCCAGAAAGUUUGAUGGCCUGCAAGUGCAUAUGAUUUAAUUGUAGCAUUUUCGAAGUAAAAGUAUCGAUGCCACAGGGUGUUCAUGAAUCAGACUUUUGCCUCUUGUAACGAAUAAUGUAUAUUUUAUGCCUGCAGAUAAUUGUAGACUUCAAGCAAUGUGUGGGCGGAAAUAAAUUGUAAUUGAGUAGUGAAACACAUUUUAAAGUAAAUAACAUAAAAGUAAAUAGAGAAUAGUAGCUAAACUGACUGAUGCAACAGUAGAGGAGUAAGGCGUUCUUAGGGAGACCGGGAUCCCCAUUGGUACAUUUCUAGCGCAUCGAUGUGAUGGCAUAGUAUGGGAUGGAUACUUGAGCCACUCCUGACGAUUAUGCUGGCCGGAGCUAGGUACAGAACACAUUCUACUCGAGGUAGACUCUGUACCACGCACACCACCAUCAUAGUCUCCACCAUAGGGUUACAUCUCAUGAUAAUUAAGGGUUUACCCCCAUGGAGGCACCUUCUUUAAGGGUUCUCUGUAACUCCCCUAUCAAUUGCAAUGGUUUGUAGGCCGAAAGAUGAAGGUGGCCUUGGAAUUCAUGACCUGCAGGGUUAAAAUGAGGCUCUACUUAGUAAUCCCUCCAUCUCAAAAUAAGUGAAAGCUAGUACAAAGUUGAGUCACUUAUUUUGAGAUGGAGGGAGUAAUUGGUUGUUCAAAUUUCUUACCGAAGAUGGUGUUUAGCAAACCAUGUUACGCAACAAGUAUCUAGGCCAAAAGGCGGUGUCCCAAACAUAUUGAAAACCUGGCGGCUCACACUUUUCUGGCCUAAUGGCGGAAAAGAAACAACUCUUUCUAUUUGGGUCUUUCACAAUAAAGGAUGGGUCGAAGAUUUGUUCCUGGGGAGACAUCUGGCUAGGCAAUGCCAGUCUCUGAGAACAAUAUCCAGCCUUGUACAACAUUGCUUGCGAUAAAAACAAUACUAUUGCGCAAGUGCUCAGCUCAUCCCCGCCAAAUAUUUCGUUCAGGCGGGAUUUCAUUAGCACCUGACUUAUGUCAUGGCAUAAUCCCUCAUCCCGUUUCGAACUGAUUAACCUAACACAAGGCCGUGGUGUGUUUCACUGGAACCUUACUACAUCUGGGUCUUUCACUGUAGACUCUACAUAUCGUGCGGUCACGUAUUCUGAGGUACAGGUGAGCAAGAACAAGAAAAUCUGGAAGGCAAAGAUUUCACUAAAAGUUAAAAUCUUCAUGUGGUAUCUUCGUAAAUGAGUUCUACUAACUAAAGACAACCUCGCAUAACAUAACUGGCCAGGAAGUAAGAAGUAUUAUUUUUUUACGCAUGACGAGACAAUCAAAUAUCUCUUUUUUCAAUGCAAAUUUGGGCGUUUUACGUGGUCAGACAUUCAAAUAUAUAGCAUCGAAUUUGUAUCAGCCCACAAGUGUUGCCAAUAUUUUUUUAUCAUUGGUUGGACGAUAUUUAAAAUAGGUUCAAAAUGCUGAUAAGGGUGGGAAAGUACGCCUUACCAUGGUCACUUUGCUAUGUAGAAACGAUUUGGCUUUUAAUGAAAAAAUAGCUUCUCCUUUGCGGGGUGUUUUCCGUUGUACGCAGUCGCUUCGUACAUGGUCUAUGCUACAACCAACGGAGUACCAACCGCUAUUGAAGGCGGUGUGUACACGAUUGGAGCAGGUGGCUACGAAAGUUUUUACCCAACAUGGGUGGCAGCAUAUUCUCCGGAUCGGUCCACUAGACCUUUCGACAUAGGCAUAGUGUCGGUCUAAAGGACUAUACUGUUGCUUAAUUGUGAGUUUUUUCCUUCUUUUUUGUCAGAUUUCUUUGUGAUUAGUUGUGUGCAUCCUAGUUAUGCAGAGGCCGGGUGAAUGAUUUGUAUUGGCUUGAUGCUACAUUUUGAGAUAAUAAAAGCGCCCUUUAUCGGAAAAUUGAGGAUUGCGGAUGCAGCUUCAGCCAGCCUAACAAAUGAUGCUACUUAUAUCACAAUUACUUGAAGGGAGUUUCAACAAACAAGUGUUGUUUUUGUGUUUAUCAUGAUGCCUUAUAUACAUGCUGAUAAGGUUUAACAAGUGUUGGAAUGUAUAAUUCAAUAAUGGAAGGAAGGUCUGCCACCGUUUAUUUUCUAGUGAUCCUUGUAUUGUUCGGAAGCACAACAUAUGCAGGUGUGUUGGGAAUAUUCGUUUCUGAGCUCGGGCUCAGAUGCUCCUGAAAUCAACACCGCAAGCUCGAUCGCGUCGGGAUCUGUGCUAUUAGCUGUAUUUCUUUUUCGUAUAUCCAACAAAUUCGAGCUGCUCUGUGGCGCAAUGAAUGCGACGGCAGCGCUCACUGUGUUCGCUGAACAGGUUGUAUGUUGACGAACGGCUCGGCGGAUUUUCUGUGCCUGUGUGACAAAAACCGCCGUACCAGGCUACCCCAUCAUAAAUGGAUCUCCAAUGCUCGAUCUCCAACGAAGUGAAGUCCGUUUUAAACCUUGAACUGGUAGAGCUCGUCAGAAUUGAACCUCAACCUUCAAAUCGCUGAAAUUGGCACCCUGUACUCACUGAUCCUGGUGAUUUUGCAAUCACAAAAGCUACAACCGGCGAUCACAGAAGCUACAACCGACGAUCGAUUUGCAACAAUGGCGAUGGGGUGGUGACAACGACGAGGUAUUUUCUGCUGGAACCAGGAAACUUUUUUGCUACCACUGGCGGACAUUUUUAUUGCUACCAGCAACCCGAAGGAGAUUCUUUCUGGCGAGCACAUCGCAGGGGUGCUGUGACCGGUGACCGACGUUGCAGGAGCCGCGACCAUCACCAGGCGAGGGAGCUGCAACCAACAGGGUGAAAGCUUGCUGCAUGCGUGGAUCCAAAGAGAAACUCGGGAGACGGCGGCGAGGGCGGCGGCGGGGACGACGAGUGCUGUGACCAGUGGCGAGGGAGGCGACGGGUGAGCGCACGGGGUACUCUUAAGUCGUUCGUAAGAUGAUGCCUCAAGCAAAGGGAACGAGCCUCAGUUAGUGUAUCUAGGGAGGUCAGGAUCCUUUGUUCGGCUAACAUUCUUGCAAGAGCAAGAGGCUCGCCGCUGUUGGUUGUUAGUACUAUUGCUUAUAAUUCUUUACUUCAGUUUAUAAUGCAAUGGAGUAAUGCUUGAUGCACGACAUGGAUACCUUCAAGGAUAGGCUGUCUGAAAAGUUUCUACCUGAUCAGCGACGUAGUUGCCAUAAUACUACCUGAUCAUUAGACUCACUUUUACUUUUAUUCUCUUUCCUUUUACAUGAUUAUUUAACAUUGACACGGGGGAAUUGCAUAGUGUAUUCUCUCCAGUGGAGUCUACAUAGCCAUAUACCAUUCUUCAGAGAAUGGAACAGGUGGGUAGAACAAAACUAUAGGUGCAAAGCAUGCAUGAUAUAUUCCGAUGUAUUGAAUACAUUUCAUGAAGUGAAGUAAAAGAACAAAUGUAUCCGAGAAGUUCUUUACUAUCUUGCAUGUAGAGAACGAUUAUUGUGGUUAUACCUCGCUGACCAGUGAUAAAAGAUAUUGAACAUUGCAAUAUGGUAUUUUUAUCCUCCCUUUUAUUAGGUUAUAAUAUGUUCAUGGACAUAAUUUUGAAGAUUACAAGAUGGUAUUUUUUUCAUAAGCCCGUGACAACGCACGGGCAUUCUACUAGUGAUAGUUUACAGCUGAGUGAGUCUUGUUUCUGGUUUAUGCAUGAUAGGUGUUUGGGCAUGAUUCAUUCAUUCGGAUUUGGUUGCAGCAGCUGUUAGGAAUGAAAUUUGGAGAAGAGCAGAGCAGAGUGGGGGAGAUGACACUAGUAUCGUGUAGUAGUGUUUUGUGACAGUAGCACUGCAUGAUGCAAACUACUACAUUCCAAUUCUCCAAAGUUAUUUAUGGAAUAAAAAGGUGAAGAAAAUUUGAAGCUCCUAAGUUUCGAAAGCAUGAUAUUUUUAAGAAAUUGAACAUUUCUUUGUUAUUUAUGUACAAAAUUUUAAAAUAUGAAUAUAUUAUGGAAUAAAAAUGAACAAUUUUUAAAUUUCAAAUGUUUUUUACCAAACAGGACCACAAAAAAUUCCAAAAAAAUUGGAUAAAGAUACAAACUUUUAAUAUUUGAAAAUUGACAUGUUUUAAAAAUAAAAAGAAACAUAAAUGUAAAAAAAGAAAAACGUAAAAAGAGGAAACGAAAAAACAAAAUAAACCGAGAAAACCCGUAAAAGAAUCUAGAUUUUUCUUUUGAGGGGUAAAAGACUGACUUUAUUCAUCAAAAACUACAACACGUGGUAGAGAGUUCUCAUCAUGUGGUUGGCCAAACCAAACAUGACGCCCAAGAACUAUAUAAAUAGCAAAUCUAGCUAAACUAUGCGCUUCAUAGUUACUAGCACGACUCUCAAAAAUGAAAUUACAAUUGAAAGGUAAUGUUCGAAACAAAAUCUUGUUUAUAAUCGCUCCAUAUCUGCCUUGUGUCCCCUGUUUAUUGUCACGUAUCACCUGUCUUGAACCAGAGGCCCCAAUGAAUUCUAGCACCUGUAGGUCCUCAGCUAGGCAUGGUGCUUCCAGGCAUGGCAUCGCUCCACUAUAGCAGGAUCAUCGACGCCAUCAAUGAUAAGCGCCUUUCUUCCAAGAUAUAUGCCAUUAUGGUCAGGACACACUGCUACCGCCGUACCGCCUCUUCCUUCUAGAUGGUUCCCAAAACCGGACAGGAAUCUCUAAGGUUCUUAAAACCGGAAAGAAGGAAUAUGCGCUCUGGCUAUCCAGACUUGUGCCUUUGGUCGAUAGUUUGUCGAAAAUUCUCAAAAAAAAAAUUAAAGAUUUGCGACAGACAGGAAAUCCCUAUAUAGAUAUACUAGUCAGUUGACCCAUUUGGCAACUCUGAACUCUACUAAACAUGGAAAGUGAAUAAUCUGUUAUACAUGACAGGUGUUUGGGUAUGAUUCGUUCAUUCGUAUUUGGUUGCAGCAGCUGUUAGGAAUGAAAUUUGGAGAAGAGCAGAGCAGAGUGGGGGAGAUGACAGUAGUAACGUGUAGUAGGUGAAGACACAUAUGUGGGACCGAGGGAGUACUACAUUCCAAUUCUCCAAAGUUCGUCCUAAUUUUGUGCUUGAUCGAUGUUACUUUCACCAUUGAGCUAGCGUCCGGUCCAUAUUAUUUGACUCUUUCUAGCCACAAGAACUUGAGAGCAAAAGUAUGCACGGCGAGACACUAGGAUAUGUCAGCGAUGUGUUGGUUGUUCCUUGCCCCGGCAGUGGAGCAGCAGGAUGAAUAUCCAUCUACAAGCUAGUCUCCCUUCCGCCUGCUCACAUCAACAUUUAAACUGGAUGAGAUACUACUAGUAUAAAUAUAUGACUGCAGUGCAUGCAUACUCAACACUCAAAAUUCGUUAUACAGCCGGUCAGUUACUAUGCAAUGUGUUUUGCUUAGCAUAUUGCUAACCAGGUGUACUGAUAAGCGUAAUUUCUUUGCCAACAUGUGUGUUAUCAGCUCACUACUCUCUUUCCGAGCAAUUAAUUAACUAGCGCCAGAUUUCCGCUCAAGUUAACUAGCGCCAGGGCAGAAGAAUGAACUAAAAACAGAACUGCGACUUGAAGCACGAUUAAUUAAUAGCAGAGAAAAAAAAUACUCUCCUAGUACCUCACCACCUCUCUGGUUAUCCGCAUUGUUAUGAGGAUUACCUCACCACCUCUCUGGUUAUCCGCGUUGUUAUGAGGACUACCUCACCACCAUGUUUUGUUCGGCUGUGUACUUUGUUCGUUUGUUGCUUUUUAAGUAGUAGAAGAAACUGCCAGGUACUCAAGCUGAAAUUGAACAUGUGUGCAGUAGGAACCCAGUUGCUCGUCUAUACAAAAAAAAAUUUGAGCAGAGCAACCCCUAAAAUAUUUAGCAGAGCGUGCUGACUAACGAAAUUGAACUGUGUUUUUUGGGUCCAUUUCUGCCUCCAGGCAGUUGGGGAAAAAAUCAACACUUCCCUUUAUCGCGAAAAUAAAAUAAAAAAUCAACACUUCUCUUGCCUGUGAAUUGAAUCCCCGAUUGAUUUUGUAAAGAAUAACAAGAUUGGUGUAGCUGCAAACAAACAGGCAGCGUCAACUAUGCUCUCUUCUUUCUUGUGAGAUCAUGACAAUGUCAGUUCUUCUUCUUCUUCUUCUGAAGGAUGCGAAUUCUUUCGAUAGAAGACUGUUGGCAAAGGGAGGGUGACACUUCAUGCCAGCGAGUGUGCUUAAUGCAGAGUCAAAUCGAUGAGCAUCAGUUGAGCCUCAAGGACGAGCCUCAAGACAUCCUAACAACAGCUACAAACAAGAAUUGACUGCAAGAAUCCACUCUGCCCAAACACCUGACCGUACACGACUCACUCUGUCCCUCAUUGUGAUUAUGUUCACAUAUAUAUAUUCUUCCUUCAGGUUACAACACGCAGAUAUAAAUCACAAAUAGUCUCCUAGUCUCCAUGCAGCUACAAUAUUAAUUGUUUCCUCGAUCACAAAAGCUUACUACUGCCAACAAUAUAAGAUACACUGAUAUGUGACAACACAUAUUUUAGCCUUUGGUUGGCUCUUUCAUUGCCAUACAGGACCUGCAUUGCAUCCAAGUGCACGCACGCAAUUUGGUGUUACUAAGCUGAGCAGUAGGGUGAAGGUCAUCAACAGGGGGACGGCUAGCUAGUCUUCCUCGAACCUGCACACAUCAAGAUUUAAACUGGAUGAGAUACUGUAUAUGAAUAUGCAUGCAUGCAUCCAGUUGAGUUGGGUUUAAGCCACGUAUCAAGGUUCCACUACCAUCAAUCAUAUAUAUGUCACAGCCAGUGAGUCAAGUAGGCAAUACCAACACAUUCUUAAAUAGGUUUAUCAAUCAGCUUAGUUUCUUUCCAAAUAAUCUAACACAUUCACCGAGAGAUUAAAUGAUUUCCGAGUAGUAUCAUUAAAAGUAAGAAUGAGUUAACCAUUCAACAUUUGGUUUUAUAUCUCUCAAGGAUGGAGAUAACCACAUUACAUGUUAACACAUGCAAAGAAACGAUGAACUGGUGAUGACAUUCCUCGGAAAGAAAGUAGUGAUGACUUAUGCUUGUCUAUCUAGCUAUAUUAAAUGAGAACAUAUACUAAACAGCAUGCCUAUGAUUGUCUAUCUAGCAUUGAUAUUCGAGCAUCCACGGGCGAAACAUAAAAAUAUUAGGUAACUAUUGCACAGUAUACUACCUGGCGCACAGAAACUGUUGAAAGGAUGACAUGAACUAAAACUACGGACUUCACAAUGUUUCCUUGAUUGCAUCGAGUUAAGUUGAACCAUGUAAACAAUGUCCUUCAUGCUUAACAAUAUUUCAUCUGUAUCCUCGACAUAUCCGCGUAUAAAUUUCACCCAUACAGUCUCUCCUUCAACCAGAGGAGGUAACCCAAGAAUAUACUCCGUUUCAAUGGUCUUCCACAACUCCCAGGUGGCAACACCAUGACAAUUGAUCUUCCUCUGCCACAUUUCAAUGUUAUCGUGAUGAUGAGACAUCAUGGCGACACCAACUGUGCCAUCCUUUGUCUGGAUGAUCUGAUGACUGUAGGAAUGAUUCAUAUUGGGAGGCCCCUCAAGCACAUUAAGGCUCUGCGUCUCCAAAUCAAACGCAAGUAUACCCUCCUUCACAUACUUAAAUGACCAAUAAACAACAUUACCAAUUAGGGUACUAAUAUAACUGCCAAAACAAUCUCGAUAGUGAACCUCUGCUUCGAUGAGAUUGGUCCAUGUGUCAGUCUCGGAAGAAUAAACAAAGGCAAGGGCUCGACCAUCCUUAGUGGACACAAGCAGCAAGACCACCUUGAAGAGGGCGGAGUGGCAACCACUGUGCAUGUGGCCCCGGUCACGGGAAGCGCAGAGCACCGCUCCAUAGACGUAGACGCACUUGAACUCGGGUGGAAUUGGCACACGGUGCUGACUGCCGGCGAUGGGGUCGCACACGAAGACCUCCGUGUGCGACGGGUGUAAGAUGAGGACAAGGCCGUGGCGGCACCCGAGCAGCCGGCCCCAUGAGUCGCCGAGUGGCAGGUUGAACCGCUCAUGAGGGAUGUGGUCUGGAGCGGGUAGGACGGAAGUGAAUUUGAUCUUAUCGCCGUCUUGGAAGAAGACACCAAGGAGUGGCGGGUUCCGGUGAUGUGCGUAGAAGCAGCGGAGGAAUCUAGAGUCAGUGACGAGGCCUCGCCAGCGCUUGCAGACGGCGGAGAUGCGCAGGAGGGAGGACGGCUGGGGCGGAAGACGGAGGAGGAUCUCCCCGAGCAUGUCGUCGUCUUCCAGCGCCGCCGGCGGGGAAUUGCCGUGGCGGCAGAUCAUGGUGGCGCUCUCCUCACUGGCGCCGAUCUGGUCUUGGAGACGGAGGGAUCGAUAUGGGGUUGGAGGCGGUUCAUCGUCACGAUGUAUUGGGUAAGUUUUUUGUGCGUGCAAUCUCUGGACUCCACAAAUCAAUGUUUUUUUUAUCUGACAUAUCAAUCCCACAGCUAAUCUCAAAGCACACUUCCACAUUAAUCCCAUCAUUAGGCGGCAAAUCCUUAUUCCCAGUUUUGCACGUCUCAUGGUUCUUGAUUAAUAUUUUUCCAUUAGUACCUAGAAACAUGAUAUACGUACCUGGCCGGAUAUAUGCUAUUGUUCAUCGUCGAGAUUCGUUCAGUGGAUACAUGGCAUGCAGUGACUCAAAGGAGUAAAGUUUGCACACUGACAAGGGAAACAAGCGACGAUGGAAUUCUGACAGUAUAUCACAAUUAGCGACCCAGAUCCAGAUGAUGGCAUACAUGUUCCUAGCGGAAUGUCACCUAGUCUGAAUCGUUGCAUUCAUCUUUAAUUGCAGGGCGCUGUCUACAGCAAGAAGCUACCUGAAUCUGUUGGUGAUUUGAAGCACCUUCCAAGAACUUCAAUCUCUAAAUUGCCUGGAUCAUUGUUGCAAAUUUCCAAUUCCUUCGGUUCAGUUCCUAGGUUGAAACAUUUCCUGAAAGUGCUCUAGAAAGGGAGCUGGAUGAAGUAUUGGUAAAAGAGGAUAUCAUCAAAGCAUGGAUAUGUUGCCACGAGGAUAGGAUAAGAUUCAUUUGUACAAGGAACAUCUGCACGCAUGCCUCUGGUUCCACCAUCAGGGCUUUCUCGGCUUGAUCAUUCUUCAUGCAUCAUUACAAAUGGGGCAUCAGCGGUUUGUCUUGAUGGUCUCACUUCGCUAAGACAUUUGUCACUACAAGAGAUUAUGACUUUAACUACACUUCUGUCACAAGAUGUCCUCCAACUGGUGACAAAGCUUCAGUACUUGCGCAUUGACUACUCAUGUUAGAUCAUUAGGGGGGUUGCAAGCUGCCACCGGUCUUUCUAAAAUUUCAUUAUACGACUGCCCUUCCUUAAACUUGGCACGUGGAUCAGAUUUUAUGCCAUUGUCCCUUGAGACGCUGGACAUACAAUACUGUGUGGCUGCAGCUGAUUCCUUCAUGAGUGACUUGCCGCACCUGAAACAUCUUUUCAUGCUCCGCUGCAGAAGCUCUGCAUCAUUGUCGAUUGGUCAUUUAACCUCCCUUGAAACAUUAUCACUAUACAAUUUACACGACUUGUGCUUUCUUAAAGGCUUGUCUUUGCUGCAACUUGUCAGAGCAACUUUUGUAGAUGUCCCGAACCUCAAUAUAAAGUGCAUCUCACAAUUGCAGGUCGCGACUUCACUCAGUGCUAGCUGCCCCAUAAUGCUCAACCACAUGCUCUCAGACUCAGCUGAAGGUUUUACAGUUGCACGAAAUAUCUCUCUUGAGCUGUGCAAGGAGGGAUACUUCUCAUUUGAAGAGUCAGCGAAUUUCCCAUCUGUUGACAACCUGCUAUUUAAUUCUUGUGGAAUCAGUUCCUUGCCGGGAAAUCUGAACUCUGAAGUGCUUUUCAUGUCUGACCUUACUCCAAAUUUGUGGAUGCCCCAAUAUAUCAUCUUUACCAGAUUUGCCAUCCACUCUCCAAAACAUAGUGAUCGAGGAUUCUCACCUAUUCAGGGAGAGCUGCGGAUCACCUGCUGGAGAAAGGUGGCCAAAGAUUGAGCAUAUCAGCAGAAAAGAUUUUCGUUAAUUUCAUCCAAAUUUGCAACUCACCUGCUCACGCUCAAAGAGAUAACAUUUGAGCUACCAUAUCUUCCUAACAAGUGGAUCCCCUCCCCUCGCGUCGCUCCCGCGAGCGACCGAGGGGAUAACCCUAGCCGCCGGCGCGCGAACCUCCCCUCCCCCCUCCCUCCCCUCGCCGCCGCCGGGCAAAGCCCGGCGGGUGCUGACGGCGGCGGGGCCCCUUCUCUCCCCGCUCGUGGAGGCUGGCGCGGCGGGCUCUCCCGGGCGGCGGCGCGGGGCUGCGCUCGGCGGCAGUGGUCGGAGCGGCAGGCCUGGCGCGGAGGGCUGGAUGCGGGCGGGUGGCGCGAUUGUGCCCGCGACGGCGGCGUUUCCUGCGCGGCCAGAUCUGGCUCAAGACGGCGCGGGCGGUGUGGGCUGCUGGUGGCCACCUCUGUCGUGGACGCGGCAGGUGGUGGUGGCUUCGCGGCAGGUGGUGGUGGUGGUGCGGGCCGGAGGUUGGAGACGACGGCCGCGUCGGCUCGUUCGGAUCUGACCUCGCGGCGGCGCGGGACGUGAAGGCUGGGGCUGCGGUCGGCGGCCCUGACCGUGGCCCCCUCGGCUGGUCGGGGUGGCGGCGCAGUGGCGGUGGCUGCAGGGGUGCGUGCCCGACGGCUGCUGUGGUGGUGGCAGGUUGGUUGCGGCGGCGGCUAGUUUGUCCUGGCAUUGGCCCGUCUGUAGGCUGCCUGUAUCGGCCCUCGACCUCUCUCCUUGCCGUCCGUUCGCGUCUCUCGCCGGAGGGCUGGCCUUCUCCCGGCUGCGGUCCAUCAUCCGUCUCGCACCCGGUGCAGUAGGACCGAGCUAGUCUCGCGCCUGGCAGCAGGACCGGCCCGUCUCAUGCCCGGCAGCAGGAUUGCGCUUGUCUCGCGCCCGGCAGCAGGACCGGCCCGUCUCGCUCCUGGCGGCUGGACUGCGCUCGUCUCACGCCCGGUGUAGCAGGAUGGCUCGAUGGAGGCUUGUUGUGGCCGGCCUAUUGGGUCUCGGCGUUGGGACCGGCCAGGGGUGUGAAAGGCGGAUCCUUUCCGCCCGUCUCUGCGGUGGGGGUAGCGGUGGGGCUCGGGGGACUUGGUGUCAGGGUCUUGGAUUUCGGGGCGGCGGCCCUGGUGGUGGUGGCGCGGUGCUCAUGGGUAGAGCUCGUGCCUCGGUGCUACCCGGCUGCCACGGCCGUGUGGGGCGGCAUGAUAGCCGGGGUGUGGCGAUCGGUGGCGGUGAAUGUUGGCCGGGAUGAAAACCUACUCUAUCUUCGGACGGACUGGCAACGGCGAAGAUCGCUCCCUUCUUGAAGGCGUCGUCGCGGCUAUCAUUGCCCGUCGUGGUGCUCCAGGGGAAACUCUGAUCCUCGGAUCGGGCGGUGGCGACGCUCCGAUGCCGUAUCCUUCCUGAAGGCACCGUCUUGGAGCCCACGGGUCGUCAUAUGCAGCUUCACUUCUUCGACUGAAGCCCCCGGCGGCUUUUGUAGUGCUAGAGUCUGUGUUGCUGCGCUCAGCGCUCAGCUCCUCAACAGCUCCAGGGACCACACCUCGUCUCUCAAGCUCUUGCCAUGCUGUUCAACUUUCCCAAGUCUCAGUCGGUGUACCCCGUCAGUUCACUUUCAUCGCCAACUUCUCCAAUCCUCGCCCUCGACAGCUCCACCUACUUAGCCACCGACUUCUGCAAUAAAUCGUGUAUUCUUAGUGGUCUUUUGCCAUCCUCAUCUCUACCUUUUGUGUGCUUCGAUGCACCACUUCUGAAUUGGUGAUCUCCUCCAUUUACCAUCGUAUUCGUACCUGCACUUUUGCAAUUUCUUCUGGAUCGUUCCUUUGUCCUUGGAUGUCUAGUCUGCUCUGCAGUCUCUACAACACUAAUUGUUUUCAGAUCCACACGUUAAUUGUGACUAACAAAAAGUCCAGGACAGUAAGCUUUAUCUCUGGCAAAUAUGAGUGUUUUGUAUAGUACUCCCUCUGUAAACUAAUAUAAGAGCGUUUAGAUCAUUAUUUUAGUAUUCUAAACACUCUUAUAUUAGUUUACAGCGGGAGUAGUAGUAUAUUGGCAACAAGAUUUUAUGUGUCGAGAGAACAAUUAGUAAUAUAGCCGCAUGGAGAAUAAAGACUAUUUGUGUUGUAGAGAAUGAAUGAGUGAAGUGUUUCGAUGCGAAUUCUAUCGCAGGACCUUGGGACCUUGGGUGAAGUUAGAUUGCGAGGAAGAAGCACAAGCCCAGAAUCGAUUGGACCGAGCGAUGCCAACGGCUCCUGUACGGACAGGCGCCGAGAGCGACCACGCCGCUGCGGGCGGCGAUUCCUUGCCUGCCCCCGUCUACGGCGACCUUGCCGCGUGUUCCCUAGUCGCGGGGGGCAUGCGGGCCGCGUGUCGUGCGACGGCGGGCAGGAAGCAAGGCUCCCGGCCCAAUCUCCGGCGCGCGGGGUGGGUCGGGGAGCCGCUUUUGGGCGUUAGCCGAUGAGGAUUCUGAAGACGAAGAGGAGGAGUUGUCGUGCGGUGAUGUGGGGGCCGCGGCGUGCGGCCGGGUGACGUGCUCCGUCGGCGACUUUGUCAUGCGCGCGAAGGAGCUCGGAGGCUCCUUCAAGGACGGUCGCCGAUGUGCUUUCGCGCCGGGCGGCCGGGGUCCCGGGCGGAUGGCUGCGGCUACCUGCAAGGGGUCCGUGUGGUGCCGGCGAGGGAGGGCCGAGGGCGGCCAGAGUCCCCGGACGCUGGCCUGCUUCUCCUGCCUGGCCAGGAUCCGCCCUGGCCGGCGUUUGUCGCCCCGUGCCGGCGGUGGCGCAGGCGGAACCGCGGCUUCCUCGCCCUAGGGUUGGGGGCGCGUCGUCUGCUUCACCAGCGAGACAGGCCGCUGGGCCGGGCUGCGGCCCAUCUCAGGGGCCCGCGGGGUGUGCGGCCCAGUCGGGGGCACUGGACGAGGGACAGGUGGAUCCGCCUAGCUCGAAGGCUCAGCUCACUCUGCUGGACGAGGCCCAGCCCACCCCGGGCCUGGCACCCAAGCCAUAAGUGGCUCUGGCUACCCCGGGGAACCCUAGACGCCUCACUAGGGUUUCCUGCCUCCAGAUCGGAGGUGCGCCGCUUCGGUCACUCCGCCCGCUUUCUCACUUCCACUGCCCCUCCUCCUCCUGUGGUGCGCUCCUUUGCUGCGGUGGUGGCGAUGGGCUCCAAGCAAGACCGCAGGGCGGAGAAGCCGCCCAUGAAGCCGCCGCGGGACCACGACCUCGCGCGGCGCCAGGGCCCCUCGUCUCAGGAGGUGGGUCGCGCUGAGAUCGACGGCGGUUGGGGGCCGCCACCCGCAUGGUGGCUCAAGGAACGGGAAAUGAAAAAGAAGAAAAAGGAGGAGUACAAGGAGCGCGGCCUCGAGCUCAAGCGCAAGGGGCUGCAGGCAUCUCAGGGCGACGACCGCGUCGGCGGCCCCUUCGCCAAGAAGCAAAAGUCCAAGCCUGCAGGGGCGGCGGCCUCUAAGCCGCCCCUCCCGCCCGGAUCUGAGAUGUCAUCCUCAUCCAAGGGCACGGAGGCGGAGCCGAUCCCCAUCGAAGAAGCGGAUGGCCCGGAGUGCUUCAAGUGUGGGCGCUCCGGCCAUUACCAAAAUCUGUGCACCUUCAAGCCCCUCGGUGUCGUCUACUCCCAAGAAGGCCACACCUCAGCCCAAUGCCGGACCCGUGGCAAGCCCCUGCUCCUCCAAAGUAUGGGGCAUGCCAUCGCCGGCGAGGGUUUUUUCUGCCUGCAAUUCCAUGAAGUUGCACGGGACGCGCUGCAGAUCCUGAUGGGGGCCAACGUGGUCGUGCUAUCGGCGGCGCCGGGCGUGCUCUCGAAGGAGAUCCUGGAAGUCGAGCUAUCGCACCUGUUUGAGGGCUCCUGGGAUUGGCAGAUAACCCCCCUCAACGGCGGCGUGUUCUUGGUGGUGUUCCCUGACCCGACCAUGCUCCGGAUGGCCACGCGCAGCGGCAAGCUCUUUCUCUCCCUCAACAAUCUCAUGGCUGACAUUCGUGAUGUUGUCCUUGACGCGCCAAAGGGGUUGGAGAUGCCUGAGGCCUGGGUCAAGCUGGGUGGGGUGCCGCCCAAGCAGCGGCGUGCGGACAGGACCAUGGCGGCCACCAUGAUGCUUGGCAGGCCUCUUCGACGGGCUACUGGCGCUCUUUUCAAACUCUCGGAUUUCUUGUAGCUUUGGCGGCCGCUUAGCUGCCCCCCCGGAUCGCGACGCCAUCUCAGCCUUCAUCGCCGACCUCCGCUCGAUGGCCGUCCGCCUGUCGCCGCCGCCUCCGCCGGAACCAGACUAGAUGCUUUCUUCGUCCGGCGUGUUCUGUUUUUUAUUUUCUGGGCUUGUUGAGCUGUGCCCUCAGCAGAACCUAUGUACUUUGUCGUGAGACUUGGGUGUGUGUGUGGACUUGACUCUGUAUGUGUGCUCUGUGGCGGUUUGCUUUAUAUAUAAAGCGGGGCGAAAGCCUUUUUCGGUAACAUAAUCUACAAAUGCAACUUCUUCCUGCAGCAAUGGAGUUCGUUGACGAGGCGCAAGGAUUUUGAGAAGAUGAAGCAAGCUCAAGACCGUCUGCGCCAGGUGUUCGUUUUGGCUAGGGAGCCAACCGCCACUUUCUCGUCUUGAAGUGGCCCUUUUGGUGUGUAUGCGAGCCUGCGUGCUCAAUGAUCUGGCCUCGUGCCACGUAUUUUCCUGCGCUCGCGAUCUUUUGGCCGCAAAACUUUAACUCUCCGUGACUGCUAUGGCCUGAGCCUCUGUGCUCGUGUAAGUUCAGACCUCUGUGGUACACUGCCUAUGAUGUGGGCUUUAUUAAUUUAAAGCCGGACGUCUCUAGCGUCUUCGUUCUAAAAAAAAAGGAAUGACAGAACAAACUUUGAUAUUGCAUGCUAGUGGUACAACUGAAAUUACCCAGUCAGAAAAGCACAAAGUAAAGCAGAGCACAUAAGGUUCAGUGCGGCAUAUCUCAUAAGAACCCUGCUGGUGUCGGAGAAACUUCCAGCAAGUUAAACAGCAGAAAAAUAUAAAGCUCGCUAACUGUACAGUCCGCGAAUGUGGCAAGAAAAAAAAACAAUUACUACUCUGCUAAUCAGGUAGGAGUAGAAUAGAAGCAGAGGUGAGACUUACCAGUACCAUAAAAGGCCAACGCUGACCACACAAAGUAACCGGAUGUCGCACAAGUUCUCCAAACCAUAUCAUGCUCCCUCCGUUCCAAAAUAAAUGUCUUAACCUUAGUACAAUUUUAAUGUCCAUGCAGCUGCAUUAUUAAUUUCUUCUCAACCGCAUAAAAGCUUACUUACAACAAUAUAAAAUGCUACACAACAAUAUGACAAAACCUAAGUACUUUUUUGUUCCAAUCCAGAUUUUAGUUCGCGUUGCAGCAUCAUAUUAUCUCCAUUGCCAGGCCUGCACACAAAGGAAAAAUGCAUGAGAGCCUGUCUUGGUAACGUUCUGCAUAGCACAUUGCUAUAAUAUACUCCAUAAUUGAUGCAACUGUUGGAAAUUUACCCGCAGGAUCGAUCACAUAAAAUUACACGAACACACGCGCACAAAAAAACUGAUAGCCAAGGGCCCUUGUCGUGCCCUCUUUUCUCUUUAUUUCUUUUCUUGUUUUCUCCACGGUGCUUACAAAGCUGUAGUCUGCCUGUGUAUAUAUAAUAUACACGCCCGGCAAUACCCAACGCAAGUCACGACUCGACUCCUAAUCCUUGAUGACUUCCAUCACGUAUACGACUCGAACAUCACAAGCUAGCCUACGACCGGACACGUACUAUUACCUAGUCUAACCAAGCAGCCACCUUGAUUAAUCCUUACUUUCACAUAUACUAGUACUACUUGGUAUAGACUUUCACAUAUACUAGUACUACUUGGUAUAGACGACUACCAACAAAUAUUAGGACACAGACUCCACUUUAACUUGUACGUGUAACAACACAUAGACAACUAGCACGUACCUGACUUGCCAACUUGAAUAUAUUUGGAUUAUUUUCCAACAAUCUCCCCCUAAUCCAAACAUAUCAUCUUCACUCGACGAGACACGCAGAUGACUCUCUAUUCAUUUUGUCACGCUCGUUGUCUUGUCUCCGAUGACGCGACUUACCGGAUCACAACUUCUCUCUUCAUGCAACGAUGGCCACCACAUCAUCACCAUCAUAUUUUUGUGCCGACUUUUGUAGACUGAAACCAACGAUUACCCGGACUACCAGCCACGCUGUCAUAACUUAGCGUGCUACAUGCAGACUAAACGCAUAGCCUUAUGCAGGAACUCAACUUAACCGGCGCGCGUCCAUCUUCACGUUGAUCUUCAUCUUCAUGUCGGUUGCUUGCACACGGGGAGACACAUCUCUUCACCCGUCACAUCUUCACAUCUUCUCAGUGUCGCCGAUGCCACAUCUUAUCAAACGACACCUCCUGUCUAGCGGCAACACAACUUGCCAUAUACGUGCAACUCAUCUCCACCGUAUAUGAACUCGCCGAAACUCCGCGACCACAGCUUUGUAAGCAUCGUGGAGAAAACAAGAAAAGAAAUAAAGAGAAAAGAGGGCACAACAAGGGCCCUUGGCUAUCAGUUUUUGUGUGCGCGUGUGUUCGUGCAAUUUUAUGUGAUCGAUCCUGCGGGUAAAUUUCCAACAGCAACUAUCGACCAACUUAGUUUCUUUCUAGCUAAUUUUAGCAACGUAUCACCAAAGAGAUUAAAUGGUUCCAACUGACAUUAAUUUAGUAGUGCUAAACAGAGCAUCUAGGAAGAAAACUGUGACUUGAAGCACACUUUUAAUAUAUAGCAUACCAAAUUGAGUCAUUGGUCAGGACGUUCUGGUCUCAUCUUUCCAGCUAGCUAUCUAUCAUGCACUCUGUCCUUUCCUCGAUAUGCUUUUUGUUGUCGACGUGCCUCCUGUUCCUUGUUUACAUCUCUUGAAGUACACUGGAUUCGAUCUUCACAGGAUGUUGAGCGGAAGUUCAGUCCUGUUUCAUGUUCGUACCUACCUUGAAGGCCACCUCAACUCUGCCUUCUUCCUUCUUGUGAAUUCGGUCGCAGGACCAUCAGCGAAGCAAGGGGGAUGCUUCAUGCAUGCCACUGAGUUUGCUUCAUGCAUCCGACCGGCGAAGCCAAGGUUGGCGCCAUCAGUCUCAGGGAGCAUUACAUAGUUAAGGCCUCAUGGACGAGUGUUCUUUUUCUUGAGAAUCCAGUUCCCCGUGUGUGUAAACUGAACAUACAUUCAGUCUCCAUCAGUGUGAUCAAACAGCAUGUAUGUACAAACCUAAGACUUGCAGAGAAGCAAGAUGCCAACUUUCACAGCAUUACACAAGUUCAUUUAAAACCAAAUAUCAUCCGUGCAUAUAUAGUGGUGAAACAGGCAUAUGCCGUAACCUAACCAAGGCCAAGGCCGACCAGAGAAAGUAACACCCCAAUCAUAUACGUAUACAUCUGCUGCAAAAUUAUAUGGAAACCAGAUAAAUUAGUUUUGCACACUUUAUAUAGAUUAUAAAGAAACGUCCAACCGAUACAACCAGCUUGCUGGGGCCGCAGCACAAACAAGCCCAAAAGAAAAAAGGAGAGAAAGAAAAAAGAAACAAAUAAACAAAUGAAACAAAUGCCGACUCCGGCAGCUCAACUAAACAAAGAUGACCAACACCCGCUGCACCCACCGGAGAAGAACCACCGCCCGCCAAAGCAAUCUGAAGCCUCGCGUACCAAGCAACAUCUUCAGGAAGAAAUGCGACGACGACGCCGCUGCUGCCCGGACAAGUCCUAGGGUUUCCCCUGUUACGCGAAUGGCAGUGGGGAAGGGGGUAUCACCGACGCCCCUCAGGAGGGUCCGGCAACGCCCACGGGCGCAGCCGCGCCGGUGGCGAACGAGCCGCCAAAGAUUUCUCCCGCCCCGAAACCACCACCGCCACCUCAGACAAUCGGAAGCGCAUCGCCCAACAUGCCGCCCACCAGCCUGUGCCACCACGGAUACCGCACCAUCUUCACCGUUUCACUGAGGCCACCAACAGAGACCUGGAGGUAGAACGAGAAGACACCGGGCUAGGAGGCAACCGCACCACAGCCGAAAGGAAGGAACAACCUCCACCGCCGCGCGGAGCCGACCGGACAUGGCGACAGGGACUUGCCAGUCUACCACCGGCCCAAUCGGACCCCAACGGGUCUAGACAGUCCCUGCAACCAUGCUGCAGCAUGCCGGCCGCCAGAGCCACCACCACCGCAGCCACGCCCCCCUCGUCUCACCACCAGGGAGCCACGCCGUCGCGCACCGGACCGCAGGCCCGCCCCAGCCCAAAUGGGGCCCGAAAGGGCCUAGAUCUGGGCCGAGCGGGCGCCGCCGGCCAGCCGCCCACCGCGCCGCCCCGCAGCCAACGGGCACGCCACUAGAGGCCCGCAGAACGCCGCCGCCGAGCCUCACCGCAGCCGGGCAGGAGGGAGCCCCGACUCCCCCUCCCGGCGAGCGGGGAAGGGACGUCCGCCACCGCCGGCGCCACCCGGGCACGCCGGAGGUCGCUGCCGGUGCGGCGAAGCGAGAUGAAGGAGGAGGAGGACCAAGACGGGAAGGAGGGCAGGGGGCGCUCCGCCGCCUCGGGAGGCGGCAGGAGCGUCGGGGGAGGGGGAGGAGGAGGGGCAGAGGGGGGACCGGGGGGCAUGCGCGAGGCGGCCGGCGCCGGCGGGAGGGGGCGAGGGCUGCCGACGGGGAGGAACCCUAGCGCGGGUCGCGGGAGCCCCUAGCUCGUGGAUCCCGUUAACUUCGCGUGUGCCGUCCCCUUCUCUCUUCUUCCCUACAAAUAAUAUCCUUCAUUCCAACUGAAAGAAUGUACAGAAAUCACAGUCGAUAGGCCUUCGUUCGGAAUUAGUUGUCGCUCAGACGGAUGUAUCUAACACUAAAAUACGUCUAGGUACAUCGGUUUUAGCGGUAACUACUUCCGGACGAAGGAAGUAGAUGCAUUGCAAUCACCUCCAGCUGCAGGGAAACUUGUAGCAGCACAACUAUAGACGUAGUAUGUACUGUCAUCUCUCCAGUCCUUGCUUGCACAGAAAUGAUGUUGUGCUUACCACCUUGUUAAUAUAAGUAGUAGGUGUUUGAGCUUAACUACUGUGUGAACAAAUAACAGUAUGGUUCUUACCAUAGCCAUAUAUCAAAAGAAGAUGCCGAGCAGCCUGGUUGGAGCUAGCAAAUUUCAAAUCGAGUUGCCCUCCUCUCCCUCCCGUGUCGCCCCCGUGCGGCGGCCGGGAGGAAACCCUAUCCCGCCACCGCCGCCGCCCCCCGACCCUCCCUCCCCUCCCCGCCGCCGCCCCCCGACCCUCCCUCCCCUCCCCGCCGCCGCCACGGGGCUCGGCCGGGCAAAGCCCGCCUGGAGCCGGCGGCGGCAGGGAAAUCUCGAUCCCUCGCAGGUGGGAGCCAGCGCAUUGCUGCUUCCUCUGGCCUGGGUACGGCGCUGGCGAUGGGCGGCGCAGCGUGGCGGCCCUCUGCUGCGGUGGCGGGCACUGCAGGGCAUCGGGCGAUGCGAUGGGUGGUGGUGCGUGUGGAGGUGGCGAUGGCGGCGGCCGGGGGGGAGGGGGCAUCAGCAAGAUCCGUCAGGCGUUCUCCUGUCGCGGGCGCGGGCCAAGGGUGGCGUGGUUCCGUCCUCCCGGAUGGUGGUGGUGGUGCGCACGGGUCUAGGUGGUGCAGCCUGCUGCUUCGGGGCUGGCUCAGAUCCGCCCGGACCGGCAAUGGCGCGGGGCUGAUCUGGUGGUGCGUGCCCAGCGGCUCCGGCGCUUGGAGCUCACCAGGCGACGCGGGUAGGGCAGCGGCAGGGCGUGGCCACUGCACCGGCCGUGUGCGGCGGCAUGGGGAGGUCCGGCGGUGGUGGCCUCCCGGUGUCGUGGCGGCUUCACGGUGGCCCAACGGAUCUAUCGGCGGCGGCGGCCGGCUUCUCCAGCAUCGGCUCGUCUGCGUUCGGACCGUUUCAGCCUUCGCCCCAUAUCCUCACCACCUGGGCGCUACUCCCAUCAAAGGGCUGGUCCUCUCCCAGUUGCGGUCCAUCUCUCGUCUCGCGCCCGGUGUAGCAGGACUGUGCUCUUCUCGCGCACGGUGCAGCAGGACUAACCUCGUCCCCCUCUCGGUGCUGCAGGACCGAGCUCGUCUCGCACUCGGGGCAGCAGGACAGGUCGGUGGAUGCCAGUUCUGGCCGUCCUAUUGGGUCUCGAGGCUGGGUGCCGCCCAGGGGUGCGAAAGGUGGGACCUUUCAACUCAUCUCUUUCGUUCGGGUUGCGGCGGGUCUCGGGUGAGGUGGUGGCAAGGUCUUGGAUGUCGGGGCGGUGGCCCUGGUGGUGGUAGCGCGGUGCUCUUGGGCAGAGCCCGUGCCUUGGCGCUGCCCUGUCACCAUGGCCGUGUGGGUGGCGUGGUUGCCGGGGUGUGGCGUUGGGUGGCGUGAGUGUUGGCCGAGGUGAAAACAUGUUCUAUCCUCGGACGGACCGGCGGCGGCGAAGAUCGUUCCCUUCUUGAAGGCGUCGUCGCGGCUCACAUUGCCUGUCAUGCGGCUACAGGGGAAACUCUGAUCCUUGGCUCGGGCGGUGGCGGUGCUCCGGUGUCAUACCCUUCCUAAAGGCGCCGCCUUGGAGCACAUGGUUCGUCAUAUGUAGCUUCAUCUCUUCGUGGUGGUGUGCUAGGGGUGGUGUUGCUGCGCUCAGCACCUAUGUAUCCUGUCCUGGGUGUGUGCGUGUGUUGCGGUGGCGUGCGUUUAUACCGGGUGCUUGUUGAUAGGUGCUUUAUAUAUAAAGCGGGGCGAAAGCCUUUUUCGGCAUAUAUCAAAAGAAGAAACUUUUCCUUUUGAGAAUGGAGGAACCAAGUUUGAUAUGCAGGGAAAUUCAGGGAAUCAAAACUCUAUGAACAUCUUGCCAGUAGCAGUCAGUAGAAACUGCCGACAAUGAAACUGAACAAGUAUGUGGUAGAAAAAGGGGGGAUACCAGAUUCAGUUUCACUCAAGCAGUACGAAAAUGUGAGAUGGAAUCUACUACUACUUGAACAUACAGAUCAAGCUGAUCAGUAGAACUGAAGAUACGUUGGUUGAUGGAUCCAGAGUCUCCUGUGCUGAAUUUUGCAUUUUGCAUAUCAUUCCGCAUCUUGCAAAAUGCUCUUAAAGGUUGAUUCUGAAGCUCUUGCAUAUCCCACAUAUCAAAGUUUGUUCGGUCAUUCCUCAUGCCAGCGAAUUUGCUUAAGGCAGAGUCAGAUCGAGGAGCAUCAGUUGAGGUCUCAUGGAAUGCAGCUCCAUGGGCCAGGUGUAAACUGAAGAUACGUUCAGUCCACAUCCAUCAUAUGAUCAGAAGACUUUAUAAUUGAAAGUUACCAGGUGUAAACUAACCAUAGUGGAGGAGAAGCAAAGCAACGGCCAGCCGAGGAAGAUAUCCAUCCACAAUGCACAUGAAUCAUGCCCAAACGGUACAUAAACACGAAGACAAGACUAACCUGCGAAUUCUUCAGUUUAAAAGUUCUUCCUUGAGAUUACAGCAACCAACAAACAAAACAAACUACGUACUCUGUCUAAUUGCAGCUACAACAUUCACUGUUUUCUCAUGAAAACACACUAUAUAUAUGGACGACAAAGAAAUAAUUUGCUUGUAGCCUUUCAAUUGAUGCUGUAGCCGCGUCCCUUCUGCUGUCGGCGAUUUGAUUUACUUGUAACCAAGCAGCAAGAUGAUGAUCCAUCUAGUACAAGCUAGUCCCCCUUCCGCCUGCUCACAUCAACAUUUAAAGUGGAUGAGAUACUACUAGUAUAAAUAUAUGACUGUGCAGUGCAUGCAUACUCAACACUCAAAAGUUAUUACAGCCGGUCAGUUACAAUGCAAUGUGUUCUGCUUAGCACAUUGCUAACUACUAUCUUUCCGAGCAAGUAACUUAACAAAUCGCCAAGGGAAAUAGCAAAACAAUGAACUGAGAACACAACUGUGACUUGUACCAAAUCUCACCUAGCUAGCUAUCUAUUAUGCAGUUUCAC